rnacentral:lncRNA from 1 species
UCAAUUAUUGAGAAUUUAGUUGACUUGAAAGCACGAGUCUUCUCCUUGUAUGAAUUUGAGAUGACAACUGUCUGCCUCUGCAUUUCCCUAAUCUCUAGAGUUCUCUGAAAUCUCUUCUUCAUUUUCUGUCUCCCUUUUCUGAAUCGUUCUUGUCCUCGAUCCUACACCUUCUUUGCAAAUCUUUCAUUUAUUGUACUCGCUUUUCAAUUUUUCUUAGCAGAAAAAGGAUCCCCCUUUGUUUCAUCUCUAGAUUUUUCACUCUUUUCCUCGCCUCCUCCCUUAAAUCUAUUCAACUUCUUAUUUUAGCAAUUUAUCCAAACUUCUUAUUUCCCUCUUCCCAGUUGAUUGAUUAGUUCUGCUUAGUUUGAUUAGUUUUGCUUUCCCCUGUCUUUUGAAAGAAAAAAGAAAAAAAGAAAAAAAAGAAAGGGAUAAUGGAAAUUGUUAUCUCCGUUGCGGCAAAAGUUGCAGAGCACUUGGUUGCUCCCAUAAUUUAUCCAUUUACUUACUGCUGCACUUACAAGACCAACUUCGAGAAGCUGAAUAAUGAAGUUAAUAAGCUCAAGAAUGCUAGAGACAGUGUGCAGUAUAAGGUUGAUGAUUCCAGAAUUAAAGGGGACGGAAUCCAACAGCACGUUGAGGAAUGGCUGAUUGCUGCGAACAAGGAGAUCAAUGAAGUCGAAAUACUUAUUGAAGACAAAGAGAAUUCAAACAACCGGUGUUUGAAGGGGUUAUGUCCUAAUUUGAGGACUCGGUACCAGCUUAGCAAGAAAGCAGAAAGAGAGGCGAAUGCUAUUGUUGGACUCCAUGAAAAAGGGAGAUUCGACAGUGUUUCUUUCCGUAUCAUUCCAGAGGAGACAUGGCUUAAGUCUACCCAGGAUUUCAUGCACUUUGAAUCGAGAAAGUCCACCUUGAAGGAGAUACUAGACGCACUCAGCAACCGUAACUUCAACAUGAUUGGGGUGUACGGGAUGGGCGGCAUUGGAAAGACAACGCUGGUGAAAGAAGUUGGCAGACAGGCCAAGGAAAAUAAUCUCUUUGAGAAGGUCAUUUCUUCACGUGUUUCCCAAACACCACAAAUAAAAGAAAUACAAAGAGAAAUUGCAGAGAAGCUGGGCCUGAAAAUAGAUGAAGAGAGUGAAACUGUAAGAGCAUGGAGGCUGCUCGAACAAUUGAAGAAAGAGACGAAGAUCCUCAUAAUCUUGGAUGAUACUUGGGGGAGUCUCGAUUUGGAGGCGAUUGGAAUUCCAUUGGCAGAUGAUAACGGCGGAUGUAAAGUUCUGCUGACAGCAAGAAGUCAAGAUGUGUUGUCUUGUAAAAUGGAUUGUCAACAAAAUUUUUUUGUUGAUGUUCUGAAUGAAAAAGAAGCUUGGAGUCUUUUCAAGAAGAUGACAGGUGAUUGCAUGGAAAAUGGUGAACUGCAAUCUGUAGCGACAGAGGUAGUCAAGGAAUGUGCUGGUUUGCCCAUUGCCAUCGUGCCCGUAGCGAAGGCAUUGAAAAAUAAGAGUCUCUAUGAAUGGAGGAAUGCUUUACUUCAAUUAAAAAGGCCUUGUUUGAGAAGUUUCUCUGGGACACAAGCGGUGGCCGCCUAUUCAACUAUAGAGUUGAGUUACUAUCAGUUAGAAGGUGAGGAACUCAGGCAAACCUUUUUGCUAAUAGGGUACACGUUCAUCUCUUGUGUUGAAGACGUGAUCUGUUAUGGCAUGGGUUUGGGUCUGUUUCAAAACAUCAACACGUUGGAAGAGGCACGGGAUAGAGCACAUACAUUGAUUGAUAAACUCAAGAACUCUUGUUUGUUGCUUGAUGGCGAUACUAGUGAAUGGUUUUCAAUGCAUGAUGUUGUUCGUGAUGUAGCCAUAUCUAUUGCAUCUAGAGUCCAACAUGUGUUUGCGGUGGAAAAUGAGACCAGCUGGCCAGAUAAGGAUACACUGAAGGUUUGCACCGCAAUCUCCUUAUUUAAUACUAAUAUUAGUGAGCUUCCUCAAGGGUUCGAGUGUCCGCAACUUAAAUACUUUCGUAUUAGCAACGAUCCUUCUUUGAGAGUCCCAGAUAACAUUUUUACUGAGAUGACAGAGCUUAGAGUUUUAGAUUUCACUGAGAUGCAUUUGUUGGCAUUGCCUUCAUCGCUUGGUCUCUUACAAAACCUUCAAACAUUGUCUCUGGAUUUUUGUAUACUAGGAGACAUAGCUAUUAUUGGAGACCUGAAGAAAUUAGAAAUACUUACACUUCGAGGUUCUGAUAUGGAGAAACUAGUUGAAGAAAUGGGCGAGCUGACUCAAUUGAGGUUAUUGGAUCUGAGUUACUGUUUCAAUCUACAAGUUAUUCCACCAAAUGUCAUAUCAAGCUUAUCACGAUUAGAAGAAUUGUAUAUCGGUCAGAGUCCCAUUAUGUGGGGGAAGGUUGGAGGAGUCGACGGUGAAAGAAGAAAUGCCAGCCUUGACGAGUUGAAUAAUUUAUCUAAAUUGACCUCUUUAGAAAUACUCAUCCAAGAUGAAAAGACUCUACCAAGAGACUUGUCGUUCUUCAAAAUGCUGCAAAGGUACAGAAUAUCGAUAGGAGAUCAGCGGUGGUGGGAUGGCCCAUGGGAUGGGAUUUCUAGAAAAUUCAAACUGAAGCUCACCAAUGGUGCCAACAUUUGCUUGAACGAGGGGCAUAUCAUGCAAUUGAAGGGUAUUGAAGACCUAACUUUAGAUGGAUUGCCGGACAUGAAGAAUGUUCUUUGUGAACCAGGCAGAGAAGUCUUUCCAAAACUGAAUCGUCUCCAAAUCGAACAUAAUGGCAACCUUGUUCGUCUUGUUGACACAAUGGAUUGUACGCCAGCUCCGACGAUUGCAUUCCCCCUUUUGGAGUCAUUAUUUCUGAGAGAUUUAAGGAACCUUGAGGAAAUAUGUCGUGGUCCACUCACAGCAGAGUCUUUUAGCAAAUUAAAGACCAUAAGGGUGGAAGGGUGUGAUAAAUUGAAAAAUGUAUUUCCAUUGGUCAUUGAACUCACUCAAUUAAGGACACUUGAGCUUCGUUCUCUUCCGCAGCUUACAAGCUUCUGCACAGGUGAUCUGCAUAUUGAAAAGGUACGCGUGCAAGAUUUUUGUAGUUAUUUUUCAAUUCUUACGUACUGAAAAGUAUUUCUACUUUGAGAGUUCAGAGUUUUAUUGUCUUCCUCGCCCUCAUCACUUUAUCUUUUAGUGACAAAAUUUUAGUUAUAUAAAUCAGUUUAUUUAUAUUUUAUAAUAUCCCUUGGGUUGGAUGAAUAUUAAUGUAAUACCAGCUUCUUACUAUAUUAUUAAGUUUUUUAAAUUCGUGCAAAUUUUCCUUCUUUUCAUAUGUGCUAGCAAUUCAAGCUGUUUAUUCAUUUUUGCUUUUGUUAAAAAAAAAAAGUUAAAAUAUCCAAUUUUAAAAAAAAUAAAUUUGUAUGAUUUUCAAUUCAAACCAAAUAAACCGAUCGAUUAAAAGAAUCUGGAAGUUUAAAUGUAAAUUAAGAAUAAUUGAGAACAAUAUAUAUGUAUGUAUGUAUGUAUGCAUCUAUCUAUCUAUCUAUCUAUCCAUGCAUGUAUUGUCUGGCCAUCAAUAUUAUUCAUCAUUAGAAUGCUUUGCAUUUACUUUAAUAUGUGAGGUUUUUAGAAAGAAGAUCAACUCCACCCUGUGUUUUUCUGUGACCAUCAAUACGCAUCAUUGGAAUGCUUUGUUUUUACUUUAAUUUGUGAAAUCGUUAGAAAGAAGUGCUAACUGCAUCUUGCCACUUUUGUGAUUGAUGAUCACCCAGGUGUUCCCCAAUUUGGAGAAAUUGAGGGUUGAUGAAAAGCACAUAGGUCUAUUUCCAGAAGACUUGCUUUGCAAACUUAAAUGUCUUCAUGUCCGGCUUGAUGAGUCAGCUGCUAUUGUAUCACUUGACGAUUUCCUCCACAGAUUUCAAGCCAUCAAAGUUCUUGUUAUAAAAGAAAACGAUGACGAUGAUCCAUCUGACGAGUUUGAAAAUGGAAUGAAGGUAGUGAUAACAGGAAUAAAUCAGCGUCGUGAUCUGAAGCAGAUUUUGAAAGGAGAGUCCUCCAAUACCAAUAAUAACACUCAAGCAGAUCUGAAGCAGAUUUUUACAAGCUUCUGCACAGGAGAUCUGCAUUUUGAAAAGGUACGUGCAAGAUUUUUGUAAUUAUUGUUCAAUUCUUAGGUACUUAAAAGCAUUUCUACUUUGAGAGUUUAGAGUUUUCUUUUCGUCAUUGCCCUCAUCACUUUGUCUUUUAGUAAGAAAAUGUUAGUUCUAUAAAUCACUUUAUUUAUACUUUAUAAUAUCCUUAUAAACAUAAUUAUCACUCUUCAAUAAAUCUUCUCAUUAUUGAAUAUUGAAUUCAAUAAAUCUUCAAUAAACAUAAUUAUCACUCUUCAAUAAUGUUAGUUCAAUUUUUUUUCUCUUAAUUAUCAGAGUUUUUCUUCUUCCUCUACUUUUUAUUUUAUGUCUAUAUGUUUAGUUAAAUACACGGAAGAGACAGUGCAUUUGAUUAGCCAAACAAAGAAAAUACUCAUAAGAUUUAGAGUUUUUCAAGCCAUAGUUAAUUCCCUGAAAAUCGUUCAAGAGCUAUUUCCAAAUUAGUACUCCUUAGUACAGUAUUGUUACAUACAAAAUGAUUAUCAAUUUUGAUGUUGAAGUAGAAAUUGGUCAUCUUGUGCUAACAUAAAUAAUAUUUUUGAAAUAUAUAUAGAAAGAUGGACAAAACUCAAAUUAAGAAAUCUUAUUCUAUUAAACUUUAUGUACAAUAAAAUCCAUUCUUGCACAAUAAUAAAUAUAUCUAAUUCCAUUGAGUUGGAUGAAUAUUAAUGAAAUACCAGCUUCUUACUAUAUUAUUAAACUUUUAAAAUUCAUAUUAUUUAUUCAUUUUUGCUUUAAGAAAAAGUUAAAAACUCCAAUAUUUUUUUAAAAAAGAAAUUUGUAAGAUUUUCAAUUCAAACCAAAUAAACGGAUCAAUUAAAAGAAUCUCAAAGUUUAAAUGCAAUUUGAGAAUAAUUGAAGUCUUUUUCAUAGAGAUUAUGCACAAAUCUAAUAAACUUUGAAAAUCUAUCUACUGGACAAGAGUUAAGAAGAGAGAAUGGAAGAAAAUACACAUUACUUAAAUGGAAUGCUUUGUAUUUACUUUGUCUUUACAGCUGAAAAUCAUACUCUCUCCGCAUAUGCAUAUAUUUGUCCGGCCAUCAAUAUGCAUCAUUGGAAUGCUUUGUAUUUACUUUAAUUUGUGAAAUCGUAAGAAAGAAGUGUUAACUCCAUCUUGCUUUUUUCGUGAUUGAUGAUCACCCAGGUGUUCCCCAAUUUGGAGAAAUUGAGUGUUGAUGAAAAGCACAUAGGCCUAUUUCCAGAAGACUGGCUUUGCAAACUUAAAUGUCUUGAUGUCUGGCUUGAUGAGUCAAGUACUAUUUUAUCACUUGACGAUUUCCUCCAGAGAUUUCACACCAUCAAAAUUCUCUCUAUAGGAGGGAACAAUGAGGCAGAUUUGGAUACAUCAUUUGAAAACCUUGAAAAUGGGAUGGAAGCAAUGAUGAGGGGAAUAAACCAGCGUCGUGAACUGAAGCAGAUUUUCAAACAAGAGUCAACCAAUACCAACAAUUUGGAACAGCUGAAGAUACUUUUUUGUGACAAUUUGACUAAUCUAGUGCCAUCCUCGACAUCGUUUCAGAACCUAACAACUUUGAUUGUAUGUCUUUGCCACGGAAUGAUACACGUACUAACAUCCUCAACAGCAAGGAGUCUGGUGCGACUGAGACGAAUGCACAUAGUUUGCUGCGAGAUGAUAACAGAAAUAGUGGCAGAUGAGGAUGAUGAGGGAGAUAAUUAUGCAGCAAAAGAUGAAAUUGUUUUCAGCGAUUUAAAGGAAUUGAUUCUUUUGGACUUAGAAAGUCUGACUAGUUUCAGCUGCUCUGGGAAUAAUUGCGACUUCAAAUUCCCAUCUCUGGAAACAUUAGUGGUGGAAGAUUGCCCCAAUAUGAAGAUUUUCUCAGAAGGGGAAUUAAGCACACCCAAGUUACACGAAGUGCAGAUGAGCCUAGUCGAUAAGAAACUUGGGGCUUGGGAUCGGGACCUUAAUACAACCAUUCAAUACGUAUAUCUUAAAAGAAAAAAGGUAAGUAUUCAUUCACUAUGAGAUGUUGAUUUUUUUUUCUUCUAAAAAUUACUGAUUUAAUAACAGAUAUAUAUAAAAAAGUAAAAAGAAAAAAAUACAUAUUAAUUUUUUUAUAAAUUCAUUUUAAAUCUGAUUAGGAAGGGGAGGAAAAAGAGAAUGAGAAGUCCGCCGAGGCGAAUGAAAAGGAAAAAGAUGCGAAAAACAGUGGUAAGAUAAACGGGAGGUUUUGAUUUGAUUCUAUUUUACUGACUAAAAAUGUUUUAUUUAUGUUGAAUUGUUUGUUAAAUCAUAUUGGUACAUCUUUUUUAAAUAUAACUACUCUGCUCUGUUGUUAUGUUGAGGAUUAGUUGUUAUACAGACAUAGCGAAAAAUAAACGAAUAAAAAAUGAAAUUAAUUGCUUACAGAGAGAAUUGAAGGAUUUUUGUGUCCUUAAUCGAGGUUAAUUUGUGCAAUUUAAUUAUGUGAAAACUACACCUUCAAUGUGUUUUUACUCUUUGUCUACAGAGUCUCCAAACUUAUGAAGACGAUUCAUGCUACUUGUGCAGCAUUUUGGAUAAGGCUCGAGCUCGAGUUCUUUCUAUAUAUUAAGAGUCAUAUGGUGUUGGUGAGAGGAUUUUUUUGUUUCAGUUUUCAUUCAUUAUCUUUCUUUUAGCUUUGUUUGAGUACUCAGAAAUCCAAUUUGAGGCUAGUUUUAUUUCUUAUGGAUGGUGUCCAAGAUCUGCCAUAUUCAAUUUGUAGUCAUCUUAAAAUCUCUUUAAGUCCUAAAUUAAUUAAAGAGAUGUGUGCAUCAUAUUUGUGUUCGUGCACCUAUUGGUAUUUUUUGGAGACAAUUAUAUAAGAAAUUAUGUAAUUUCAUGAAAAUAUCAAGAUUUUAUAUAGAAAAUUAUGGAAAAAUAAAAGUUUACUGGUCAAUUGCUCACUGUAGACAACAUGUGGAUCCUCCCUGGUUAAUGAUCCCAAGUUCCUCCAUUUACAUUAUUAUUAAUUAUUUUUGUUGGUGAAAGCUAAUUGAUUAGAAGAAUGCGACAAUAAGAAGGUUAAAUACUUAGCUUAUAAUCAGAUACAUAAAAUCAUCAUCAUCACAAGAUUAUCACAGGUGUAAUAUCAAACUAACUAUUGAAAACCUUUGAAUGGUCUUCCAAUUUUGAAAAUGCCGGCAGCCCUUGCAACUUCCAGGAAACUUCGAUUAUCUACCAAGCAUAUCAACUGUUCGAUGAAAUGCCCAUGUAGCUGUUCCAACUUAUUCCCCUAGAAUUGGCCUGGGGGGCAGCUGCGCGGUGGCAGCGCAGCUGCCCCAAACAGGUCCUUGGAGACAUGAGUUUCAUUAAAGUAGCAUCAUCUCACUGAUAUAAUGUAUUAAUGUAAUAAAUGAGCUUUCUUAAAGAUGAUUCAGGCCAACCUUCUGUGCAGCAUCAGGAAUGAGGCCAAUUUUCUUUGAAAUUUGUGAGACAUGGUAUGCAGCUCGUGUUUUUUCUAUCAAGUUAAAAGACUGUAAGAGGGUCUUCAUUUUUUAUUGUCAUUGUUCUACAUUUUGGCUUUCCUUGAUUACUCAAACCCAGUUUCAGAGAGUUAUAAUACAACACUUUAAAGAUGUGUGAAUCAGACUUGUCUAGUGUGCACGUGAGCCAUGUGUUAGAUUGCUGGUGUAGUAGUAAAAGUUGACAUUCAGCACAUGUUCAUUGUAGUAGACAUUCAGCACAUGUUCAUGUACAGAAAUUGGAGUUUUAGGCCAUCAGACAAACAAAUUGUGAAACAAGUGGGUAGAGGGAAUAAUAAAAAUCGAAAGACAUGGAUAGGAGAUCAUUGAUAGAAUCUAAAUACAAAUUCAAUCAAUUCAUUAAGCCAUCAAAAGUUAGUUACAAACCACUCUAUCUUAACAUAUGUAAUUUACCAUCAUCUAAAACUGCUAUAUCCUAACAUAUGUAAUGUACCAUUAUCAAUUUCUGCUAUGUUAUGUUUGUAUAGCCUAAUAUGUUUGGCUUGGUCUUGUCUAAUAUAUCCUGCUAUGUUAUGUUUUUUCUAUCAAGUAAAAUAUUCGCCCUCCAAAAUUUCAAAUACUCCUCUUACAUUAUUUAAAAAAAGGCGUGUUUGGGAUUGCGGUUGAUUCUUGAAUAGGAAUCUAUACUCUCUAGUUGUGCUCGAAUUAUCAAAUAACUUUUAUUAAAUAUAGACGAUUUAAGUUGUUCGGUGCUACACUGACAAGUAAUCACAUAAGUAAUAAUAGCAAACAUAAUUUGGAAAUAGAUUUUCAAACGAGUAAUCAUUUGAGAAUCCAUCACAAUUACAGACAUGAACGAAAUCAGAUUUAAAAAAUAAAAAAAAUAUAAAUAAAUUAAAAAACAUAAACUAAUCAUAAAUUUUUAAUUAAUUAAUUAACUGAAAAUAGUUUAUAAAUAGUGGCAGUGAAAGACUCAUAUAAUUCAGGUAUACACAUAUACCUCGAUUUGGGUGAAAAGGGCAUGAAGGCCGCGAGAUUUGAAGAAGAAAUCAACGGCGUCGUUUUGACCAGAGACAUUGUUCUGAUCAGCCGCGCUGGUGGGCCGGAGAUGGGCCCCACCUACGGCUUGUUUCCCUCCCCUCACAUCACUCCCAGACAGACAUAAUCCCAUCUCUUUUCUCUCUCUCUCUCUCUCUCUCUCUCUCUCUCUAUUCUCGAAAAUUAAAAAAUUAAUCCAAAAAAAUUUACCCAAAAGUUUUUGCAACUUUGCGUCACAGAGUACGGAGUCUUACUGUUCGAUUGAUGUUCUUUAAUCUCUCAAAUCCGUAGCCUCUGAAAGAGAACUGGAACGGGGCUUUAUUUUUGCUCUCCUCUAUUUAUAAGCUUUUGCGCUAGCUUGAGUCGUUGUAUUUGAAUUUGACUCUGAUUCUCCGGCGAAAAUGUAAAGAAAUUUCUACUUAUUAAUUUAAUUGCUUUUUCAUAAGGAAAAAAAAGAAAAAAAGAUUAAUGUAGAAUAAUGUAGAUGAUCUAAAAGAUUUUGUCUUUUUUUUUUUCCUCUCCUCAAAAUAUAGAAUAAUGUAGAUGAUCGAUUGUUUUAAUGUAUUGGGAACGUUUAGGUCCACCUAAUUAUUAAUAAUAGAUAAUUAUAUCAAAAUUUACCAACUGAUAAAUUUCAAAAUUUAUCAAAAUUUUCCAUUGUAUGCAUGAAGACAAAUACUAGAAUUUAGAGUAAAGAAUCGGUAAAUUUGUAAAGAAAUAUGAAGAAACAGCAAGGUUUUGAAGAAUUCAAUUUAUCACUAUAUUUGGACAUUUGGACGUCAUUAAUGUUUUUGAUUAAUAAAUAUUUCGUCUUCCCCAAGGUUUUUGAUUAAAAGAAUGACUUGAUAUGGCUGAUGUUGAUAAAUUAGAAAGGGAAAAUAAUAAACAAUGGAGGAAUUUUCAAAUUAGGUCAACAAUCUUAGUCUAUUUAAUUUCGUAAUAAUGGCAAUGAGCUUCUUGACGAAGCCCUUAUAACAUAAGCAUACAAACGUAAUCAAGAUGUCUGUGGAAAGCAAGUAACAUUUAACAAUUCCAGUGGGGUGGAAUAAAAUGGCAUUCACAAUCAACUACUAAGGUACUGAAGGUUCAAUCGUUUAAGGGUAUUGAUAGUUUCAAUAAAAUGACAAACUCCUCUACAUAAUCAAUAGUAAUUGAUCAUGUACGUGUACAUUUAAGUUGGAAAAAGAAGAAGAAGAAGAUAAUUAUAGUAUAAUAAAAUCAGAAUGCGUAUGUCAUAACUAAUUUCACUAAAUGGUUAUAAUACGUUUUAUGUACUUGAGAUUUUCUCAUAAUGGGAAAAGAAAAAGGCUCAUCCGCGUACAUGAAUAAGAUUACUUGCCACGAUUACCAAUUUUUCAUCACUUUAUUAAUUCUUUUUCUUCCUGUACAUGAAUCUUGUUAAAUUCAACUUUCUAUUUUACUUUUUUUUUUUUUUAAAUUAUUUUCUAUAUCAUACUUUGAAUCUUGUUGAAGGAAUCUUUGCAUUCUUUUGUCCGCAUGUGCAACACAAAUAAUAUUUUACGUUACACUUGAUAUUCAUUCAUAUAAAUUAAUCAAGGAUAAUAUAUAUAUUGCCAAAUUGAUUAAAAUAAUUAUUAAUUUAAAAUUAAUAAUUUCUUUAUCCAUAACACUGAUAAUAAAGUCCGAUUAUAUAUAGGCAUGCACACUUUUCCAUGGGGGAUUGAGAAUAAAAUUUUAUAGUGGGUAAUUAGUUGCAACCGUGUUGGUAGAUGCACCUACCUAAUAUUAAUUAAUGAUUGAAAAAAAAAACAUUUAGUUCAUAGUUAAAAUUUUAUAGUGAGUAAUUAUGUUUCUUUGUUGAUUGUGCUCAUGAAGUGGAUAGAAAUAGCUAUAUACAAUAAAAUAUUUCUCCUAUGUAGUCAUAAGGAUAUACUCUAAAUUAUAAUAAGUUAUAAUUUUUUUAAGUCUUGUCUAAAAAGAAUUUGUCCCCGCAUAAUAAUAUUAUUCGGCUAUUGCAAAAAAGUAUAGACUUUUUUUUUUUUAAUUAAUCCUACCUUUAAUAUCAAUUUCUGACAUAACCCAGUAAUUAAUUAUUAAUAUAGUAAAUAUUUUACCUCUAAUUUAAAUGCACAAAGGAUAACUAAGUGAAAACGAUAAUUUAUGUAACUAUAUCUUUACUAAGUUAAUUAUAACAUUCUCAUAUUAAUAAAAUUAACUUACCUCAAUAUUAUGAUUAUAGAGAAAUUGGACUAUAUUUGAGAAUUUUGAAAAUGAUGGUCAUGACUUAUGUGCUCGAUUUGUGAUUUUACGUUGAAGUUGGUAGAACUAAACCAUCAAAACGUUUAAAGCAUAUUGUCGUUAGUCUUUGUUUCUGGGUAGACAAAAGUGUCAAAUACUAUGUUGAUCAAUAAGAACAUUAUUGAAUCUUUUUUUUUCCUUUUUUCUUUUUUAAAUGACAAAUGAGAGAUGAAUUCAAAUUAAUUAGGAAUUUUUAUCCAUUAUUAGAGUUGUGCUAGUAUUUUUUUUUCAACUACUAAUUACAACAACCUUAAGUAAAACCAACAUAUAUUAUAUAGCUCAUCAUGUGAGCACGGAAUCCGACAUUCCUUUGAGACUUAUAUAUCUCUCAAAUUAAAAUACCGCAAACACGAAUAUUAAACAAAGUAAUAAUCAAAAUAACACAUUUCCUUGCAACGACUCAUUAUGAUUCCAAGUGAAAUGGUUCGUUCGACCAAAAAAUGCCGGAAAAAAUGUAAUUCAAGUUGGCUUCCUCUUUCAUAUUCAGUUCAGAACUUUAGAUUUGGUGUAAAUGAAGGGAAAAUGCCUACGAAUAUGUUCUCAGCUUGCCCGUCGUCUUGGCGAGCUUCUAGUUGUUUUCGUAAUUACGUCGUCACAACGACUGAUGCGGAGUAUGUAGAAAAUAAAGUCAUUCAAAGCCGUACAAAAGUGGAUAACCAAUCCAAUCCACUUUUGGCUCGUCAUUGAGUAAUUUGAGUCAAUUAUCCAGUUUGGUCAAUAUUAUAUUUUAAAAGAUUAUUCAGAACAUCUCUUUACUUACUUUCUUAGUUGCUGGACAUAAAUUUUUAAAGCUAAAACAGAAUUUUUAUAUGAUAAAAUUUAAAAUUAAAAAUAAUUUAAUAUAUAGCGGAUGGAAAAUAGAAAAUAAUUAGGUAGAUUUUAACCAAAAAAGAAUAUAGAAUUUAUAUUUUUUUUAGAGUGAAUUUCUAAAAAUAUAUUGACUCCUCCAUGGGUACAUAAACUACAGGGACAAAGAGGCAUUCCCUUUUUUUGUUUUAUGCAAGUCGUCGCAAGGAUUAUUCGUUGUGCGUGUACGUACAAUGACAUGAUCACGUGUCAUCCAUUGAGACUUUUCCAAGACAACAUUUUGUGAUGUACCAUAUGCGUACUAAAUUACAAGUGCAUUUGUUGGGUACAUGCAUGCAUGGACGUGGAAUUCCAUGCAUAAAAUGAUAAAAUACUUUUUCAAUUUUUCUUAGUUUAAUUUGCAAAGAUGUUUCACCAUUAAUUUGAAGUCUUUAGGUUUGGAAAUCUUUAUUCAUCGUAUAUUUGUUUGUCUCUUGGCACAAGCGCAUGCACACACGCACGCACGCACAUGUAUGUGUGUGUAUAUAUAUAUCUUAAUAUGUAUACUUAAGAUAUAUCUAUCAUUGUAAGUUAAACUAAUAAUCACUAAAUAUCCACUUUGUAUUUUGCUCUAGAGCACAAUAAAGUCAAAUUAGUAUUUAUAAUCGAUUUUUUUUUUCUAACAAGUAAAUUGAUAUUGCAUUCCAUUAAACUGCUCACAACAACAAUACAAGUCAUGGUGGCAGUGACGAGAGUAAUUUACAAACUGUCUAUAAAGAACAUAAUUUGUUAAACCAUUAAAUAUUCAAGAGAUACCUUUAAUAACAAGUACUUUCAUGAGCACAUAAAACUUAAAUUUUACAAGAGUUAUUCUCAAAUUUAAGUCCUCUUUUGAUUUGAUCUCUUCUGAACGUUUAAAGAUCUUAUAUAACUUGCCUUUUAAUAUUAAUGUAUGAUUAAAAUUUAACUAUUUUUAUUACUUACUUGAUUAACCAAUAAACAUAUAAGUGAAAUUUGCUUAAAAAUCAGGUCAUUAAAGGAUCCAUCUCAUUAAUGCUUCCCAGUCACUCUCUAUCAUCGAAGUUAUUUGUGCUAACCACCAAUUCACUAGCAAAUAUUGAUUCAUGUUUAAGCUCAUGUGUCACAUACUCAUGAAUACUUAGUGAUCAUUUAUAAAUGUUUAAUUAAUUAAUUGAGUAAAAGAUCAACAUUAAAAAAAAAAUCCCGUUACGCUACUCUGUAUAUACAACGCGUGAUAAAUUAAUUAAUACGGAGUUACCGGUAGCAAUUUAUAAAAAUUAAUUAAUAGGGAGUUAGUGAGUUACACGGCUGCUAUUAAUACUUUCAUUAAAGUGUGAAUGAUUUAUUAACAAGAAUUUCAAUAUAGAAAUUUCACCAAAACUGUUUAAGCUUGAUUUUUUAAUUCUGCAUAGCAAUGAGUCCAUGACGGCUCCAGCACUAAUCUCAUCAUGAAACAAAGGUAAAAUUAACGAAGUUUCUUUUUUCUUAGAAAAUCAUUGACAUCAAUAAGGUAAAACUAGUACAAGAUAAACCGAGACUAAUUUUAUUUUAUUUUUAAACAUUCUAUUAAAUUUUUCUGUCUAAAUAUCAUUGUUCUCUAUUUCAGAGUCAAGUCAAAAUUGUACAAAAUGAAAAAGAGAGGGUUAAAAUGGAUGGAAAUGACAAUAAAGAAAAUAGCUAGCUUUUUGCAAGAGCUUUUGAAGACGAUAGGCUUGUGCUCUUAUCAUGAAGCUUUUACGUCUUAUGCUUGUAGAAUUGACCCAGCGAAAAGGUUUAAUGAAUCCCCGUGAGAGUCUUUAAUGUGUUUCCGGGAAGAUAAUCAAUUAAUUAACUGCACCAAUUAAGCAGUUGAAUGAUCUACUAAGCAAGUUCAUAAAAUCUUAAUGUAAUCUAAUUGUUCGGAGAAAGUAUUUAAGAUCGAAUGAAAGAUGAAUUUCAGGGACUCUUCCAAUUGCAACCAGUCAUCAUGGAUAUUCCAAUCAGUGAAGGAUUCUUUCGACACAAGGAAAAAUAAAAGAUAAAAAAGGGUCAAUAAAGACGAUGGAGAAUAUUCAAAUAAAGUCUUUAACGUAUGUAAAUGUAAUGUAACUUUAAUUUGACAACUGCGGGCCUGACGAAUCCCUUGCAACGUGAGCACAAUGACACAGAAAGGAUAGUGCAAAUCAAAGUGGUCGUCUUUAUGAAUUACGAGAGAGAGCGUAACACAAGUUAUCCAAAUUCAGUCAGUCAAGAUAGGUCAAAUUAGCUUGCCAUUGUCGUUUUCGGGGAAAAAAUGUUAGAAUAAAAUGUUAAAAGAAAAUUUAGAAUGUCUACUAACUACUAAUAUGAGAAAGAGUAAUAAAGACUUUAGAAUUAAAAAAAGAAAAUAGUAGCAGACAAUUAAUAGUUGUAAAUGGCUAAAGUUGUUUCAUAUAACAUUUUAGACAGGCCCGACUUUAACCAAUUGGGGGCCUUAGGCGAAAUUUUAUUUUAGGCCUUUUGAUGUUAAAAUAUCAAAUCUCACAAAAACAUUAAACAGCUCAAAAAAUUCUCACAACAAUAUCAAAUAGCUCAAACUUUAACUAUAUUCAAUAAUAUCUUGAAUUACAACAAUUAUUAACAAGGUCCAAAAAAAAAAAAAUUGUCCGAAAGAUAUCUAUUUAUUUCCACACAAAUAGUAACUAACUUUGUCUUCCACAAAUUCCAUCUUCUUAAGAUGCUCUAAAACUUCAUAAGCCACAACCAUAAUCUUCCUGUGAACUUUAAAUCAUUGCUCCUACCUACUAUGAUCCUUGCUGCAAGCCAUCACUAAUGCAAAUUACUAAUCAAUUAAAUUUUAUUCUUCUUGCUUUUUGAGAUGCAAAAUUAUUAAUUAAAAUCUUAUAUUCUAAUUUAGCUAACAAAUUUUUUUUCAAUAGCUAAUAUUGCUAAUCCAUUUAAUCUUUCUUGUGACAUUGUAGUUCUUAAAUAAGAUUUUAUUAACUUCAAUUUAGAAAAACUUAUCUCAGCAGAAGCAACAGUUACAGGUACAGUCAAUAAUAUUCUAUAAGCAACAAAUGCAUUUGGAAAAGAAUCUACUUUUUUAAUAUAAUUAAGUAUAUCAAGUGGACUAUUUCUUUCCAUGUGUAAAACUUCUUUUAAGACUUUUAACUCUGAAAACAAAUCUAAUCCAUCAAUAUCAGAAAACAUAUCAUAUUUCAAGAUAUUUUCAAGAUUAAUACAAUAACUUUUUAAACUUUCAUCAUCUAAUGAUUUUAAUUUUUCAAAAUUAAAUAAAAAUCCGCAAAUAUUUUCAUAGAAUUGAAACUGCUCAAAUCUAUUGGUGAUUGAAGAAAUAACUUGAUCUACUAUAUAUACAAAGUAAUCAAUUCUAAAAGAAUCUUUGGGAGAUAGAAUUUUCUCUUCAUUAUUAUUCUCGCCAAAUUUAUUUUUUCUACGAAUUAUACGUUUUUCAUGAAAUUUUGGUUCUAUUUCCAUUUCAUUUGCAAUCUCUUUAGCUGAAAUCAUAGCAGACACAAAACCAUUUUAUCUGUAAUUCUCAAAAAAGGAUGUAAGACCUUUAGUUGAUUUAUGGCAACAUCAAUUUGCAUAUAUUCCCUUUGUAAGCUUUUACUAACAGUGUUUACAACAAAUAAAAGCAAAUAAUAUAUCAUACCAAAUAAUCAUGCCUAACAAAAAUUCAAAGUUUUCCAAUUCAUAUGUUGCUAAACAUUUCGCUUCACUUUUUUAUUUUAGGAUCUUCACUAACUUCUGCUAAUUUGAGUAAAGCAUCUCUAAUUUGGGGAGCUUGAAAUCUUAUUGCUUUGACACUUUCUAUGCGACUCUCCCAACGUGUUUGUGACAAUGAUUUAACAGUUAAAUUAGGUAUAUUAUCUUGUAAAAUUUUCCAUCUCUUAGGUGAAGAAGAAAAUAGCGAGUAAAUACGUUGAACAACUCCAAAAAAUGAAAUAGCCUUAGGACAAGAAUUAGCCAUAUCACAAAGCACUAAGUUAAAACUAUGAUAGCCACAUGGUGUGUAAAAUACUCUAGGAUUUAUUUCUAAUAAUCUUUUUUGUACACCUUGAUUUUUUCCUUUCAUAUUAGAUCCAUUAGCAUAUCCUUGUCCUCUUACAUCAUUAAUAUCAAGUUCAAGAGUUUUAAUUACAUCCACAAGUUCAUUAAAAAGACCUUUUCCAGUGGUAUUGUCAACUUGUAAAAAUCCUAAAAAAUAUUCUUCUACCUUUACUAGAUUUGUUGAAAUAUCCACACAUCUUAAUAUAAGAGACAUUUGUUCUUGGUGGCUUGCAUCUGGAGUACAAUCAAGUAUAACUGAAAAGUACUUUGCUUCCUUAACUUUGUUAACAAUUGAUUUUUUUUAUUUCAAGUGCUAGCAUUAAUAUGAGUUCAUUUUGUAUGUUAUGUCCAAGAUAAUGAUCAUGAAUUUCACCGGUUUUAAUACGUCAAAUAUGUUCUUGCAUUGUUGGAUCAAACUCUGCAAUCAUUUCAAUUAAACUUAACAAAUUCCCAUUUCUCUCUUCAUAGAUCUUCUCAUUUUUUCCACGAAAUGCUAAAUUAUUUUUAGCAAGAUUUUUUACAACAGCAAUAAUUCGUAUUAAUACUUUUUGCCAAUGUUCUUUUUCCUUGUCAAUUCUUUCUUGAACAUCUUUAUCAAUUGUUUUUCUUUUUGAUAGUCUUGCUUCUAAAUCAACCCAUGCAUUCAUAUUAGUUAUAUGUUCAUUGGUUGUUUCAUGACUUUUAAGUUUAGAACUAAGAUUUUCCAAUCUCUUAUUCCUUCAUCACUAAGUUGAUUUUUGCUACAACUUGUAUUGAAUAAUUUGCAACAAAAACAAUAUACUUUGUUAAAAUCUUUUGAAUAUAUUAACCAUUUUCUAUCAUGUUUUUCUCCAUUUGUUAACAUUUUAACAUAAAAUGCAGUAGAGAAAUGCCUAGAAUUUUCAUCUUUUGGGAAAGUUAUGUUAUUCUCUCUAAUUGGGCCUUUUUUCUACUAAAAGAUCUCUUAACUUUGUAUCAACAUUUUCCCAUCUUCCUGGAUCAUAAAUAUUAUUUGGAACAAAUAAAUUUUCUACAUCAACUUUGUCCGCAUUUUUAUUUUUAUCAUCUUCAAUGUUGUUUAUUUCAUUCACUGUUUCAUCAUUAUUUAAUUCAUUUAAACUUGGUUGUUCAAUAGCUAAUUCUUCAUUUAAAUCUAUAUCUUUUUUAUUAGUUGUGACAAAUUUAUCAAGAGCUCCUUUUUUAGAUUGGACUAACUUUUCUAUUCUCCUCUUUUUUUUUUCAAUUUUUCAUAUCCCGAUACAUAUUUUCUAGUUGACAUGCUUUUCAAAUAAAAAAAAACAAAUAAACAAACACAAUUUUUUUCUAGAUUAUUCAAGCCAAAAUCAAUACAAAAAAUCAAAAAUAAAUUAAAUUUAAAAAGGAUAAGAACAGUAAUAAUAAAAAAUAGAAAAAAAUAGAAUGAUAGCACCUGGAUUUGAGUCAAUUGACUAGUUGAGAUGAAGAUGAUGAUGGCAAUGAAUUUUGUAGAGAAAGAGAAGAGAGCACAAAUUUUUUUUGCUGAAAAUAGCUUUGAUUCAAUGUGUAUCGGUUUAUAGAUAAUGAGGUUUUAAAUAUAUUUUAAUAGAAUACCAAAAGUUAGUUCUAAAAAUCUAACGUUACUAAUUUUAAUAAGAGUUUUUUUUGGAAAGGGUAAGCAUUGAUUGUUUUUUGGGAAAUAGUUAAAGAAAGUAAAGAAGUAACGUUCAAAAUCAUUAUUAUAGCAUAAAAAUAUAUCUUAUAUUUAAGGUAAAGAUUAUUAAAUAAGAGAGAUAAUUAUGAAUGAGAGUAAUGAUAGGGUAAAGCCUAAAAAUUAGGCUUUUUUUACUGUAUAAAAAAUAUAUACGUAACUUAAUUUUUUUGAAUCUUAAAAAAAUUAAUUAUAUUAAUUAAUAAAUAGAUACAAAAAAUCAGGGCCUUCCUAAAUACGGGGCCUUAGGCAACUGCCUAGUUCGCCUAGCAUUAAAGCCGCCACUGAUUUUAGAAUAAACUUUAAUUUGCCCCUCAUUUAAAAUGAUAAGUCUUUGAUUUACUUCCAGGAGGAUAAGGCUCAAACUCACGACUUCCGCCCUAAGAAGGUAAUGCUCUUAUCAUUCAGUGCUAAGUCUUUGCCUCUAUAAACAACCAUACAAAGAACAUGCAUCUCUUUUUUAUUCCCCCCCCCCCCCCCCCCACAAAAAAAAAAAAGAAAAAGAAAUCCAUCACUGCAUCCACAAUUUGCUCUCACCUUAUUGAAUGAAAAUGAAGGCUAAAUUGAUAUUUUCACUCUUUUAGGUGAUAAAAUCAAGAUUGUUGUUCUAUCGGGAGAAUGAAUUAAAAUUUAUCAACUUUUUAAGUUAGAUUUCUCCGGUAUGUCUCGAAAUGAUUGAGGCUAUAAUAAGUAUAGGUUUUAAUAGAAAAAAAUAUCGGUGGAUUGGCUGUCAAAUAUUCCCUUCACAAAGACAAAAUAUAGCUUUUAUUCUAAUUCUUCAUAGGCUUUAUUUGAUUAUUUCCAAUAACAAUCCAUUAUAACAGUGAAUAGCUUUUUACCAGCCGUAGUUAAGAUAUUGGAUUAGAAGCAUAGUUUGAGAAGCCAAACAAAACUGAUUCCUUGGAAGAAAUGUAUUGAAAACCUUGAAUCACUCAAUAUGUGUAACAAAUUUACAAGUUAUCUUCAAAAUUCCCAAAGCAAACUUCGCCAAAAUUUAAUUUCCCUCCCACGAAAUUUUUUUUUUUUUUUUGCUUUGAGCAGCUAACUUUCACAGUAGGCUUUACAACUCAAAAAAAGCCAUAUCCUAGUUAAAGACAAAUCCAGGUCUUAUAAAGUAGCUUAGGAACACCGCGAUGGGAAAUUCUUGUGCAUGAACAUGCAACUCAAUCAAGCACAGAUAAUGACAUAAUGGAACCGAAUUAAGUGUCGAACAAAAUACAGAAUGAAAAGAGUUAUAUCAUUGGUAAAAAGUUGUAUUGCUAACUGCUUGACACUAUCAGUCAAUUAAUUUUAUGGACUGACCAUCAGUGACAAAAUGCAACAAAUAUUUCGAUAAAGUCAUAAGUUUCCCAAUAGAGCUAAUUGGUUUGAAAGGUUUAAAAUAUACUUUCAAGGCAAAAAAGUUGUCUACAAUUAAACUUUUAUUAAGACUCAUAAUACAGAAAGAAAUUUGCUAAAGAAACAAAUAGUAAAGAGGAUGAAUAGUAAAAAUGCCAUCGGUAAGACAUAGAUGGACCGGAAAAGGAGUAUCUUGAUGAUACUGGUGCAGCUAUCAAUUUUGGCUUGCGCCCUUCGCACGGGUGUUACCUGUUGUGGUUUGAUAAAGCACUUGUGGCAUACAAUGAGUAUAACCAAUCAGCUUGAUCAAUUUCUCUCCCCUUCUUAAGGGAUCAAAUUUACAAUGCUUUCAUAAUGAAUACAGCAGAUGGUGGCUAAUUGCCAAACACUUGACAAUGAUAGGCAAAUUCUUCUGUCAGAAAGCGGGGUGAAAAAGGUCAGAAUCUUGAGACCUGCUCAACCACAAGAUUGCAACAAAAGGGAAUCUGAUAAUAUACAAUGGGAAAUCAGAUUAUUAGCUUUCUCAUGAACAUUUCAAUAAUCUGAGCCACCAGUUUAUGACAAGGAAGCUUCUAAUGGUUACAACAUUCUAAAUCAUAAAAAAUGGUUCGAGGUCUCUAGCCAGAAGCACGUUGUUUAAAAUGUCAUUUGACACACAGCAAUACAAUCCACCAUCCGAUCUUAUUAACUUCCGCUAAAAAUAAAGUGAGAUUUUAUUAAAGAAAGGAAAUUUAUAAAAGCUAACAUACCAUCACAAAAAACUUCUUAGUUCAAAUCUAAGUACAGAUGAAAUAAUCAGAAUAAGUUUAGGCUCGAAAGCAUUGGUGUCUCCUUUAAACAUCUAUUCAAACAAAUUCUGCAAUUCCUCCAAGGUCUCCUCACCAUUUUCCUGUCAAAUUUACAAUCCAAGCAUACAAAGAUAAAUACAAAGCAAUAACACUGCUGGAAGAUUAAGUCAGGUUUGAAUAAUUCAAUUAUUCAAUUCCUCCAAGAACAACUUUUGUGGGGCCCACAUAGAUGUCAAAAAGUAAGCAGUGGGCAUUGCUAGUGCUCAACCGCAAAGGAAAAAGAAAAAAAAAAGAAGAAAUAAGAAGAAGAAGAAGAAAAGAAAGUGGCGGGCCGCUCAGCGGAAAUAAUAAUAAUAAAAUACUAAUAAAUAAAAAAAAUAAUAGGCAUGAACAGAAGCCAAUUUUUGGCUAUAAAGGACGCUUCUCCUCAUUUCAACAUCCAGUUUGAGAGAAGCAUUUCCUACAUUUAGGGAGUUGAGAGUAUUAAGAAUUUAAUAAACUCUUGGCUUGAGAGAUUAGUGAGUAAGCGAUUGGGUACAUUGGGGUUCUGGAUAGUGAGCCAAAAUAUUACAAUACUUGUAAUUCUCAUAUCACUAGUAAAAUAUUUUUCUUCUGUUUUCACCCGUGAAUCUAGGUUAAAAGCCGAACCACUUAAAUCCUGGUGUCCCUGUGUGAUUCUGUUGUCUCAUUAUUUCUCAAUUUCACUUUAAUUGCGUGUCUGCUUCACCAAUCAAUUUCCCAACAAUAGAACUUAUAUGUAAUUCGCCAUUGAACAAGACCAAAACUAGGCACCAUGAAUCACUACUUUUCAGAGCAUGAACACACUGAGGAUAAAAAUAAAAACAGAUUAAAAUAUGUUGCCCUUGUGACUAAAUGACCCAUUUGCAAUCUGAUUAGGAGAAAUCAAAAUACCGUCAUUCUUUUGCCAACCAGCAAAGUAAAAGCCAUAACUAAAGCUUGGAAAAAGCUAAAUAAUGCCUAGGAAUUUCCAAACACAAUUCUCAAAUUAUUCUAUAGAAAACAUAAAUAUGCAUUGAAGAAUGCUUACAUUAGUUUGUGUUUGGCUCAUCAUCACAGCCAUUUCAUUCAAGAAAUCUCCCAUUCCCUCAAAACAAAACUAAAAAGUCUCAUGUAAUAAAAUCCUCCCCCGUUCCCCACCCCCCCCCCCUUCUUGUAGGAGUUAAUUUUCAUGUAUCUUCAAAGAAACAAAAGCGCAUUAAAAAGUUAAAGAUGAAAUGAAAACAAUAUAUAUAUAUAUAUAUAUAGAGAGAGAGAGAGAGAGAGACACACACACACACACACACACGCGCGCGCGCGCAAAAUUGGAGCUCAUAUUAUUUUUUUCAUCAUCACUAUCAUAGACUCCUACAUAGUACAAGAACCUCUUGUUGGCAUCAGAUAGAACUUGAAGAGAGAAGAAGGAAAACAACAUCUCGUGAAUCCGAUAAUUAUCCAUCAUUAUAAAAAAGAUUACAAUUUUAUUUCUUAUUGUAUACUACAAAUUACAUGCAUAAUAAAUAAAUAAAUAAAUAAAUAAAUAAAUAAGAAUUAAAAUUUUUGGAAUUUAGUAAGGUUAACAGCAGAAUAGGCAUGUUGAAUGGCGUAAAAUCUCUUCGUGGCUACUUUCACAAAUUUUGGAUCUCUUGAAGUUGAACAACGACUUGGAUAUAUAGAGCCACAACCACCUUGUAAAAAAAAAAUCAUACAUAUGUUGCAUGAGAAGAUUGGUUGUAUAAAACUGUUAUAGACCCACAUGAUUUAGAAAAAUAAUAGUUAUCCAUUUUUAGUUAAUGUCUUUAUGCCACGUUAGUUUGUUUACACAAGUUCUUAAUGUUUGUGGUUAUAUCAUUAUUGAUUUCGAAAAUAAUAUUUUAAUAUUUUUAUUGCAAAUGAUAGGAUAUUUUUUGACACAUUGGAUGCUUUUGGAUUUAAUGAUACCUUUGUUUAUUUCAUUUAUUGUUUCAUCUAACAUUGUUUGAUGAGUGAUGAUAGAGUUAAAAGCUCUUGUAUAAACUUAUUUUAUACCAAUUUGAAAUUUAAAUUUAUUGAUUGAAUGAAAUUACCAAAUAAUAAAAAUAAAUAAUGUGGGUCAAGAGCUAGGGGUAAGCAAACUCAAUCCAAUCCCGGUGAAUUCAAUCCAACCUGACAAAUCCAGUCCAACCCAAUCUAAUCCAAUCAAAUUUUGAUGGAUUAAGUGAAUUAUUAUAGGGUUAAUUAGGUAAUUUUUUAGAAUCUAAUUAAUAAUUGGGUUGGGUUGGGUUGGAUUGGGUUAAUUAUGAUAAACCUGUCUCACCCAACCCCAUCCAUGUAAAUAAUAGUAAUAGUAAUAAUAGUUAGGCAUCCAGUACUGCUUACCAAAUAGAAGCUAAUUCCUGCAAAUUACAUGAAAAUUGCACGAAAUAUCAUUAUCCUUAUUUUCUUGAUUUCACCUUCAUUGUGUAUUUUUCUCCAGCAAUUCCAAACUUACGAAGAGGAUUCGGGCCACGUUCUAUGCAUCAUAUGGAAUGCGGCCAUUUUUCUGUGUAAUUUGUGAGGCGUUAUAUUACAUGGAGCUUGACUUCUUUCUUUCUAUCAAGGGUCAGAUGGCAUUGGUGAGAGUUUCUUCUGUUUCUUUGUUGAUUGUUUUGCUUUUGGCUUUUUUAUUAAAGUUAUUUUGAAUCCGCUUUCAGAUUGUGUGUUUAAUGAUUUGAUUAAAUUAGUGUUUAGUUAAAUGUAUUUGGAUUUCUGGAGUAUUUCAGCAGUUAAUGAUGAAAUUCAGCAUUAAAUUAACUCAUAAUCAUUCUAAUUAUUGAAUUUUUUGUCAUGAAAAAUCAUUUAGUAUUAUUGCGGCAGUAAAAUUCAAUGAAGUAGCAUUCAAUAUAUAAAUAAAUACGGUUUAAUCAAAUCGUACAUGUAUCAUUCAGCUUACAACAAUCGAAGGAACUGAAGUUUUCGGAGUGCUCAGUUUAAUCAAAUCAUGAGAAAUAAAUACGGUUGCAAAGUUGGAUACUUAUUAGUUGCUAUAAAUUUAACUAAGUCGUUAAACGUGUACGUGAUUGCCACUAGUAUUGAAAUCAAAACAUUCAAUUGAUUUAUGGUCUCAAGUAAUAAAGGUUCCACAAAUUUCUUUACAGAGCUUUCUUUUAUUUUCUUUCAUUUUCUAGCUUGCCAAACAAUAUAGAACUAAGUUUCUUUCAAUUAUAAACACCUGGCAAAGACACCAGGUUAAUUUUUAUCUCUUAGCACUCUGUUUUGCACCGAGAUAUCCAAUAUAUACUAGUUUAUCAGAUAAUUUUGAUUAAUGUUGAGUGAUAGUGUAUUAGUCUCCUAGUUAAUUAAAUGUGAAAACAUUAUACUAUAUACUAGUUGAUUGAUUCUAGUUUUUUUUAAUCUUCUUGUUAUUUUCCACGACAUAGCUGAUUUAAAGACUUGGCCCAACUCAUCCCUCUAUGUUCAUUUAAUGUUGCUAGUUUUUCUGCCCCAAGGUUGACUUGGUGGUAGGUUAUUUUGAUUAACUUGUAUUUUUGGCUGAAUAUUGACAAAAGCAAUCAGCUCAUGUAACGUACUCUGUUUUCCACUAAAAAUAUAAUCAUUUAUUACCUCUAGUUUAUCAAAUGAUCAUGAUUAAUGCUGCUAGGAAAGCUUUAUUAGUCUUUCUUUUAAUAUAUCAUUACCAAUCUUGCCAACUUUUGCUUAUCUUUUAACGUGGUCUUUGUUUAUAUUUCAUGAUCCCCGAAAUACACGUCAACGCAACCAUUUCCUAUAGCAAAUGUUUUUAACUCUUUUUAAGUUAUUGGAUUGCUGCUUUCCAUGCAUAUAAAUUAUGGAAUAGCUUACUUAAUCUUUCAUUAUCAUCACCAAAUCUCGAAUUGUUUGCAUUAUCUUCUUUUUGAAAAUGCUUCACGAAAUCAAAUUACUAACAGAAGUCAUAAAUGUCCUGCUCCAGCAUUUUCUUAAUCAUCCAACUUUUCUCAGAUUCUCUGAAAAUCCCUUAUACAUUUUCUGGUUCCCUUUUCUUAAUCAUCCUUUUUCUAAACCUUUUUUGCAGAUUUUUCACUGUACUCCCUUUUUUAUUUCUAGCUUUUUCAUUCCUUGCCCUCCUUGUCUCUUAUUUCUUGUUGCGAUUGGUUUUGUUUUCCCCUGUUUUCUCAAAGCAAAAUAAAAAUAAAAUAAAAUAAAAUAAAACAGGAUAAUGGAAAUUGUUACCUCCUUGUCUCUUAUUACCUUCGAGAAGCUGAAGAAUGAUGUUGAUAAACUAAAGAAUGCUAGAGACAGUGUACAGUAUAAAGUAGAUGAUUCCAAAAUCAAAGGGGACGGAAUUCAACAGCACGUUGAGGAGUGGCUGAUUAGUGUGGACGAGGUCAUCAGUGAAGUUAGGAAGCUUACAGAAGUUGAAGAAAAAUCAAACAACCAGUGUUUUAAUGGGUUGUGUCCCAAUUUGAAGACCCACUACCAGCUUAUCAAGAAAGCAGAAAGGGAGGUGAAUGCUAUUGUUGGACUCCAUGAAAAAAGGAAAUUUGACAGUGUUUCUUUCCGUACAAUUCCAGAGGAGAUAUGGCUUAAGUCCACCGAAGGUUUCAUUCACUUUGAAUCAAGAAAAUCCACUUUGAAGGAAAUACUAGGCUCAUUAAGCAAUCAUAACUUCAACAUGAUUGGGGUAUACGGGAUGGGUGGCAUUGGAAAGACAAUGUUGGUGAAGGAAGUCGCUGGGCAAGCCAAGGGAAAUAAUCUCUUUGAGAAGGUCAUUUCUGCGCAAGUAUCCCAAACACCACAAAUAAAGAAGAUACAAGAAUAAAUUGCAGAGAAGAUAGGUUUGGGAUUAGUUGAAGAGAUUGAAACUGUUAGAGCAGGGAGGCUAUAUGAAAGAUUGAAAGUAGAGAAGAAGAUCCUUAUAAUCUUGGAUGAUAUUUGGGGGAGUCUUGACUUGGAGGCUGUUGGAAUUCCAUUAGCAGAUGAUAACAGCAGAUGUAAAGUUCUGCUGACAGCAAGAAGUCUAGAUGUGUUGUCUUGUAAGAUGGAUUGUCAACAUAAUUCUUUUAUCGAUAUUUUGAAUAAGAAAGAAGCUUGGAGUCUUUUUAAGAAGAUGGCAGGUGAUUGCAUAGAAAAUAGUGAACUAAAAUCUGUAGCGACAGAUAUAGUCAAGGAAUGUGCUGGUUUGCCCAUUGCCAUUGUACCCGUAGCAAAGGCGUUGAAAAAUAAGAGUCUCUAUGAAUGGAGGAAUGCUUUACGACAAUUACAAAGGCCUUUUUUGAUAAGCUUCUCUGGGACACAAGCGGUGGCCUAUUCAACUGUAGAGUUGAGUUACAAUCAUUUAGAAGGUAGGGAACUUAAAGAAACAUUAUUGCUAAUAGGGUACUCGUUCAUCUGUUGUGUUGAAGACUUGCUCUGUUAUGGCAUGGGUUUGGCUCUGUUUCAAAACAUCAACACGUUGGAAGAAGCACGAGAUAGAGCGCUUACAUUGGUUGAUAAGCUCAAAAACCCUUGCUUGUUGCUUGAUGGAGUUACAAGUGAAUGGUUUGCUAUGCAUGAUGUUGUUCGUGAUGUAGCCAUAUCAAUUGCAUCAAGAGACCAACAUGUAUUCGUAGUGGAUAAUGAUGUUGUCCCACAGAUCAAAUGGCCAGAUAAGGAUAAACUAAAGGUUUGCACUGCAAUCUCCUUAAAUAAUAGUAAUAUUAGUGAGCUUCCUCAAGAGUUGGAAUGUCCACACCGUGAAUACUUUUCUAUUGGCAGUGAUCCUUCGUUGAGAAUCCCAGAUAACAUUUUUACUGAGAUGACAGAGCUUAGAGUACUUGUUUUGUUAAUUACCAAAGUUUAGCCGUACUUUUGAUAAUCAUUUGAUAAUUAAAUGCGUGCUAGUGAGGAAAUACUCUUAAUUAAUUAAUGUGUUAGUGGAGAGUAUGUAGUGUUAUUAUUAUUUCCUAAACAAUAAUGUUUAUAGGAAAAGUAAAACUACAAAAAAAAAAAGGGGGGAAAAUAAUUGACCAUUAAGUGUCCAUUUUGUAUGAUUUCUCUACUAAUAGAUCAAGAGAGUAAUUUUGCUUUUGAAUAUUUUUUGGCAUCGUUUGGCUAUAAAUUGAAUAGAGUUUAUUAAAAAUAUUAUUUUGUCUUUAUUAGGAGAAGUUUAAAUUUUGGACUUCUAGGAGAAUAGGUUGUAGAGCUCCUUAAAAGAAUUAGAUUUUCUAAAAUACACCUAUUUAACUGCAUGCAUAAUCCUAUUUCAUUUGUUUUAUAACAUAUAGGUUUAAUAGGAUCCAGCUACUUUGCAACAGUUGCAAGGUGCCACCAUUUUUGUCUUAUGGAGUUAUGUUAUGCAUGUUAAAUUUUCUUUAACCCCUUACUAGCCUUCUUAUUUACCUUUUUUUUUUUUAUAAGUUUAUAUACUUUAGCUGGUGACCUUUGAAAAUGUAAUUUUAUUUUAUUUUUUUACAUUUAUUUAUAAGUUUAUAUGCUUUGGCUGGUGACAUUUUAAAAUGUAAUUUUAUUUUUUUAAUAUUAUUUAUUUUUUUAAAAGAAUAAAUAUAAUAAUAAGUUUAUGACUAAAUAAUAUUUAUUUUUUACGACUCAAUAUUUUUUUUUAUUUUAUUUAAUAUUAUUUAACUUUUAAAAAAAUAAAUAUAAUAAUAAGCCUAUGAAUAAAUAAUAUAAAAUUAAUAAAAUUAAUUUUUUAAAAUAAAGUUAAUAAUAUUAUAAAUAAUAUUUAUUGUUUAAGGUUCACUAUUGAUUUUUUUAUUUAAUAUUAUUUAGUUUUUUAAAAGAAUAAAUACAAUUAUAAGCCUAUGGAUAAAUAAUAUUAAAUAAAAUAAAGUUAAUAAUAUUAAAAAUAAUAUUAAUUUUUAAGACUCAUUACUAUUAUUUUAUUUUAUUUAACAUUAUUUAGUUUUAUGAAAGAAUAAAUAUAAUGAUAAGUUUAUGACUAUAAAACGUUAAAUAAAAUAAAAUAAAUAAUAUUAAUUAAAAAUUAUAUCUAUUUUUUAUGAUUCACUAUUGAUUAUUUUAUUUUAUUUAAUAUUAUUUAGUUUUUUGAAGAAUAAAUAUAAUAAUAAGCAUACGCUAAAUAAAAUUAAAUAAAAUGAAAAUAAAUAAUAUUAAAUAAUAUUUAUUUUGAAUAAAAUAAAUAACAUUAAAAUUUUAUUCUUUUAAAUAAAAAUAUAUAAUAUUAAAAUUAAAAUAUUUUUUAAGACUUACUACUAAUUAAAUAAUAUAAAUUGGAAACAAUAAAGACUUAUAUGCUAAAAAUUUUAACUCUUUCAUUUUUUUGUGUUUUUAAUACUUAUCAAGAAUAUAAUGUUAGUAUUCAAAUGGACAAAUCUCUACCAUUGAAAUUACCUUUUUCAUUAAAUCCAAAGGUAAAGGAAUAAAAUAAAAAAAAAAAUUAGUUGUACCUUGCAGCCGUUGCAAAGUAGAUGAGUCCAGGUUUAAUAAACUUGUUACUAAAGUAAUUUUAAUUUACAACUUUUUUUAAAAGCUUUUUUUUUAUAACUAAACAACUAAAGAUUUUCAUUAAAAACUUUAAGGAUCCUCUUCCUCUAAGUUACAGUUACAGCUGCGUUUGUCUUUUUCUGAAUUCUUGCUGUAAAAUAUUGUUCAGCCCCUUUUACUUAAUAGUAUUUACAAUUUAUCAAUAAGUAUAUAAAAAUUUCUAUAUUGUAACAUUUCGUUCAGCCCCUUGCACUCUAUUUUAUUUCAUUAAAAACCUUAGCGUAUCAAAUUUAUCCCCUAUAUUUUUUAAAUUCCCAAACUACCCUCCAUUUAAAUAAAAAUAAUUAUUAUUAAAUGGAUUAUAAUUAUAAUUACUAGUUUAUUGUAAUUACUAUUAAUAAGAAUAAUAAAAAGUAUUGUAAUUAAUUAAUCUAUUAACAAUAAUUAAUAAUAAUUUUUUAGUUAAAUUGUUAAUAAUAACAAUUGUUAUUUAAACAUUUUUGAAUUUUUUAGUUAAAUCAUUUAUAGAACUAAACACAAAUUUAAUCAAAUCAUUAAACAUGUACGUGAUUGCCACUGGUAUUAAAAUCAAAACAUUCAUGCAACGAUUAAUGAUCUUAAAUUUAAGGUUAAAAAUGACCUAAUCAAUUUAAGCAACUACGUCCAAAUGAUUUUGGUUUUGAUGUUUACAAAUAUGAAUUUUUCUUUUCGGCUCAAAUUUCACUAAUGAAUACACCAAAACCUCAAAAGUUUUUCUUUCACUUUGAUGAUUAUAUUGUGUUCACUGAAAAAAUAUUAGAGCACCUUCGUUGCACUACACCCACUUAGUGUACAUAUGACAUAUAUGUACUAGAGCGCAAUAGUUAUAUUUAAUUCACACAUACAUCAUUCAGCUUUUGGAAUUCGUCAUUGGGGUCCUCACGUGUAAGCAUCACGUGCACCACUAAUUCUGAGUUUCUGACCAAGUCAAAGUUCAGUUAACAUUCUUUGCAGCAGGAAGGUGGUUUGGUGACUGGUGAAUAGCUCACUCAACUUGUGAACCGUGAUUAGUCAAAUAAUCAAGUACACGUGGCAUCAUGAAACGCUUCGAAGAAUAACCUCGGAAGGUCUGUCCACUGUCCAGUAUGAUGACAUGUCAGCAACGUUUUACAACAGGAAGCAGCUAUGGUGUAAGCAUGGUAGUGGUAGCGUAGAAGCUGUGUAUGCAUAUCACCCGUCUGUUGAAAUGCUCGCAGUAAUCAAACCUCUUAUAACACUGCUUCAUCUGUCAAGUCAAAUUUUCCUCGGAGUCAAGAAAUGGAGAACUAACAGGUAUGCAUUUCUGAAACCAUUAUUAUAUUCAAACACAAGGAUUCGUAUAAAAGCUUAUAAAUGAUUAUGAAAGUAAGCAUGACGGAAUCAGCAUUUCUUGAUUUUCUUCAAUAAGCGGAAAUAGUGUUUCCCAAUAAAUUUAUAAAAGAUGCGUGAAAACAUUAUAUUAUAUACUAGUUGUAGUUGAUUGAUUUUUCUUUCAAUCUUCCUGUAAUAUUCCACGACAGAGCUGAUUUAAAGACUUAGCCCAACUCAUUCCACUAAGUUCAUUAAAUGUUAAUAAUUUUCUGCACCAAGGUUGACUUGAUGGUGCGUUAUUUUCAAUUUUUUUCAUUGACUUGUAUUUUUGGUUUAAUAUUCACAAAAAAUAAAGAAAGCAAUCAGCUCUUGUAACGUGCUCUGUUCUGUUUUCCACUAAAAAUAUAAUUAUUUGUUACCUCUAUUUUAUCAAAUAAUCAUGAUUAACGCUGCUGGGAAAGCUUUAUUAGUCUUUCUUUUCUUUUAUCGUGGUCGUUGUUUGUAUUUGAUGAUCCCAAAAUAAACGCUACGCAAUAUAGCAAUUGUCGAUUCCACAGUAAAGCAUAUAAAAUAAUAAGUAGGUUAUGUGAUCUUUCAUUGUCAUCACCUAGUAAGAUUGACGAUUGUAGUGCUACGUUAUUUGUCACCUUAGCCUGGAUAUAAAGCUUAAAAUCUUGUCAUAGGGUAAUAAUAUCAGUAAACUUUUGACAAAUCACUGAUCAAUUGAUCUUUUCAAGUCACUUAUUUCGUUUCCAUCGGAUUUGACGCCAUCAAACUACAAAAAUUUAUGUAAAAUUUUUGAAGUAAAAGAUUGUCUUACCCAUUAUACACGAUAGAAUCUUGGAUCAUGAAUGAAAUGAUGACAAUUUCAAUUUAAAGAUUUCAGCCUCAAGACCCAUAUAGGUUAUUGAGCGAACGACUUAUCAAAAUGAGAAAGCUACAAAAUAUGUGACAAUAUGAGGACAACAAAGAAAGCCAUCAGCUCUUGCAUUGCAUUCUGUUUUGCACUAAAAAUAUAAAUCAGUGAUCACCUCUAGUUUAUCAAAUAAUCAUGAUUAAUGCUGUAAGGAAAGCUUAAAUAGUCUUUAUUCCUUGUUUGUAUUUGAUGUUAGUCACCGCAACCAGUAUUAUUCUCGCAUUGUGUGCUUUAACUAUGAUCUUCUCUAAUUAAAAAUUGAGAUCCUCUCUUAAAUAGAGUUUACACUUGAAAAAUAUGUAUACAUUACCAUUCAUGUAUUGUCAAAAUUUGAGCUUAAGAUCCAACUAUUUACAAAUUAUUAAUUAUAUUUGUUGGUGAAAGCAAAUUAAUUAGAAGAAUGUGACAAUAAGAAGAUAAAAAAACUUGCUCAAAUUCUUCGCCGUGGGCUCGCUUACAAAUCCACUAGCUUAGCUUUUAAUCACACACAUAAAUCUUCAUCAUCACAUAUUAUACAAUAAUCAAAGCUAAUUAUUGAAACCUUUCUCUCAAAGUGAAAAGGAAAAAUUAUUGAAAUCUUCCGAGUUUGAAAAUGAAGGCAGCACUUGCAACUUCCAGGAACCUUCGUGGAAGUGUAGAGCUGAGUACAUCCAACUGUUCCAUUAAAUUUAAAUGCCGAAAUGAUUUCGAGGACCCACACGACCACGCAAGAGGUUUUUCUUUUUUCAUUUUAUUUGUAUAUCUAUUUCUUAAAAAAAUAAAAAAUCAUAAAGUCCCGAAACAUGGGCUUUAUAGCGGAGUUAUUAGAAAAGCGCAAGAAAAUUCAAUAAAAAUUCCAAAAAAAAAAAAUCAUAAAGUCCGGCAACGGCAGCAUAGCACUUACUGGUAACAAGAAAAUUCAAUGAAAUGCCAAAAUGCCACCUUGCGCUGUCCAAUUAACCUAUAACUUUGACACUAUUUACAUGCAACUAUAACCAUCUAUCUCAGUUAUUAAGAAUCUAUAGUUGACUUGGAAGCGUGAGUCUUCUCCAUGUAUGAAUUUAGUUUGGCUUUUUUGCAGUAUUCAGAUUACCCUUGAGACUUGAGAUGACAACUGUCUGCCUCUGCAUUUCCCUAAUCUCCAGAGUUCUCUGAAAUCUCUUCUUCAUUUUCGGUCUCCCUUUUCUGAAUCGUUCAUGUCCUCGAUCCUACACCUUCUUUGCAAAUCUUUCAUUUUCUGCCUUUACAAAGGAUCCCCUUUGUUUCAUCUCUAGAUUUUUCACUCUUUGCCUCUCCUCCUCCCUUAAAUCUAUUCAACCUCUUAUUUUAGCAAUUUAUCCAAACUUCUUAUUUCCCUCAUCCCAGCCGAUUGAUUACUGCUGCUUAGUUUGAUUAGUUUUGCUUUCCCCUGUUUUCUGAAAGCGAAAAAUAAAAAAGAAAGGGAUAAUGGAAAUUGUUAUCUCCGUUGCUGCAAAAGUUGCCGAGUACUUGGUUGCUCCCAUAAUUCAUCCAUUUACUUACUGCUGCACUUAUAAGACCAACUUCGAAAAGCUGAAUAAAGAAGUUGAUAAGCUCAAGAAUGCUAGAGACAGUGUGCAGUAUAAGGUUGAUGAUUCCAGAAUUAAAGGGGACGGAAUCCAACAGCACGUUGAGGAGUGGCUGAUUGCUGCGAACAAGGAGAUCAAUGAAGUCGAAACACUUAUUGAAGGCAAAGAGAAUUCAAACAACCGGUGUUUGAAGGGGUUAUGUCCUAAUUUGAGGACUCGGUACCAGCUUAGCAAGAAAGCAGAAAGUGAGGCGAAUGCUAUUGUUGGACUCCAUGAAAAAGGGAGAUUCGACAGUGUUUCUUUUCGUACCAUUCCAGAGGAGACAUGGCUUAAGUCUACGCAGGAUUUCGUGCACUUUGAAUCGAGAAAGUCCACCUUGAAGGGGAUACUAGAUGCACUGAGCAACCGUAACUUCAACAUGAUUGGAGUGUACGGGAUGGGUGGGAUUGGAAAGACAACGCUGGUGAAAGAAGUUGGCAGACAGGCCAAGGAAAAUAAUCCCUUUGAGAAGGUCAUUUCUUCACAUGUUUCCCAAACACCGCAAAUAAAGAAUAUACAAGGAGAAAUCGCAGAGAAGAUAGGCUUAGAAUUGGCUGAACAGAGUCAUGAAACUGUAAGAGCAGGGAGGCUGCUGGAACGAUUGAAGAGAGAGACGAAGAUCCUUAUAAUCUUGGAUGAUAUUUGGGGGAGUCUUGAUUUGGAGGCGAUUGGAAUUCCAUUGGCAGAUGACAACGGCGGAUGUAAAGUUUUGUUGACAGCAAGAAGUCAGGAUGUGUUAUCUUGUAAGAUGGAUUGUCAACAAAAUUUUUUUGUUGAUGUUCUGAACGAAAAAGAAGCUUGGAGUCUUUUCAAAAAGAUGACAGGUGAUUGCAUAGAAAAUGGUGAGCUGAAAUCUGUAGCAACAGAGAUAGUCAAGGAAUGUGCUGGUUUGCCCAUUGCCAUUGUACCCGUAGCAAGGGCAUUGAGAAAUAAGAGAUUGUCUGAAUGGAAGGAUGCUUUGCUGGAAUUUAGAAGGCCUUCCUUGAGAAACUUCACUGGAACAACUCAGGUGGCGUACAAAAGUAUAGGGCUAAGUUACAAUCAUUUAAACGGAGAGGAACUGAAGAAAACAUUUUUGCUAAUAGGGUACACGUUCUUCUCUUGUGUUGAAGACCUACUCUGUUAUGGCAUGGGUUUGGGUCUGUUUCAAAACAUCAACACGUUGGAAGAGGCACGGGAUAGAGCACACACAUUGGUUGAUAAACUCAAGAACUCUUGUUUGUUGCUUGAUGGCGGUUCAAGUGAAUGGUUUUCAAUGCAUGAUGUUGUUCGUGAUGUAGCCAGAUCAAUUGCAUCAAGAGACCAACAUGUGUUUGCGGUGGAAAAUGAGGUUGUUCCGCCGACCAGCUGGCCAGAUAAGGAUACACUGAAGGUUUGCACCGCAAUCUCCUUAAAGAAUAGUAAUAUUAGUGAGCCUCCUCAAGGGUUCGAAUGCCCGCAACUUAAAUUCCUUUGUAUUGAGUAUCAUGCUUCUUUGAGGAUCCCAGAUAACUUUUUUAGUGGGAUGAUGGGGCUUAGAGUUUUAGAUUUCACUAAGAUGCAUUUGUUGCCAUUGCCUUCAUCGCUUGGUCUCUUACAAAACCUUCAAGCAUUGUCUCUGGAUUACUGUAAACUACGAGACAUGGCUAUUAUUGGAGAUCUAAAGAAAUUAGAAAUCCUUACGCUUCGAGGUUCUGAUAUGGAGGAACUGGUUGGAGAGAUAGGCCAGCUGACUCAAUUGAGGUUGUUGAAUUUGCGCCGAUGUUACCGACUGCGAGUUAUUCCCCCAAAUGUCUUAUCGGGCUUAUCCCGAUUAGAAGAACUAUAUGUUGGUGAGAGUCCCAUUGAGUGGGGGAAGGUUGAAGGAGUCGACGGUGAAAGAAGAAAUGCCAGCCUUGACGAGUUGAAUAAUUUAUCUAAAUUGACCUCUUUAGAAAUACUCAUCCAAGAUGAAAAGGCUCUACCAAGAGACUUGUCGUUCUUCAAAAUGCUGCAAAGGUACAGGAUAUUGAUAGGAAAUUGCACGGAGUAUGGCGCAUGGGAUGGGAUUUCUAGAACGUUCAGACUGGGGCUCACAAAUGGUGACAACAUUUGCUUGAACGAGGGGCAUAUCAUGCAAUUGAAGGGUAUUGAAGACCUAACUUUGGAUGGAUUGCCGGACAUUAAGAAUAUUCUUUGUGAACUAGGCAGAGAAGGUUUUCCACAGCUGAAUCGUCUCGAAAUCGGACGUAAUGGCAACAUUGUUCGUCUUGUUGACACAAUGGAUUGUACGCCAGCUCGGACGACUGCAUUCCCCCUGUUGGAGUCAUUAUUUCUGGAAGAUUUGGGUAACCUUGAGGAAAUAUGUCGUGGUCCACUCACAGCAGAGUCUUUUUGCAAAUUAAAGACCAUAUGGGUGGAAGGGUGUGAUAAAUUGAAAAAUGUAUUUCCAUUGGUCAUUGGCAGAGGCCUUCAACAACUUCAGUCCAUUAAAGUGAGUAGUUGCCAAAAUAUGGAAGUGAUUUUUGCUGCCGAGAGAGGAGAUGAAUCCAGCAAUAAUAACGGUACUCAAGUGAUUGAACUCACUCAAUUGAGGACACUUGAGCUUCAUUCUCUUCCGCGGCUUACAAGCUUCUGCACAGGUGAUCUGCAUUUUGAAAAGGUACGCGUGCAAGAUUUUUGUAAUUAUUUUUCAAUUCUUCCGUACUUAAAAGUAUUUCUACUUUGAGAGUUCAGAGUUGUAUUGUCUUCCUCGCCCUCAUCACUUCGUCUUUUAGUAACAAAAUGUUAGUUCUAUAAAUCAGUUUAUUAAAUUAUACUUUAUAAUAUCCUUACAAACAUAAUUAUAUAUUUUUUUUUAUGUCAGUUAGACCGAAUGAAAAAAAAAAAGAUAUAUAGUAAACAAUUAUUUUUUUCCUUCUUGUUCAAUUUUUUUUUUCUCUUAACUAUCAGAAUUUUUCUUCUUCCUCUACUUUUUAUUUUAUGUCUACAUGUUUAGUUAAAUACACGGAAGAGACAGUGCUAUUUCCAAAUUAGUACUCCUUAGUACAGUAUUGUUACAUACAAAAUGAUUAUCAAUUUUGAUGUUGAAGUUGAUAUUGGUCAUCUCAUGGUAACAUAAAUUAUAUUUUUAAAAUAUAUAGAGAGAGAUGGACAAAAUUCAAAUUAAGAAAUCUUAUUCUAUUAAACUUUUUGUACAAGAAAAUCCAUUCUUGCACAAUAAUAAAUAGGGAAAAGGACAAACACACCCCCAACGUUUAGGUAAAGGGACAAAAACCCCCCUAAUGUUUUAAAAAAGACAUUUACACCCCAAUUUAUUAUAAUUUUACCAUUAUACCCUUCUAGCAUAUAAAAAAAAUUUAUUAAAUUAUCCAAUUUGUCUAUAUAUUGUUAAUAAAAUUAUAAAUAGACAAAUUGGAUAUUAUAAAAAAAAAUUAUAAAUAUACCCUCAUUACCCAAUUCCUCUAUUUAAUUUUUUAUCAAUAACCAAUGUUCAAAAAAGACAUCUAUACACCUAAAAAAAUUGUAAAUAAAUUAUAAUUUUAAAAAUAAAAUUAGUUAUUAAUAACCAAAUUUAUUUAAACUUUAAACUUGUAUAUUUAACAAUUCUCCACAUGUCAAUCAUUUAAACUUGUACAUUUAUAACCAAUUUUCUAUGUUUUAAACUUGUAUAUUUAACAAUUCUCCACAUGUCAAUCAUUUAAACUUGUACAUUUAUAACCAAUUUUCUAUGUUAUUUAUUAUGGUAUUAAUAACCAAUUUUAUUUUUAAAAUUAUAAUUUAUUUACAAUUUUUUUUAAGUGUGUAGAUGUCUUUUUUGAAAAUUGGUUAUUAAUAAAAAUUUAAAUAGAGGAAUGAGGCAAUGAGGGUAUAUUUAUAAUUUUAUUAACAAUAUAUAGACAAAUUGGAUAAUCUAAUAAUUUUUUUUUAUAUGCUAGAAGGGUAUAAUGGUAAAAUUAUAAUAAAUUGGGGUGUAAAUGUCUUUUUUGAAACAUUAAGGGGUUUUUGUCCCUUUGCCUAAACGUUGGGGGUGUGUUUGUCCUUUUCCCUAAUAAAUAUAUCCAAUUCCAUUGAGUUGGAUGAAUAUUAAUGAAAUACCAGCUUCUUACUUUAUUAUUCAACUUUUAAAAUUAUAUUAUUUAUUCAUUUUUGCUUGAAGAAAAAGUUAAAAACUCCAAUAUUUUUUUAAAUAUAUAGAAAUUUGUAAGAUUUUCAAUUCAAACCAAAUAAACGGAUCAAUUAAAAGAAUCUCAAAGUUUAAAUGCAAUUUGAGAAUAAUUGAAGUCUUUUUUCAUAGAGAUUAUGCACAAAUCUAAUAAAAUUUGAAAAUCUAUCUACUGGACAAGAGUUAAGAGGAGAGAAUGGAAGAAAAUACACAUUACUUAAAUGGAAUGCUUUGUUUUUACAGCUGAAAAUCAUGCUCUCUCCGCAUAUAUAUAAAUUUGUCCGGCCAUCAAUAUGCAUCAUUGGAAUGCUUUGUAUUUACUUUAAUUUGUGAAAUCGUAAGAAAGAAGUGUUAACUCCAUCUUGCUUUUUUCGUGAUUGAUGAUCACCCAGGUGUUCCCCAAUUUGGAAGAAUUGAGUGUUGAUGAAAAGCACAUAGGCCUAUUUCCAGAAGACUGGCUUUGCAAACUUAAAUAUCUAGAUGUCGGGCUUGAUGAGUCAAGUACUAUUUUAUCACUUGACGAUUUCCUCCAUAGAUUUCACACCAUCAAAAUUCUCUCUAUAAGAGGGGACAAUGGGCCUUUGUACAGAUCAUUUGAAAAGCUUGAAAAUGGGAUGAAAGCAAUGAUGAGGGGAAUAAACCAGCGUCGUGAACUGAAGCAGAUUUCCAAACAAGUGUCAACCAAUACCAACAAUUUGGAACAGCUGGAGAUAUUCAUGUGUAACAAUUUGACUAAUCUAGUGCCAUCCUCGACAUCCUUUCAGAACCUAACAACUUUGAAGGUAUGUGGUUGCCGUGGAAUGAUCAACGUUCUAACAUCCUCAACGGCAAGGAGUCUGGUGCGACUGAGAAAAAUGAGUAUACAAUCAUCCAGGAUGAUAACAGAAAUAGUGGCAGAUGAGGAUGAUCAGGGAGAUAAUUAUGCAGCAAAAGAUGAAAUUGUUUUCAGCGAAUUAAAGGAAUUGAAGCUUUGGGACUUAAAAAGUCUGACUAGUUUCAGCUGCUCUGGGAAUAAUUGCGACUUCAAAUUCCCAUCUCUGGAAACAUUAGUGGUAAAAAAUUGCCCCAAUAUGAAGAUUUUCUCAGAAGGGGAAUUAAGCACACCCAAGUUACAGAAAGUGCAGCUGAGCGUGUUUGAUAAUAAACUUUGGGCUUGGGAUCGCGACCUUAAUACAACCAUUCAAUACGUAUAUCUUAAAAGAAAAAAGGUAAGUAUUCAUUCACCAUGAGAUGUUGAUUUUUUUUUUCUAAAAAUUACUGAUUUAAUAACAGAUAUAUAUAAAGAAGUAAAAAGAAAAAAGUACAUAUUAAUUUUUUUAUAAAUUCAUUUUAAAUCUGAUUAGGAAGAGGAGGAAAAAGAGAAAGAGAGGUCCACCAAGGCGAAUGAAAAGGAGAAAGAUGCGAAAAACAGUGGUAAGAUAAAAUCUAUAUAAUUUGGGAGGUUUUGAUUUGAUUCUAUUUUGCUGAUUAAAAAAGUUUUAUUUAUGUUGAAUUUUUUGUUAAAUCAUAUUGGUUACAUCUUUUUAAAAUAUAACUACUCUGCUCUAUUGUAUGUUGAGGAUUAGUUGUUAGACAGACAUAGCGAAAAAUAAAAGAAUAAAAAAUGAAAUUAAUUGCUUACAGAGAGAAUUGAAAGAUUUUGUGACCUUAAUAGAAGCUAAUUUGUGCAAUUUAAUUAUGUGAAAACUGCACCUUCAAUGUGUUUUUACUCUUUGUUUACAGAUAGUCCAAGCUUCUAAAGAGGAUUUCCGCUACUUGUGCAGCAUUUUGGAUAAGGCUCGAGCUCAAGUUCUUUCUAUAUAUCAAGAGUCAUAUGGUGUUGGUGAGAGGAUUUUUUUGUUUCAGUUUUCAUUCAUUAUCUUUCUUUUAGCUUUGUUUGAGUACUCAGAAAUCCAAUUUGAGACUAGUUUUAUUUCUUAUGGAUGGUGUCCAAGAUCUGCCAUAUUCAAUUUGUAGUCAUCUUAAAAUCUCUUUAAGCCCUAAAUUAAUUAAAGAGAUGUGUGCAUCAUAUUUGUGUUCGUGCACCUAUUGGUAUUUUUUGGAGACAAUUAUAUAAGAAAUUAUGUAAUUUCAUGAAAAUAUGAAGAUUUUAUAUAGAAAAUUAUGGAAAAAUAAAAGUUUACUGGUCAAUUGCUCACUGUAGACAACAUGUGGAUCCUCCCUGGUUAAUGAUCCCAAGUUCCUCCAUUUACAUUAUUAUUAAUUAUUUUUGUUGGUGAAAGCUAAUUGAUUAGAAGAAUGCGACAAUAAGAAGGUUAAAUACUUUGCCGUGUGCUUACUUACAAAUCCACUAAGCUUAGCUUAUAAUUAGAUACAUAAAAUCAUCAUCAUCACAAGAUUAUCACACGUGUAAUAUCAAAGCUAAUUAUUGAAAACCUUUGAAUGGUCUUCCAAUUUUGAAAAUGCCGGCAGCACUUGCAACUUCCAGGAAAAUUCGAUUAUCUGCCAAGCAUAUCAACUGUUCGAUGAAAUGCCCAUGUAGCUGUUCCUAACUUGGGACAUGAGUUUCAUUAAAUUAGCAUCAUCUCACUGAUAUAAUGUAUUAAUGUAAUAAAUGGGCUUUCUUCCUAUUAUCUAAAGUCCAUUGUUAUAUUUCAAUAAUAGAUCAUCAUUAUUAAAUUCUAGUAUAUAUACUACACUCGUAACCUAGAUCAUUAAGAAAUUAGGCUUAAAUAUGCAAUCGUUCACAAUUAUGCAAUAAUUGUCAUUUAAGAAAGGGGGGGGGGGGGGGGGGGGAAGAGAAAAAGAAGAAGAAAGGCUUCAGUUUUUGUAAAGCGUGUGAGUUAGAAAUAUUUUCACCCUAAAAAAAAGUCACACAAGCUCUAAUUUUGUAUAUAUUUUAUGAACAAUAAUAGCAAGUAAAAGAAUUAUUUAAUGAUUUGAAGCAAGUCAGCUGAGACCAAGUGUUUUUAUUAUUUAGGGAAUUAGAUCAUGAAUGGUAAUCUUUCAUUUGAUCAAUUACCUCAAAAUACUCUCAUUUUACGAAGAACGUCAAAUAAUCAAAACUUAAUCGUCAUUAAUUAAAAGCUACUGUAGAAAGCUUGAACGGUCUUCCAAAUUGCAGGUUGGAAGAUGCGGACGGCAUUAGCAACUGUCAGGAAUCUUCAUCCAAGUUGCGCGCCACCCGAUCCGAGUCUCAUCAUUUACUAUUUUUUUUAAACCUUUUUUAUUUCAUUUUCGUUUACUUUUGAGAAAAGGAAAAGGUAAAGAUUGAAUAAGAUAAGAAUCAUUUGUUUGAAAAUUGAAAAAAGAUUGGAAGACUAAAAUAAGGCACAAAAUUGAAUUUUAAAAAAUAUAAAUUGAAAAUGAUAUCGUUCUGAUUCUAAUUUAGAAAAAAAAAAUCACCUAAAAUGACAUUAUUUUAAGUAUAUUUUUGUCAAUUUUUAAUCAAAUUUUAUUUCAAAUUUCAAUCUUGAAAAUUAGGUGAAGAUUCUAUAAUUAGAAGCACAUGGGUGGAUGGGGCCUCUUCGUUUUAACUUUUGGCCUUAAUUAGUUUUCUGUGAUAUUUUGUUGACUGAAAAGCCAACGACUCAAGGAGUGGGCCAACUGUUCAAAUAUGAGAUAAGCUUGCGUGGGAGAUGAGGUUGUGGCCAGUGGCACAAUCUACUGGUGCUCGGUUCCGUGAUGGAAUAAACGAAUCCCAUCAUGAAAUCUAUGGAUGGUGGGAUAAUCUAUUGGUCUACUUAUGAUCCGAUUUUGGGAUUCUCACUCUUAUCAUCACCUCACAUUUCGCGCAAGUUUUUUUAAUUCUUCGUCCACUCUUUGCGUUCAUUUCAAUGAAAAAGAAAAAGAAAUUAAUAGAAUCGAACACACUACCUCAGUUAAUUUAGUUCUGCUGACUUAAUUUUUUUUUAAAUAUAAAGUCAGUGAGUGCCGCUGUACAAAUCAAAUUAUUGGUUACCAUUGGGCCGACGCACAUCCCAAGACUCUGCAAGUCUUUCUCCAUCUCAAUCAACGUACUCAAUCGUCUUUGUUAGGGUGAUUAUACGACCAGAGCACCAGCCACACAUGCUUUCGCCUGGUCGAGGUAAGAAUCUCCUCGGGUGGGUGUAUUAUGAGCAGACACAAUAGUACCAGGGUCCUCUUCGAUGUAUGGCUAAAAGUCGACCAGAGAACUAUUCCUUAAAUAUCAGACACGAUACCAUAUCUAGGCGACGGUUUCGCCAUUUCCCGACCAUGCGGGGAAAGGCACGAUAACGGAUGCACGAUUUUCGCAAAUCCUCUAAACCCACGAAGGCUCGAAUAUGGAGGACGUGGGGAUGUUCUAGAUACAUGGGGAGGCUGCCUAUAAAAACCCCCAAAAAAAACAACAAAAGGAAAAAAGAAAAAAAGGAAAAAGGGGGUAAAACUCUGCCAUUUUGGAUCUAGAAUUUAUUUCCAAAAAGCUUUCUGAAACACUUCCUUCAUUUAAGAAUUGUUAGUUUUAAUAUUUGAUAAUUCCACUGUUUUUUUUCCCGAAACCUUGCAUAUUGACUUAAAGUAUUGGAGGGUUCUCGUCUAAAAAACCACCAGCACUCUAGAUCCAGUUGUGUGAGUGCAGGUCAGAAGAGAAGGAGCAAGGUUAGUUGAGGUCGUUAAACCCGCUUGAUUGGAGAGAGAACGAGCAGCUUCGCUCCUCACCUAGAGCAAACUUAAGCGUUGACGAGACAACCUAGUUAGCCUUCCACAUACGACCAUAUUUCAACAUCAACAUUUUGGCGCCGUCUGUGGAGAGCGGAACAAAAAGCUACCACUAGCAAAGCAACUCAUAGGAAGAAGUAGGCGUGUCGACAUGGAUAUAGGAAGGAAUAGUGCCCAAGGAGACGAGCAUGAGACCAGUGAGACGAUCACUCUAAGAGAGAUAGCAAAUGAGGCACGGGAAAGAGUGAUGCAUGAGUGAAUAGAGUGGAUAGAGAAGCAGAUGGAGACCCUUAUCGCCAUCUUACAUGAGCUGAGGAACGAGCAAAAAAGGGCUUAUGAUGCAAAUGCGACAAGGGAUGAUGUUGCACUAAUGACCAAGUUUGAUUUCUUUGGAGAGCUUCAAAUUCUUCUUUCAUAGCUGAGUACCACCUAGGAUCUGCCAAUGCUGUUUUGACAUUGGAUGGUUCAAGGUCUUGAGAAACAACUAGAUAGGUUUUGGGUUUGUAGAUACCAGCUUUAGAUCUGGUAACCAUAGGAUGAGUAGAGAGUACUGGUUGAGAAGAAUUUGAAGGUCUUGAAGAUAGAUCAAGGGAUUGUGAAUGAACAUAAUUUUGCAAGGAAUGAGACUCUGAUGCAGAAGACAAAGCAGGAUUGGAGACUGCAACUGAUGGCUCUUCAUUGCUACUGUUACUAAGAAUAGGUGUUUGAGGAAGAAAGAAAUGAAUUGAAGAUGGAGUGAAGAUAUCAGAAUGAGAGAAGAUGUUUGACUUGUUUUUCGGAAACAGUUCAGAAUAUGGAAAUUCCAGUUCAUUGAAGGUAACAUGUUUGGCAAUAAAAAUUUUCCCAAUUCGAUCAAGACACUUAUAGCCCUUAUGAAUGGGACUGUAACCAAUGAAGAUACAUUUCUAAGUAUGAAAAUCUAACUUGUGAUGAUUAUAAGGUCGAAGAAAAGGAAAACAUGAGCAACCAAACACUUUAGGAAAUUUGUAAUCUGGAAGCUGAUUGUGUAGUUUCUGAAAAGGAGAGAAAUUGUUGAGAACAUGUGUUGGCAUUCUAUUAAUUAAGUAGGUGGCUGUAUGAAAAGCUUCCCACCAAAAAGAGAGAGGUAAGUGAGCUUGAUGUCACAGACCGCAAUCGUGGCACCCAAGAUAUGCGCUUGUACACUAGUGUCGAUGAUGGUUGUGCUAAUUGUUGGAGACGUGCUUCAAGGGCGUGUGUGUGGGGAAUACAAUGGCCCUAGACUCUUUAGAGUUCAGGCAGGCCGACCCGAUUGAGUUUGGGGAGCUUGUCGCUAGUCGAGAACUUAACGUUGAAGAGGGGUCUAGGAAAAUCCUGACGCACACUGGUUGGGAACUGAAGCUGUUCUCCUGACGAGCCCCAGGCAGGGUGAAACCAGUCGACAUUGUGCCGCUUCCACUAGGCUUACUCUCGUAGUAUGGGAUGCGGGAGUGCCGCACGGGCUCGAAACCUCUCGUCCCGUGACAAAUGGUAUCAGAGCCGCGCUUUUCAUCUCUCGAAGCCCUCAUUGCGAGCUCGCCAAGCGCUCUAAUGCUGCACCACGCAGGUCCCUACCCUUUUGGGCGCAAGGGUCGACAAGCGGGACGAACAGGCGGGUUCUCACACCCCCAAGCGUUCGCACUAAGUGGACAGUGUCUGCACGCGAGUCCUCUCCCCGGAUUGAGGACGAGUAGGCAGGGAGUUCAUGGGUGAGAUUGGCAAGCCGAUCUUCACGUUUUCACGCGGAAGUGCACAUUUGCGAGGCGUACUCUUCAUGCACGAGGACGUGCAUGGUCAUGGCAGUGGGAGAAUGUCACGGACCGCAAUCAUGACACCCAAGAUAUGCGCUUGUACGCUAGUGUCGAUGAUGGUUGUGCUGAUUGUUGGAGACGUGCUUCAGGGGCAUGCGUGUGGGGAAUACAAUGGCCCUAGACUCUUUGGAGUUUAGGCAGGCCGACCCGGUUGAGUUUGGGGAGCUUGUCGCUAGUCGAGGACUUAACGUUGAAGAGAGGUCUAGGAAAAUCCUGACGCACACUGGUUAGGAACUGAAGCCGUUCUCCUGACGAGCCCCAGGCAGGGCGAAACCAGUCGACAUUGUGCCGCUUCCACUAUGCUUACUCUCGUAGUAUGGGAUGCGGGAGUGCCGCACGGGCUCGAAACCUCUCGUCCCGUGACAUUGAGCUAAGAGUGCGAGUCCAGUUUCAACAAUAUGUCUAUGCUUCCUUUCAACCACACCAUUUGAUAGUGAGUAUGGGGACAACUAUAUCUAAACUUAAUACCUUCUUGUUGUAGAAAUGAUUUGAAAGCUAUAAACUUACCCCCAAUAUCAGUUUGUAGUGUUUGGAUGGAUAAAGAAAAUUAUUUUUCUACAAGGGACUUAAAGUGUUUGAAGGUUUCAAAUGCCUCAGAUUUGAGUGUGAGUGAAAAUAUCCAACAAUAUCUUGUGAAAUCAUCAACAAAGGAAAUAUAAUACUUGUAUCCAUCCAUGGACAACACAGAAGCUGGACCCCAUAAGUCAGCAUAUAAGAGUCGGAGAGGGAAUUUUGAUUUUAUAUUAGUGACUGGAAAAUGAAAUUGAUGUAAUUUGCCAUAUUGACAAGCAUCACAAAAGUUAAGAGAUUGAGAAUGGAUUGAAUGCAUGGGGAGACUUUUCAUUAUUGUUUGCAAGACAUGUUUGGUUGGAUGACCAAACUUAUUGUGCAACAACUGCAUAGACUCACUACUGAAAGCUAAAAAACUGACAGAAUUCUCAUUAUUGGAAUUGAUCAAAUUGGAACAGACAUUUGUUUGGUUAUUCAACUCUUUCAAAGAGUGUACAAUCUCUUUAUUUGAAAAAACAGACAACAUUGAACUAGGUUUUAAACCCAAAGCUUUAGAAUUAGGAAUAGGUGUAUCUUGAGACAGUAGCUUAAAGAGACCAUCUUCAAUAAUCCCAUGUGCCAAUUAAGUUCCUUGCAUCUUGUCCUUAAUGAAACAAAGAUUAGAAACAAAUUCAAUGGUUAUAUGAUUGUCAGAGAGAAGUUUAGACAAGCUAAUGAGAUUUUUGGUAAUUUUGGGAACACACAGAACAUUAGAAAGGUUUAACUGAUUACCUAAGGAUAUAAGAGACAUAUAUUGCCUAUGUAAUUGAUUCUAAGACCUUGUCCAUUACCAACUAACAGCAACUGAGAUCCAAAAUAAGGUUUACCUUCAGCUAAGUUCUCCACAUUGUUUGUAAGAUGGUGUGUUGCUCCACUAUCCAGAUACCAUCCUUGGUCAGUAACUCCUUCUGAUGUAGCCAUGAAAGUAGCUCUGGAAGUUUGAUUCUGACCUGGAAAAUUUUCUUGCACAGAAAAAUUUGCAACAAAGUUUCUGUUAAAUUUGUCUUUAUAACCAACUGCAGUAUGAUUGUGCUUGAAACAAAUCUGACAAACAAUACUUCCUCUGCCUCCUCCUCUUCCAAAUCCAUUAAAACCACCAGGAAAUCCACCGGAAAAAUUUCCAGUAGCACCAGCAAAAUUACCUCUACCUUGAUUUCCAUUCCAGUUAUUCCAAUUAUUAUUCCAUUGUCCUCUGCCUGAAUUUUGUCCCCUUCCUAGAUUGAAACCUCCUCUGUUUGUAAAAUUUCCAUUUCAGUUAUUAAAUCUAGUUUUGUUUCCAGUAUUUCCAUUCUAGCCUCCUUGAUUAUUGUUAUUCCAGCCUCCCUGAUUAUUAAUUUUCUUUUGAUUGUUUCUAGCCUGGGCUAAGUUAGCAGCAUAGUUCUGUUUCACUUCCUUGAAAGCAUUAGAUUGAUUACUUUCUAAAUGUGCCUCAUACGUCAACAACAUUGAAUAAGCCUCAUUAAUACUCAUUUUUAGAACAUUUGCUUCAAUAUAAACAACUACUGGAUAAUAAGGCUGACCUAACCCAGAGAUGAGAUGAGUUAUAAAAUCUAAAGAACUGACAGGAUUUCCAGCAAUAGCAUGCUCAUCAGUAAUUGACUUCAACUUACUAAAAUAUUUUUUCAUAGUCAUAUAUCCUUUCUUUAGAUUAUUCAACAUCAUUUUGAGAUGAACUUUCUUAGCAGCAGCUUCAUAUCCAAAUUGUUGCUCUAAACUAGACCACAGUUCAUAGGAAGUUUUAGAGUUUACCACAAGACUGAGGAUUUCAACGCUGAUAGAGGAUAACAGCCAGCUCAAAAACAUCUAAUCUUGUUUUCUCCACACAGCAAACUCAGGAUUCUCUCGUGAAGCAACAGUUGAACUUACAGAAGCAUUGAAGAUAGCAUCUGAAUUUCCUUGAGUGCUUGAGAGAAAUUGAUCUGGACAGAUUCUGGAUCCAUCAAGCAAACUUUCAAGUUCAUUUACUCGAACUGAAGAUAGGAUUUGAGAUUUCCAAAUUAAGUAAUUUGAUCGGUCAAGUUUUAUUGGAGUUGUGAAGGUAAAGGUUGUUGCUGAAGAUGAGAUGUUUGUGUUCAAGCUUGAUAACGCCAUGAGAUUAGACUAAAUCUAGCUCUGAUACCAAAUUGAAGUUUAAUCAAGCUAUUUGUGCUUGUUUGGUUGCAGAGAAAGUGAGGGAAAAUUUAAUGAGCAUUAAGAGAAAAUAUAAGAAAAAUAGAUCAAAUCUUAUUCAGCUAAUUAUGAGUACAGAAAGUGAGCUUAUAUACUGAGAUCCAGAACCUUAUACAUUUGCUCACCCACGUGUAAAGAAUAUGUUGUGAUUAACUAACUUUCCCAGCUCUCUAACAAACUUACAAACUAACAAUAACAACCUUGCUUACUCAGCUGCCACAUCAGCAGAACCAUUACAAGAAUAUUCUUUACAUUUAUAUCUCUAACAUCCACAGAGCCCAAUCAUCGGAGGAAUAGAAAUGAGGAGAUCCCUUCAAUAAGGGGGACAGCUCAACGGGGUGCCUAACAAUGGAGUUGGAACUCAGACUUUGAGAGAAUGUGAGCAUGAAGGGAGAGAUCAAUUCCACAACAGACGAACCUUAGGAAGUUGUAGUAGAGGAGCGAAUGCCGAAGAAAGGGAGCUCAGGUAGCACCUGGUCGGGCCUUGGAACUGGAGGGAGAAGUACUGUGAUUGGCAUAAAUAAUAGACGAAAUGCAAGGCAGGAGAAAGCCCCUCAGUUGGAGAAUAAUGCUGGAUGACGAAUCUUGGCUUUCAGCUGAAAUCAUGGGCACUAUGAUACCAAGAUAUUUUCAUUUUCUCAACAUCAAAUACUUAGGAAAAAGUUACCCGCUAGUGCAUGUCGAGCGCUUCAACGACAUGACUGGAGUGCAGGGGCUAACACUAGCGCAGAGGUACAGAGUAUUCCCUUUGACAUUGGAAGGACGAACACGAGAUUUGUACCUUCCCUUUGACACCGGCUGGGACUUGCAACUUCCAAGAACCUUCGAUUAACCCAAAAGAAAAACACAUAUAGUUUGAAAUUAUAUGAUGAUUGAUAGGAAUGUAUUUUUGUAGUAAUCUUUUAUUUGAUCAUUUAUAUUUUGGUAUUCCGAGAAAAGUGUGCAAAAUUAGAUAAUAUUUCUCUGAAACUGGUAUUCCUUGUGCGAAGCAUCACAUGCUGAGAGCUUCGACUAAACUAGUUUCAAUUGUACUUUUACUUACACGCUGCCGGUACAGCUUUGGAAGCGUAAAAAUAUGUGUGCAAUUGCAAUUCCUUCAUUUGAUCAUCUUAACUAAAGAUGUGUGAACUUACCAUUUCGGUGCAUCCCUUGUAUUAUUAUUAUGUGCAACAAUUUUCUGGUGAAUGUGAGAGAUUCUAUUCAAGUUUAUUUUUGUGAUCACGUGCGCACGUCAGGCAUUGCAAGCGUAAAUGCAAAUUAAGUCACCUGAACAUGCAUGCGAUAUAGUAAUUUAUUGUUAUUAUCAAUUAUUCCAUUCUUUUCUUUCGAAACUAAAUUUCAACUACUUGAGAUGUGAAAUUCUUAAUAGCAGAUAUUCUUUGUAUAUGUAUGAUCGGAUCCUGAGUACAGGGCACCUGCUGUCUCUGUUUUUAAUUGAAGCAUGUUUUUCGGCUUGAGUCAUUGAGAAGGCAAGUGAGCUGGAUGUUAUCUGGAUUCGACCUCCUAAAUAAUAACACAACUAACUGAGUCUAUUCACAUUUCGUCUCAUAUUUGACUGGCAAUAGCACAUCAAAAAAGUCUUGUGAGAGUCACCUCGUAUUGAUGUGCUUAAUUAACAAAGAUCAAAACCCGUAUCACGUUGCUUUAGCAAUUUGAAUUUGUGUUGGACUGAGUCGACAAAAGAGUCCUUCACCUCGUACUGAUAAUACAUUUAAAUUACAAAGAUCGAAACCAGAUCUGUCAUUACAUGAAUUGGCUGUAUAAAAUAAUCAACUCACUUCUUAUUCAGUCAUCCGUUCUGUCAGCUCUUCGCAUUGGUCCUUUUCUUGUUUCCGUUUUCGUCUGAAAAAAACCCUCGCUUCUGUUUGUUUUUUAAUCUCACUUUCCUUUGGCCUCCUUCACUUUAGAUUGUUAUCUGCUUAUUCUACGAUUAAUGCCAUCUUUGAUGAUAUCAAGGCAGAAACAGAGAAGCGGAAGAGUGAAAGUACGGGCAUUCAGCGCGGAGUUUCUGAGACGAAAGCAAAAGAGCAAGAGACUGAAGAGAAGGCUGAGACCAGUGCGGAACUAGAUCACUACUCAAGUCUCUCACUAAUCUCCUAAAUGGUUGUUUUUGCUUCCAUAGGCUACACUGGUUGGUUCUAAUCACAAAUUUGAGGAUCUUGCUGGAAACAUAUUGUCCAAAAAAUUGCCCAAUUCAAACUUUACGGCGGCUAUUCGAACAGAAAUAAGUGUUCUGUUUGGUUUCACUUUGAAUUCUGCAAUUUUUUGAACAACAGCUUCCAGCAAGAUCCUCAAUUUGUGAUUAUAACCAACCACUGUAAUCUAUAGAAGGAGAAAUCAUUUAGGACAUCAGUGAAAGAUUUGAGUAAUGAUUAUUCUCACCCACACAUUCAUCAAUUUUUCAUCCAGGCUCAAUUUACAAAAUUAUUAGCGGGUUGCUACCUCGAUUAUGUUGACAGAAAAUAGAGGUUUGUAGGCAAACAAAGAGCAUUGUUAUUUGAACAGCUGCAAGAUAUUCGGAAGACAUGCAGAAAUAUGGGUAUUGCUUAUGCUAUAGUGCCAUUGCAGCAUAAAAUUGACAGCACAAAUAUCAUUUUCCACAAACAAAACAUGUAAUAGCAUGCUCCAGGAGCAGUUUCUUACACUCUUGAAGUAGCCUACAAUAAGAUCAAAUCGAAUAUUCUCCCUCAAUUUAGUGUUCUAAAACUGAUUUAUAUUUUAACUUAGAAAUCCAAUCUAAAAGCACUAUUAACGAAAGCUCUUCGUGUAAUCGUGUUUAUAUUAAAAACCAAGAAGCAGUUUUUUUUUUUUUGUGGGGGAGGGGGGAGAACCUCAGUCUAAUAAGGUGACAUUACUUUGGAUGGGUUAUUCACAUUCUAGAAAAAAAAAAAAAAAAAUUUCUGAACACUACUAUACUUUAUUGGCUCAUCUAGUAAAUUUUAAAUUUUUAUUUUUAUUUUGUAUACUCUAUUAAAUGUCAAAAAAAAAAAAUUCAUCACACAAAACGAGGAUUCAUGAAAACCAUCUAUGUAGCAUCUGAAAUGAGGCCAUUUUUUUCUGUAUAAUUUGUGAGGCAUUAUAUUAUAUGGAGCUUGACUUCUUUCUCUUUAUCAAGGGUAAGAUGGCGUUGGCGAUCAUGAGGGUCCCCCUGUUUCUUUGUUUUCAUUAAUAUUACUUCGAAUCCACUUUCAGGUUGAGUGUCUAACGAUUUGAUUAAAUUUGUGUUUGGUUAAAUGUAUUGGAUUUCUGGAGUAUUUUGGUAGUUAAUGGUGAAACUCGGCUUUAGAUGAUCUUAUAAUCAUUUUAAUCAUACAAUUUUUUGUCAUAAAAAAUCAUCAGGUAUUAUUGCGGCAGUAAGCUACAUUGAGGCAGCAUUCAACAUAUAACUAUCAGUAAUUAUACUAGACAUUCAACGUGAAUGAAACCUCUAUUACAAUAGUGAAAUGAACUGAAGUUUUAGGGGAGUUCUGUUUAAUCAAAUCUUGGGAAAUAAAUUCAGCAGUAGAACUGGGUAAUUAUUAGUUGCUCCGUCAAGUCAACCCAAAAAAAUCAUAACAAUGACUGAAAUCAUUUAUAGAACUAAACACAAAUUUAAUCAAAUCAUUAGACGUGUACGUGAUUGCCACUGGUAUUAAAAUCAAAACAUUCAUGCACUGAUUAAUGGUCUUAAAUUUCAGGUUGAAAAUAACCUAAUCAAUUUCAGCAACUACUUCCAAAUGAUUUUGGUUUUGAUGUUUACAAAUAUGAAUUUUUGUUUUCGGUUCAAAUUUCGCUAAUGAAUACACCAAAACCUCAAAAGUUUUAUCUCUCAACACUAUUUUGCACCGAGAUAUUCAAUAUUUACUGGUUUAUCAAAUAAUUGAUUAAUGCUGAUUGCUAGUGUAUCAGUCUCCUAAUUAGUUAAAUGUAAAAACAUUAUAUUACAUACUAGUCGAUUGAUUUUUCUUUUAAUCUUCCUGUUCUAUUCCACGACAGAGCUGAUUUAAAGACUUAGCCCAACUCAUCCCUCUAAGUUCAUUAAAUGUUAAUAUUUUUCUGCACCAAGGUUGACUUGAUGGUGCGUUAUUUUCAAUUUUUUUCAUUGACUUAUUUGUUUAAAUAUUGACAAAAAAUUAAGAAAGCAAUCAGCUCUUGUAACGUGCUCUGUUCUGUUUUCCACCAAAAAUAUAAUCAUUUAUUACCUCUAUUUUAUCAAAUAAUCAUGAUUAAUGCUGCUAGGAAAGCUCUAUUAGUCUUUCUUUUGAUAUAUCUUUGCCAAUCUCGUCAGCUGUUGCUUUUCUUUUAACGUGGUCGUUGUUUGUAUUUGAUGAUCCCAAAAUACACGCAACGCAAUUUAGCAAUUGCCGCUUUCCAUGAUUUGUCUUUUUGGUUGACUUUAACAUGAUUUAGAAUUGUCGAUUCCACAUUAAUGCAUAUAAAUUAUUAAGUAGGUUAUGUGACCAUUCAUUAUCAUCACCUAGUCUCCAAUUGUGUGCGUUAUUUUAUUUUUGAAAAUGCUUCACGAAAUCAAAUUACUAAUAGAGGUCAUAAAUGUCCUGCUCCUGCAUUUUCUUAAUCAUCCCACUUCUCUCAAAAUUCUCUGAAAUCCCUUAUACUUCUUCUGGUCCCGUUUUCAUAAUAAUCGUUGUUGGACAUGUUAACGCAACCAUUUGUGACAGCGAAUACUAGAUGUCAAGAACGCCGAGAGAAUGCCGAGAGAAACGACAUACAGUAAUGCCGUUUCUCUCGCCAGAAAAAAAAAACAAAAGAUUUUUUUAAAACUUAAAAAGUUAAAAGGCCGGUAUAAAAGGAAAAAAAAAAUGCUGACUCUCUCUCCCUCCUCUCCCACGCUCGCUGGUACUCCUUCUCUUCCCCUCCUUUCGCUCACUACUCUUCUCCUUCACUCACUCUCUACCACUCCUCGUCUCCUCCUCUCGCUCGCUACUACUCCAGAUCUACUCGGUGGUCACUGGUCGUCGGUGGUCGCUGCUCGCGGUGCUCGGUGGUGCUGCUCGGUCUCAUCGUCUCUCUCUGUUUCCCUCCUCUCCCUCGCUCGCUGCUACUCCAGAUCUACUCGGUGGUCGCUGGUCGGUGCUCGGUGGUGCUGCUCGCCUCUCUCCAUCAACCAUGUUCAAUUUUAAUAUAUAUUUUAAACGGUUGUUGGAUUAUUUUUGUCUGGAACUAGAACCAUUAGUUGAAUACAUGUGGUGGUGCCUUAUUGACAACCGAGGUUUGAUUCGCCUUCAAAAUUUGAUCUUUAUCAGAAAUUUCCGAACUUUGAGCCUAGAUUUGCACGCUGGAUGGUGGUUUAUUGAUAGUUGAGGUUUGAUUUGCAUGGAAAAUUGCAGAUUUACCGGCAUUCUGGGUAUGGUUUUUUAUGCUAGGUGGUUCUGAAAGUUUUUUGGUAUAUUGCCGGUUGGGUAUAAAUUUUUUUUGGUAAUUAGUUCGUGAAAAUUGUCGGUUGCUAUAUGUAUUACACUUGGUAAUUAUUUGGUGAAAAUUUCUGGUUGGGUAUACAUUUUUGUUUGUAAUUACUUGUGAAAAUACAUGUUCAUUGUUGAAAAUACAAUUGUGCAAUUACAUGUUUAUCACUGUAAUUAGUUAGAUAAGCCAAAUAUAAGCGAAAUGCUAGAAAAACUUGUUCGAACAAAAUAUAAGUCAAACAUCAAUCACAUUCAUUGUUGUCUUUAUUACGUUGUUGAUGUAGCAAAUGUUGGAAACUUUUACUUGCAAAUCCUUCGUACGACAUCAAAUGAGAAGGAUAAUGUGGUUGCAAAGCAUACGUCGGGAGUGUUUGCUGUAAUAUAUAAAAAAAUUAAAACAUGAUAUGAGAUUUUAGAAAUUAAAAAAUAUAAGUAUACAAAAUAAUUAAUAUUCGUAUUAAGAAUAAAUUAUUAUAAAUUUUUACAAAAUUUGGAUCCACCAAUAAUUUAAUCCAUCAUAUUCUAAAAAUUUAAAUUAAAAAAAUAAUAAAUCGAACACAAAAUUUAAAUUAAAAAAUUCUAAAUCGAAACAAAAUUUAAAUUAAAAAAUUCUAAAUCCCACCCAUCAUUUAAAUUAAAAAACUUCUAAAUAAAAAGAUUUCUAAAUCAAACACAACAUUUAUAUUAAAAGAAAUUCUAAAUCCAACACAAAAUUUAAAUUAAAAAUUUCUAAAUCAAAUUUAUCAUUAUUUGAUUUCUAAAUAAAAUUUUCUAAAUCAAAAUUUCAUUAUCAUAUAACAAAAAAUAAUAGAAUAAAUAAAAAAUCACUCUUUACCAGCUGGGUGUUUUACUUCAAGCUGGUGAUGAACUACUCCUGCUAGGCUGCUAAUGCCGUUUUCCUGCUUCUAAAAUGAGAAAAAAAACCCAACUCAAUCCUUUCACGUGAAUGAGCAAAUACUCCUGGCUCCUGCCCUAAUGCCGCUCUCUCUACUUGUGAAAGAGAGAAAAAUCUCAACUCAAUUAGUGCUUUUCGACAGUUAGAAUCAAAUGUGGGGGACAAAGAGUAGAAAAUGUGGAAAAAGCAAAAGUAGCAAGAAAAAACAAAAGGGACAAAAGUUCACGUGGUGGGGGGUGGGGCCGUUUCUCUCGGCAUUCUCUCAGCAUUCUCGCUGAGAAGCAUUUUCCUUUGUCUUUUUGGUCGACUUUAACAUGAUUUAGAGCUUUUGAACGCGUCUUCCAAGUGCAGAUGCCGAGUAUAUCGACUGUUCGAUGAAAUGCCCAUUUGAAUAAUUUGAGGAUCCACGAGGCCACGCCACUGGUAUUUAGGAUGCGUUUGGGAUUGAGGUUGGGCAGCUGUAGCUUAAAAGCCACAGCACUAAAGUGUUUGGUAAACACUAGCUGUUGUAACUUUUAAGCUAUAUUGUUAUGAUUUUUCACUUGUAUAAUAUAAAAUUUAUUAUAUCUUUAAUAAUUUUAUCAAAAUUAUUAUUUAAAUUUUAUAUUUACUAUAUAUUAUUAACUUUUAUUUCAUAAUUACAGCUUUUUUUCACAGCAGCUGUAGCCACCUCAAUCCCAAACAUACCCUUAGACUAAUUGGAAAAGAAAAAAAGAAAAAAAUAAUAAGUACAACUGUGAUGCAUUUUCACAUUAACUUUACAAAGUCUGGUGAUAUAUUGAUGGUUAUAAAUUUAUAAUUUUACGCACAUGAAAUCAUCAAAGUAUUAUUUAAUUUAACUCUUCUUAACUGGGGACGUCAGUUUGAUUCAAGUAGUACUAUCACUCAUAUAAUUUAUUAAUGAGCUCUUUUCCUGUCAUCUAAUGCUGAUGCUUGUAUAUUCUAUUCUACCAUUCGAUUUUUUUAUGUCUAGUGCUUGCAGAUCAAUUGAUUAUAUGCUUCAUACUUGAUGGAGUGAAUAUAAUACAUAAGCUUUUCAUUCAGUUAUAUGUAGAUAUGUUAAACUUUGGUUUAUAUACUAGAUCGUCACUAAUUAUUCAUAGUACGUGAAGCCUCUAAUACAACAGUGAUAAGCCUCAAUAACUUACAACAGCGCCAAUAACUCAGAGAAUCACUUGCCACAUUAACCACAUAUUAGAAAUCCAAACUUCCACUUUAACUUUAGAUGAUGAAGUAAACAAAAAUCAAAAUUUCACCAAGACAGAAGCAAAAAAAGGUUAACUUUUUGUACCAUUUUAAUUCUAGAAAAACUAAAAUAUGUUUCCUACAUUUUCCCAACAACCAAAUAAAGCAUCAAGUAUUAAGUUAAGAUACUAUAAAUUAUGUUUGGGUUGGAUUUUUCUAAAAACUUCAGAAGUAUAGUUGACCUUAAUCUACUCAAAACUCAUUAUUGUCGAGCUGACCACGUAAGUAUAACUUGGAGCCUAUGUUGGCGACCUGAUUCACAAGUACGACUUGAGAUUUAUGUGAAUGACCUGAUUUAAGAAUACAACCUUAAAUUUAUAUGAGCGACCAAGAAAUUCACCGGUCCGACCUCGAAAUUUAUUUGCCCGACCAGAGAAUUAACUUGACAUAGAAAGCUAUUGGUUAAGAUAACGUGGCCUAAUUUCUAGGAAAGUUGUGUGCCACGAUCUAUGUAAACCAUCUCCAACUGAUGACCACGUGCAACUGCUGAAGAAAGUGGGCAGAAGUUAAAGGUGGUAACCACCCACGACCAGGGGCCUAUUUAAGCUGAAAAUGGCAACUGAGGAAGGGGUUAGCAAAAUUCAACCAAAAAACUCUAUAAGUGACCUACCUAAGAGCCUUAAGAGAGGUGACCAGAUUUGGAGUUCCUUUAUCAGAAAAUCCCUUUCUUUUGAACCCAUUCACAAUUCUUCCCUCUCAUUUUUCAUGUCUGAAUGACAUCCGCCUUCAAUUGCCUUUUCUCUAGUCGAAUGCAUUGAUCAACAUCAGACUUAACUUUUUCCAACUCAUGGCUAAGAUCGGCAAUCUUGGAGUCUUUGCUCACAUUAGAUUUCUUUUCGGCUACCAAGUCUUCUGCCAAGCGAGUAUUUUCAUCGUUACGAGCAUUGAGGUCACGCUUUAGCCGAUCUCGCUCGCUUGCUGUUUUAUCGUUCGUGAGGUUGGCUUUCAUCAAAGCGCGCUCGAGUUCUUCUAUUUUCGCAUGGCCUUUCAAUGACUUUGCAAACGUCUCGAUAUGCGCGGCCAUGAUCAAGGAUUGCUGGAAAAGAAAGCAUGACAAUUAUGAUGGAAAGUAUAAACAUCACAGAAAUAAAAGUUGUGAAUUAAUACCCACCUCAACUUGGUUUCGAGCAAGCGCUUCAAGAGCAUGAGUAGCUGACAAGUGGGAUAAAUUCUCAAGGGUAUCCUGGCUCACAAAUCGAGCAGCUAAAUUCACCAUGGGUAGUAAGUCCUCCGCUCUUCCUCGCUUUGACUCUAUGAUGUCACUGCUUUCAAGCAAGUUUCCUUUCGGACAUAUCGGGGAAGGGGUAGGUGGCAAAAUGCGCAGGGGACGAGAAUCGCUAGCUCGGUCACUUUUGCUCUGAGGUAGCAUGUUGCGAGCUGAAACCGCGGGCUGUUUCUCUUUUUUCUCAUCAACUUUGUUUUUCUGUGAUGCCCGCCGUGGUUUCUUACUACGUGGUUCGCCUUCCUCGUCCGACAUCUCCUCGAUCAAGGCUUUUGCAAUUUCUGCAGGGGUACGCUUGGCGGUAGACAUGUUUCCUGCAACAAUAGCAACCACACUAAAAUUAGUGAACCUUUGGCGUAUGACAACGUGGGUAACCACUUAGUAAAAUUUUACCUUUUGUUCUCUUUGUUUUCUUUUUCUUGCUGUAAUGUGGUAGACUGGAAAUGAGGUAAGUGCUCAACAAUCUCUCGGGUGUCAACAACAACUUCCAAUCCUCUGCAUUUAGCAAUCCUUUCUCAACUCUAACACUCAGCUUAUCACCUAUAUCAACUUUCUUCUUCCAAGUCACUGCAGUAAAAACAUGUGUUAGAUUGUAUCCUUAUUUCGACCUCAACCUGAACAAAACUUGUAUUACCUGGUCUACCAAAAUGAGUGGGAACUUUAAACCAACCCUUGGUCAGCUCUACAUCCCUACCCCAAUUUCCACCUACCACGAAAUACUUGUUUUUCCAACCUCUACAUGAACCUGGAAAGUCAAGUACUAUUCUUCUACUCUUUGUUUUUGACAUAAAAUAGUACCAUCCUUUAUGAUUGAUCCCAUGCUCAUUACAAAAAUAUAAGUGAGUAAACUCCUUGAAACAAGGCUCGGUUUUAUUCUUCUCAGCCCAUACAACAUACAUACCACCUAAAACCCUCCAGCCAUUCGGGUCAAGUUGACCUGGACUCAAACCCACUCUCACCAACAUUCGAGCAAAGUAAGGUUGAAUGGGCAACCUGAAACCAAGUUCAAACAUUUCCAGAUAAAUCGCAGUCUCUCCGUUACUCAAUUUGCUUGCCACCUCAUCUUCGCCCAAUAACCUAAGUGUAAUAUCGUCAGGAAUCAAAUAUUCUUUCCUCAACUCUUCAAUCUCUGUCUCUGUUGUAUCAAAGUUUAGUCUGUUCACGCCGUAUUCUUCAUGCUCAUCUCCCUCAUCUUCAAAUUGUGCACAACUCGAUUCCUCAUUCACCUCAUUUCCGCAACUUCUAUUCUUAGACUCAUUUUCGGCCGUAUUACAAUUUAAUUCUACAUUAUCUUCCCUGACUUUUCCAUUAUCAUCUACACCCGAUGCAGUAUCACUGAGCCCAUCCAACAACUCCUUAUUCGCAUUUUGCGAGUAGCUACAAAGUGACCCAUCUUUGCUCCUUAAUUCCAUUACUGCCUAAUAUUACAUUUCACAAAACUUCAUUCCCAGUCAAUACUAACACCCAGUAAAUCAACAGCUUUUCAUUACCAGCACCACAUCCAACACAAAACAACACAUAGCCAAUCCCAAAUGCCCAGCAAAACUCACAUUUAAUAUACACAUGAAUACAACAAGCAGAUGUGUUUGGGAUGAGAUAACUCACCGGAUCUCCUUCAACCCGAAUGAAUUCGAGUUUUGCUGAAGGUCAACAACAGUAACAUCAUUCAGCAUUCUAUUAGUUCUGCAUCAAUAGUAAACGGCAACAUGAGCUCGAUUUUGACAACACAACCCAAAAGGGCAGCCAGAACGCAUAAAUUUUUUUUUAAGGAAGCGACUAACGAGAGCGAACAAACUAGAAACGAGGGGAGCAGGACACUCACCAUGUAGCUCCAUUUUGGCUAGCUUCGUCAAAUUCACAGAGGCGGCGGCUGGGUAACAUUUCUCUGGAUUUCAAUGUGAAAAAGUGUGUGGAAAAUGAGAGCCCCUGACCCACGAGCCAAGUAGCUUGAAGAAAUGACGUGUGAUUUUCACAUACACACUUCAAGGCACGUGCCCUCAUCUCUCUUUAUAGUUUUAUUAUUAUUAUUUGGUUUUGUUUUGUUUUGUUUGUUUUGUCUUUUUCCUUUUUCUUUUGUCCGUUCUUUUUGCCAAAUUUCUUCUAACUUAGUUUUAUUAUUUUUAUUUGGUUUUGUUCCGUUUUGUUUUUUUUUUUCUUUCUUUUGUUUUCUUUCUUUUUCAUUUCCUUUUUCUUUUGUCCGUUCUUUUUGUCAAAUUUCUUCUACCUUUUACAACUAUUAAUUUCGGCAUUAUUUCCACUCCACUCUUCAACAUCCACCACUUGCAGCCAUAUUGCUCUUCCCUUUUUUUGUUAUAGUUUUCAAUACCGUUCAUGUCUUCUCAGUAUUGAAAACUAGGGGACUGGUGUUUGGUUUACACAAUUUUUUCUAUUUUCACUAAUUAGUUUCCAAUACCGGUAAUGACUUUCCGAUAUCGAAAACUAGGGGACUAGUGUUUGGGUUGGAUUUUUCUAAAAACUUCAGAAGUAUAGUUGACCUUAAUCUACUCAAAACUCAUUAUUGUCGAGCUGACCACGUAAGUAUAACUUGGAGCCUAUGUUGGCGACCUGAUUCACAAGUACGACUUGAGAUUUAUGUGAAUGACCUGAUUUAAGAAUACAACCUUAAAUUUAUAUGAGCGACCAAGAAAUUCACCGGUCCGACCUCGAAAUUUAUUUGCCCGACCAGAGAAUUAGCUUGACAUAGAAAGCUAUUGGUUAAGAUAACGUGGCCUAAUUUCUAGGAAAGUUGUGUGCCACGAUCUAUGUAAACCAUCUCCAACUGAUGACCACGUGCAACUGCUGAAGAAAGUGGGCAGAAGUUAAAGGUGGUAACCACCCACGACCAGGGGCCUAUUUAAGCUGAAAAUGGCAACUGAGGAAGGGGUUAGCAAAAUUCAACCAAAAAACUCUAUAAGUGACCUACCUAAGAGCCUUAAGAGAGGUGACCAGAUUUGGAGUUCCUUUAUCAGAAAAUCCCUUUCUUUUGAACCCAUUCACAAUUCUUCCCUCUCAUUUUUGUCGCUUUAUACACAAUUUCUGACUUAAGCAUCGGAGGGUCUGCGCCGGAAACCCACCGGCGUAUCCUAACCGUGUUUUCUGGUUGACAGGUACAUAAAAUUACGGUCAUAUUGGCGUUUAAGCUUGGAUUCGUGCUGUAAUUCCCCUAAAGAAACAAAUUCAGCUGUUGAGGUCGUUUUUCGGCAUCAACAAAUUAUAUGAAUGAUAAAAAAACUAUAGCUACUUUUCACCUGCAGCAUGACAAAGGAUUCGUUGAAAAAGCUGUUUUAUGCCAUUGACUUACAAAUCCGUUUUCCAGGGCUCUGAAAUCCAGAUCCAAAUAAACAUGUACUCAUCAACAAAACCAGCACAAACCCUAAAAACCAAAAACAUCAUUUUCUCAAAAUUUCCUCACUUUUCUCACAAACAAAACAAAACCCAUCACAGUACUUACGAGAAACAAAGUCUUCCAAAACUCAAGACCAGUCUUUGGAGGCUCCGCAAUUCUGGUAGUCCAUGAAAUCAACAUCAUCAACGACCCACAAGGCAGGGACAGAGUUGAAGUCCACCAAGGAUAGGGAAGAUCAGCAACCCCGCCGUUGAUCGUUGCCGAAGAAGGAGAUCAGCCCGUGCUUGUGCCGCCGUUGAUCGUUGCCUAGGAACUCCUUCAGCCGCCGCCGUUAAUCAUUGCCGACUUGCGGCGCUGUUGAUGGCCGUGGUGAGGCGUGUUGUGAGGGAGUGGAGGUGAGGGAGUGGUGAGGCGUUUGGCGUGUGAGUGAAGCGGGAGCCAGUGGAGAUGGAGACGUGAGAUGAGGGUGAGCUGUGAUCGCGAGGUGAGGAGUGAGUGCUGAGGACUUUUUGUUUGUUUCAUUUACCGAUUUUACAGGUUCCCUUUCCUUGUAAAUUUUUUUAUUAUUUAAUACUAAAAUGAAUCUCAGCCAUUGGAUCCACUCCAAUUAAUCCAACGGUAAUAUUUCAUGCAUGUAUCCGAUACAUGCAGGUAUUGUAGCAUCAGCCUUAUUUGACACUUGACAUUCCGGUUUUCUUCGGGUGACAAAAUGAAAUCGUCCCAGUUGCUGACCGUUAACCGGUUUUCUCAUGAACGUCAGUGAUCACCUCUAGUUUAUCAAAUAAUCAUGAUUAAGCUUUAUUAGUCUUUCUUUAUUGAAACCUUUCUUUCAAAGAAGAAGAAUUAUUGGAACCUUCCGAGUUUGAAAAUGCCGGCAGCACUUGCAACUUCCAGGAACCUUCGUGAAAGUGUAGAUGCUGAGUACAUCCAACCGUUCGAUUAAAUGCCGAAUUGAUUUCGAGGAACCCACACGACCACACGACCACACAACAGGUUUUUUUUUUUUUUUCAUUUUAUUUGUAUAUCUAUUUCUUGAAAAAAUAAAAAAUCAUAAAGUUCAGAUUUUACCCUUGAGACUUGAGAUGACAACUGUCUGCCUCUGCAUUUUCCUAAUCAUCCCUCUUCUCUAAUCUCUAGAGUUCUCUGAAACCUCUUCUUCAUUUUCUGUCUCCCUUUUCUGAAUCAUCCUUGUCCUCGAUCCUACACCUUCUUUGCAAAUCUUUUAUUGCACUCGCUUUUCAAUUUGUCUUAGCAGAAAAAGGACCCCCCUUUGUUUCAUCUCUAGAUUUUUCACUCUUUUCCUCUCCUCCUCCCUUAAAUCUAUUCAACUUCUUAUUUUAGCAAUUUAUCCAAACUUCUUAUUUCCCUCUUCCCAGCUGAUUGAUUAGUUCUGCUUAGUUUGAUUAGUUUUGCCUUCCCCUGUUUUCUGAAAGCGAAAAAUAAAAAAAGAAAGGGAUAAUGGAUAUUGCUACCUCCGCUGUUGCGAAAGUUGCAGAGUACUUGGUUGAUCCCAUUAUUCAUCCAUUUACUUACUGCUGCACUUACAACACCAACUUCGAGAAGCUGAAUAAUGAAGUUGAUAAGCUCAAGAAUGCUAGAGAGAGUGUGCGGUAUAAGGUUGAUGAUUCCAGAAUUAAAGGGGACGGAAUUCAACAUCACGUUGAGGAGUGGAUGAUUACUGUGGACAAGGCCAUCAAUGAAGUCGAAACACUUAUUGCAGACAAAGAGAAUUCAAACAACCGGUGGUUGAAGGGGUUGUGUCCUAAUUUGAAGACCCGGUACCAGCUUAGCAUGAAAGCAGAAAGUGAAGCGAAUGCUAUUGCUGGACUUCUUGAAAAAGGAAGAUUCGACGGUGUUUCUUUCCGUACCAUUCCAGAGGAGACAUGGCUUAACUCUACCCAGGGUUUCAUGCACUUUGAAUCGAGAACUUCCACUUUGAAGGAGAUACUGGACGCACUCAGCAACCGUAACUUCAACAUGAUUGGGGUGUGCGGCAUGGGUGGCAUUGGAAAGACAACGCUGGUGAAAGAAGUUGGCAGGCAGGCCAAGGAAUAUAAUCUAUUCGAGAAGGUCAUUUCUGCACAUGUAUCCCGAACACCGCAAAUAAAAGGAAUACAAAGAGAAAUUGCAGAGAAGCUGGGCCUGAAAAUAGAUGAAGAGAGUGAAACUGGAAGAGCAGGGAGGCUGCUUGAAAGAUUGAAGAAAGAGACGAAGAUCCUUAUAAUCUUGGAUGAUAUAUGGGGGAGUCUUGGUUUGGAGGCAAUUGGAAUUCCAUUGGCAGAUAAUAUCGGCGGAUGUAAAGUUCUGCUGACGGCAAGAAGUCACGAUGUGUUGUCUUCUAAGAUGGAUUGUCAAAAAAAUAUUUUUGUUGAUGUUCUGAAUGCAAAAGAAGCUUGGAGUCUUUUCAAAAAGACGACAGGUGAUUGCAUAGAAAAUGGUGAACUGAAAUCUGUAGCAACAGAGAUAGUCAAGGAAUGUGCUGGUUUGCCCAUUGCCAUUGUACCCGUAGCGAGGGCAUUGAGAAAUAAGAGAUUGUCUGAAUGGAAGGAUACUUUACGACAAUUGAAAAAUAAGUCUUUUUUGGGGCCCGCCUAUUCAAGUUUAGAGCUGAGUUACUAUCAUUUAGAAGGUGAGGAACUCAGGAAAACGUUUUUGCUAAUAGGGUACACGUUCAUCUCUUGCGUUGAAGACGUGAUCUAUUAUGGCAUGGGUCUGGGUCUGUUUCAAAACAUCAACACGUUGGAAGAGGCACGGGAUAGAGCACAUACAUUGGUUGAUAAACUCAAGAACUCUUGCUUGCUGCUUGAUGGCAAUACUAGUGAAUGGUUUUCUAUGCACGAUGUUGUUCGUGAUGUAGCCAUAUCAAUUGCAUCUAGAGUCCAACAUGUUUUUGCGGUGGAAAAUGAGGUUGUUCCGCCGACCAGCUGGCCAGAUAAGGAUGCACUGAAGGUUUGCACCGCAAUCUCCUUAAAGAAUAGUAAUAUUAGUGAGCCUCCUCGAGGGUUCGAAUGCCCGCAACUUAAAUUCCUUUGUAUUGGCUGUCAUGCUUCCUUGAGGAUCCCAGAUAAUUUUUUUACUGGGAUGACAGAGCUUAGAGUUUUAGAUUUCACUAAGAUGCAUUUGUUGGCAUUGCCUUCAUCUCUUGGUCUCUUACAAAACCUUCAAACAUUGUCUCUGGAUUAUUGUGAACUAGGAGACAUGGCUAUUAUUGGAGACCUAAAGAAAUUAGUUAUCCUUACGCUUCGAGGUUCUGAUAUGGAGGAACUGGUUGGAGAGAUAGGCCAGCUGACUCAAUUGAGGUUGUUGAAUUUGCGCCGAUGUUACCGACUGCGAGUUAUUCCCUCAAAUGUCUUAUCGAGCUUAUCCCGAUUAGAAGAACUAUAUGUUGGUGAGAGUCCCAUUGAGUGGGGGAAGGUUGAAGGAGUCGACGGUGAAAGAAGAAAUGCCAGCCUUCAUGAGUUGAAUAAUUUAUCUAAAUUGACCUCUUUAGAAAUACUCAUCCAAGAUGAAAAGACUCUACCAAGAGACUUGUCGUUCGUCAAAAUGCUGCAAAGGUACAGAAUAUUGAUAGGAAGUCAGUGGACGUGGGAUUACGUAUCGAGUGAGAUAUCUGAAAUAUUCCGACUGAUGGUCGCCAGUGGUGCCAACAUUUGCUUGAACGGGGGGCAUAUCAUGCAAUUGAAGGGUAUUAAAGACCUAUGUUUAGGCGGAUUGCUGGACAUGAAGAGUGUUCUUUAUGGAUCAGACGGAGAAGGUUUUCCACAGCUGAAGCGUCUCGAGGUCGUAAAAAAUAGCAACCUUUUAUGUGUUGUCGACAUAGUGGAUAGAGCAACAGCUCGGACGACUGCAUUCCCCCUUUUGGAGUCAUUAUUUCUGAGAGAUUUAAGGAACCUUGAGGAAAUAUGUCGCGGUCCACUCGCGGCAGAGUCUUUUUGCAAAGUAAAGGACAUAAGGGUGGAAUGGUGCGAUAAAUUGAAAAAUGUAUUUCCAUUGGUCAUUGGCAGAGUCCUUCAACAACUUCAGUCCGUUGAAGUGACUGGAUGCCAGAAUUUGGAAGUGAUUUUUGCUGCCGAGAGAGGAGAUGAAUCCAGCAAUAGUAACACGCAAGUCAUUGAACUCACUCAAUUAACAACACUUGAACUUUGUUAUCUUCCGCAGCUUACAAGCUUCUGCACAGGAGAUCUGCAUUUUGAAUUUCCAUCAUUGGAACAAUUAAAAAUACUGGAACGUCCCCAAGUGAAAUUUAAAAGCACUAUUCAUGAGUCCACCAAGAAGGUACGUGCAAGACUUUUGUAAUUAUUGUUCAAUUCUUACGUACUUAAAAGUAAUUCUACUUUCAGAGUUCAGAGUUUUAUUGUCAUCAUCAUCGCCCUCAUCACUUUGUCUUUUAGUAACAAAAUGUUAGUUGUAUAAAUCAGUUUAUUUAUACUUCAUAAUAUCCUCAUAAACAUAAAUCAGUUUAACAAAAUGUUAGUAAACAAUUUUUUUUAAUUCUAGUUCAAUUGUUUUCUCUUAAUUAUCUGAGUUUUUCUUCUUCCUCUACUUUUUACUUUUUUUUUAUGUCUCUUAUGUUUACUUAAUACAUGAAAGAGAGUGUGCAUUUGAUUACCCAAACAAAGAAAAUUCUAAUAAGAUCUAGAGUUUUUCAAGCCACAGUUAAUUCCCAGAUAAUUUUUAGGAGCUAUUUUUAGAUUAGUAUGCCUUAACAAUUAAUAUUGUUACAUACAAAUUAUUAUCAAUUUUGAUGUUGAAGAAGAAAAUGGUCAUCUCGUGUUAACAUAAAUACUAUUCUUAAAAAUAUAUAUAGAGGGAUGAACAAAACGCAAAUGAAGAAAUCUUAUCCUAUUAAAUUUUCUACAUAAUAAAAUCAUUUCUUGUACAGUAGUGAAUAUAUCCAAUCCGAUGAAUAUUAAUUAAAUACGAGCGUCUUACUACAUUAUUAAACUUUUUAAAUUCAAGUUAUUUAUUCAUUUAUACUUUUGAUAAAAAGAAAAGAAAAGUUAAAAUAUCCAUUUUCAAAAAAAAAAAAAAAAAGAAAUUUGUAAGAUUUUCAAUUCAAACCAAAUAAAUCGAUCGAUUAAGAGAAUUUGGAAGUUUAAAUGUAAAUUGAGAAUAAUUGACGUCUUUUUCGUAUGCUAUAUAUAUAUUUAUCUGGCCAUCAAUAUUAUUCAUCAUUAGAAUGCUUUGCAUUUACUUUGAUAUGUGAAAUUGUCACAAAGAAGAUCAACUCCACCUUGUUUUUUCUGUGAUUGUUAGAAAGAUCAUAUGCUACACACUCACACACAUAGAGACACACAUACACGAUAGGCCAUCAAUAUUCAUCACCGGAAUGCUUUGCAUUUACUUUAAUUUGUCAAAUUGUUAAAAAGAAGAUCUAACUCCAUCUUGCUUUUUUUUUUUUUUUUUUUUUGAUUGGUAAUCACCUAGGUGUUUCCCAAUUUGGAAUAUUUGAGUGUUGAUGAAAAGCACAUAGGUCUAUUUCCAGAAGACUUGCCUUGCAAACUUAAAUGUCUUAAUGUUUGGCUUGAUGGGUCAACUGCUAUUUUAUCACUUGACGAUUUCCUUCAGAGAUUUCACACCAUCAAAGUUCUCUGUAUCGAAGGAUACGAUUAUGAUGGGGAAGAACUAUUUGAAACGGUUGAAAAUGGGGUGAAUGCAAUGAUAAAGGGAAUAAACUUCCAUCCUAAUCUGAAGCAGAUUUUGAAACAAGAGUCCUCCCAUGCGAACAAUUUGGAAGUACUGGAUAUAUAUGGAUGUGACAAUUUGAUUAAUCUAGUGCCAUCCUCGACAUCGUUUCAGAAUCUAACAACUUUGGCCGUAGAUUUUUGCUAUGGAAUGAUAAACAUACUAACAUCCUCGACAGCAAAGAGUCUGGUGCGACUAAAACAAAUGAAGAUAUUUGACUGCAAGAUGAUAACAAAAAUAGUGGCAGAUGACGAUGAUGAGGGAGACAAUUAUGCAGCAAACUAUGAAAUUGUUUUCAGCGAAUUGAAGGAAUUGCUGCUUUCGGACUUAGAAAGUCUGACAAGUUUCUGCUCUGUCAAUAAUUGCGCCUUCAAAUUCCCAUCUCUGGAAAGAUUAGUGGUGGAAGAUUGCCCCAAUAUGAGCAUUUUCUCAGGAGGAGAAUUAAGCACACCCAAUUUACGCAAAGUGCAGCUGAGUCGGAUUGAUAAAGAACUUUGCGUUUGGGAUCGCGACCUUAAUACAACCAUUCAAUACCUAUAUCAACAACAAAGGUACGUGUUCAUUCACUAUGAAAUGUUGAUUUUUUUUCUAAAAAUUACUGAUUUAAUGACAGAUAUAUAUAUAUAAAAGGAAAAAGAAAAAAGUGAUUAUUAAUGUUUUUAUAAAUUUAUUUUAAAUCUGAUUAGGAAGAGAGGAAAAAAGAGAAUGAGAAGUCCGCCAAAGUGAAUGAAAAGGAGAAAGAUGCGAAAGACAGUGGUAAGUUAGAGUCUAUACAGUUUGGGAGGUUCUGAUUUGAUUUUGUUGUAUUGACUAAAAACAUUUUAUUUAUAUUGAAAUUUUAGUUAAAUCAUAUCGGUAUAUCUUUCUAAAAUAUAACUACUCUGCUCUAUUGUUAUGUUGAAGAUUAGUUGUUAGACAAACAUGGCAAUAAAUAAAUAAAUAAAAUGAAAUUAAUUGCUUCCAGAGAGAAUUGAAGGAUUUUUGUGUCCUUCAUAGAGGCUAAUUUGUGCAAUUUAAUUAUGUGAAAACUGCACCUUCAAUGUGUUUUUGCUCUUUGUUUACAGGGAGUCCAAACUUAUGAAGACGAUUCAGGCUAACCUUCUGUACGGUAUCUUGAAUAAGGCAUCGAGAUCUUUCUAUGUAUUAAGAGUCAGAUGGCGUUGGUGAGAGGAUUUUUUGUUUUAGUUUUCAUUUCAUUAGUAUGCUUUUAGCUUUAUUUGAGUACUCAGAAAUCCAAUUUGAAGCUAGUUUUAUUUCUCAUGAGAGCUGCCAUAUUGAAUUUGUAGGCAUCUCUGAAAGUCUCUUUAAGCCUUAAAUUAAUUAAAGAGAUGCGUGCAUCAUGUUUGCGUUCGUAUACCUAUUGGUAUUUAUUGGAGACAAUUAUGUAAGAAAUUAUGUAACUUCAUGACAGUAUCAAUGAAAAAAGAAAAGUUUAGGGGGUCAAUUGGACACCAUCUGCCAUCAUGUUUGCUCACUGUAGGCACCAUCUUGAUCCUCCCCCGACCCUAGGUGAGGAUUGAUGAUGAUUGUCGGUUAAUCCAAAGAUUUUUUAAAGGUAAAAAAAAAAAUUAUAAAUUGUGGCAUCAACUUUGUAAUUUCUUUAAGCCAUUAAAAUAAAAUAUAUAAAAGUUGGGUCCUCUCUUGAACAUAGUUUAAAUUUAAUAAAUAAGUAAACAUUAUUAUUAUUCUUGUGCUGUCAACAUUUGUGUGUUUUUUUUUGUUAAUUUUAUUAACAACUAAACACUAGUAGUCUAUAUUUGUUGAGUUGAAAACGUUGAUUAAGAUAGACUUAUUGUAGUUUGCUUAUAUUAAUGAUCACGAGUUUAAUUUAGAGAUUUGAGCCCAAGUUCCUCCAUUUACGUAAUUAAUCAUUUUUGUUGAUUAACGCUAAUUGAUUAGAGGAAUGUGAUAACGAAAAGAUGAAAAUACCUGCUCAAAUGUUUAGUGAUUUGGAACAAGUCAGCUGAGGCUAAGCAUUUUUAUUAUUUUGGCAAUUAGAUCAUGAAUGGACAAUCUUUUUGUUUGAUCAAUUACCUCAAAUACUCUCAUUGUACUAACGUCGUCAAAUAAUCAAAACUGAUCAUCAUUAUUCAUUAAUUAAACGCUUCUGUAGAAACUAGAAAGCUUGACCGAUCUUACAAGUUCCAAGUUGGAAGAUCAUGUCGGCAGCAUUAGCAACUGUCAGGAAUCUUUAUACAAGUUGUGAUCCACCCGAGUUUCAUCGUUUACUUUUUCUUUUUCUUUUUUUGUCGACAAAGACUUGAGUGGGCCAACUAUUCAAAUAUGAGGGAAACUUGCGUGGAAGCUGAGGUGGUGGCUGGUGGGAUAACCUAUUGGUGUUCGGUUCCGUGAUGGAAUAAUGAAUGAAUCCCAUUAUGAAAUCUAUUGGCUUUCGACUUUGGGAUUCUCACUAGUUUUUUAUUUUUUAUUUUUAUAAAAUUGACUAUUGAGCAUCAGCGAACUUAACUAUCUCAUCACCUCACGUUUCGCAUAACUUUUUCACAUCCUUUCUCCACUCUUUGUGCGUUCAUUUCAAUGAAAAGAACUAAUAUGAUUAAUUCAAUUCUGCUGACUUAAUUUUUUAAAUUAUAAAGUCAGUGAAUCCCGCUGUAAAAAUCAAAUAAUUGGCUACCAUUAGUCCGACGCACAUCUCCUAACUAUCCAAGUCUUUCUCCAUUCCAGUCAACAUACUCAAUCAUCUUGAUCGUUUUUACUCUUCAAGAUUUGCUCCUUUUUGCCAUCAACUCUUUCGACCUUUCACUGGAUCAAGCUACACCUUUAGUUAUUACAAUCUUCGGAUCUCAACAUUACUACGAAUCGUACGUGCAUCUGUUUCCUUUAUUUAGUUUUGCUCUGUUCCCUGUACACUUGUCUCUGUUUUGUUCUGUAUCUACUCUUCUGAUGUAUUUUUACUCUGUCAAUAAAUCCCUUCUCUUCUUCUUCAUCUCUGCAUCUUUUUAGUUGUUGUCUCUGUUCAGUUUCCUUUUGGUUCGCUUCACUUCACAUCUACAUACUUUACAAAAUUCUAAAAUUAAAAAAAAAAAAGAGAGAAAAGGGAAAGAAUUGAAGAUGGUGGAAAGCAUAGUAACUGUUGUGUUAGAAGUUGCAAAGUGCUUGGGUCCUCCCACUGAAAGACAAUUGAGUUAUGUGCGUAACUACGGGAGCAACUUUGAGAAUCUCAAGACUGAGCUUGAGAAGCUCAAGGAUGACGGUGCCAGUAUGCAGCACGGGGUUGAUGAGGCUAAAAGAAAAGGAGAAGAGAUCGAAAAGAACGUUGAGAAAUGGCUUGCAAGUGUCAACAACAUCAUUACUGAGGCUGAGAAAUUUACAGGCGAUGCAGAUAAAGCAAACAAGCGUUGUUUCAUGGGGCUGUGUCCAAAUUUGAAGACCCGCCAUCAGCUUAGCAAGGAAGCGGUGAGGCAAUUCGAAGCUAUUGUCAAACUUCGGGAAGCUGGGAGAUUUGAUAGAAUUUCCUACCGUAAAGCUCUGGAGGACAUAAGGCUUAUAUCUAACAAAGACUACGAGGCAUUUGAAUCAAGAAUCUCCACUUUGAAUAAUGCACUUCGUGCAUUACAAGAUCCUGAUGUGAACAUGGUUGGGAUUUAUGGAAUGGGCGGCAUCGGAAAGACGACACUAGCAAAAGAGGUUGCUAUUCAGUUCAAGAGAGACCAGCUAUUUGAUCAAGUGAUUUUUGUGGAGGUGCCCCAGAUUCCAGACAUAAGAAAGAUUCAAGGAGAAAUCGCUGAUAAAUUAGGUCUCAUAUUUUUCGAGGAGACCGAAUCUGGAAGGGCAAGGAGUCUUUAUAAUCGAUUGAAGGAUGAGAAAAAGAUCCUUGUAAUUUUAGAUAAUGUUUGGGAAAGUGUUGAUUUGCAGGAUGUAGGAAUUCCUCACGGAGAUAAUCACAAGGGGUGUAAAAUAUUGAUGACGGCAAGAAGUGAAGAUAUAUUGUCUGGCAAGAUGGAUUGCCGACAUAAUUUCUCAGUUGGCGUUCUAAGAGAAGACGAAGCUUGGAGUCUAUUCAAGAAGAUGGCAGGGGAGUAUAUCGAAAGUAGUGAAUUCAAAUGGGUGGCAACGGAUGUGGCAAAUGAAUGCGCAGGUUUGCCUGUUUCCAUUGUGACAGUAGCGAGGGCGUUGAGAAAUAAGAGAUUAUUUGAAUGGAAGGACGCUUUGGGGCAGUUAAGAAGGCCUUCAUCAACCAACUUUAAAGAUAUACAGCCGGCUGCUUAUUCAGCUAUAGAGUUGAGUUACAAUAAAUUAGAAGGAGAGGAGCUCAAGAAGAUCUUUUUGCUAAUAGGCUACACCUACAUAUCGUCCAUUAAUGACGUGUUAAUGUAUGGCAUGGGUUUGGGUUUGUUUCAAGGCAUCAAUAGGAUGGAAGAAGCACGAGGUCGAGUGUAUACAUUGGUGUACAAACUCAAGGCUUCUUGUAUGUUGCUUGAGCAUGGAAGCAAAAAUGAACAUUGGUUUUCUAUGCAUGAUGUUGUUCGUGAUGUUGCCAUAGCAAUUGCAACCAGAGAACAAAAUGUGCUUACGAUGAGUUAUGAACUGGUUAAUUCACGGGAAUGGCUAGAUGAAGGUGCGCUUAAGUUUUACACUUCGAUUGUCUUACACGACAGCAAGAUGAAUGUUCUUCCUGAAGUUUUGGAAUGUCCUCAACUGCAACUUCUCUCUUUGUGGACUGAGAAAUCAUCAUUAAUAACACUUCCAGCCAAUUUUUUCAGGAAGUUGAUGCAAGCUAGAGUUUUAGACUUGACUUAUAUGCAUCUAUCAUCGCUGCCUUCAUCACUUGGUCUCCUAACAAACCUUCGAACAUUGCGUUUGUAUCGCAGCGAAUUGCAAGAUAUAGCUGUUAUAGGAGAAUUAAAGAACCUAGAAAUCCUUUGCUUAAGGGGUUCUUAUAUUGAGCAGCUGCCUGUGGAAGUAGGCCAAUUGACUCGGUUAAGGUCGCUUGACUUGAGAGACUGUAACAGACUACAAGUUAUUCCACCAAAUGUUUUAUCAAAUUUAUCCCAUUUGGAGGAAUUAUACAUUCGCAGCUUUAAUAAGUGGGAGGUGGAGGUGGAAGCUGCAGGGGUGAAGAACACAAGCCUUGAUGAGUUGAAGCAUUUGCCUAACUUGACCACAUUAGAAUUAUACAUACCAGAUGUCAACACUCUGCCGAGAGGGCUGUUGUUCGAGAAGCUGGAAAGGUACAGAAUAUGUAUUGGACGUUGGUGUUGGGAGGAUACUUCACCCAGGUGUUCGAAAACAUUCAGACUCCACCUGGAUACCAACAAUUGCAUCAGCUUCAGGGGUGGGCUUAUCGUGCAACUUCAGCAAAUUGAAGACCUUUGUUUAUCCGGAUUGGUAGACCAAGAUAUCAUUGAAUUAGUUAAUAACAAAAUGAGUUCUUACUCUUCCCAACUGAAGCAUCUCUGGGUCGAAGGCUGUCAAGCCCUCAGUCCGAAAGUGUCAAAGGUAUUAUAUGAUCUUCCUAAAUUUUGAACAUAUCAAGCAGCUAAUGCACAAGCAGAUUCUUUAUUUCUUAUGAGUUUGACUAUGCUCUAAACAGAGAUGCAAGGAAUCGACAAGUGAAAUGCGAUCGAAUGAAAUCAUCUUGGAGGACCAUGUCAACGUUCCUAAUACAUUUUUCAUCAAGGUAGGAUAUUAGUGAUCCAAUGGUCAUAUUCUUAUGAUUUUUUUUUUUUGGUUCUUUAUUAUAUAUUCUCCUUUCUUAGGAAAUAUAGGCCAGAGUGAAUCAGUGAUUAAUGAACAUAUUUCAUAAUUAUUUUAAAUUUUUCAUCCCGAGUAAUGUAGGUGUAACAAAUACAUUCUCGGAUGAAAGAAAGGUACUAUGGAUGCACUUAUAUACUAACUUUGCUCUCUUCAUAUAACGGUUGAAAAAUUUUGUGAACAGGGUGGGUUGCCAAACUUGGAGACCUUGGAGCUGCAUAAUGUAAAUGUGGAGAGGAUUUGGAAAAGCCAACUUCCGGCCAUGUCUUGUGGUAUUCAAACUUUAACCCGGUUGAUUGUAUACGGCUGUAGGGAAUUAAGAUGUCUGUUUUCAUCUUCUAUAGUUAACAGCUUUGUUCGACUCCAACACCUUGAGAUAGAUGAGUGCCCUAUUUUGGAAGAGAUAAUAGUCAUAGACCAGCAAGAAAGGAAGAAUGUUGUGUUCCCUCAGUUACAAUUUCUAAAGAUGGUAGAUCUCGAAAAGUUCACAAGCUUCUGCACAGGAGAUGUGCACAUUGAAUUUCCAACAUUGGAAACUUUAGAAGUAAUAAGGUGUCCUGAAUUCCUUUUAACUGCUCAUGACUUGACAAAAGAGGUACGUACAAGAUUUAAAAUUUACUCUUAAUAAUUGGCAUUACGUUUUCUUUUUGGUCCUGAUUUAUCAUGCAUCCAACCAGGUAUUCCCCAAUUUGAAAUAUUUGACCAUUGAAGGAAAGAAGAUACCAAUGGCAGCUGAGUUUCCAGAGGACAUGUUUUGCAAACUCAACUUUCUUGAUGUUAUAUUUGAAGAGUCAACUACUAUUUCAUCACUUGAUUUCCUUCGGAGAUUUCACAGCAUAAGAGAACUCACAAUAAGGGGAGGAGGAUAUGUUGGGGCGUUAAGCCAUCAUAUGGAGUAGAAAAUUGGACGAAGGCAAUCAUAAGGAAUCUACACAAUUGUUGUGAUCUGAAGCAUAUUUUGAUCCAGGAAUCCAAAAUGGACAAUUUGGUUCAUCUAACAGUUGAGUAUUGUGACCAUUUGAUUAAUCAAGUGCCACCUUCAACAUCGUUUCAGAAUCUGACAACUUUGAAGGUGUGGAGAUGCAAAGGAUUGAUAAAUGUGCUAACAUCCUCGACAGCAAAGAGUUUGGUACGACUGACAGAGAUGAGUAUCGUUGACUGCAGCAUGAUAACAGAAGUAGUGGCAGAUGAUGAAGGAAAUGCUGCAAAAGAUGAAAUUGUUUUCAGCGAGUUGAUGGACUUGGAGCUUUGUGAUUUAAGAAGACUUACAAGCUUCUGCUCUGGCAACUGCGCCUUCAAGUUCCCAGCUUUGACAUAUUUAAGUGUGGAUAAAUGCCCCAAUAUGAAGAUUUUCUCUGGAAAAGAAUUAAGCACUCCCAGUUUACACGAAGUAGAGAAACACUGGCUGUCUUGUGAGUAUUGGACUUGGAAGGGCGACCUUAAUUCUACCAUACAACAGAUAUAUCUUGAAACAAAGGUUCGUAUUCAUUACUGAGAGACCCAAAAGUUACUGUUCAAUUAGAUUAAGCACUCCCAUUUUAUUUGAAAACUGUUGUUCCUGCUUUCACCUUCAAUUUGUUUUGUUCGUUGUUUACAGGAAGUCCAAAAUCAUAAAGAUGAUUCAGGCCAACCUUCUGUGCAGCAUCAGGAAUGAGGCCAAUUUUCAUUGCAAUAUGUGAGACAUGGUAUGCAGCUCGUGUAUUUACUCAAGCGCAUGUUUGGGCCAUCUGAACAUUGAGUGGUUUGAUAUCUCUGCAGCGCAUGUAGGUCAGAAACUGACCAGGCAGCUCCUCCAAAAGUGCUUGUACAACAGAAAUUUGCCCACCUGUUCAGAAAACAAUGUGUUCGUUUGUUAAGGCAUGAAAAAAUUCAGAAACUUUUGUGAAUUAACUCCCAAAUUCAAUAUUUUGAACUAAUUUUGUCAAAGAAUCAUAUGCACUCACUAUGAACUUCUCGCAUUGGAACAAAUUGUACUAUAUCUCUGGUAGCUACCCGAUCAGUAGAGCUCUCUAAUCUACGGCCAUUAUCAGCAUCAAGAAUCUGCCAACAAAGUUAUCAGCAUAAAAAAUCUGCAACAAAAGUGGGAUAAUACCACACUGCAUAUGUACUCUAAAUUGAAUCUAUCAAACUAUAGAAAAAAGAAGUUCAAUGCUAGUAAGAAGAUAUUCCAGUUAGAAAACAUUGUGUACCUCCAUUUGUGUAAAAUCUGCACCUCCCACACCCACAAUUAGAAUUGACAGGGGAAGAUCAGAAGCCCUUACCAAAGCAUCUUUUGUUUCUUGGAGAUCUGUCAGAACUCCAUCCUAAAUAGACAAUGCAAAUUUACAAAUCAGCCAAAAAGAAUGAUAGAAAGAGAAAACUGUGAAUAUAUAGAAUCAUUGUAAUCACCGUUAUAAUGAGUAAGACGAAAUACUUGCUUCUGUCGUAUGAGAGGGACUGUCCAGCAAUUCGUGCAGCGGUGUUGAUCACUUGACCAAACAGAGUCGGUCCUGCCAAAGCAACAUUGUUUAGAGCGCUUGCAUAAGCAGCCAUAAUGCCUUCAACUCCAUCUACCUAUUAAAUAAAGAAACCAGCAAUUAAUAAAAAAAAAUGGAAGAGGAUAAAAUAUACAUCUUUUAGGAUAAAAUUCCAAGGAAAUUUUAAAAAAAAUGUAGAAACAUAUUAUAUUGUUUGUUAUUAAAAAUGAAAAGUUAUGGGAGACAAGUCAACCAAAUAAGGAUUAUAGCAAAGUUGCAAACUCCAGCUACCCCUACCUCAAAGCCACCUGCUCUUCCAUUCAAGUUAAAACAAUGUGAUACAGUGUCAUCAAAUGUCUUCCCUCCAAAUCCCCAUGCAGGAAAGCGUCUAUCAGAAUCAUAAAAUUGUAUGACCUCCCCAAUUUCCGUUAUUGCCUGUAAAUGGUUUAAGAGGACAAUAACUCAUCAGUAAUAUUCUCUCUCAACGUCUACAAACUAAUUUUAUGACCUUCAGAGUUCAGAGAUCACUUGUCAAAGUGCUAGUCAUAACAAAACCUUACCUGCUGGUAAGAAUUCAAUCUGCCUGAAGGAUCAAUAUAGUGCAAAGAAUUUGGAUUUCGAGGAUUUCCAUUUGAAGCUGGAUGAUUUUGCAUUUAAUGAGAGACAAGAUGAAAUUGGACCAAAUAAGAGGAAAUAAACAAACAAAAAGAUUAUAUUGCAAAUUUAUCUUCAACAAGUAAUCUCUUUCUAAUUACCUGUAAAGUCGACUGCAACCAUAAAAUUCAACUCAAACCCACUAGAUAUGUAACCCAGAAAACUAUAUUGCUCUUGCUCAACAAACUUUUCAACAAACAACUGACUUUUCAGAACCUAGGAAAAAGUCAGAUAAAAAAUAAAGUGAUAUUAAAUUAUCAAAAACUGUAAGCAUGAACAAACACCUUUGGUGGAGUUAAAACAAAAAAGAAUAAACACCUUGUCAUGGCCACGUUGAGUUGAUGGUAACAUAAAAGUUGCACCAGUUCUUUCUUGAUGAAGUUUCUCCAGGUCUCCAACUGAUUUCUAAAUUUUACUAAUAACAGAAAUAGAAAACCUUGACAUCAGAAAGGCAAAAGGAUAAAAGAGGGAAGCUGAUGACAUUAAGAAAUUUAACAGUUACCCCAUCAGUACGUGAUUUCCACUGGUAUUGAAAUCAAAACAUUCCAUGAUUAAUGGGUUUUCCUGUACCAAAGAGAAUCAUAAACUAAAAAACAUUUCCCCAUGACCAAACUUCACUACCUAAUAUACAUUUAAGUAACAAGCACAAGAAGAUGACAAGGUUACCUUGCUCACAAAUUGCUGCAUGCUCAAAGUUAUUGGUCUCCAAAUGGGAUUCAAGUUAUUGUUUAUCACCUCCGUCUUGUAGAUAGGAACAGAAUUUCCACUCUCAACAAUUCUAGAUAUUCUUAAGAAGGGAUCCUAUACAAUAUAAGAAGAAGAAAAAAUAGCAUCUAAAUUAAUAGAUUAAUUAGUGAACCUGCAAACUUAGCUACUUUGUCAGAACUUACACUUUUGGAAAACAGGUCUACAUUUUGCAAAUGCGAGCAACGGAAUGCUAUUUCAACAGCACUCUUGGAAGCAACUGUUUCCUCAGCAUGGACAGAGAGUGUCCCAAAGUUUCUUGAAACUCGAAGCCCAUAAUUGUUAUGGAGUUUUAAGGUUAAAGUUCGAUUUUGUUUGGUCACUAUCUGCCAUUUAAAAGGAAAAUAUGACACUUGUUAGUGCAAAACAAGAAUGCCAAAGAAGAAGACGAAUGCUAGUAAAAAGCAUCUGAGAAUAUUUUGCCCUUUUUUAUAGGAAACAGAUUUUUACAGAAAAUUAGAUGGGCAUAUGUUGCCCAUUGAAUAAAGAGAAAAUACAUAAAUUCAUCAAACACAAUAUAACCCAGAAACUUACCUCAGAGAGAACACAGCUAGCUUCUCCCAGGAAGUCUUGAUCCUCCAACUUUAGCAUCUGCAGGGCAAUGUAAAUAAGAAGUUUGAACUUUAAACUUCACGCUUCAACAACUAUUUUGUCAUGAGAUAAUAAUGUCUUGAAAGUAAUUAGGGAUCACUGCAGCAAAGAAUCAAAAGAACACUAGAUUCCCUACUUAAUGUCUUAGAAUCCAUCUGGAUUUGUUCAUUUUCUCUUUCCACUAGCAUAAAUUUACAUAUUUAUCAUUUUUCCCAUUAAUUUUAAUACCAUUUACAAUUGACAUAAAUAAUCAUCACAUUUUUAGAUUAUCUAACUUUUUCAGCAAAUGCUUCCAAAUGAUUACAGUUUCUAGGAUUAUAACCAUCAAAAAAUUUUCACUUUGACUCAAAUUCCGCAGACAAAUACAUCAUAGGCUCUAAAGAUUUACUUAUCUGUUUAGGAGAAAUACGUCGACGAGACCAGGCAUGGUGAGCAGAUAUCUGGGGGCAGAGUUCCUCGAGCCGGUGUGUUCCGUAAAAGCCUGAUGCGCGGGGGAACAGGAGCAGAAAUAUCCUGCUCGUCCACGAGCACGUCAUCCGCGAGGUCAAUUUCCUGUAAGAGGCAUAAGAUCAUUCCGGCUAGAGGUCGAGAAGCGAGGAGACCCGGUCGACGGCAGUUGGCAAGACAUGCUCUCCAGCCCGAGAAUCUAGGCACGACAGCCACGCUUUCCCCAGAACCGUGGCGUAACACGCAAGAUCCCACGUUUUCCCAUAACGCAGCAGUCAGAGUCCCAUUACACGCAAGAUCUCACAGAAUCACGACAGCCACGCUUUCCCCAGAACCGUGGCGUAACACGCAAGAUCCCACCUUCGCCCAUGACGCAGCAGUCAGAGUCCCAUACCGUCUGGCAAAAAGCGGAAAACGGGGAUUCGGAGAAGCCUAUAAAAAGGUAGCCAACGAAGGUAAAAGGGUUAGCAUUUUUGAGAUAAAAGAAAAAACCACGAAAAAGCCAUAAGACCUGUGGCAAGCGUUCCCCGAACCUUCAUAUCUGACUUGAGCGUCGGAGGGUUUGCGCCGGGAGAACAACCGGCGUACUCUGACUUGUCUGUGUGUGCAGGGACAUCUGGAGAAGAAGCAUUACUAGGAGACCUCCUGGUCGUGGUAAAGUUGAUCGAGCAGAGAUCCUGGUCGUAGAACGAGGAGAACCGGAAUCUCGCAUCAACAUUAUCCAUUCCAAUACUUACAAUAUGGUCAUUUUUUACAGAAACUUCUUUAGGUCAUGGCAACAACUAUUUAACUGUAUUGUUUUUAACAACAUAGAUCAAAAUUCCAUUUUGGAAAAAAGAAAAUUUAGCCGUAAGGACCAUCAGAAAAAUUGUUCUUUCCCAGUUAUGGUAGCAGGACAAAUAUGUCAAACCUUGCAAGAUGCAAUAAUAGAAAGUUCCAUAAUAACUAUCCUGGCCUUAAGAUUUGUUUAUGAUAUAUGACAGCCAACUUUUUAAGUUUCUUGCCAUGCUAAGUGUUAGUUUAUAAUCAAUCAAGUGUUCACAAAUUUCCCGAAAUUGAUAGAAACUAUUGCUGAUGCAAUUUAGUUGAGACGUAUGCUUAGACAACAAAUGGAUCAGUCAAAUGCCUUGGCUAACUCUAAACUUUGGAACUGAAGUAGUGCAUAUCAUUUACAUCUGAAUUGAGCGAAAAAAAAAAUAAUUAAGAAAUUUUUAUAUACCUUCACUGGAAUAUUGUGGUACUUGGUAUCCACAUCAUACACACGAAAGCUGGCAAAAAGAAGAAAAGCAUUAAGGAAUUCGAAAACAUUAAAUAUUAUCAAAUCAAGCAAGGCUUAUGAGAAAUGAUAAGCAAAUGAACUAUCAAGAGGGAAAAAAAAACAAACUUUAAAAAGAACACAGUAAAAACUUACAGCAAGGGCUGAACGAUCUCAAACUGAAAAGCAAUUGAAAUCUUUCCAAUCCAAGCAGGAUUCAGAUUGUUCAUAAUCACCUCUGUACGUCCAAUCUCCACCAGCCUCCCAUCUCUUUUCUUUGCAUACACAACUGCCAUGGGAUCACUCUAUGACACAAAAAGUCAUGUAAAUACAUUUGCUUGUGAGUAUAAAAAUAAAAAGACAGAAGGCCUAUGGGUAUGUAUCCACUUAUGUCAUAUAAAAUAUAAACAUAUAUUAGUUAAAUAACUUUAGUUAGUAAUCCACAUUAAAAUACAGCAGCAUUUGAUGUAUGCUAGUAUCAGCUAGUAAAAAGAUAUACCGCUGAUAAAUGUUCAUUAUCAAAGAAUUUUAUCUUGCACAUAUAACAUAUUUGACUAGUGCACAAAAUUGCAAAAACAAUAAAACCACCAACCAUGACUUGUUAUACAUUAUCUGGAACUCUCAAGUUACUGCUCCUUACUGGAUUACAUUGGAUAUAGACAGUGUAUAUAACAAACUAUUCUUCUUUGUCUAAGUUUAGAAUUUUGGUGCCAGCACUAAGCGUUAUUCAGAUCAUAUAUCCCUAGACCCUUCAUGAACAGAGAAAGGAUAUUGACAGGGCCAUUAUGAACAAAUAAGCAGAUCAUAUAAGGAGGAUACAAGAUAAUAUGAGAAUCAAUCACCAAGACUACCAACAGCAUGAACAUGGCAUUACUAGACAUAAGACAACAAUAAUAUGAAGGCGUACCUUUGAUGCGAUGUCAAGAUCACGCAACUUUGAAGCAGAUAAAGAUAACUGCAAUAUAUAUUCAAAAACAUACGAACGAAUACAGAUACAUGAAAAAGCGGAAAAGGAGUAAUCCAUGCAUAUGCUGCACGAAAUGAAAAUUGUCAGUACGAUGUGGGUCAACUGACAGGCAAUAUAUAUCUGUCAUAAACAGAACAUGUAGAAAACCAUCAUUUCCGAUUCUGACAGAAUCACUUCUAAUAUUAAAUCUUAUAAGCAGCAAGCAAUAAUAUAUGUAAUUAAGUUUUAUAUAACAACAGGAUGUGACACGUCAAUUACAAGCAUUGAACCACAUUUAAUUUGUUAUCAUAUGACUUGUUGCCUUUUCUCCAGGAAAGUUUGCAAGGAGAUCCUCAGGUAAGGUCCACAUCAAUACAGGAAUAUUACAAUCACUUGGUGGUCCACGUUAUGGAAAGACAUUCUUAUCCUCGUAACAACAUAAUCCUUAAUCCACAAUCUUUUAUAAAGUUAAUGGUUUGUCUUAUGCAAACCAGCAUUCACAAAAUCAUGUUCCAAUCAGGGGAGCAUUAUCAUGGGGAAUCUUCACGAGGGGUAUAAGUCAAAUUUGAUCACGAGGGGUAUGAGUUAAAUUUGAUAAAUGAGGCAUAACAGAAUAGUCAACUUUGAGGAUACACAGGAAAACCACUGUGCAUUCAACAGGAUCAAACAUCAACUUUCUCAAUGUUCACAAGGCCAUUGUGCAUUCAACGCCAUUCUUUUUUUAUUUACCUUAACCAAUCUUAAUCUAAAAUUCACUCCACAGAAUGUUGUUAUUGGGUAUAAGCAGUUAAACUUACUGUUCUCCAUAUGCAAAACAAAAGCACUUGCUUGGUGUGAAACCGUCGAACCAACACCAGCAAAAGAAUUGGUAGAUUUGUAAUGAAAUAUGAAGAAACAGCAAGGUAUUAAUUGAAGAAUUCAAUUUCUCAUUAUAUUUGGACAUUUGGACGUCAUUAAUGUUAAUUGAUUUUUUCCGCGUAAAAAACUUCCCGAUUGAUUUUGUUCCUCCAAAUGCCAUUCAUUGGAAAUAAGUUUAUUUUUCUGACAACUUCAACUCAUAAAUUUAAUUAUUUUGUUAUAAUAAUAGGUUGAAUAAUUCUAUGUAUUACGACAAAAAAAAAGAAUCUUAAUUUUAUAUCAUAUAUAAUUAUAUAUAUAUAGACUCAAGCAAGAGUAUUAUUUAUCAUGUAAUUUAUUAAACUAAUCUCACCUAAAAAGUUGUUGAGAAAAGACAGUAAGUUAAUAAAUAUUUCGUCUUCCCCAAGGUUUUUGAUUAAAAGAAUGACUUGAUAUGGCUGAUGUUGAUAAAUUAAAAAGGGAAAAAUAAUAAACAAUGGAGGAAUUUGUCAAAUUAGGUCAACAAUCGUAGUCUAUUUAAUUUCGUAAUAAUGGCAAUGACGAAGCCCUUAUAACAUAAGCUUGCAAACGUAAUCAAGAUAUCCGUGGAAAACAAGCAACAAUUGCAAUGGGGUGGAAUAAAAUGUCAUUCACAAUCAACUACUAAGAUACUGAAGGUUCAAUCGUUUAAGGGUAUUGAUAGUUUCUUCCUGUCGAAAUUUAUGUAAAAUAUUUAUUCGUCUAUUAUUUUCAUAAUAGUUAAUAAUCUCUUCGUAUAAAAAAACUUAAAAGAAAGUAAAGGUAAAUGGGUCAUUUGCUUAAUAUUUUAUUUUGAAAAUAUAAAAUAUAUAUUUACCAUAAGAAAAUAUGUUUAAAGAUAAAAAAAAUAAGAAAACUAUAUUCAUACUAAUUUUUUAUCAACACCGAAAAUUAUAUUUCUUAUUUCUAAUAUUUAAAUUUUUUUAUUUCAAUUUCUGUUUAUAUAAUUUAUUUAAUUUAUAAUAAAGAUGAAUAAUUAAAUAAAUUUUAAAAUAUCUUAAAAUAAGAAUAAUACUAUAAAAUUAUGAUGAAUGAAAGUUAUUAAUUAUUAUGAAAACAAUAAAAAGAGAAAUGGUAUGUAUCAAUUUCUACAUGAAGGAAACUGCCAACCUCCCUUUAAUAUGUUGUGACAAUCAUUAGAAUUUCAAUAAAAUGAUAAACUCCUCUACAUAAUCCAUAGUAUAGAAGCCAUUUGCAAAAUUUCCAAGCGUGGAGAACAUGCAUGCAUGCACGUGGAAUUCCAUGCAUAAAAUGAUAAAAUACUCGUCAAAGUCUCUUCAUUAAUUUGUAGUUUAUAUGAUUCGCAAAGAAGUUUCAUUAUUUAAUUUCCAAGUCUUGGGUCGUGCAUCCGCGUACAUGAAUAAGAUUACUUGCCACGAUUACCAAUUUUUCAUCACUUUAUUAAAUCUUUUUCUUCCUGUACAUGAAUCUUGUUAAAUUCAACUUUCUAUAUCAUACUUUGAAUCUUGUUUAAGGAAUCUUUGUAUUCUUUUGUCCGCAUGUCAUGUGCAACACAAAUAAUAUUUUACGUUACACUUGAUAUUCAUUCAUAUAAAUUAAUCAAGGAUAAGAUAUAUAUUGCCAAAUUGAUUAAAAUAAUUAUUAAUUUAAAAUUAAUAAUUCCUUUAUCCAUAACACUAAUAAUAAAGUCCGAUUAUAUAUAGGCAUGCACAUUUUUCCAUGGAGGAUUGAUAAUAAAAUUUUAUAGUGGGUAAUUAAGUGCAACCGUGUUGGUAGAUCUACCUACCUAAUAUUAAUUAAUGAUUGAAAAGAAGAACAUUUAGUUCAUAGUUAAACCAAGAUUGUUACAGAAAAGGGAAAAGACUAAGACAGUGCUCAUGAAGUGGAUAGAAAUAACAGAGAAAGAAAUAGCUAUAUACAAUAAAAUAUUUCUCCUAUAUAGUCAUAUAUACUUUAUAUACAAAUAAAAUAUUUCUCCUAUGUAGUCAUACUUUAUAUAGAAAUAGUUUUUAUUUAAUUAUAAAAAAGAUUUAAUCUCAAUUUAAGUUAGUUAUAAAUAAGGAUAUACUCUAUAUUAUAAUAAGUUAUAAUUUUUUUAAGUCUUGUCUAAAAAGAAUUUGUCCCCGCAUAGUAAUAUUAUUUGUCUAUUGCAAAAAAAGUAUAGACCUUUUUUUUUUAAUUAAGCCUACCUUUAAUAUCAAUUUCUGACAUAAUCCAGUAAUUAAUUAUUAAUAUAGUAAAUAUUUUACCUCUAAUUUAAUUGCACGAAGGAUAACUAAGUGAAAACGAUAAUUUCUGUAACUAUAUCUUUACUAAGUUAAUUAUAAUAUUCUCAUAUUAAUAAAAUUAACUUACCUCAAUAUUAUGAUUAUAGAAAAAUUGGACUAUAUUUGAGAAUUUUGAAAAUGAUGGUCAUGACUUAUGUGCUCGAUCUGUGAUUUUACGUUGAAGUUGAUAGGGCUGAACCAUAAAAAACGUUUAAAGCAUAUUGUCGUUAGUCUUUGUUUCCGAAUAGACAAAAGUGUCAAAUACUAUGUUUAUCAAUAAGAACAUUAUUGAGUCUUUUUUUAUCUUUUUUUUUUUAAAUGACAAAUGAGAGAUGAAUUCAAAUUAAUUAGGAAUUUUUAUCCGUUAUUUAUUAGAGUUGUGCUAGUAUUUUUUUUUAAAAAAAAAAACUACUAAUUACAACAACCUUAAGUAAAACCAACAUAUAUUAUAUAGCUCAUCAUGUGAGCACAGAAUCCGACAUUCCUUUGAGACUUAUAUUUCUCUCAAAUUAAAAUACCGCAAACAAAAGUAUUAAACAAGUAAUAAUAAAAAAAUGCCAAGUGAAAUGGUUCGUUCGACCAAAAAAUGCCGGAUUUGACAAUCACUUUUUGGUCUCCGGCGUGUGGUAUACACACUCCCUUUUAAUUACUAUUAUUAACACCAUGUUAUGUAUAUACAUAAAAGAUUUCAACCCUCCACAUGUAAGGUCCACCGCUAAACCAAGAAGUUGUUCUCAGAACAAUAUGAAUAUUACUUAGUUAUGUCAUAAUUUUAUUAAUAAAGAUAGAAGUUAAUUUAUUUUUAUUUUUGGAAAAUAAUUUUAAAAUUUGUUAAAUAGGUAAAAAUUAUUUUAAGCCCCAUAGUUCGAGUCAAUUACCCAGUUUGGUCAAUAUUAUAUUUUAAAAGAUUAUCCAGAACAUCUCUUUUACUCACUUUUCUAGUUGUUGGACAUAAAUAUCAAAGCAAAAUUCUAUAUGAUAAAGUUUAAAAUUCAAACUUAUUUAACAUAUAGCAGGUGAAAGAUAGAAAAUAAUUAAAAAAUAGAAAAAAAAUAAAUAAUGUAGAUUUUUUUGAGUAAAUUUCUAAAAAUAUAUUGACUCCUCCAUGGGUACUUAAACUACAGGGACAAACAGACAUUUCCCUUUUUGUUUAAUAGAUCAUUAAAGGAUCCAUCCCCUUAAUGCUUCCCAAUCACUCUCUAUCAUCGAAGUUAUUUGUGCCAACCACCAAUGCACUAGCAAAUAUUGAUUCAUGUUUAAGCUCAUGUUUCACAUACUCAUGAAUACUUAGUGAUCAUUUAUAAAUGUUAAUUAAUUAAUUGAGUAAAAGAGCAACAUAAAAAAAAAUACUUUCAUUAAAGUGUGAAUGAUUAAUUACCAUGAAUUUCAAUAUAGAAAUUUCACCAAAACUGUUUAAGCUUGAAUUUUUAAUUCUGCGUAGCAAUGAGUCCAUGACGGCUCCAGCACUAAUCUUAUCCACUAGGGAUGGCAAAAAUCCCCAUGGGGACGGGUACGUUCGGGGAUUUUCUCCAUUCGGGGAGAGUAUGGGGAUAAUUUCAUACCCAAUUUCUUAUUCGGGGAAGGGACGGAGAAAUUUUUUUACCGAAUUUCUUAUUCGGGGAGGGGACGGGGAUGAGGUGGAAUCCCCAUCCCCUACCCAUUUCCCCAUUUUAAUUUUUAAUUUAAUUUUUAUUUUUUAAAAUUACUAGUAAAUAAAUAAUAAAAUUUGAAUUAUAAAAUUAUAAGUAUUGAUAAAAAUAAAAAAAUAUCAAAAUAUUUAUAUUAUUAAACUUUUAGGCCUAAUUAACUAAUUAAAGUUCUAAAUUUUUAUUUAGAACAUUAAAAAGACCGGACAGAUUCUAUUAGUCCAAAACUUUUGUUUUAAUUUUAAUAUUCAUUAAAUAUUUUAAACUUAAAUCUAUUUUUUAUUUAUUUUUAGAUGUUAUAAUUGCCCAUAGCAAAUCACAAUUUUAAUAUCUAAUCUAAUCUAAUAUUUGCUCUUGAUUUGCUUCGACUUAACUAUUGUGUUGUAAAGGGAAUAGUCCACAUUUAUAAAGUGCCCACGCCACCAUUGAAAAGUUAAUUUUGAAUCUAAAUUUGAUUUUAUUUGUAACAAUUUUGUAUUAGCCUAUUAAUUUGUUCAUGAUAGUUUGUAUCCCUUGCAUGCUGCGUUACUUACUAAUUUAGUGUAUGUGACUUUUGUAAUGGAUAUUAAUGUAAAAUAUAUUUCGAACUUUACUUUUAUUUGAAUUUUUUAUUUUAAUAUGAUUAACUCAAAAUCGAAAAUAGAAAAAAUAUAUUAGUUAUUCGGGGAUCGGGGACCCUCGGGGAUCCCUUGUUAUUAUUCGGGGAGGGGAUGUGGAUUCUCUUAAAUAAUUUUGACGGGGAUGGGGAGGGGACGGGGACAUACGCAAAAUAUCGGGGAUGGGUACGGGGAGAUUGGUCUCCUCCCCUCCCCUCCCCAUUGCCAUCCCUAUUAUCCACUUAUCCUUCCCGUAAAUUAUUUCCUACUCGUUUACCAAUUUCUCUAUCUCUUUAUUCAAAUUUCCAACGAAGAAAUAGUUAUGUCCUUUUAUCCAUAUCUCACUUGCAACACACCUAAUCUUUUUUAUGGUAAACUGAAAAAAAAAAAAAAAACAAAAAGAGUGACGCUAUUGGCACCCCUCUAUAUCUCUUGUUCUUUAUUUAUAAAUUUACGCUUUAUAUUUAAAUUAUAUUAAAAAUAAAACUUAUCUAAUUAAACCCACCUAUAUUUUCUUAUUUUUUCUCCAUUAUAAACUCAUUGAAUCUAUAAAUUUUGAAAAAAUAAUGAAUUGUCAUACAAUAAAAUUAAUGCAAGUUUUAUUUUUCUCUUAGAAAAUCAUUGACAUCAAUAAGGUAAAACUAGUACAAGAUAAACCGACACUAAUUUUAUUUUAUUUUUAAACAUUCUAUUAAAUUUUUCUGUCUAAAUAUCAUUGUUCUCUAUUUCAGAGUCAAGUCAAAAUUGUACAAAAUGAAAAAGAGAGGGUUAAAUUGACCCAGCAAAAAGGUUUAAUGAAUCCCUGUGAGAGUCUUUAAUGUGUUUCCAGGAAGAUAAUCAAUUAAUUAACAACACCAAUUAAGUAGUUGAAUGAUCUACUAAGCAAGUUCAUAAAAUCUUAAUGUAUUCUAAUUGUUCGGAGAAAGUAUUUUAAGCUCGAAUGAAAAAUGAAUUUCAGGGACUCUUCCAAUUGCACCCAGUCAUCAUGGAUAUUCCAAUCAGUGAAGGAUUAUUUCGACACAAGAAAAAUAAAAGAUAAAAAAGUGUCAACAAAGACGAUGGAGAAUAUUCAAAUAAAGUCUUUAACGUAUGUAAAUGUAAUGUAACUUUAAUUUGACGAGUGCGGGCGUGACGAAUCCCUUGUAACGUGAGCACAAUGACACAGAAAAGAUAGUGCAAAUCAAAGUGGUCUUCUUUAUGAAUUACGAGAGAGAGCGUAACACAAGUUAUCCAAAUUCAGUCAAUCAAGAUAGGUCAAAUUAUCUUGCCAUUGUCGUUUUCGGGGAAAAAAUGUUAGAAUAAAAUGUUAAAAGAAAAUUUAGAAUGUUUGCUAACUACUAAUAUGAGAAGAGUAAUAAAGACUUUAGAAUUAAAAAAAAAAGUUAGUAGCAGACAAUUAAUAGUUGUAAAAGGCUAAAGUUGUUUCAUAUAACACUUUAGAAUAAACUUUAAUUUGCCCCUCACUUAAAAUGAUAAGUCUUUGAUUUACUUCUAGGAGGAUAAGGCUCAAACUCACGACUUUGGCGCUAAGAAGGUAAUGCUCUUAUCAUUCAGUGCUAAGUCUUUGCCUCUAUAAACAACCAUACAAAGAACAUGCAUCUCUUUUUUAUUCCCCCCCCCCCCCCCCAAAAAAAAAAAAAGAAAUCCAUCACCGCAUCCACAAUUUGCUCUCACCUUAUUGAAUGAAAAUGAAGGCUAAAUUGAUAUUUUCACUCUUUUAGGUGAUAAAAUCAAGAUUGUUGUUCUAUCGGGAGAAUGAUUUAAAAUUUACCAACUUUUUAAAUUAGAUUUCUCCGGUAUGUCUCGAAAUGAUUGAGGCUAUAAUAAGUAUAGGUUUUAAUAGAAAAAAAUAUCGGUGGAUUGGCUGUCAAAUAUUCCCUUCACAAAGACAAAAUAUAGCUUUUAUUCUAAUUCUUCAUAGGCUUUAUUUGAUUAUUUCCAAUAACAAUCAUUAUAACAGUGAAUAGCUUUUUGGCAGCCGUAGUUAAGAUAUUGGAUUAGAAACACAGUUUGAGAAGCCAAACAAAACUGAUUCCUUGGAAGAAAUGUAUUGAAAACCUUGAAUCACUCAAUGGGUGUAACAAAUUUACAAGUUAUCUUCAAAAUUCCCAAAGCAAACUUCGCCAAAAUUUAAUUUCCCUCCCACGGAAACAAAUUUUUUUUUGCUUUGAGCAGAUAACUUUCACAGUAGGCUUUUCAACUCAAAAAAAGCCAUAUCCUAGUUAAAGACAAAUCCAGGUCUUAUAAAGUAGCUUAGGAACUCUCGCUGCGAUGGGAAAUUCUUGUGCAUGAACAUGCAACUCAAUCAAGCACAGAUAAUGACAUAAUGGAACCGAAUUAAGUGUCGAACAAAAUACAGAAUGAAAAGAGUUAUAUCAUUGGUAGAAAGUUGUAUUGCUAACUGCCUGACACUCUCAGUCAACUAAUUUUAUGGACUGACCAUCAGUGACAAAAUGCAACAAAUAUUUCUAUAAAGUCAUAAGUUUGCCAAUAGAGCUAAUUGGUUUGAAAGGUUUAAAAUAUACUUUCAAGGCAAAAAAGCUGUCUACAAUUAAACUUUUAUUAAGACUCAUAAUACAGAAAGAAAUUUGCUAAAGAAACAAACAGUACAGAGGAUGAAUAGUAAAAAUGCCAUCGGUAAGACAUAGAUGGACCGGAAAAGGAUUAUCUUGAUGAUACUGGUGCAGCUAUCAAUUCUGGCUUGCGCCCUUCGCACGGGUGUUGCCUGUUGUGGUUUGAUAAAGCACUUGUGCCAUACAAUGAGUAUAACCAAUCAGCUUGAUCAGUUUCUCCCCUUCUUAAGGGAUCAAAUUUACAAUGCCUUCAUAAUGAAUACAGCAGAUGGUGGCUAAUUGCCAAACACUUGACAAUGAUAGGCAAAUUCUUCUGUCAGAAAGCUGGGUGAAAAAGGUCAGAAUCUUGAGACCUGCUCAACCACAAGAUUGCAACAAAAGGGAAUCUGAUAAUAUAUAAUGGGAAAUCAGAUUAGCUUUCUCAUGAACAUUUUAAUAAUCUGAGCCACCAGUUUAUGACAAGGAAGCUUCUAAUGGUUACAACAUUCUAAAUCAUCAAAAAUGGUUCGAGGUCUCUAGCAUCAAUAUUUGCAAUUAAAAAAAAAAAACCUCGAAGAUUAAACCAUUAGAACAAACACUACUAGGUGACUUUCAAAACAUCAUUUCUUGUCCAGCUGUCUUCAUUUUUAGUUAGUUAUUUCAUAGCCAGAAGCACGUUGUUUAAAAUGUCAUUUAACACACAGCAGUACAAUCCACCAUCCGAUCUUAUUAACUUCCGCUAAAAGCAAAAUGAGAUUUUAUUAAAGAAAGGAAAUUUAUAAAAGCUAGCAUACCAUCACAAAAAACUUCUUAGUUCAAAUCUAAGUACAGAUGAAAUAAUCAGAAUAAGUUUAGGCCUGAAAGCAUUGGUGUCUCCUUUAAACAUCUAUUCAAACAAAUUCUGCAAUUCCUCCAAGGUCUCCUCACCAUUUUCCUGUCAAAUUUACAAUCCAAGCACACAAAGAUAAAUACCAAGCAAUAACACUGCUGGAAGAUUAAGUCAGGUUUGAAUAAUUCAAUUAUUCAAUUCCUCCAAGAACAACUUUUGUGGGGCCUACAUAGAUGUCAAAAAGUAAGCAGUGGGCACUACUAGUGCUCAACAGCAAAGGAAAAAGAAAAAAAAGAAGAAGAAGAAAAGAAAGUGGUGGGCCGCUCAGGGGAAAAAAAUACUAAUAAAUAAAUAAAAUAAUAGGCAUGAACAGUAGCCAAUUUUUGGCUAUAAAAUGAGGAUGCUCCUCCUCAUUUCAACAUCCAGUUUGAGAGAAACAUUUCCUAUAUUUAGGGAGUUGAGAGUAUUAAGGGUUUAAUAAACUCUUGAUUUGAGAGAUUAGUGAGUGAGCGAUUGGGUAUAUUGAGAUUCUGGAUAAUGAGCCAAAAUAUUACAAUACUUGUAAUUCUCAUAUCACUAGUAAAAUAUUUUUUUUUCUAUUUUCACCCGUGAAUCUAGGUUAAAAGCCGAACCACUUAAAUCCUAGUGUCCCUGUGUGAUUCUGUUGUCUCAUUAUUUCUCAAUUUCACUUUAGUUGCGUGUCUACUUCACCAAUUAAUUUCCCAACAAUAGAACUUAUAUGUAAUUCGCCAUUGAACAAGACCAAAACUAGGCACCAUGAAUCACUACUUUUCAGAGCAUGAACACACUGAGGAUAAAAAUAAAAACAUAUUAAAAUAUGUUGCCCUUGUGACUAAGUGACCCAUUUCCAAUCUGAUUAGGAGAAAUCAAAAUACCGUCAUUCUUUUGCCAACCAGCAAAGUAAAAGCCAUAACUAAAGCUUGGAAAAAGCUAAAUAAUGCUUAGGAAUUUCCAAACACAAUUCUCAAAUUAUUCUAUAGAAAAUAAAUAUGCAUUGAAGAAUGCUUACAUUAGUUUGUGUUUGGCUCAUCAUCACAACCAUUUCAUUCAAGAAAUCUCCCAUUCCCUCAAAACAAAACUAAAAAGUCUCAUGUAAUAAAAUCCUCACCCGUUCCCCACCCCCCACCCCUUCUUGUAGAAGUUAAUUUUCCUGUAUCUUCAAAGCAACAAAAGCGCAUUAAAAAGUUAAAGAUGAAAUGAAAACAAUAUAUAUAUAGAGAGAGAGAGAGAGACACACACACACACACACAAAAUUGGAGCUCAUAUUAUUUUAUUCAUCAUCACUAUCAUAGACUCCUACAUAGUACAAGAACCUCUUGUUGGCAUUAGACAGAACUUGAAGAGAGAAGAAGGAAAACAACAUCUCGUGAAUCCGAUAAUUAUCCGUCAUUAUAAAAAAGAUUACAGUUUUAUUUCUUAUUGUAUACUACAAAUUACAUGCAUAAUAAAUAAAUAAAUAAAUAAAUAAGAAUUAAAAAUUUUGGAAUUUAGUAAGGUUAGCAACAAAAUAGGCAUGUUGAAUCGCGUAAAAUCUCUUCGUGGCUUCUUUCAUAAAUUUUGAAUCUUGAAGAAUUUUACGAUGCAAAAACUGUCGUGGCUUCCAUGGUCUGCCUUCUUAUUGAUCAAUAUUUAUAUGUACAUAAGAAUUGCCCUAGUUCACAAGGAAAGGAAAUCUUAUCAAACUAGGAAACAUAUAACAACCAAUAAUAUAUACACGUAACUUGCUAUAUAUAUAUAUAUAUAUAUAUAUAUAUAUAUAUAUAUAUAUAUAUAUAUAUAUACACGUGAGUUAACACCCCCCCUCAAGUUGGAGCAUGGAGAUCACGAAUGCCCAACUUGCAAAGAAGGAACUCGAACUCUUUGCUGCCAAGUGCCUUUGUGAAGAUAUCAGCUAGCUGAAUAUUAGUAUAUACAUAGGCAGGCCAUAUGUUUCUUCGUUGAAUUUCGUCUCGGACAAAAUGACAGUCAACUUUGAUGUGCUUGGACCGUUCAUGAAACACGGGGUUGGCAGUGUUGGGAAAAUAUGCUCUUUAAAAGCAUAUGUGUUUAUUUAAUUGUAAUAAAUAAUUUUUCUGAUUAAUAAAAUAGAUGAGGUAUUUUAUUCAAAUAUCUUAAUUGCAUUAAUAUUUGUAUUAAAGUCCAUUUAAUCAUAUUAUAUGUAUUUAUGUGAUCACCAUGUGGAUUCACAGAAGACAUAAAUACAAGUUAUCUUAUGAUUAAAUAAAUUUAGUUCGCAGUUGAUAAAUUAAGUUGGGCACUUUAUUUAGGUAUAGACUGUAAUAAAUUCAUUGAAUGAUUUGUCUUAAUCAUGUAUGAAUUUAUUGAUGUAAUACGACUACAUUGAACAGGAUCACAUAUGAGAUUUAAUUAACUUUGUAAUAACUGUCAGACUUAUUAAAUCACAUAGGCGUUGAUUUUACUGUAAUCUUAAUCUUGAGUUAAUUAUGAUUUCAUGAUUGUAAUUGUUAUUCCAUUUGAGUUACCAAUGGGCACGACACAUCCUUGUGGUCAAGAUUACCCGGUAUCUUGGUGGGAGCAAUUAUGAGUAUUGAAGUUAUGGAUUAACAAUAUAGAAUUUGUACAACACAUCUCUUGAUGGGUUUUCGGCACUUGAUCAUAGAAUUCUCUGGCCAGAGUGUGUCAACAUAUUUAGUAUGUUGAAAAUGAUCAUUAGAGAAAACCAGUAAGGAUCAAGGAAUAAGAUGUUAUUAAAUUGAUUGGACAGUUGAGAUAUCAAUUUAAUUAACGAUGUGGUACAAAGGAUUGUGCAGUAAAGAAAUCAAUGUGGCUUGGGACGAAUUAUUAUUCGAGCAUACAAUUAUGGAAGUCAGUUCCAAUCUUUUAGUGGAGUAGAUUUGGAAUUAAAUAAUUAGGCUAGUUUAAUUACAGGCCUAAUUGUUAUACCACUAUUGUAUGUUCCCAAAUGAUCCCCGGGUUAGCUCAUUUAAUUGACUACACCACUACUGGACUAAUAAGCAAGAUAACUAGCUAUUUGGGUCAAAAGCCUAAAUAUAUCAUUUAGUGGGAGGCUCCAUUUAAUAAGCUUAUGUGUAAGGGGUCUUAUGUUAUUUUACAUGGUGGGUCCCCUAUUAAAUGAAAAGUAACGUGAGUUUUAUUUUGGGGAAUUCUUGGAGCCUAGGGUUUUCACUAAAGGGAGAUAUAUAAGGCUUAUUUUCUCUAAAGGAAAAAGGUGAAGCCACUUUAUACAGAUAAGAGAAUAAGAUUUUUCUCUCUAUUGUUGAGAGAAAAAUUUUCUCGUGCUAGUUGCUUUGGUAGUGAUAAAGGCGCCCACACGUCAAGUGCAGAUUGAACCUGAGUCAUAAUCUGGAAGAUCAUUGGUGAUAGUUCGUGAUCUAACAAGCGUGGUGGUGACGGAUCGUGAUCUAACAGGAGUGGUGGUGGCGGAUCGUGAUCUAGGAGCCUAAAUCACUUCAGCGGAAAAAGCCAACUCGGAUUUUCAAGGUACGAUUUCUAGAAUGCAAAUUCUUAUAUAUUAUAUGAGAGCGAUCUUCAAAAGGUUUUCUAAAAAUUUAAAAACCUGAUUUUUCCCCAACAGGCAGCUAGAUGAAGAGCAGCUUGGCUGUCACAAUACAGGUGCAUGGGCCGUGAGUGAUCAACUCCGAGAGACAUCAACAAUCCUUUGAGCCACUUGAGCUCACAUGUAACUGUUGUCAUGGCAUGAUACUCGGCCUCAGCAGAGGAUCACGCAACGGAGUGUUGUUUCUUAGAUUUCCAGGAUAUAGGAGAGGAUCCAAGCAUGACAAACCACCCAGAUAAAGAACGUCGAGAUAGGGGGCAGCUUGCCCAAUCAGAAUCACACCACCCAUAAAGUUGCAAAUCACAAUAUGAUUUUAAAAACACACUUUAACCAGGGUUACCUUUUAGAUAGCGAACUACCUGCAAAGCUGCUUCCCAAUGUCGCUCCCGCUGCUGCUACAUAAAUUGAGAAAGUAGAUGAACCGAAUAGGACAACUCUAGCCUUGUAGCGGAAAGAUAAAUUAAUCUGCCUACGAGUUGUCGAUAUUUCGCAGGAUUAGAAAAAUAAGGGCCUUCGGCCAAAGCUAGCUGAUGAUUCGGUUUUAAGGGAAGUGGGGCUGGUUUUGCACCAAGUAAUCCAGCCUCAGAGAUAAUAUCUAACACAUACUUCCUCUGAGACAAGAAGAUUCCUAUCAGAUUUCGUGCAACUUCAAUACCCAAAAAAUAUUUCAAUGGACCCAAAUCUUUCAUAUAAAAAUUAUCACUCAAAUACAUUUUGAAUACCUGAAUAGCUUUGUUGUUGUUUCCCGAAACAAUUAUAUCGUCAACAUACACAAGCACAAGUAGAUGUAUGUUAUCCCGAUGCAAGGUAAAAAGAGAAUAAUCCGAGCUCGAUUGAGCAAAGUCGUAAGUCUUCAAAGUCGCUGCCAACUUUGCAAACCAGCAACGGGGAGCUUGCUUUAAUCCAUAUAAUGACUUUCUUAGACGACAAACCCUUCCAGAUUCAUUUGAAGUGAAACUAGGCGGUAAGCGCAUGUAAACUUCUUCAUUAAGCUCACCGUGUAAGAAAGCAUUGUGAACAUCCAUAUGAUGAUGCUCCCAAUUCCUAGCCGCAGCAACAGCCAGAAAAGUUCGAACUGUAACAAAUUUUGCGACAGGAGCAAAUGUCUCUGUGUAAUCAAUUCCUUCAACUAAUAAUAGUUAUCGAUUUUUAGCUAAUGUCUUUAUGCCAUGUUAUUUUGUUUACACAAGUUCUUAAUGUUUGUGGUUAUAUCAUUAUUGAUUUCGAAAAUAAUAUUUUAAUAUUUUUAUUUCAAAUGAUAGGAUAUUUUUUGACACAUUGGAUGCUUUUUGAAUUAAUGAUACCUUUGUAUAUUUCAUUUAUUGUUUCAUCUAACAUUGUUUGAUGAGUGAUGAUACAGUUAAAAGCUCUUGUAUAAACUUUAUUUUAUACAAAUUGAUGAAAUUUAAAUUUAUUGAUUGAAUGAAAUUACCAAAUAAUAAAAAUAAAUAAUGUGGGUCAAGAGUUAGGGGUAGGCAAACUCAAUCCAAUCCCGAUGAAUUCAAUCCAACCUGACGAAUCCAGUCCAACCCAAUCUAAUCCAAUCAAAAUUUGAUAGAUUAAGUGAAUUAUUAUGGGGUUAAUUAGGUAAUUUUUUCGAAUCCAAUUAAUAAUUGGGUUGGGUUGGGUUAAUUAUGAUAAACCUGUCUCACCCAACCCCAUCCAUAUAAAUAAUAGUAAUAGUAAUAAUAGUUAGCCAUCCAGAACUGCUUACCAAAUAGAAGCUAAUUCCUGCAAAUUACAUGAAAAUUGCACGAAAUAUCAAUAUCCUUAUUUUCUUGAUUUCACCUUCAUUGUGUAUUUUUCUCCAGAAAUUCCAAACUUACGAAGAGGAUUCGGGCCACGUUCUAUGCAUCAUAUGGAAUGCGGCCAUUUUUCUGUGUAAUUUGUGAGGUGUUAUAUUACAUGGAGCUUGACUUCUUUCUUUCUAUCAAGGGUCAGAUGGCAUUGGUGAGAGGUUCUUCUGUUUCUUUGUUGAUUGUUCUGCUUUUGGCUUUUUUAUUAAAGUUAUUUUGAAUCCGCUUUCAGAUUGUGUGUUUAAUGAUUUGAUUAAAUUUGUGUUUAGUUAAAUGUAUUUGGAUUUCUGGAGUAUUUCAGCAGUUGAUGAUGAAAUUCAGCAUUAAAUUAACUUAUAAUCAUUCUAAUUAUUGAAUUUUUUUGUCAUGAAAAAUCAUUUAGUAUUAUUGCGGCAGUAAAAUUCAUUGAAGUAGCAUUCAAUAAAUAAAUAAAUACGGUUUAGUCAAAUCGUACAUGUAUCAUUCAGCUUACAACAAUGGAAGGAACUGAAGUUUUCGGAGUGCUCAGUUUAAUCAAAUGAUGAGAAAUAAAUGCGGUUGCAAAGUUGGAUACUUAUUAGUUGCUAUAAAUUUAACUAAGUCGUUAAACGUGUACGUGAUUGCCACUAGUAUUGAAAUCAAAGCAUUCAAUGAUUUAUGGUCUCAAAUUUGAGGUUAAAAUCACCUAAUUAAUUUCAGCAACUACUUCCAAAUGAUUAUUGUUUCGAGGUUUACAAAUAUGAAAUUUUCUUUUCGGCUCAAAUUUUACUAAUGACUACACCAAAGAUUAAAGUUUUUCUUUCACUUCAAUCGCUAUGCUGUGUCUGCCGAGAAAUUCCUUUGUUUUCUUCAAUAAGCAACUACCAGAUGGCCAAAGUUGGCAAUGGUAUGAGGCAAGCUUAGCGAUUAUAAACACCUGGCAAAGACACCAGGUUAAUUUUUAUCUCUUAGCACUUUGUUUUGCACAGAGAUAUCCAAUAUAUACUAGUUUAUCAGAUAAUUUUGAUUAAUGCUGAGUGAUAGUGUAUUAGUCUCCUGGUUAAUUAAAUGUGAAAACAUUAUACUAAAUACUAGUUGAUUGAUUCUUUUUUUUUUUUAAUCUUCUUGUUAUUUUCCAUGACAUAGCUAAUAUAAAGACUUGUCCCAACUCAUCCCUCUAUGUUCAUUUAAUGUUACUAGUUUUUCUGCCCCAAGGUUGACUUGAUGGUAGGUUAUUUUGAUUAACUUGUAUUUUUGGCCGAAUAUUGACAAAAGCAAUCAGCUCAUGUAACUUACUCUGUUUUCCACUAAAAAUAUAAUCAUUUAUUACCUCUAGUUUAUCAAAUGAUCAUCAUUAAUGCUGCUAGGAAAGCUUUAUUAGUCUUUCUUUUAAUAUAUCAUUACCAAUCUUGCCAACUUUUGCUUAUCUUUUAACGUGGUCUUUGUUUAUAUUUCAUGAUCCCCGAAAUACACGUCAACGCAACCAUUUCCUAUAGCAAAUGUUUUUAACUCUUUUUAAGUUAUUGGAUUGCUGCUUUCCAUGCAUAUAAAUUAUGGAAUAGCUUACUUAAUCUUUCAUUAUCAUCACCAAAUCUCGAAUUGUUUGCAUUAUCUUCUUUUUGAAAAUGCUUCACGAAAUCAAAUUACUAACAGAAGUCAUAAAUGUCCUGCUCCAGCAUUUUCUUAAUCAUCCAACUUUUCUCAGAUUCUCUGAAAAUCCCUUAUACAUUUUCUGGUUCCCUUUUCUUAAUCAUCCUUUUUCUAAACCUUUUUUGCAGAUUUUUCACUGUACUCCCUUUUUUAUUUCUAGCUUUUUCAUUCCUUGCCCUCCUUGUCUCUUAUUUCUUGUUGCGAUUGGUUUUGUUUUCCCCUGUUUUCUCAAAGCAAAAUAAAAAUAAAAUAAAAUAAAAUAAAACAGGAUAAUGGAAAUUGUUACCUCCUUGUCUCUUAUUACCUUCGAGAAGCUGAAGAAUGAUGUUGAUAAACUAAAGAAUGCUAGAGACAGUGUACAGUAUAAAGUAGAUGAUUCCAAAAUCAAAGGGGACGGAAUUCAACAGCACGUUGAGGAGUGGCUGAUUAGUGUGGACGAGGUCAUCAGUGAAGUUAGGAAGCUUACAGAAGUUGAAGAAAAAUCAAACAACCGGUGUUUUAAUGGGUUGUGUCCCAAUUUGAAGACCCACUACCCGCUUAGCAAGAAAGCAGAAAGGGAGGUGAAUGCUAUUGAUGGACUCCAUGAAAAAAGGAAAUUUGACAGCGUUUCUUUCCGUACAAUUCCAGCGGAGAUAUGGCUUAAGUCUACAGAAGGUUUCAUUCACUUUGAAUCAAGAAAAUCCACUUGAAUUCAGACUGUUAUUAUUAGAAGCACAUGUCAUGGGGUCUCUUCACUUAAACUUUUGGUCCCAUCCUCUGGCCUUCUGCCACCUGGAUCUUCGCAGCAACUUUGCUGAGUAAGAUUGAUGAUUGUAGUGCUACGUUAUUUGUCACUUUAGUCUGGAUAUAAAGCUUAAAAUCGUGUCGGAGGGUAAUAAUAUCGGUAAACUUUUGACAAAUCACUGAUCAAUUGAUCUUUUCAAGUCACUUAUAUCGUUUCCAUCGGAUUUGACGCCAUCAAACCACAAAAAUUUAUGUAAAAUUUUUCAAGUAAAAAAACUGUCUUACCCCCAUCACACACGAUCGAAUCUUGGAUCAUGAAUGAGUGAUGUCAAUUACAAUUAAAAGAUUUCAGUCUCAAGACCUUAACCCAUUUAGGUUAUUGAGCGAAUGACUUAUCAAAAUGAGAAAGCUACAAAAUAUGUGACAAUAGGAGGACAGGCUGACAGCAAAGAAAGCCAUCAGCUCUUGCAGUGUAUUCUGUUUCGCACUAAAAAUAUAAAUCAGUGAUCACCUCUAGUUUAUCAAAGUAAUCAUGAUUAAUGCUAUAAGGAAAGCUUUAUUAGUCUUUCUUUAUGAAUCUCGCCCGCUUUUGCUUUUCUUUUAGCAUGGUCUUUGUUUGUAUUUAACGUUCCCCAGUCAACGCAAAGCCUUUAACUAUGAUCUUCUCUUGAAUAGAUCUUCUCUAAUAAAAAGUUGAGAUCCUCUCUUGAAUAGAGUUUACCCUUGAAAAAUAAGUAUACAUUAUCAUUCAUGUACUUUGCCGUGUGUGCUUUCUUGAAAAAUAAGUAUACAUUAUCAUUCAUGUACCCUUGAAAAAUAGAGUUUAAUCACAUAUAUAAGUCGUCAUAUUCACAUAUAUAAGCCGUCAUAUUAUCAUAUAUUACACAAUAAUCAAAGCUAAUUAUUGAAACCUUUCUUUCAAAUGAAAAAAAAAAAUUAUUGAAACCUUCCGUGUUUGAAAAUGCCGGCAGCACUUGCAACUUCCAGGAACCUUCGUGGAAGUGCAGAUGCUGAGUGCAUCCAUCUGUGCGAUUAAAUGCCGAAAUGAUUUCGAGGACCCACACGACCACGCAACAUUUUUUUUUUUUUGUUCAUUUUAUUUGUAUAUCUAUUUGUGGGAAAAAAAAAAAAAAGAAUCAUAAGGUCCGCAAACUUUGGCUUUAUAUCAGAGUAAUUAAUUUUUUAUUUAUUAAUCAUCAACUUAGAUUUUUAAAUUACAACAGUAAUAAAAUAUUUAAUAAAAAAUUACAAAUAAUUAAAGCUGCCGUUAAAAAUGCUUGAAAAGUCUUACGAUUACAUGCUGAAAAAUGUCGGCAUCGGCAUCAUAGCACUUACUAGUAACAAGAAAAUUCAAUGAAAUGCCAAAAUGAUACCUUCCGCCGUCCAAUUAACCUAUAACUUUAACACUAUUUACAUACAAUUAUAACCAUCCAUCUCAGUUAUUAAGAAUCUAUAGUUGACUUGGAUGCAUGAGUCUUCUCCUUGAGAUGGCAACUGUCUGCCUCUGCAUUUUCCUAAUCAUCCCUUUUCUCUAAUCUCUAGAGUUCUCUGAAACCUCUUCUUCAUUUUCUGUCUCCCUUUUCUGAAUCAUCCUUGUCCUCGAUCCUACACCUUCUUUGCAAAUCUUUCAUUGCACUCGCUUUUCAAUUUGUCUUAUCAGAGAAAGGAUCCCCCUUUGUUUCAUCUCUAGACUUUUCACUCUUUUCCUCCCUUCCUCCCUUAAAUCUAUUCAUUUUAGCAAUUUAUCCAAACUUCUUAUUUCCCUCUUCCCACCCGAUUGAUUACUUCUGCUUAGUUUGAUUAGUUUUGCUUUCCCCUGUUUUCUGAAAGAGAAAAAUAAAAAAGAAAGGGACAAUGGAAAUUGUUAUCUCCGUUGCUGCAAAAGUUGCAGAGUACUUGGUUGCUCCCAUAAUUCAUCCAUUUACUUACUGCUGCACCUACAAGACCAACUUCGAGAAGCUGAAUAAUGAAGUCGAUAAGCUAAAGAAUGCUAGAGAAAGUGUGCAGUAUGAUGUUGAUGAUUCCAGAAUUAAAGGGGACGGAAUCCAACACCACGUUGAGGAGUGGCUGAUUGCUGCGAACAAGGAGAUCAAUGAAGUCGAAACACUUAUUGAAGACAAAGAGAAGUCAAACAACCGGUGUCUGAAAGGGUUGUGUCCAAAUUUGAGGACUCGGUACCAGCUUAGCAAGAAAGCAGAACGAGAGGCGAAUGCUCUUGUUAGACUCCGUGAAAAAGGGAGCUUCCGCCGAGUUUCCAUCCGUACAAUUCCAGGGGAGACGUGGCUUAAGUCUACCAUGGAUUUCAUGCACUUUGAAUCGAGAAAGUCCACCUUGAAGGAGAUACUAGAUGCACUGAGCAACCGUAACUUCAACAUGAUUGGAGUGUACGGGAUGGGUGGGAUUGGAAAGACAACGCUGGUGAAAGAAGUUGGCAGACAGGCCAAGGAAAAUAAUCUCUUUGACAAGGUCAUUUCUUCACGCGUUUCUCAAACACCGCAAAUAAAAGAAAUACAAAGAGAAAUUGCAGAGAAGCUGGGCCUGAAAAUAGAUGAAGAGAGUGAAACUGUAAGAGCAUGGAGGCUGCUCGAACAAUUGAAGAAAGAGACGAAGAUCCUGAUAAUCUUGGAUGAUAUUUGGGGGAGUCUCGAUUUGGAGGCGAUUGGAAUUCCAUUGGCAGAUGAUAACGGCGGAUGUAAAGUUCUGCUGACAGCAAGAAGUCAAGAUGUGUUGUCUUGUAAAAUGGAUUGUCAACAAAAUUUUGUUGUUGAUGUUCUGAAUGAAAAAGAAGCUUGGAGUCUUUUCAAGAAUAUGACAGGUGAUUGCAUAGAAAAUGGUGAACUGAAAUCUGUAGCAACAGAGAUAGUCAAGGAAUGUGCUGGUUUGCCCAUUGCCAUUGUACCCGUAGCAAGGGCAUUGAGAAACAAGAGAUUGUGUGAAUGGAAGGAUGCUUUGCUAGAAUUAAAAAGGCAUUCUUUGAUAAGUUUCUCUGGGACACAAGCGGUGGCCGCUUAUUCAACUAUCGAGUUGAGUUACAAUCAGUUAGGAGGUGAGGAACUCAGGAAAACGUUUUUGCUAAUAGGAUACUCCUACAUAUGUAACGUUAAAGACUUGCUUUAUCAUGGCAUGGGUUUGGGUCUGUUUCAAAACAUCAACACGGUGGAUGAGGCACGGGAUAGAGCACAUACAUUGGUUGAUAAACUCAAGAACUCUUGCUUGUUGCUUGAUGGCAGGACAAGUGAACUGUUUUCUAUGCACGAUGUUGUUCGUGAUGUAGCCAUAUCAAUUGCAUCUAGAGACCAACAUGUGUUUGCGGUGGAAAAUGAGAAUGUUCCGCUGACCUGCUGGCCAGAUAAGGAUACACUGAAGGUUUGCACCGCAAUCUCCUUAUUUAAUACUAAUAUUAGUGGGCUUCCUCAAGGGUUCGAGUGUCCGCAACUUAAAUACUUUCGUAUUAGCAAUGUUCCUUCUUUGAGAAUUCCAGAUAACAUUUUUACUGAGAUGACAGAGCUUAGAGUUUUAGAUUUCACUAAGAUGCAUUUGUUGACAUUGCCUUCAUCGCUUGGUCUCUUACAAAACCUUCAAGCAUUGUCUCUGGAUUACUGUAAACUACGAGACAUGGCUAUUAUUGGAGAUCUAAAGAAAUUGGAAAUCCUUACACUUCGAGGUUCUAUUAUGCAGAAACUGGUUGAAGAGAUAGGCCGGCUGACUCAGUUGAGGUUGUUGGAUCUGAGCAACUGUUUCCUUCUAAAAGUUAUUCCACCAAAUGUCAUAUCAAGCUUAUCACGAUUAGAAGAAUUGUAUAUCGGUGAGAGUCCCAUUAUGUGGGGGAAGGUUGGAGGAGUCGACGGUGAAAGAAGAAAUGCCAUCCUUGAUGAGUUGAAUAAUUUAUCUAAAUUGACCUCUUUAGAAAUACUCAUCCAAGAUGAAAAGACUCUACCAAGAGACUUGUCGUUCUUCAAAAUGCUGCAAAGGUACAGAAUAUUGAUAGGAGAUCGGCGGCGGCGGUAUGGCCCAUCGGAUGGGAUUUCUAGAAAAUUCAAACUGAAGCUCACAAAUGGUGCCAACAUUUGCUUGAACGAGGGGCAUAUCAUGCAAUUGAAGCGUAUUGAAGACCUAACUUUAGAUGGAUAGCCGGACAUGAAGAAUGUUCUUUGUGAACCGGGCAGAGAAGUUUUCCACAGCUGAAUCGUCUCGAAAUCCGACGUAAUAGCAACAUUGUUCGUCUUGUUGACACAAUGGAUUGUACGCCAGCUCCGACGACCGCAUUCCCCUUUUGGAGUCAACAUAGAGGUGGAAGGGUGUGAUAAAUUGAAAAAAAGUAUUUCCAUUGGUCAUUGGCGGAGGCCUUCAACAACUUCAGUCCAUUAAAGUGAGUAGUUGCCAAAAUAUGGAAGUGAUUUUUGCUGCCGAGAGAGGAGAUGAAUCCAGCAAUAAUAACGGUUCUGAAGUGAUUGAACUCACUCAAUUGAGGAAACUUGAGCUUCGUUCUCUUCCGCAGCUUACAAGCUUCUGCACAGGUGAUCUGCAUUUUGAAAAGGUACGCAUGCAAGAUUUUUGUAAUUAUUUUUCAAUUCUUACGUACUGAAAAGUAUUUCUACUUUGAGAGUUCAGAGUUUUAUUGUCUUCCUCGCCCUCAUCACUUCGUCUUUUAGUAACAAAAUGUUAGUUCUAUAAAUCAGUUUAUUUAAUUAUACUUUAUAAUAUCCUUACAAACAUAAUUAUUUUCUUUUUUUAUGUCAGUUAGACCGAAUGAAAAAAAAUUAUUUUUUUCCUUCUUGUUCAAUUUUUUUUUUCUCUUAAUUAUCAGAGUUUUUCUUCUUCCUCUACUUUUUAUUUUAUGUCUACAUGUUUAGUUAAAUACACGGAAGAGACAGUGCAUUCGAUUAGCCAAACAAAGAAAAUACUCAUAAGAUCUAGAGUUUUUCAAGCCAUAGUUAAUUCCCUGAAAAUCGUUCAAGAGCUAUUUCCAAAUUAGUACUCCUUAGUACAGUAUUGUUACAUACAAAAUGAUUAUGAAUUUUGAUGUUGAACUAGAAAUUGGUCAUCUCGUGGUAACAUAAAUAAUAUACAGCUGAAAAUACACAUUACUUAAAUGGAAUGCUUUGUUUUUACUUUGUAUUUACAGCUGAAAAUCAUACUCUCUGCGAAUAUGUAUAUAUUUGUCCGGCCAUCAAUAUGCAUCAUUGGAAUGCUUUGUAUUUACUUUAAUUUGUGAAAUUGUAAGAAAGAAGUGUUAACUCCAUCAAUAUGCAUCAUACUCUCUGCGAAUAUGAAAAGCACAUAUGCCUAUUUCCAGAAGACUGGCUUUGCAAACUUAAAUGUCUUGCUGUCCGGCUUGAUGAGUCAAGUACUAUUUUAUCACUUGACAAUUUCCUCCAUAGAUUUCACACCAUCAAAAUUCUCUCUAUAGGAGGGAACAAUAAGGCAGAUUUGGACACAUUAUUUGAAAACUUUGAAAAUUGGAUGAAAGCAGUGAUGAAGGUAAUAAAGCAUCGUCGUGAACUGAAGCAGAUUUUCAAACAAGAGUCAACCAAUACCAACAAUUUGGAAAAGCUGGAGAUAGUCGAGUGUGACAAUUUGACUAAUCUAGUGCCAUCCUCGACAUCCUUUCAGAACCUAACAACUUUGACGGUAUGGGGUUUCUCUAGAAUGAUACACGUACUAACAUCCUCAACCGCAAGGAGUCUGGUGCGACUGAGACAAAUGGAGAUAGGUAUCUGCAAGAUGAUAACAGAAAUAGUGGCAGAUGAGGAUGAUGAGGGAUAUAAUUAUGCAGCAAAAGAUGAAAUUGUUUUCAGCGAAUUAAAGGAAUUGUUGCUUUGGGACUUAAAAUGUCUGACUAGAUUCAGCUGCUCUGGGAAUAAUUGCGCCUUCAAAUUCCCAUCUCUAGAAACAUUACUGGUGGAUCGUUGCCCCAAUAUGAAGAUUUUCUCAGAAGGGGAAUUCAGCACACCCAAGUUACAGAAAGUGCAUCUGAGCGUGUUAGAUAAAAAACUUUGGGCUUGGGAUCGGGACCUUAAUACAACCAUUCAAUACAUAUAUCUUAAAAGAAAAAAGGUAAGUAUUCAUUCACUAUGAGAUGUUGAUUUAUUUUUUUUUUUCUAAAAAUUACUGAUUUAAUAACAGAUAUAUAUAAAAAAGUAAAAAGAAAAAAGUACAUAUUAAUUUUUUUAUAAAUUCAUUUUAAAUCUGAUUAGGAAGAGAAGGAAAAAGAGAAUGAGAAGUCUGCCAAGGCAAAUGAAAAGGAGAAAGAUGCGAAAGACAGUGGUAAGAUAAAAUCUAUACAAUUUGGGAGGUUUUGAUUUGAUUCUAUUUUGCUGACUAAAAAUGUUUUAUUUUUGUUGAAAUUUUUGUUAAAUCAUAUUGGUACAUCUUUUUAAAAUAUAACUACUCUGCUCUGUUGUUAUGUUGAGGAUUAGUUGUUAGACAGACAUAGCGAAAAAAAAAAAAGAAAUUAAUUGCUUACAGAGAGAAUUGAAAGAUUUUGUGUCCUUAAUAGAGGCUAAUUUGUGCAAUUACAUUAUGUGAAAACUGCACCUUCAAUGUGUUUUUACUCUUUGUUUACAGAUAGUCCAAGCUUCUAAAGAGGAUUUCCGCUACUUGUGCAGCAUUUUGGAUAAGGCUCGAGCUCGAGCACUUUCUAUAUAUUAAGAGUUAGAUGGUGUUGGUGAGAGGAUUUUUUGUUUCAGUUUUCAUUCAUUAUUAUGCUCUUAGCUUUGUUUUAGUACUCAGAAAUCCAAUUUGAAGCUAGUUUUAUUUCUUACGGAUGGUGUCCAAGAGCUUGCCAUAUUCAAUUUGUAGGCAUCUGAAAAUCUCUUUAAGCCCUAAUUAAUUAAAGAGAUGUGUGCAUCAUAUUUGUGUUCGUGCACCUAUUGGUAUUUAUUGGAGACAAUUUUGUGAGAAAUUAUGUGAUUUCAUGAAAAUAUCAAGAAUUUAUAUAGAAAAUUAUGGAAAAAUAAAAGUUUAUGGGGUCAAUUGCUCACUGUAGACAACAUGUGGAUCCUCCCUGGAGCCUAGGUGAAGUUGUCGUUUAUUGGUAUUAAUGAUCGCCAUUUUAGUUUAGAGAUUUGAGCCCAAGUUCCUCCAUUUACAUUAUUAUUAAUUAUUUUUGUUGGUGAAAGCUAAUUGAUUAGAAGAAUGCGACAAUAAGAAGAUUAAGUACUUUGCCACUAGCUUAGCUUACUUACAAAUCCACUAGCUUAGCUUAUAAUUAGAUACAUAAAAUCAUCAUCAUCACAAGAUUAUCUCACGUGUAAUAUCAAAGCUAAUUAUUGAAAAGCUUUGAAUGGUCUUCCAAUUUUGAAAAUGCCGGCAGCACUUGCAACUUCCAGGAAACUUCGAUUAUCUGCCAAGCAUAUCAACUGUUCGAUGAAAUGCCCAUGUAGCUGUUCCUAACUUGGGACUUGAGUUUCAUUAAAUUAGCAUCAUCUCACUGAUAUUAUGUAUUAAUGUAAUAAAUGGGCUUUCUUCCUAUUAUCUAAAGUCCAUUGUUAUAUUUCAAUAAUAGAUCAUAAUUAUUAAAUUCUAGUAUAUAUACUACACUCGUAACCUAGAUCAUUAAGAAAUUAGGCUUAAAUAUGAACAAUACUAGCAAGUAAAAAAAAAGUCAGCUGAGACCAAGUGUUUUUUUUUUUCACCCUAAAAAAAAGCACGCAAGCUCUAAUUUUGUAUAUAUUUUAUGAACAAUACUAGCAAGUAAAAGAAUUAUUUAAUGAUUUGAAGCAAGUCAGCUGAGACCAAGUGUUUUUAUUAUUUAGGCAAUUAGAUCAUGAAUGGUAAUCUUUCAUUUGAUCAAUUACCUCAAAAUACUCUCAUUUUACGAAGAACGUCAAAUAAUCAAAACUUAAUCGUCAUUAAUUAAAAGCUACUGUAGAAAGCUUGAACGGUCUUCCAAAUUGCAGGUUGGAAGAUGUGGACGGCAUUAGCAGCUGUCAGGAAUCUUCGUCCAAGUUGCGAGCCACCCGAUCCGAGUCUCAUCAUUUACUAUUUUUUUAAAACCUUUUUUAUUUCAUUUUCGUUUACUUUUGAGAAAAAGGAAAAUGUAAAGAUUGAAUAAGAUAAGAAUCAUUUGUUUGAAAAUUGAAAAAUGAUUGGAAGACUAAAUUAAAAUAAGACACACAAUUGAAUUUUAAAAAAUAUAUAUUGAAAAUGAUAUCGUUCUGGUUCUAAUUUAGAAAAAAAAAAUUCACCUAAAAUGACAUUAUUUUAAGUAUAUUUUUGUCAAUUUUUAAUCAAAUUUUAUUUCAAAUAUCAAUCUUGAAAUUUAGGUGAAGAGUCUAUAAUUAGAAGCACAUGGGUGGAUGGGGCCUCUUCGUUUUAAUUUUUGGCCUUAAUUAGUUUUCUGUGAUAUUUUGUUGACUGAAAAGCCAACGACUCAAGGAGUGGGCCAACUGUUCAAAUAUGUGAUAAGCUUGCGUGGGAGCUGAGGUGGUGGCCAGUGGCACAAUCUACUGGUGCUCGGUUCCGUGAUGGAAUAAACGAAUCCCAUCAUCAUGUAAGAUGGCGGUGAGGGUCUCCAAAGCAACUCGUAAGGAGAAGUAGGCGUGUGGACAUGGACAUGGGAAGGAAUAGUGCCCAAGGAGACGAGCAUGAGACCAGUGAGACGAUCACUCUAAGAAAGAUAGCAAAUGAGGCACAGGAAAGAGUGAUGCAUGAGUGAAUAGAGUGGAUAGAGAAGCAGAUGGAGACCCUCACCGCCAUCUUACAUGAGUUAAGGACGAGCAAAGAAGGGCUUAUGAUGCAAAUGCGACAAGGGAUGAUGUUGCCACAGAGCCCAGUCACCGGAGGAAUACAAAUGAGGAGAUCCCUUCAAUAAGGGGGACAGCUCAACGGGGUGCCUAACAAUAGAGUUGGAACUCAGACUUUGAGAGAGUGUGAGCAUGAAGGGAGAGAUCAAUUCCACAACAGACGAACCUUAGGAAGUUGUAGUAGAGGAGCGAAUGUCGAAGAAAGGGAGCUCAGGUAGCACCUGGUCGGGCCUUGGAACUGGAGGGAGAAAUACUGUGAUUGGCACAAAUAAUAGACGAAAUGCAGGGCAGGAGAAAGCCCCUCAGUUGGAGAAUAAUGCUGGAUGACGAAUGUCGGCUUUCAGCUGAAAUCAUGGGCACUAUGAUACCAAGAUAUUUUCAUUUUCUCAACAUCAAAUACUCAGGAAAAAGUGGCCCGCUGGUGCACGUCGAGCGCUUUAACGACAUGACUGGAGUGUAGGGGCUAACACUAGCGCAGAGGUGCAGAGUAUUCCCUUUGACAUUGGAAGGACGAACACGAGAUUAGUACCUUCCCUUUGACACCGGCAGGGACUUGCAACUUCCAGGAACCUUCGAUUAACCCAAAAAAAAAACACAUAUAGUUUGAAAUUAUAUGAUGAUUGAUAGGAAUGUAUUUUUGUAGUAAUCUUUUAUUUGAUCAUUUAUUUUUUGGUAUUCCGUGAAAGGUGUGCAAAAUUAGAUAAUAUUUCUCUGAAACUGGUAUUCCUUGUGCGAAACAUCACAUGCUGAGAGCUUCGACUAAACUAGUUUCAAUUGUACUUUUACUUACACGCUGCCGCUACAGCUUUGGAAGCGUAAAAUUAUGUGCGCAAUUCCUUCAUUUGAUCAUCUUAACUAAAGAUGUGUGAACUUACCAUUUCUGUGCAUCCCUUGUAUUAUGUGCAACAAUUUUCUGGUGAAUGUGAGAGAUUCUAUUCAAGUUUAUUUUUGUGAUCACGUGCGCACGUCAGGCAUUGCAAGCGUAAAUGCAAAUUAAGUCACCUGAACAUGCAUGCGAUAUAGUAAUUUAUUGUUAUUAUCAAUUAUUCCAUUCUUUUCUUUCGAAACUAAAUUUCAACUACUUGAGAUGUGAAAUUCUUAAUAGCAGAUAUUCUUUGUAUAUGUAUGAUCGGAUCCUGAGUACAGGGCACCUGCUGUCUCUGUUUUUAAUUGAAGCAUGUUUUUCGGCUUGAAAAUUCAUCUCAUCAGAUUAAGUGGUUUGAAGUCGAACGCUUGGCUCACAAAAUGUUGGUCAUUGAGAAAGCAAGUGGGCUGGAUGUUAUCUGGACUCGACCUCCUAAAUAAUAACACAACUAACUGAGUCUAUUCAGAUUUCGUCUCAUAUUUGACUGGCAAUAGCACAUCAAAAGUCUUGUGAGAGUCACCUCGUAUUGAUGUGCUUAAUUUACAAAGAUCAAAACCAGUAUCACGUUGCUUUAGUAAUUUGAAUUUGUGUUGGACUGAGUCGACAAAAAAGUCCUUCACCUCGUACUGAUAAUACAUUUAAAUUACAAAGAUCGAAAGCAGAUCUGUCAUUACAUGAAUUGGCUGUAUAAAAUAAUCAACUCACUUCUUAUUGUCAUCCGUUCUAUCAGCUCUUCGCAUUGGUCCUUUUCUUGUUUCCGUUUUCGUCUGAAAAAAACCUUCGCUUCUGUUAGUUUUUUAAUCUCACUUUCCUUUGGCCUCCUUCACUUUUAGAUUGUUAUCUGCUUACUCUACGAUUAAUGCCAUCUUUGAUGAUAUCAAGGCAGAAACAGAGAAGCAGAAGAGUGAAAGUACGGGCAUUCAGCGCGGAGUUUCUGAGACGAAAGCAAAAGGGCAAGAGAUUGAAGUGAAGGCUGAGAACAGUGCGGAACUAGAUCACUACUCAAGUCUCUCACUAAUCUCCUAAAUGGUUGUUUUUGCUUCCAUAGGCUACACUGGUUGGUUCUAAUCACAAAUUUGAGGAUUCUGCUGGAAACAUGUUGUUCAAAAAAUUGCACAAUUCAAUCUUUACUGUGGCUACCCAGACCGAAAUAAGUGCUCUGUUUGGUUUCACUUUGAAUUGUGCAAUUUUUUUAACAGCUUCCAGCAAGAUCCUCAAUUUGUGAUUAUAACCAACCACUGUAAUCUAUAGAAGGAGAAAUCAUUUAGGACAUCAGUGAAAGAUUUGAGUAAUGAUUAUUCUCACCCACACAUUCAUCAAUUUUUCAUCCAGGCUCAAUUUACAAAAUUAUUAGCGGGUUGCUACCUCGAUUAUGUUGACAGAAAAUAGAGGUUUGUAGGCAAACAAAGAGCAUUGUUAUUUGAACAGCUGCAAGAUAUUCGGAAGACAUGCAGAAAUAUGGGUAUUGCUUAUGCUAUAGUGCCAUUGCAGCAUAAAAUUGACAGCACAAAUAUCAUUUUCCACAAACAAAACAUGUAAUAGCACGCUCCAGGAGCAGUUUCUUACACUCUUGAAGUUGCCUACAAUAAGAUCAAAUCCAACAUUCUCCCUCAAUUUAGUGUUCUAAAACUGAUUUAUAUUUUAACAUAGAAAUCCAAUCUAAAAGCACUAUUAACGAAAGCUCUUCGUGUAAUCGUGUUUGCAUUAAAAACCAAGAAGCAGCUUUUUUUUUUUGUGGGGGAGGGGGGAGAACCUCAGUCUAAUAAGAUAAAAUUACUUUGGGUGGGUUAUUUACAUUCUAGAAAAAAAAAAAUUUCUGAACACUACUAUACUUUAUUGGCUCAUCUAGUAAAUUUUAAAUUUUUAUUUUUAUUUUGUAUACUCUAUUAAAUGUCAAAAAAAAAAAAAAAUCAUCACACAAAACGAGGAUUCAUGAAAACCAUCUAUGUAGCAUCUGAAAUGAGGCCAUUUUUUUCUGUAUAAUUUGUGAGGCAUUAUAUUAUAUGGAGCUUGACUUCUUUCUCUUUAUCAAGGGUAAGAUGGCGUUGGCGAUCAAGAGGGUCCCCCUGUUUCUUUGUUUUCAUUAAUAUUACUUCGAAUCCACUUUCAGGUUGAGUGUCUAACGAUUUGAUUAAAUUUGUGUUUAGUUAAAUGUAUUGGAUUUCUGGAGUAUUUUGGUAGUUAAUGAUGAAACUCGGCAUUAGAUGAACUUACAGUCAUUCUAAUGAUAAAUUUUUUUGUCAUCGAAAGUCAUUGAGUAUUAUUGCGGCAGUAAGCUACAUUGAAGUAGCAUUCCAUAUAUAACUAUCAGUAAUUAUUCUGGGUAUUCAACGUGAAUGAAACCUCUAUUACAAUAGUGAAAUGAAUUGAAGUUUUAGUGGAGCUCUGUUUAAUCAAAUCGUGGGAAAUAAAUUUAGUAGCAGAACUGGGAAAUUAUUAGUUGCUCCGUCGAGUCAACCCAAAAAAAUCAUAACAAUGACUGAAAUCAUUUAUAGAACUAAACACAAAUUUAAUCAAAUCAUUAAACGUGUACGUGAUUGCCGCUGGUAUUAAAAUGAAAACAUUUAGUUCACACGUACAUCACUCAGCGUUUGGAAUUCGUCAUUUGGGUCCUCACGUGUAUGCAUCACGUGCACCACUCAUUCUGAGUUUCUGACCAAGUCAAAGUUCAAUUAAAAUUCUUUGCAGCAGGAAGGUGGUGUGGUGAGUAACUCACUCAACUUGUGAACCGUGAUUAGUCAAAUAACCAAGUACACGUGGCAUAAUGAAACGCUUCGAAGAGUAACCUCUGAAGGUCUGUCGAGUAUGAUGACAUGGCAGCAACGUUUUACAUGUAAGCAUGGUAGUGAUCGCGUAGAAGCUGUGUAUGAAACCUCUUAUAACAUUCCUUCAUCUGUCAAGUCAAAUUUUCCUCGGAGUCAAGAAAUGGAGAACUAACAGGUAUGCAUUUCUUAAACCAUUAUUAUAUUCAAAAACAAGGAUUCGUAUAAAUACAAAUUGAAUGGCAAGAAUAGGAAUGAAAUCAUCCACAGAAAUAAACACAAAUUUAAUCAAAUCAUUAAACACUCUUGCUCGAAGUUUUCUUCUUUGCUGAUUCUUUGUUUUGUUCAUUGUUUGAUCAUCGACUCCUGUUAAGCUUUGUGUCACUUCUUGUUUGGGAUCUUUUCUUGGGUCCUUCAAGAUUUUGUUCUUGGUUCAAUUGAGCUUUGGAAUAGCCAUUACAUCCAGGAUAUAUUUUAUUAACAACUAAUUUCUAACAUUUGUUUAUCCUCAAUUGAUAUCAGUAACACUCAAAUCUAUCCGAAAUUCUUUACAAUCCCUAAUAUAUUUAAAAGGGUUUAAUUUUGACAUUUUAAUAACUUCCAUUAGGCCAAGCAUAUUUAGUUUCUUGAAGAUUUAUUCCUGAAAAAUCCAGCCUGAUUUUUUUUUAACGUUCUUUUAUAUUUUAUUAACAACUAAUUUCUAACAUUUGUUUAUUAAUCAAGAUAGAGUUCGAGUUUAAUGACAAAAUGAUCAUGAUUUUAAUUUAAAGAUAUGAGCCCAAAAUCCUACUGUUUACAUAUUAAAAUCACUUGAUUAUCAUAUAUUACUCAAUAAUCACUUGAUUAUUUGAAAAAUGCCGGCGGCACUUGCAACUCCCUGGAACCUUCGGUGUAAGUUUUCGAGUACAUCAACUGUUGGAUAAAAUGCCCAUUUGAAGAAACUAAUAGAAAAUUGAGAUCCUCUCUUGAAUAGAGUUUACCCUUGAAAAAUAAGUAUGCAUUAUCAUUCAUGUAUUGUCAAAAUUUGAGCUUAAGAUCCAACUAUUUACAAAUUAUUAAUUAUUUUUGUUGGUGAAAGCAAAUUGAUUAGAAGAAUGUGGCAAUAAGAAGAUAAAAAUGCUUGCUCAAAUACUUUGCCGUGUGUUCUUACUUACAAAUCCACCAGCUUAGCUUUUAAUCACAUAUCAAGCUUAUCACGAUUAGAAGAAUUGUAUAUCGGUGAGAGGCCCAUUAUGUGGGGGAAGGUUGGAGGAGUCGACGGUGAAAGAAGAAAUGCCAGCCUUGAUGAGUUGAAUAAUUUAUCUAAAUUGACCUCUUUAGAAAUACUCAUCCAAGAUGAAAAGACUCUACCAAGAGACUUGUCGUUCUUCAAAAUGCUGCGAAGUUACAGGAUAUUGAUAGGAGAUCACCGGUGGUCGGGUGGCCCAUCUUAUGGGACUUGUAGAAUAUUCCGACUGAUGCUCGCCAGUGGUGCCAACAUUUGCUUGAACGAGGGGCAUAUCAUGCAAUUGAAGGGUAUUGAAGACCUAUGUUUAGGCGGAUCGCCGGACAUGAAGAGUGUUCUUUAUGGAUCAGACGGAGAAGGUUUUCCACAGCUGAAGCGUCUCCAAAUCGAACAUAAUGGCAACCUUUCUUGUGUUGUUGACACAAUGGAUUGUACGCCAGCUCGGACGACUGCAUUCCCCCUUUUGGAGUCAUUAUUUCUGAGAGAUUUAAGGAACCUUGAGGAAAUAUUUUUUUAAAAAAGAAAUUUGUAAGAUUUUCAAUUCAAACCAAAUAAACGGAUCAAUUAAAAGAAUCUCAAAGUUUAAAUGGAAUUUGAGAAUAAUUGAAGUCUUUUUCAUAGAGAUUAUGCACAAAUCUAAUAAAAUUUGAAAAUCUAUCUACCGGACAAGAGUUAAGAAGAGAGAAUGGAAGAAAAUACGCAUUACUUAAAUGGAAUGCUUUGUUUUUACUUUGUAUUUACAGCUGAAAAUCAAACUCUCUCCGCAUAUCUAUUAAUUUGUCCGGCCAUCAAUACGCAUCAUUGGAAUGCUUUGUAUUUACUUGAAUUUGUGAAAUCGUUAGAAAGAAGUGCUAACUCCAUCUUGCCACUUUUGUGAUUGAUGAUCACCCAGGUGUUCCCCAAUUUGGAAAAAUUGAGGGUUGAUCAAAAGCACAUAAGCCUAUUUCCAGAAGAUUGGCUUUGCAAACUUAAAUGUCUUGAUGUCUGGCUUGACGAGUCAGGUACUAUUUUAUCACUUGACGAUUUCCUCCAUAGAUUUCACACCAUCAAAAUUCUCUAUGUAGGAGGAGACGAUUAUGUUUUGUACACAUCAUUUAAAAACGUUGAAAAUGGGAUGAAUGCAAGGAUGAGAGGGAUAAACCAUCGUCGUGAACUGAAGCAGAUUUUCAAACAAGAGUCAACCAAUACCAACAAUUUGGAACAGCUGGAGAUAGUCGAGUGUGACAAUUUGACUAAUCUAGUGCCAUCCUCGACACCGUUUCAGAACCUAACAACUUUGAAGGUAAGUGGUUGCCCUGGAAUGAUAAACGUUCUAACAUCCUCAACAGCAAGGAGUCUGGUGCGACUGAGACAAAUGCGGAUACAAUCAUCCAAGAUGAUAACAGAAAUAGUGGCAGAUGAGGAUGAUCAGGGAGAUAAUUAUGCAGCAAAAGAGGAAAUUGUUUUCAGCGAUUUAAAGGAAUUGAUUCUUUGGAACUUAGAAAGUCUGACUAGUUUCAGCUGCUCUGGGAAUAAUUGCGACUUCAAAUUCCCAUCUCUGGAAACAUUAGUGGUGGAAGAUUGCCCCAAUAUAAAGAUUUUCUCACGAGGAGAAUUAAGCACACCCAAGUUACACAAAGUGCAGAUGAGCCUAGUCGAUGAAAAACUUUGGGCUUGGGAUCGGGACCUUAAUACAACCAUUCAAUACGUAUAUCUUAAAAGGAAAAAGGUAAGUAUUCAUUCACUAUGAGAUGUUGAUUUUUUUUUUCUAAAAAUUAAUGAUUUAAUAACAGAUAUACAUAAAGAAGUAAAAGGAAAAAAGUACAUAUUAAUUUUUUUAUAAAUUUAUUUUAAAUCUGAUUAGGAAGAGGAGGAACAAGAGAAAGAGAUGUCCGCCAAGGUGAAUAAAAAGGAGAAAGAUGCAAAAAACAGUGGUAAGUUAAAAUCUAUAUAAUUUGGGAGGUUUUGAUUUGAUUCAAUUUUGCUGACUAAAAAUGUUUUAUUUAUGUUGAUUUUUUUGUUAAAUCAUAUUGGUACAUCUUUUUAAAAUAUAACUACCCUACUCUAUUGUUAUGUUGAGGAUUAUUUGUUAGACAAGACAUAGCGAAAAAUUAAAAAAUUAAUAAAUGAAAUUAAUUGCUUACAGAGAGAAUUGAAGGAUUUCUGUGUCCUUAAUAGAGGUUAAUUUGUGCAAUUUAAUUAUGUGAAAACUGCACCUUCAAUGUGUUUUUACUCUUUGUCUACAGAGUCUCCAAACUUACGAAGACGAUUUCCGCUACUUGUGCAGCAUUUUGUAUAAGGCUCGAGCUCGAGUUCGAGUUCUUUGUACCUAUUAAGAGUCAGAUGGUGCUGGUGAGAGGAUUUUUUGUUUCAGUUUUCAUUCAUUAUUAUGUUUUUAGCUUUGUUUGAGUACUCAGAAAUCUAAUUUGAGGCUAGUUUUAUUUCUUAUGGAUGGUGUCCAAGAGCUGCCAUAUUCAAUUUGUAGGCGGAUCGCUGGACAUGAAGAGUGUUCUUUACGGAUCAGACGGAGAAGGUUUUCCACAGCUGAAGCGUCUCGAGGUCGUAGAAAAUAGCAACCUUUUAUGUGUUGCCGACACAGUGGAUAGAGCAACAGCUCCGACGACUGCAUUCCCCCUCUUGGAGUCAUUAUUUCUGCAAGAUUUGAGUAACCUUGAGAAAAUAUGUCGCGGUCCACUCUCGGCAGAGUCUUUUUGCAAAUUAAAGAGCAUAAGUGUGGGAGGUGCGAUAAAUUGAAAAAUGUAUUUCCAUUGGUCAUUGGCAGAGGCCUUCAACAACUUCAGUCCAUUAAAGUGACUGGAUGCCAGAAUUUGGAAGUGAUUUUUGCUGCCGAGAGAGGAGAUGAAUCCAGCAAUAGUAACACGCAAGUCAUUGAACUCACUCAAUUAAGGACACUCAAACUCCGUUCUCUUCCGCAGCUUACAAGCUUCUGCACAGGAGAUCUGCAUUUUGAAUUUCCAUCAUUGGAAAAAUUAACAAUACUGGAAUGUCCCCAAGUGAAAUUUAAAAGCACUAUUCAUGAGUCCACCAAGAAGGAACGUGCAAGACUUUUGUAAUUAUUGUUCAAUUCUUACGUACUUAAAAGUAAUUCUACUUUCAGAGUUUAGAGUUUUAUUGUCAUCAUCGUCGCCCUCAUCACUUUGUCUUUUGGUAACAAAAUGUUAGUUGUAUAAAUCAGUUUAUUUAUACUUCAUAAUAUCCUCAUAAACAUAAAUCAGUUUAACAAAAUGUUAGAAAACAAUUUUUUUUUUUAAUUCUAGUUCAAUUGUUUUCUCUUAAUUAUCUGAGUUUUUCUUCUUCCUCUAUUUUUUUACUUUUUUUUUAUGUCUAUAUGUUUACUUAAUACACGAAAGAGAGAGUGCAUUUGAUUACCCAAACAAAGAAAAUUCUAAUAAGAUUUAGAGUUUUUCAAGCCACAGUUAAUUCCCAGAUAAUCUUUUAGGAGCUAUUUUUAGAUUAGUAUGCCUUAACAAUUAAUAUUGUUACAUACAAAUGAUUAUCAAUUUUGAUGUUGAAGAAGAAAAUGGUCAUCUCGUGUUAACAUAAAUAAUAUUCUUAAAAAUAUAUAUAGAGAGAUGAACAAAACUCAAAUGAAGAAAUCUUGUCCUAUUAAAUUUUCUGCACAAUAAAAUCCUUUCUUGUACAAUAGUGAAUAUAUCCAAUCCCGUUGGGUUGGAUGAAUAUUAAUGAAAUACGAGCUUCUUACUAUAUUAUUAAACUUUUUAAAUUCAAGUUAUUUAUUCAUUUUUGCUUUUGUUAAAAAUAAAAUAAAAGUUAAAAUAUCCUUUUUUUAAAAAAAAAGAAAUUUGUAAGAUUUUCAAUUCAAACCAAAUAAACCGAUUGAUUAAGAGAAUCUGGAAGUUUAAAUGUAAAUUGAGAAUAAUUGAAUUCUUUUUCGUAUGAUAUAUAUAUAUAUAUAUAUAUAUAUAUAUAUAUAUAUAUAUAUAUAUAUAUUUAUUUAUUUAUUUAUUUAUUUAUUUAUUUAUUUAUUUAUCUGGCCAUCAAUAUUAUUCAUCAUUAGAAUGGUUUGCAUUUACUUUGAUAUGUGAAAUUUUCACAAAGAAGAUCAACUCCACCUUGUUUUUUCUGUGAUUGUUAGAAAGAUCAUAUGCUACACACUCACACACAUAGAGACACACAUGAACGAUAGGCCAUCAAUAUUCAUCACCGGAAUGCUUUGCAUUUACUUUAAUUUGUCAAAUUGUUAAAAAGAAGAUCUAACUCCAUCUUGCUUUUUUUUUUUCUUUUUUUGAUUGGUAAUCACCUAGGUGUUUCCCAAUUUGGAAUAUUUGAGUGUUCAUGAAAAGCAAAUAGGUCUAUUUCCAGAAGACUUGCCUUGCAAACUUAAAUGUCUUAAUGUUUGGGUUGAUGGGUCAACUGCUAUUUUAUCACUUGACGAUUUCCUUCAGAGAUUUCACACCAUCAAAGUUCUCUGUAUCGAAGGGUACGAUUAUGAUGGGGAAGAACUAUUUGCAACGGUUGAAAAUGGGGUGAAUGCAAGGAUAAGGGGAAUAAACAUACAUCCUGAUCUGAAGCAGAUUUUGAAACAAGAGUCCUCCCAUGAGAACAAUUUGGAAGUACUGGAGAUAUAUGGAUGUGGCAAUUUGAUUAAUCUAGUGCCAUCCUCGACAUCGUUUCAGAAUCUAACAACUUUGGUCGUAGAUUGUUGCGAUGGAAUGAUAAACAUACUAACAUCCUCGACAGCAAAGAGUCUGGUGCGACUAAAACAAAUGAAGAUAUUUGACUCCAAGAUGAUAACAAAAAUAGUGGCAGAUGACGAUGAUGAGGGAGACAAUUAUGCAGCAAACUAUGAAAUUGUUUUCAGCGAAUUGAAGGAUUUGCUGCUUUCAGACUUAGAAAGUCUGACAAGUUUCUGCUCUGUCAAUAAUUGCGCCUUCAAAUUCCCAUCUCUAGAAAGAUUAGUGGUGGAAGAUUGCCCCAAUAUGAGCAUUUUCUCAGGAGGAGAAUUAAGCACACUGUAACGACCUUUUAUUUUUGACAAUAUUUUAUUUUGGGAUUAUUUCCAUAAGCUAUUUUUUAGGUGUUUUGAAUUACUGUUUUUGUUAUUUAAAAUUGUUUGGAGUGUUUUCUUCCAAAAAGGGUGGCUUAAUCAGUGUGGGCUCUUUGGCUCUGACUUUUAAAGAAGCGGGUUGGCUGCUGUAAAGGAAAAAAAAGUUAUCAAUAAAAAAUCAGAUUUUUAGUCAAAUUAGUGUUUCUUCUUCCUGGCUGUUUCAUUGGUACCAGAGCAGCGAACUAGCACCGUAAAAAAUGGCGGAGGGAACUAGAGCACACGAUCAGCGACGUCUAGAAGAAUCGGUACAUCAAUUGCAAGAGGCUUCUAACCAGCAGGCAAUUGAAUUGAAGGAGUUUUCUCAGAUGAUGACAGCGAUCAGUCUCAAACUUGAUCAUAUGAUGGGCACAUCAGGGGCUUCAGGAACAAGAACGGGUCGAACUCUGGUAUGUAUAACUCACAGAUGAGAUUUUCAAAAUUGAAUUUUCCAACAUUUGAGGGAGAAAAUCCUAGUGGUUGGGUCUACAAGUGUGAACGGUUUUUCAAAUACAAUGGGGUGGAAGAAUCUGAUAUGGUGGGAUUGGCAACCAUUCAUUUGGAAGGAAAAGCGUUAGAGUGGUUCCAAGGAUAUGAGGUGGCUGUUGCAGAACCUAGUUGGAGGCAGUUUUCUACGGAUUUAAUGGCGCGGUUCAGUCCGAGUACCUAUGAUAACCCAGUUGGACAGCUCAGUAAGUUAAGGCAGACUUCAACAGUAAGCCUUUACCAAGAACAAUUUGAAGCAUUGGUGGCCAGAACUUGAGGAUUACCGGAAGAUUUUUUUGUGCAAUGCUUUGUGAGCGGAUUGAGAGAUGCCAUAAAGAAUCAGGUAGCCAUGUUUCAGCCGAAAAUGCUAAUUCAAGCAGUUGGGUUAGCCUUGUUACAAGAGAGUACCUUGGAGGCAAUGAUCAAAGAAGCCAAGGCUUCAACAAGGACAAUGUCCUCCCAUGUAAUCCCUACAGCAGAAUCGAAACGCAAUUCUAUGGGACAAAUUCCUCCAAUCAAAAGAAUAUCUGAUGUAGAAAUGCAAGAGAGGAGGGCUAAGAAGUUGUGCUACUACUGCGACAAGAAGUUUGAACCAGGGCACAAAUGUAAACGGCGGCAGAUUUACUUGUUGGAAGGAGAAGAUGAUGAAGAACUCAGUGAUGAAGGUAACAAAAUUGGGGAUGAUGAAGAGGAUCAUUUGGUGUCUCUCCAUGCUAUGUCUGGGGCUGUCUCUCAUCAAACUAUGAGGAUUAAAGGAAAUAUAAAGAAGAAGGGAAUUAUCAUCUUAAUUGAUUCUGGUAGUACUCAUAAUUUCUUGGAUGUGUCGGUGGCCAAGCGGACAGGAUGUGAAGUACAGCAAGAUAAACUAUUAAUGGUGGCAGUGGCUAAUGGCUCCAAAAUUGCUAGUGCUGCAACGUGUAAGCAAUUGGUCUGGAGUAUGCAAGGGAGAGAGUUCAGAGCAGAUAUGAGACUGAUUCUGUUGGGGGGAUGUGAUAUGGUAUUAGGAAUUCAAUGGUUAUCUUAAUUGGGCCCAAUAUUGUGGGAUUUCAAGAAUUUAUGGAUAGAGUUCAAGUGGGAAGGAAGAAGAAUGGUGUUAAAGGGUUCUACGGCGGGGCCCUUGAAGCUAGUUUCGGCAGUCCAUAUGCAAAAGGAUCUGAAACAAGUUCCUCAAGUUGCUGCUGCCCAUAUCUUUUCACUCUUAUUAUAGCCAUGUAUUAACUCUACUACUACAGAAAUCAUUACAGAUGAACCAGCAGAGUUGCAACAUUUAUUAAAAAAAUAUCAUGGCGUAUUUAUGGAACCAAAAGGUUUGCCACCACCAAGGGCUCAAGAUCAUCGAAUUCCCUUGUUACCUGAUAGUGUUCCUCCAAAUAUAAGACCCUAUAGGUACCCAUAUGUGCAGAAGGUAGAGAUUGAACGAAUGAUUAAGGAGUUGCUCGCGGCGGGGAGUAUACAGAGGAGUGUAAGUCUGUUUUCUUCUCCGAUUCUCUUAGUUAAAAAAAAGGAUGACACUUGGCGCAUGUGUGUGGAUUAUCGUGCCCUUAAUUCUAUCACUAUUAAGGAUAAAUUUCCCAUACCUAUUAUUGAUGAGCUGCUGGACGAGUUACAUGGAGCUAACUUUUUCUCUAAGCUGGAUUUGCGGUCGGGAUACCACCAGAUUAGAGUACACCCAGAUGACAUCUUUAAAACUGCCUUUAGAACUCAUGAAGGGCACUAUGAAUUCUUGGUCAUGCCUUUUGGUCUUACGAAUGCUCCAUCAACAUUCCAAAGCCUUAUGAAUGAAAUUUUUCAGUCAUUCCUGAGGAAAUUUGUGCUGGUAUUUGUUGAUGAUAUCUUAGUAUAUAGUAAAAAUUGGGUUGAGCACAUGAAGCAAUUGGAGUUAGUACUGGAGACGCUUCUCAAAAAUCAUCUUUUUGUCAAAAAAUCAAAGUGUUCUUUUGGCAAAGAACAAGUAGAAUAUUUGGGACAUUUGAUUUAUGAGCAAGGAGUUGCUACUGACCCUGCAAAGAUUGAAAGCAUGAAGUGUUGGCCAUCUCCCAACUUGUUGAAGGCGUUGCGUGGGUUUUUGGGUCUUACUGUGUACUACAGGAGGUUUACAAAAGAUUAUAGGAAGAUUAGUCGGCCCUUAAUAGAUUUGCUUAAAAAGGAUAAUUUUUUAUGGAAUCAUACUGCGGAAGAAGCUUUUAAUAACUUGAAGUCAGCAAUGUGCACAGCACCUGUUUUAGCCAUGCCCGAUUUCUAAAAAACCUUUGUUCUUGAAUGUGAUGCAUCAGGGGAAGGCAUAGGAGCAGUGCUUUCGCAGGAAGGCAGACCCAUAUCAUAUUUGAGUAAGGCACUGUCACCAAAAAACUUGGGCUUGUCUGCUUAUGAAAAUGAAAUGUUGGCAGUAGUGUUCGCAGUGCAAAAAUGGCGGCCUUACUUACUAGGGAAGCAUUUCAAGGUUAUUACUGAUCAUUUCAGCUUGAAAUACAUGUUGGAGCAGCGCAUAUCAACAUCUAUGCAGCAGAAAUGGCUUACUAAGUUAAUUGGUUAUGAUUUUGAAAUUAUUUUCAGAAGUGGAAGAGAAAAUAAAGUGGCUGACGCCUUAUCUCGGCUACAAGAAUCCACUGAGAAUGCGAUGGUAAUGGCGAUCUCCCUUCCUAUAGGUGUGUGGGUGGAACAACUCAAACAAGAAUGGCAACAGGAUUCAGAAAUUCAGAAAUUGAUUCAAGAAAUAGUUACCAACAGUGCUCGACAUUCUAAAUUUACUUGGGAAAACAAUUUACUCAAGUAUAAGGGAAGACUUUGGGUUGGCAAACAUUCAGCUUUAAAGCAGCUAAUUAUGUCUGAGGCUCAUGGUGGAACAGAAGGUGGGCAUUCGAGGGUUAGAAAAACCUUAGACAGAGUUAAACGGUCUUUUUAUUGGAAAAGGAUGCGAAGGGAAAUUUGUUCCUUUGUGGAAGCUUGUGAUAAUUGCCAACGAAAUAAACAUGAAAAUGUGUUAUCUCCAGGUCUGUUGCAGCCAUUACCAAUUCCUGAGCAUAAUUGGACUGAUAUCUCUAUAGAUUUCAUAGAAGGACUGCCAAAGUCUAGUGGUAAGCAAAUUAUUUUUGUGGUGGUGGAUAGGCUGAGUAAGUAUGCACACUUCAUGCCCUUAAGUCAUCCAUAUACUGCUCUUGAUGUUGCACAACUUUUUCUAGAUAAUGUGUAUAAGUUGCAUGGCUUGCCAAAUUCUAUUGUUAGUGACCGAGAUAAAGUCUUCACUAGUAUUUUUUGGCAAAGUUUGUUUUCCUUGUUGAAUGUGAACUUGUUAAUGACCAUUGCAUACCACCCGCAGACCGACGGUCAGACUGAAGUGGUUAACAAGUGCUUAGAAUAAUAUUUGCGAUGCAUGACAGGUGAUAGGCCGAAAGAAUGGGUGAAAUGGCUUCCUUUGGCUGAAUGGUGGUAUAAUACUUCUUAUCAUUUAUCAACUCGAAUGACACCGUUCGAAGUUGUUUAUGGUAGGCCACCUCCUUCGUAUAUUGCUUAUGUUCCUGGUACAUCUACCGUAGUAGCUGUUUAUUUGAGCUUAAAGGAUAGAGAUGCUAUGAUACGUUUUUUGAAAGCCAAUUUGGUGGAUGCACAAGCUCGAAUGAAGCUAUAUGCUGAUAAAAAGAAAUCCGAGAGGAAAUUUGAGGUGGGAGACGUGGUAUUUCUACGGUUACAGCCUUAUAAACAAGUAAGCUUGUCAAUUCACAGCAAUAGGAAGUUGUCUCCGAGAUUCUAUGAGCCUUAUAAGGUUAUACAAAAGAUUGGACAGGUUGCCUAUAAGUUAGAGUUGCCUAGAGAGUCCAAAAUUCAUCUUGUCUUUCAUGUUUCGUGUUUAAAGAAAAAAGUUGGAGAGGUUGUCACUCCGAUUACAGAGUUACCAACAAUACGAGAAAACGGGCACCUACAGUUAGUACCUGAUUCUGUUUUGGACAGGAGAGUAGUCCAGCGAAGCAAUCGUCCGUACGUGCAGUGGUUGGUUCAGUGGUCUAACUCCUUUCCCGAAGAUGCAACUUGGGAGGAUGCAGUUAAGAUUUAGGAGAAGUUUCCUUUGUUCAAGCCUUGAGGUCAAGGUUUUUUCUAAAAGGGGAGGGAAUGUAACGACCUUUUAUUUUUGACAAUAUUUUAUUUUGGGAUUAUUUCCAUUAGCUAUUUUUUAGGUGUUUUGAAUUACUGUUUUUGUUAUUUAAAAUUGUUUGGAGUGUUUUCUUCCAAAAAGGGUGGCUUAAUCAGUGUGGGCUCUUUGGCUCUGACUUUUAAAGAAGCGGGUUGGCUGCUGUAAAGGAAAAAAAAAGUUAUCAAUAAAAAAUCAAAUUUUUAGUCAAAUUAGUGUUUCUUCUUCCUGGCUGUUUCACACACCCAAUUUACGCAAAGUGCAGUUGAAGAGGUUUGAUGAAAGAGUUUGCGUUUGGGAUCGCGACCUUAAUACAACCAUUCAAUACCUAUAUCAACAACAAAGGUACGUGUUCAUUCACUAUGAAAUGUUGAUUUUUUUUCUAAAAAUUAUUGAUUUAAUGACAAAUAUAUAUAUAAAAGGAAAAAGAAAAAAGUGAUUAUUAAUGUUUUUAUAAAUUUAUUUUAAAUCUGAUUAGGAAGAGAGGGAAAAAGAGAAUGAGAAGUUUGCCAAAGUGAAUGAAAAGGAUAAAGAUGCGAAAGACAGUGGUAAGUUAGAGUCUAUACAGUUUGGGAGGUUCUGAUUUGAUUUUGUUGUGUUGACUAAAAAUAUUUUAUUUAUAUUGAAAUUUUAGUUAAAUCAUAUCGGUAUAUCUUUCUAAAAUAUAACUACUCUGCUCUAUUGUUAUUGUUGAGUGUUAGAAAAUACAUAUUUAUAAAGGAGAAAACCGUCAUUUUACAUUUCAAGUCUUAUUAACAACCCUUACUUUUAUGUAUUUAACCUUCUUGUGAUUUAAUUACAUGUGUUUUAUUUUAAUUAAGUAUUUUAUGUAUUUUAGGGGCAUUAUAGUCAUUUCACAAUAAAGGAGAGAUCAGAUGGCAAAACGGACAUCACUUUUGAACUCAGGACGGUCGAAAACCUUAGGAGGGGCAUAAAAGGAAAAAUGGCACUAUUCACAUGUACGGUACUAUUCACGUAUACGGUACUGUAUAUGCUACUGUUCACGGCACUGUUCACAUAGACGGAUCGAUGACGUUGCAUUGAUCGAUGACGUGGCAUUGACCGAUGACGUGGCAUUGACCGAUGAUGUGGCAUUGACUGAUGAGCUGUCACGAUCCUGUUGGACUAAAAUUCUUAUGUACUGUUGAUGGUGACGUGGCAGCAUAUCAGUGGAUGAAAAAUCUCGCGUACGGUGCAUGCAUCACACAGGAUUAUUUUCAACCAAACCGCGUUACUGUUCAUCCGGGUCAAACCGUGUUACUGUUCAUCCGCGUGGUCAAACCGUGGACUGUUGACUGAUGACGUGGCGCAAUCCUGAGCGUCCAAACUGUUUUUAAUCCGAUGGCCAUGAUUUACUCCAUGUAUCUAUAAAAAGGGGGCCUCCCCCCCCUAAUUUGAUAUCUCUGAAUCCAUUUUUGGGAUCCAUUUUCUGUAAUUCCCUCUCCAUCUUGUAUUUUCUUUGCAUUUUAAUAAAUUCCCAUUUUGCCCCUAGUUCAAUUAUGAGUAGCUAAUUUCUUUUCAAGCUUGGGUUGAAGGUGAAGUCUCAACAUGUGUCAUGGGCUUUAUUUGGUAAAUUUAUUUUCUUUUCCCCUCUAGUUUUUGUGGAUGAUUUGACUUAUCGUCGACAAAUAAUACUGAUCUUGUCUAGAUACCGCCUUGGUUACACCGGCUCUCUAGUAUAAGGUUAUUAUUAUUUGGCACGAUAAGCCCUUAGCACCAUAUUGAUUAGAGCGUGGUUCAUGAGGUGUGGAUUCCCCCCUCAUGAUUUAAUUGGCAUUAAUAAGGAAUAUUUAGCCCAUGAUGCAUGUUGAUACGGAUCCAGAUACCCAAGUACGUCAAUUUAAUCGAUUUUCUCUACAAUUUAUUCUCGCCAUUGCAAUUCCAAUUUUAGCAUAUUUUAAAUCACUUCCACCACAAAUCCAACCACCCAUUUUGCAAAAUUAAUUCUAUACACAAUUAAAAUCCUCCUCCUCGUGGGAUCGACACUCGUCACCAUUGAUCUACACUACAAUAGAUUCGUGCGCUUGCGAGUACAUUAAAAUUUGCACAACAGUUAUGUUGAAGAUUAGUUGUUAGACAAACAUGGCAAUAAAUAAAUAAAUAAAAUGAAAUUAAUUGCUUCCAGAGAGAAUUGAAGGAUUUUUGUGUCCUUCAUAGAGGCUAAUUUGUGCAAUUUAAUUAUGUGAAAACUGCACCUUCAAUGUGUUUUUGCUCUUUGUUUACAGGGAGUCCAAACUUAUGAAGACGAUUCAGGCUAACCUUCUGUACGGUAUCUUGAAUAAGGCAUCGAGAUCUUUCUAUGUAUUAAGAGUCAGAUGGCGUUGGUGAGAGGAUUUUUUGUUUUAGUUUUCAUUUCAUUAGUAUGCUUUUAGCUUUAUUUGAGUACUCAGAAAUCCAAUUUGAAGCUAGUUUUAUUUCUCAUGAGAGCUGCCAUAUUGAAUUUGUAGGCAUCUCUGAAAGUCUCUUUAAGCCUUAAAUUAAUUAAAGAGAUGCGUGCAUCAUGUUUGCGUUCGUAUACCUAUUGGUAUUUAUUGGAGACAAUUAUGUAAGAAAUUAUGUAACUUCAUGACAGUAUCAAUGAAAAAAGAAAAGUUUAGGGGGUCAAUUGGACACCAUCUGCCAUCAUGUUUGCUCACUGUAGGCACCAUCUUGAUCCUCCCCGACCCUAGGUGAGGAUUGAUGAUGAUUGUCGGUUAAUCCAAAGAUUUUUUAAAGGUAAAAAAAAAAUUAUAAAUUGUGGCAUCAACUUUGUAAUUUCUUUAAGCCAUUAAAAUAAAAUAUAUAAAAGUUGGGUCCUCUCUUGAACAUAGUUUAAAUUUAAUAAAUAAGUAAACAUUAUUAUUAUUCUUGUGCUGUCAACAUUUGUGUGUUUUUUUUUGUUAAUUUUAUUAACAACUAAACACUAGUAGUCUAUAUUUGUUGAGUUGAAAACGUUGAUUAAGAUAGACUUAUUGUAGUUUGCUUAUAUUAAUGAUCACGAGUUUAAUUUAGAGAUUUGAGCCCAAGUUCCUCCAUUUACGUAAUUAAUCAUUUUUGUUGAUUAACGCUAAUUGAUUAGAGGAAUGUGAUAACGAAAAGAUGAAAAUACCUGCUCAAAUGUUUAGUGAUUUGGAACAAGUCAGCUGAGGCUAAGCAUUUUUAUUAUUUUGGCAAUUAGAUCAUGAAUGGACAAUCUUUUUGUUUGAUCAAUUACCUCAAAUACUCUCAUUGUACUAACGUCGUCAAAUAAUCAAAACUGAUCAUCAUUAUUCAUUAAUUAAACGCUUCUGUAGAAACUAGAAAGCUUGACCGAUCUUACAAGUUCCAAGUUGGAAGAUCAUGUCGGCAGCAUUAGCAACUGUCAGGAAUCUUUAUACAAGUUGUGAUCCACCGGAGUUUCAUCGUUUACUUUUUCUUUUUCUUUUUUUGUCGACAAAGACUUGAGUGGGCCAACUAUUCAAAUAUGAGGGAAACUUGCGUGGAAGCUGAGGUGGUGGCUGGUGGGAUAACCUAUUGGUGUUCGGUUCCGUGAUGGAAUAAUGAAUGAAUCCCAUUAUGAAAUCUAUUGGCUUUCGACUUUGGGAUUCUCACUAGUUUUUUAUUUUUUAUUUUUAUAAAAUUGACUAUUGAGCAUCAGUGAACUGGAUCAGGCUACGGUGCACGUUAAAUACAUUUAGAUUAUGGAGUCCAUUGACAUCUAAUUGUAGAAUAUAAUUAUAACACAGUACCACAGUUGCACCACAUAUAUCCCUCAGUGAACUUAUCUAUCUCGUCACCUCACGUUUCGCAUAACUUUUUCACAUUCUUUCUACACUCUUUGCGUUCAUUUCACUGAAAAGAAUUAAAUCUGCUAACUUAAAUUUUUUAAAAUAUAAAGUCAGUGAAUCCCGCGGUAGAAAUCAAAUAAUUGGCUACCAUUUGUCCGACGCACAUCUCCCAACCAUGCAAGUCUUUCUCCAUCUCAAUCAACAUUCUCAAUCAUCUUGAUUAUUUUUAUUCUUCAGCUUUGCUGCUUUCCGCCAUCAACUCUUUGGACCUUUCACUGGAUCAAGCAACACCUUUGGUUAUUACAAUCUUCGGAUCUCAACAUUAAUAAGAAUCGUACGUGUAUCUGUUUUCUUUAUUUAUUUUUGCUCUGUUCCCUGUCCACUUGUCUCUGUUUUGUUCUGUAUCUACUCUUCUGUAUUUUUUUACUCUGUCAAUAAAUCCCUUCUCUUCUUCUUCAUCUCUAUAUCUUUUUAGUUGUUGUCUCUGUUCAGUUUCCUUUUGGUUCGCUUCACUUCACAUCUACAUACUUUACAAAAUUCUAAAAUUUGACCCAAAAAAAAAAAAAAAGAGAAAAGGGAAAGAAUUGAAGAUGGUGGAAAGCAUAGUAACUGUUGUGUUAGAAGUUGCAAAGUGCUUGGGUCCUCCCACUGAAAGACAAUUGAGUUAUGUGCACAACUACGGGAGCAACUUUGAGAAUCUCAAGACUGAACUUGAGAAGCUCAAGGAUGACGGUGCCAGUAUGCAGCACGGGGUUGAUGAGGCUAAAAGAAAAGGAGAAGAGAUCGAAAAGAACGUUGAGAAAUGGCUUGCAAGUGUCAACAACAUCAUUACUGAGGCUGAGAAAUUUACAGGCGAUGCAGAUAAAGCAAACAAGCGUUGUUUCAUGGGGCUGUGUCCAAAUUUGAAGACCCGCCAUCAGCUUAGCAAGGAAGCGGUGAGGCAAUUCGAAGCUAUUGUCAAACUUCGGGAAGCUGGGAGAUUUGAUAGAAUUUCCUACCGUAAAGCUCUGGAGGACAUAAGGCUUAUAUCUAACAAAGACUACGAGGCAUUUGAAUCAAGAAUCUCCACUUUGAAUAAUGCACUUCGUGCAUUACAAGAUCCUGAUGUGAACAUGGUUGGGAUUUAUGGAAUGGGCGGCAUCGGAAAGACGACACUAGCAAAAGAGGUUGCUAUUCAGUUCAAGAGAGACCAGCUAUUUGAUCAAGUGAUUUUUGUGGAGGUGCCCCAGAUUCCAGACAUAAGAAAGAUUCAAGGAGAAAUCGCUGAUAAAUUAGGUCUCAUAUUUUUCGAGGAGACCGAAUCUGGAAGGGCAAGGAGUCUUUAUAAUCGAUUGAAGGAUGAGAAAAAGAUCCUUGUAAUUUUAGAUAAUGUUUGGGAAAGUGUUGAUUUGCAGGAUGUAGGAAUUCCUCACGGAGAUAAUCACAAGGGGUGUAAAAUAUUGAUGACGGCAAGAAGUGAAGAUAUAUUGUCUGGCAAGAUGGAUUGCCGACAUAAUUUCUCAGUUGGCGUUCUAAGAGAAGACGAAGCUUGGAGUCUAUUCAAGAAGAUGGCAGGGGAGUAUAUCGAAAGUAGUGAAUUCAAAUGGGUGGCAACGGAUGUGGCAAAUGAAUGCGCAGGUUUGCCUGUUUCCAUUGUGACAGUAGCGAGGGCGUUGAGAAAUAAGAGAUUAUUUGAAUGGAAGGACGCUUUGGGGCAGUUAAGAAGGCCUUCAUCAACCAACUUUAAAGAUAUACAGCCGGCUGCUUAUUCAGCUAUAGAGUUGAGUUACAAUAAAUUAGAAGGAGAGGAGCUCAAGAAGAUCUUUUUGCUAAUAGGCUACACCUACAUAUCGUCCAUUAAUGACGUGUUAAUGUAUGGCAUGGGUUUGGGUUUGUUUCAAGGCAUCAAUAGGAUGGAAGAAGCACGAGGUCGAGUGUAUACAUUGGUGUACAAACUCAAGGCUUCUUGUAUGUUGCUUGAGCAUGGAAGCAAAAAUGAACAUUGGUUUUCUAUGCAUGAUGUUGUUCGUGAUGUUGCCAUAGCAAUUGCAACCAGAGAACAAAAUGUGCUUACGAUGAGAUAUGAACUGGUUAAUUCACGGGAAUGGCUAGAUGAAGGUGCGCUUAAGUUUUACACUUCGAUUGUCUUACACGACAGCAAGAUGAAUGUUCUUCCUGAAGUUUUGGAAUGUCCUCAACUGCAACUUCUCUCUUUGUGGACUGAGAAAUCUUCAUUAAUCACACUUCCAGACAAUUUUUUCAGGAAGUUGACGCAAGUCAGAGUUUUAGACUUGACUUAUAUGCAUCUAUCAUUACUGCCUUCAUCACUUGGUCUCCUAACAAACCUUCGAACAUUGUGUUUGUAUUGCAGCGAAUUGCAAGAUAUAGCUGUUAUAGGAGAAUUAAAGAACCUAGAAAUCCUUUGCUUAAGGGGUUCUUAUAUUGAGCAGUUGCCUGUGGAAAUAGGCCAAUUGACUCGGUUAAGGUCGCUUGAUUUGAGAGACUGUGACAGACUACAGGUUAUUCCCCCAAAUGUUUUAUCAAAUUUAUCCCAUUUGGAGGAAUUAUACAUUCGUAGCUUUAAUAAGUGGGAGGUGGAGGUGGAGGUGGAAGCUGCAGGGGUCAAGAAUGCAAGCCUUGAAGAGUUGAAGCGUUUGCCUAACUUGACCACCUUAGAAUUAUGCAUCCCAGAUGUCAACACUCUGCCGAAGGGGCUGUUCUUCGAGAAGCUGGAAAGGUACAGAAUAUGUAUUGGACGUUGGUGUUGGGAGGAUACCUCACCUACGUGUUCUAGAACAUUCAGACUCCUCCUUGGCACCGACAAUUGUAUCAGCUUCAAGAGUGGGCAUAUCGUGCAACUUCAGCGAAUUGAAGACCUUUGUUUAUCUAGAUUGCCAGACCAAGAUAUCAUUGAAUUAGUUAAUAACAAAUUGGGCUCUUAUUCUUCCCAACUGAAGCAUCUCUGGGUCGAAGGUUGUCAAGCCCCCAGUCCGAAAGAGUCAAAGGUAUGAUAUGAUCUUCCUAAAUUUCGAACAUAUCAAAGCAGCCAGUGCAAAAACAGAUUCUUCAUUUCUUAUGAGUAUGACUAUGUUCUAAACAGAGAUGCAAGGAAUCGACAAGUGAAAUGCGAUCGAAUGAAAUCAUUUUGGAGGACCUUGUCAACGUUCCUAAUACAUUUUUCCUCAAGGUCGGAUAUUAAUGAUCCAAUGGUCAUAUUCUUAUGAUUUUUUCCUUUUUUUUUUGCUGCUUUAUUAUAUAUUCUCCUUUCCUAGGAAAUAUAGGCUAGAGUGAAUCAGGGAUUAACGAACAUAUUUCAUAAUUAUAUUAAAAUUUUCAUCCUGAGUAACGUAGGUGUAACAAAUACAUUCUCGGAUGAAAGAAAAAGUACCCUGAAUGCACUUAUAUACUAACUUUGAUCUCCUCAUAUAACGGUUGGAAAGUUUUGUGAACAGGGUGGGUUACCAAACUUGGAGACCUUGGAGCUGUAUAAUGUAAAUGUGGAGAGGAUUUGGAAAAGCCAACUUCCGGCCAUGUCUUGUGGCAUUCAAACUUUAACCCGGUUGAUUGUAUAUGGCUGUGGGGAAUUAAGAUGUCUGUUUUCAUCUUCUAUAGUUAACAGCUUUAUUCGACUCCAACACCUUGAGAUAGAUGAGUGCCCUAUUUUGGAAGAGAUAAUAGUCAUAGACCAGCAAGAAAGGAAGAAUGUUGUGUUCCCUCAGUUACAAUUUCUAAAGAUGGUAGAUCUCGAAAAGCUCACAAGCUUCUGCACAGGAGAUGUGCACAUUGAAUUUCCAACAUUGGAAACUUUAGAAGUAAUAAGGUGUCCUGAAUUCCUUUUAACUGCUCAUGACUUGACAAAAGAGGUACGUACAAGAUUUAAAAUUUACUCUUAAUAAUUGGCAUUACGUUUUCUUUUUGGUCCUGAUUUAUCAUGCAUCCAACCAGGUAUUCCCCAAUUUGAAAUAUUUGACCAUUGAAGGAAAGAAGAUACCAAUGGCAGCUGAGUUUCCAGAGGACAUGUUUUGCAAACUCAACUUUCUUGAUGUUAUAUUUGAAGAGUCAACUACUAUUUCAUCACUUGAUUUCCUUCGGAGAUUUCACAGCAUAAGAGAACUCACAAUAAGGGGAGGAGGAUAUGUUGGGGGCGUUAAGCCAUCAUAUGGAGUAGAAAAUUGGACGAAGGCAAUCAUAAGGAAUCUACACAAUUGUUGUGAUCUGAAGCAUAUUUUGAUCCAGGAAUCCAAAAUGGACAAUUUGGUUCAUCUAACAGUUGAGUAUUGUGACCAUUUGAUUAAUCUAGUGCCACCUUCAACAUCGUUUCAGAAUCUGACAACUUUGAAGGUGUGGAGAUGCAAAGGAUUGAUAAAUGUGCUAACAUCCUCGACAGAAAAGAGUUUGGUACGACUGACAGAGAUGAGUAUCGUUGACUGCAGCAUGAUAACAGAAGUAGUGGCAGAUGAUGAAGGAAAUGCUGCAAAAGAUGAAAUUGUUUUCAGCGAGUUGAUGGACUUGGAGCUUUGUGAUUUAAGAAGACUUACAAGCUUCUGCUCUGGCAACUGCGCCUUCAAGUUCCCAGCUUUGACAUAUUUAAGUGUGGAUAAAUGCCCCAAUAUGAAGAUUUUCUCUGGAAAAGAAUUAAGCACUCCCAGUUUACACGAAGUAGAGAAACGCUGGCUGUCUGAUGAGUAUUGGACUUGGAAGGGCGACCUUAAUUCUACCAUACAACAGAUAUAUCUUGAAACAAAGGUACGUAUUCAUUACUGAGAGACCCAAAAGUUACUGUUGAAUUAGAUUAAGCACUCCCAUUUUAUUUGAAAACUGUUGUUCCUGCUUUCACCUUCAAUUUGUUUUGUUCGUUGUUUACAGGAAGUCCAAAAUCAUAAAGAUGAUUCAGGCCAACCUUCUGUGCAGCAUCAGGAAUGAGGCCAAUUUUCAUUGAAAUUUGUGAGACAUGGUAUGCAGCUCGUGUAUUUUCUAUCAAAGUUAAGACGGUAAGAGGGCCUUCAUUUUUUAUUGUUAUUGUUCUACAUUUUGGCUUCUCUUGAUUACUCAAACCCAGUUUCAAAGAAAUUUCUUUCACUCACAUCAUUCCAGGUUGAAUGGUGGAAGGGUCCUUCAUCUAUGCUGUUUCAGACAUCUUGAAAGACUAUAUAAGAAUCUAAAUUAAAGAUGUGUGAAUCAGACUUGUCUUGUGUGCACGUGAGCCAUGUGUUAGAUUGCUGGUGUAGUAGUAAAAGUAGACAUUCAGCACAUGUUCAUUGUAGUAAAUAUUCAACAAAGAUGAUAAUACAGCAAUAGAAAUUGGAGUUUUAGCCCAUCAGACACAAACAAUUGUGAAACAAGUGGGUAGAGGGAAUAAUAAAAAUCGAAAGACAUGGAUGGGAAGAAUAUGAGAUCAUUGAUAGAACCUAAAUACAAAUUCAAUCAAUUCAUUAAGCCAUCAAAAGUUAGUUAUAAACCAAUAUAUCUUAACAUAUGUAAUUUACCAUCAUCUAAAACCACUAUAUCCUAACAUAUGUAAUGUACCAUUAUCAAUUUUCGCUAUGUUAUGUCUGUAUAGCCUAAUAUGUUUGGCUUGGUUUUGUCUAAUAUGUUUAGCUUGGUUUUGUAUCCUUUCCAAACAUAUGAAUAUUUACUCAAGCGCAUGUUUGGGCCAUCUGAACAUUGAGUGGUUUGAUAUCUCUGCAGCGCAUGUAGGUCAGAAACUGACCAGGCAGCUCCUCCAAAAGUGCUUGUACAACAGAAAUUUGCCCACCUGUUCAGAAAACAAUGUGUUCAUUUGUUAAGGCAUGAAAAAAUUCAGAAACUUUUGUGAAUUAACUCCCAAAUUCAAUAUUUUGAACUAAUUUUGUCAAAGAAUCAUAUGCACUCACUAUGAACUUCUCGCAUUGGAACAAAUUGUACUAUAUCUCUGGUAGCUACCCGAUCAGUAGAGCUCUCUAAUCUACGGCCAUUAUCAGCAUCAAGAAUCUGCCAACAAAGUUAUCAGCAUAAAAAAUCUGCAACAAAAGUGGGAUAAUACCACACUGCAUAUGUACUCUAAAUUGAAUCUAUCAAACUAUAGAAAAAAGAAGUCCAUUGCUAGUAAGAAGAUAUUCCAGUUAGAAAACAUUGUGUACCUCCAUUUGUGUAAAAUCUGCACCUCCCACACCCACAAUUAGAAUUGACAGGGGAAGAUCAGAAGCCCUUACCAAAGCAUCUUUUGUUUCUUGGAGAUCUGUCAGAACUCCAUCCUAAAUAGACAAUGCAAAUUUACAAAUCACCCAAAAAGAAUGAUAGAAAGAGAAAACUGUGAAUAUAUAGAAUCAUUGUAAUCACCGUUAUAAUGAGUAAGACGAAAUACUUGCUUCUGUCGUAUGAGAGGGACUGUCCAGCAAUUCGUGCAGCGGUGUUGAUCACUUGACCAAACAGAGUCGGUCCUGCCAAAGCAACAUUGUUUAGAGCGCUUGCAUAAGCAGCCAUAAUGCCUUCAACUCCAUCUACCUAUUAAAUAAAGAAACCAGCAGUUAAUGAAAAAAUGGAAGAGGAUAAAAUCCACAUCUUUUAGGAUAAAAUUCCAAGGAAAUUUUAAAAAAAAUGUAGAAACAUAUUAUAUUGUUUGUUAUUAAAAAUGAAAAGUUAUGGGAGACAAGCCAACCAAAUAAGGAUUAUAGCAAAGUUGCGAACUCCAGCUACCCCUACCUCAAAGCCACCUGCUCUUCCAUUCAAGUUUAAACAAUGUGAUACAGUGCCAUCAAAUGUCUUCCCUCCAAAUCCCCAUGCAGGAAAGCGUCUAUCAGAAUCAUAAAAUUGUAUGACCUCCCCAAUUUCCGUUAUUGCCUGUAAAUGGUUUAAGAGGCCAAUAACUAAUCAGUGAUAUUCUCUCUCAACUUCUACAAACUAUUGAAAUAUGUAUCUCACUAUGACGGGCACAGAAAAAGUUGAAAGUCACAGGCAUUUUCUAAGUCGAAAACACUGGACAAAAUGACCAUUUUAUGACCUUCAGAGUUCAGAGAUCACUUGUCAAAGUGCGAGUCAUAACAAAACCUUACCUGCUGGUAAGAAUUCAAUCUGCCUGAAGGAUCAAUAUAGUGCAAAGAAUUUGGAUUUCGAGGAUUUCCAUUUGAAGCUGGAUGAUUUUGCAUUUAAUGAGAGACAAGAUGAAAUUGGACCAAAUAAGAGGAAAUAAACAAAACAAAAAGAUUAUAUUGCAAAUUUAUCUUCAACAAGUAAUCUCUUUCUAAUUACCUGUAAAGUCGACUGCAACCAUAAAAUUCAACUCAAACCCACUAGAUAUGUAAUCCAGGAAACUAUAUUGCUCUUGCUCAACGAACUUUUCAACAAACAACUGACUUUUCAGAACCUAGGAAAAAGUCAGAUAAAAAAUAAAGUGAUAUUAAAUUAUCAAAAACUGUAAGCAUGAACAAACACCUUUGGUGGAGUUAAAACAAAAAAGAAUAAACACCUUGUCAUGGCCACGUUGAGUUGAUGGUAACAUAAAAGUUGCACCAGUUCUUUCUUGAUGAAGUUUCUCCAGGUCUCCAACUGAUUUCUGAAUUUUACUAAUAACAGAAAUAGAAAACCUUGACAUCAGAAAGGCAAAAGGAUAAAAGAGGGAAGCUGAUGACAUUAAGAAAUUUAACAGUUACCCCAUCAGUACGUGAUUUCCACUGGUAUUGAAAUCAAAACAUUCAAUGAUUAAUGGGUUUUCCUGUACCAAAGAAAAUCAUAUACUAAAAAACAUUUCCCCAUGACCAAACUUCACUACCUAAUAUACAUUUAAGUAACAAGCACAAGAAGAUGAUAAGGUUACCUUGCUCACAAAUUGCUGCAUGCUCAAAGUUAUUGGUCUCCAAAUGGGAUUCAAGUUAUUGUUUAUCACCUCCGUCUUGUAGAUAGGAACAGAAUUUCCACUCUCAACAAUUCUAGAUAUUCUUAAGAAUGGAUCCUAUGCAAUAUAAGAAGAAGAAAAAAUAGCAUCUAAAUUAAUAGAUUAAUUAGUGAACCUCCAAACUUAGCUACUUUUUCAGAACUUACACUUUUGGAAAACAGGUCUACAUUUUGCAAAUGCGAGCAACGGAAUGCUAUUUCAACAGCACUCUUGGAAGCAACCGUUUCCUCAGCAUGGACAGAGAGUGUCCCAAAGUUUCUUGAAACUCGAAGCCCAUAAUUGUUAUGGAGUUUUAAGGUUAAAGUUCGAUUGUGUUUGGUCACUAUCUGCCAUUUAAAAGGAAAAUAUGACACUUGUUAGUGCAAAACAAGAAUGCUAAAGAAGAAGACGAAUGCUAGUAAAAAGCAUCUGAGAAUAUUUUGCCCUUUUUUUAUAGGAAACAGAUUUUUACAGAAAAUUAGAUGGGCAUAUUUUGCCCAUUGAAUAAAGAGAAAAUACAUAAAUUCAUCAAACAAAAUAUAACCCAGAAGCUUACCUCAGAGAGAACACAGCCAGCUUCUCCCAGGAAGUCUUGAUCCUCCAACUUUAGCAUCUGCAGGGCAAUGUAAAUAAGAAGUUUGAACUUUAAACUUCACGCUUCAACAACUAUUUUGUCAUGAGAUAAUAAUGUCUUGAAAGUAAUUAGGGAUCACUGCAGCAAAGAAUCAAAAGAACACUAGAUUCCCUACUUAAUGUCUUAGAAUCCAUCUGGAUUUGUUCAUUUUCUCUUUCCACUAGCAUAAAUUUAAAUAUUUCUCAUUUUUCCCAUUAAUGUUAAUACCAUUUACAAUUGACAUAAAUAAUAAUCACAUUUUUAGAUUAUCUAACUGUUUUCAGCAAAUGCUUCCAAAUGAUUACAGUUUCUAGGAUUAUAACCAUAAAUUUUUUUUCAUUUUGAAUCAAAUUCCACAGACGAAUACAUCAUAGGCUCUAAAGAUUUACUUAUCCAUUCCAAUACUUACAAUAUGGUCAUUUUUUACAGAAACUUCUUUAGGUCAUGGCAGCAACUAUUUAACUGUAUUGUUUUUAACAACAUAGAUCAAAAUUCCAUUUUGGAAAAAAGAAAAUUUAGCCGUAAGGACCAUCAGAAAAAUUGUUCUUUCCCAGUUAUGGUAGCAGGACAAAUAUGUCAAACCUUGCAAGAUGCAAUAACAGAAAGUUCCAUAAUAACUAUCCUGGCCUUAAGAUUUGUUUAUGAUAUACGACAGCCAACUUUUUAAGUUUCUUGCCAUGCUAAGUGUUAGUUUAUAAUCAAUCAAGUGUUCACAAAUUUCCCGAAAUUGAUAGAAACUAUUGCUGAUGCAAUUUAGUUGAGACGUAUGCUUAGACAACAAAUGGAUCAGUCAAAUGCCUUGGCUAACUCUAAACUUUGGAACUGAAGUAUGUGCAUAAUUAAGAAAUUUUUAUAUACCUUCACUGGAAUAUUGUGGUACUUGGUAUCCACAUCAUACACACGAAAACUGGAAAAAGAAGAAAAGCAUUAAGUAAUUCGAAAACAUUAAAUAUUAUCAAAUCAAGCAAGGCUUAUGAGAAAUGAUAAGCAAAUGACCUAUCAAGGGGAAAAAAAAAACAAACUUUAAAAAGAACAUAGUAAAAUCUUACAGCAAGGGCUGGACGAUCUCAAACUGAAAAGCAAUUGAAAUCUUUCCAAUCCAAGCAGGAUUCAGAUUGUUCAUAAUCACCUCUGUACGUCCAAUCUCCACCAGCCUCCCAUCUCUUUUCUUUGCAUACACAACUGCAAUGGGAUCACUCUAUGACACAAAAAGUCAUGUAAAUACAUUUGCUUGUGAGUAUAAAAAUAAAAAGACAGAAGGCCUAUGGGUAUGUAUCCACUUAUGUCAUAUAAAAUAUAAACAUAUAUUAGUUAAAUAACUUUAGUUAGUAAUCCACAUUAAAAUACAGCAGCAUUUGAUGUAUGCUAGUAUCAGCUAGUAAAAAGAUAUACCGCUGAUAAAUGUUCAUUAUCAAAGAAUUUUAUCUUGCACAUAUAACAUAUUUGACUAGUGCACAAAAUUGCAAAAACAAUAAAACCACCAACCAUGACUUGUUAUACAUUAUCUGGAACUCUCAAGUUACUGCUCCUUACUGGAUUACAUUGGAUAUAGACAGUGUAUAUAACAAACUAUUCUUCUUUGUCUAAGUUUAGAAUUUUGGUGCCAGCACUAAGCGUUAUUCAGAUCAUAUAUCCCUAGACCCUUCAUGAACAGAGAAAGGAUAUUGACAGGGCCAUUAUGAACAAAUAAGCAGAUCAUAUAAGGAGGAUACAAGAUAAUAUGAGAAUCAAUCACCAAGACUACCAACAGCAUGAACAUGGCAUUACUAGACAUAAGACAACAAUAAUAUGAAGGCGUACCUUUGAUGCGAUGUCAAGAUCACGCAACUUUGAAGCAGAUAAAGAUAACUGCAAUAUAUAUUCAAAAACAUACGAACGAAUACAGAUACAUGAAAAAGCGGAAAAGGAGUAAUCCAUGCAUAUGCUGCACGAAAUGAAAAUUGUCAGUACGAUGUGGGUCAACUGACAGGCAAUAUAUAUCUGUCAUAAACAGAACAUGUAGAAAACCAUCAUUUCCGAUUCUGACAGAAUCACUUCUAAUAUUAAAUCUUAUAAGCAGCAAGCAAUAAUAUAUGUAAUUAAGUUUUAUAUAACAACAGGAUGUGACACGUCAAUUACAAGCAUUGAACCACAUUUAAUUUGUUAUCAUAUGACUUGUUGCCUUUUCUCCAGGAAAGUUUGCAAGGAGAUCCUCAGGUAAGGUCCACAUCAAUACAGGAAUAUUACAAUCACUUGGUGGUCCACGUUAUGGAAAGACAUUCUUAUCCUCGUAACAACAUAAUCCUUAAUCCACAAUCUUUUAUAAAGUUAAUGGUUUGUCUUAUGCAAACCAGCAUUCACAAAAUCAUGUUCCAAUCAGGGGAGCAUUAUCAUGGGGAAUCUUCACGAGGGGUAUAAGUCAAAUUUGAUCACGAGGGGUAUGAGUUAAAUUUGAUAAAUGAGGCAUAACAGAAUAGUCAACUUUGAGGAUACACAGGAAAACCACUGUGCAUUCAACAGGAUCAAACAUCAACUUUCUCAAUGUUCACAAGGCCAUUGUGCAUUCAACGCCAUUCUUUUUUUAUUUACCUUAACCAAUCUUAAUCUAAAAUUCACUCCACAGAAUGUUGUUAUUGGGUAUAAGCAGUUAAACUUACUGUUCUCCAUAUGCAAAACAAAAGCACUUGCUUGGUGUGAAACCGUCGAACCAACACCAGCAAAAGAAUUGGUAGAUUUGUAAUGAAAUAUGAAGAAACAGCAAGGUAUUAAUUGAAGAAUUCAAUUUCUCAUUAUAUUUGGACAUUUGGACGUCAUUAAUGUUAAUUGAUUUUUUCCGCGUAAAAAACUUCCCGAUUGAUUUUGUUCCUCCAAAUGCCAUUCAUUGGAAAUAAGUUUAUUUUUCUGACAACUUCAACUCAUAAAUUUAAUUAUUUUGUUAUAAUAAUAGGUUGAAUAAUUCUAUGUAUUACGACAAAAAAAAAGAAUCUUAAUUUUAUAUCAUAUAUAAUUAUAUAUAUAUAGACUCAAGCAAGAGUAUUAUUUAUCAUGUAAUUUAUUAAACUAAUCUCACCUAAAAAGUUGUUGAGAAAAGACAGUAAGUUAAUAAAUAUUUCGUCUUCCCCAAGGUUUUUGAUUAAAAGAAUGACUUGAUAUGGCUGAUGUUGAUAAAUUAAAAAGGGAAAAAUAAUAAACAAUGGAGGAAUUUUCAAAUUAGGUCAACAAUCGUAGUCUAUUUAAUUUCGUAAUAAUGGCAAUGACGAAGCCCUUAUAACAUAAGCUUGCAAACGUAAUCAAGAUAUCCGUGGAAAACAAGCAACAAUUGCAAUGGGGUGGAAUAAAAUGUCUAAUAUUUAAAUUUUUUAUUUCAAUUUCUAUUUAUAUAAUUUAUUUAAUUUAUAAUAAAGAUGAAUAAUUAAAUAAAUUUUAAAAUAUCUUAAAAUAAGAAUAAUACUAUAAAAUUAUGAUAAAUGAAAGUUAUUGAUUAUUAUGAAAACAAUAAGAAGAGAAAUGUCAUGUAUUAAUUUCUACAUGAAGGAAACUGCCAACCUCCCUUUAAUAUGUUGUGACAAUCAUUAGAAUUUCAAUAAAAUGAUUUUGUUGACGAAGCCCUUAUAACAUAAGCAUACAAACGUAAUCAAGAUGUCUGUGGAAAGCAAGUAACAUUUAACAAUUCCAGUGGGGUGGAAUAAAAUGGCAUUCACAGUCAACUACUAAGGUACUGAAGGUUCAAUCGUUUAAGGGUAUUGAUAGUUUCAAUAAAAUGACAAACUCCUCUACAUAAUCAAUAGUCAUUGAUCACGUACGUGUACAUUUAAGUUGGAAAAAGAAGAAGAAGAAGAAGAUUAUAGUAUAAUAAAAUCAGAAUGCGUAUGUCAUAACUAAUUUCACUAAAUGGUUAUAAUACGUUUUAUGUACUUGAGAUUUUCUCAUAAUUCCUUUAUCCAUAACACUGGUAAUAAAGUCCGAUUAUAUAUAGGCAUGCACACUUUUUUCAUGGGGGAUUGAUAAUAAAAUUUUAUAGUGGGUAAUUGGUUGCAACCGUGUUGGUAGAUACACCUACCUAAUAUUAAUUAAUGAUUGAAAAGAAGAACAUUUAGUUCAUAGUUAAACCAAGAUUGUUACAGAAAAGGGAAAAGACUAAGACAGUGCUCAUGAAGUGGAUAGAAAUAACAGAGAAAGAAAUAGCUAUAUACAAUAAAAUAUUUCUCCUAUAUAGUCAUAUAUCCUUUAUAUAGAAAGAAAAUAUUUCUCCUAUGUAGUCAUACUUUAUAUAAAAAUAAUUUUUAUUUAAUUAUAAAAAAGAUUUAAUCUCAAUUUAAGUUAGUUAUAAAUAAGGAUAUACUCUAUAUUAUAAUAAGUUAUAAUUUUUUUAAGUCUUGUCUAAAAAAAAAUUGUCUCUACAUAGUCAUAUUAUUUGUAUAUUGCAAAAAAGUAUAGACUUUUUUUUUAAUUAAGCCUAUCUUUAUUAUCAAUUUCUGACAUAAUUCAGUAAUUAAUUAUUAAUAUAGUGGAUAUUUGACCUCUAAUUUAAUUGCACGAAGGAUAAGUAAGUGAAAACGAUAAUUUCUGUAACUAUAUCUUUACUAAGUUAAUUAUAACAUUCUCAUAUUAAUAAAAUUAAUUUGCCCCAAUAUUAUGAUUAUAGAGAAAUUGGACUAUAUUUGCAAAUUUUGAAAAUGAUGGUCAUGACUUAUGUGCUCGAUCUGUGAUUUUACGUUGAGGUUGGUAGAGCUGAACCAUCAAAACGUUUAAAGCAUAUUGUCGUUAGUCUUUGUUUCCGAGUAGACAAAAGUGUCAAAUACUAUGUUUAUCAAUAAGAACAUUAUUGAAUCUUUUUUUUCUUUUUUAAAUGACAAAUGAGAGAUGAAUUCAAAUUAAUUAGGAAUUUUUAUCCAUUAUUUAUUAGAGUUGUGCUAGUAUUUUUUUUUUUAAAAAAAACUACUAAUUACAACAACCUUAAGUAAAACAAACAUAUAUUAUAUAGCUCAUCAUGUGAGCACGGAAUCCGACAUUCCUUUGAGACUUAUAUAUCUCUCAAAUUAAAAUACCGCAAACAAGAAUAUUAAACAAAGUAAUAAUCAAAAUAACACAUUUCCUUGCAACGACUCAUUAUGAUUCCAAGUGAAAUGGUUCGUUCGACCAAAAAAUGCUGGAAAAAAUGUAAUUCAAGUUGGCUUCCUCUUUCAUAUUCAGUUCAGAACUUUAGAUUUGGUGUAAAUGAAGGGAAAAUGCCUACGAAUAUGUUCUCAGCUUGCCCGUCGUCUUGCCCAGCUUCUAGUUGUUUUCGUAAUUACGUCGUCACAACGACUGAUGCGGAGUAUGUAGAAAAUAAAGUCAUUCAAAGCCGUACAAAAGUGGAUAACCAAUCCAAUCCACUUUUGGCUCGUCAUUGAGUAAUUUGAGUCAAUUAUCCAGUUUGGUCAAUAUUAUAUUUUAAAAGAUUAUCCAGAACAUUUCUUUACUUACUUUCUUAGUUGUUGGACAUAAAUUUUUAAAGCUAAAACAGAAUUUUUAUAUGAUAAAACUAAUUUAAUAUAUAGCAGAUGGAAAAUAGAAAAUAAUUAGGUAGAUUUUAACCAAAAAAGAAUAUAGAAUUUAUAUUUUUUUUAGAGUGAAUUUCUAAAAAUAUAUUGACUCCUCCAUGGGUACAUAAACUACAGGGACAAAGAGACAUUCCCUUUUUUGUUUUAUGCAAGUCGUCGCAAGGAUUAUUCGUUGUGCGUGUACGCACAAUGACAUGAUCACGUGUCAUCCAUUGAGACUUUUCCAAGACAACAUUUUGUGAUGUACCAUAUGCAUACUAAAUUACAAGUGCAUUUGUUGGGUACAUGCAUGCAUGGACGUGGAAUUCCAUGCAUAAAAUGAUAAAAUACUUUUUCAAUUUUUCUUAGUUUAAUUUGCAAAGAUGUUUCACCAUUAAUUUGAAGUCUUUAGGUUUGGAAAUCUUUAUUCAUCGUAUAUUUGUUUGUCUCUUGGCACAAGCGCAUGCACACACGCACGCACGCACAUGUAUGUGUGUGUAUAUAUAUAUCUUAAUAUGUAUACUUAAGAUAUAUCUAUCAUUGUAAGUUAAACUAAUAAUCACUAAAUAUCCACUUUGUAUUUUGCUCUAGAGCACAAUAAAGUCAAAUUAGUAUUUAUAAUCGAUUUUUUUUUUUCUAACAAGUAAAUUGAUAUUGCAUUCCAUUAAACUGCUCACAACAACAAUACAAGUCAUGGUGGCAGUGACGAGAGUAAUUUACAAACUGUCUAUAAAGAACAUAAUUUGUUAAACCAUUAAAUAUUCAAGAGAUACCUUUAAUAACAAGUACUUUCAUGAGCACAUAAAACUUAAAUUUUACAAGAGUUAUUCUCAAAUUUAAGUCCUCUUUUGAUUUGAUCUCUUCUGAACGUUUAAAGAUCUUAUAUAACUUGCCUUUUAAUAUUAUGUAUGAUUAAAAUUUAACUAUUUUUAUUACUUACUUGAUUAACCAAUAAACAUAUAAGUGAAAUUUGCUUAAAAAUCAGGUCAUUAAAGGAUCCAUCCCAUUAAUGCUUCCCAGUCACUCUCUAUCAUCGAAGUUAUUUGUGCUAACCACCAAUGCACUAGCAAAUAUUGAUUCAUGUUUAAGCUCAUGUGUCACAUACUCAUGAAUACUUAGUGAUCAUUUAUAAAUGUUUAAUUAAUUAAUUGAGUAAAAGAUCAACAUUAAAAAAAAAAUCCCGUUACGCUACUCUGUAUAUACAACGCGUGAUAAAUUAAUUAAUACGGAGUUACCGGUAGCAAUUUAUAAAAAUUAAUUAAUAGGAGUUAGUGAGUUACACGGCUGCUAUUAAUACUUUCAUUAAAGUGUGAAUGAUUUAUUAACAAGAAUUUCAAUAUAGAAAUUUCACCAAAACUGUUUAAGCUUGAUUUUUUAAUUCUGCAUAGCAAUGAGUCCAUGACGGCUCCAGCACUAAUCUCAUCAUGAAACAAAGGUAAAAUUAACGAAGUUUCUUUUUUUCUUAGAAAAUCAUUGACAUCAAUAAGGUAAAACUAGUACAAGAUAAACCGAGACUAAUUUUAUUUUAUUUUUAAACAUUCUAUUAAAUUUUUCUGUCUAAAUAUCAUUGUUCUCUAUUUCAGAGUCAAGUCAAAAUUGUACAAAAUGAAAAAGAGAGGGUUAAAAUGGAUGGAAAUGACAAUAAAGAAAAUAGCUAGCUUUUUGCAAGAGCUUUUGAAGACGAUAGGCUUGUGCUCUUAUCAUGAAGCUUUUACGUCUUAUGCUUGUAGAAUUGACCCAGCGAAAAGGUUUAAUGAAUCCCCGUGAGAGUCUUUAAUGUGUUUCCGGGAAGAUAAUCAAUUAAUUAACUGCACCAAUUAAGCAGUUGAAUGAUCUACUAAGCAAGUUCAUAAAAUCUUAAUGUAAUCUAAUUGUUCGGAGAAAGUAUUUAAGAUCGAAUGUAGGGGUGGGCAUGGGUUGGUUUGGGUUGGAUUUUAAGUCAACCCAAACCAAACCAUAAAAAUUUGGAUCCAACCCAAACCAACCCAAAUAUUUUUAACCCAACCCAAACCAAACCAUUUGGAUUUGGUUUGGUUUGGGUUUGGUUUGAAUUUUAUUAUCAAAAUAAUUUUUAUUUUAAUAAAAUUUAAUUAUACCAAAAUUAUUAUAAUUAUUAAUUGUUAUUAAUUAUUAAAUUAAUAUUAAAAUAUAAAAAAAUAUAGUGGAUAAAAAUUAUAAAUUUUACAAUAACUUCAUCCUUAAAUUAAAGAAUACUAGAAAAUCAAAAUAAAGUUUAAUCACAAAAAUUAUUAUUUCUCAAUAAAUAAGAACGUACACUUUAAUAAUAAACUUUCACAAACAUGACAUUAACAAAUCUAAUAAUAAAUUUUACCACUUGUUAUUUAUUAUGCAAUAUUUAUUUUUAUUUAUCAUUUUGGUAGUUUUGCGUUAUGUUGUCUACUUAUAUGCUUAAUUUUAGGGAGAUUGCCACUUUCCCCCCUACAGUAAUCAAUAUAUAUCAUUUUUUCCCCUUCUGUUUUUAUAAUGGUCAAAAACCCCCCUAAUAGUAUAAGUUUACAAUAUUACCCUUAUUUUCAACUACUCUUUUAUUUAUAUUUAUUAUAAAUUAAAUAAAUCACAUGAAUAGAAACUAAAUAAAAAAUAAAGCAUUAAAAAUAAGAAAUAUAUGUUUUGAUAUGAACAAAAAAAUUAAUAAUAAAAUUUUUUUAUACUUAUUUAUUUUGUGAAAAUUUUCUUAUAAGAAAAUUAUUAGUAAAAUGAUAAAAAAAUUAUUAUAAGAAAACUUGAAUGACAAAUAAAAAUUUAUUAUAAGAUAAAUAAUAAAAUAUUUUACUAUACUUUUUACAUUUAAUUUUAAAAUAUUACAAAAUGUUUAUUAUAAGAAAAUGUUCACAAAAUAAAUAAUUACAAGAAACAAUUUUAUUAUUAAUUUUUUUGCUCAUAUCAAAACAUAUAUUUCUUGUUUUAAUACUUAAUUUUUUAUUUAGUUUCUAUUCAUGUAAUUUUUGUAAAUAAGAUAAAAAAUUUAUGUUAUUUACAACAAUAUUUAUUUAAUUUAAAUUUAUUUUUACUGUUAUUUUCAUUUUCUAACUGUUGACAAUUGAUCACGCCGCAAAAAAUUUAACGGUGGCCUUUCACUUAUUUGUAUUUAUUUAUUUUGUUUUCAUUUAUUUCUUUGAAAAAUUUGAGUGUUGGGGUUUUGUCCAUAACCCAUGGGUAAACCAUACCCAACCCAUAAUGAAAUGGUUUUCUAUAUAAAACCCACAUCUAACCCAUUUUCAUGAUUUACCCAACCCAAACCAUUUAAUUUGGUUUGGGUUUGGGUAAACCCAUGGGUUGUGGGUUUAUGCCCACCCCUAAUCGAAUGAAAGAUGAAUUUCAGGGACUCUUCCAAUUGCAACUAGUCAUCAUGGAUAUUCCAAUCAGUGAAGGAUUCUUUCGACACAAGGAAAAAUAAAAGAUAAAAAAGGGUCAAUAAAGACGAUGGAGAAUAUUCAAAUAAAGUCUUUAACGUAUGUAAAUGUAAUGUAACUUUAAUUUGACAACUGCGGGCCUGACGAAUCCCUUGCAACGUGAGCACAAUGACACAGAAAGGAUAGUGCAAAUCAAAGUGGCCGUCUUUAUGAAUUACGAGAGAGAGCGUAACACAAGUUAUCCAAAUUCAGUCAGUCAAGAUAGGUCAAAUUAGCUUGCCAUUGUCGUUUUCGGGGAAAAAAUGUUAGAAUAAAAUGUUAAAAGAAAAUUUAGAAUGUCUACUAACUACUAAUAUGAGAAAGAGUAAUAAAGACUUUAGAAUUAAAAAAAGAAAAUAGUAGCAGACAAUUAAUAGUUGUAAAUGGCUAAAGUUGUUUCAUAUAACAUUUUAGACAGGCCCGACUUUAACCAAUUGGGGGCCUUAGGCGAAAUUUUAUUUUAGGCCUUUUGAUGUUAAAAUAUCAAAUCUCACAAAAACAUUAAACAGCUCAAAAAAUUCUCACAACAAUAUCAAAUAGCUCAAACUUUAACUAUAUUCAAUAAUAUCUUGAAUUACAACAAUUAUUAACAAGGUCCAAAAAAAAAAAAAUUGUCCGAAAGAUAUCUAUUUAUUUCCACACAAAUAGUAACUAACUUUGUCUUCCACAAAUUCCAUCUUCUUAAGAUGCUCUAAAACUUCAUAAGCCACAACCAUAAUCUUCCUGUGAACUUUAAAUCAUUGCUCCUACCUACUAUGAUCCUUGCUGCAAGCCAUCACUAAUGCAAAUUACUAAUCAAUUAAAUUUUAUUCUUCUUGCUUUUUGAGAUGCAAAAUUAUUAAUUAAAAUCUUAUAUUCUAAUUUAGCUAACAAAUUUUUUUUCAAUAGCUAAUAUUGCUAAUCCAUUUAAUCUUUCUUGUGACAUUGUAGUUCUUAAAUAAGAUUUUAUUAACUUCAAUUUAGAAAAACUUAUCUCAGCAGAAGCAACAAUUAUAGGUACAGUCAAUAAUAUUCUAUAAGCAACAAAUGCAUUUGGAAAAGAAUCUACUUUUUUAAUAUAAUUAAGUAUAUCAAGUGGACUAUUUCUUUCCAUGUGUAAAACUUCUUUUAAGACUUUUAACUCUGAAAACAAAUCUAAUCCAUCAAUAUCAGAAAACAUAUCAUAUUUCAAGAUAUUUUCAAGAUUAAUACAAUAACUUUUUAAACUUUCAUCAUCUAAUGAUUUUAAUUUUUCAAAAUUAAAUAAAAAUCCGUAAAUAUUUUCAUAGAAUUGAAACUGCUCAAAUCUAUUGGUGAUUGAAGAAAUAACUUGAUCUACUAUAUAUACAAAGUAAUCAAUUCUAAAAGAAUCUUCGGGAGAUAGAAUUUUCUCUUCAUUAUUAUUCUCGCCAAAUUUAUUUUUUCUACGAAUUAUACGUUUUUCAUGAAAUUUUGGUUCUAUUUCCAUUUCAUUUGCAAUCUCUUUAGCUGAAAUCAUAGCAGACACAAAACCAUUUUAUCUGUAAUUCUCAAAAAAGGAUGUAAGACCUUUAGUUGAUUUAUGGCAACAUCAAUUUGCAUAUAUUCCCUUUGUAAGCUUUUACUAACAGUGUUUACAACAAAUAAAAGCAAAUAAUAUAUCAUACCAAAUAAUCAUGCCUAACAAAAAUUCAAAGUUUUCCAAUUCAUAUGUUGCUAAACAUUUCGCUUCACUUUUUUAUUUUAGGAUCUUCACUAACUUCUGCUAAUUUGAGUAAAGCAUCUCUAAUUUGGGGAGUUUGAAAUCUUAUUGCUUUGACACUUUCUAUGCGACUCUCCCAACGUGUUUGUGACAAUGAUUUAACAGUUAAAUUAGGUAUAUUAUCUUGUAAAAUUUUCCAUCUCUUAGGUGAAGAAGAAAAUAGCGAGUAAAUACGUUGAACAACUCCAAAAAAUGAAAUAGCCUUAGGACAAGAAUUAGCCAUAUCACAAAGCACUAAGUUAAAACUAUGAUAGCCACAUGGUGUGUAAAAUACUCUAGGAUUUAUUUCUAAUAAUCUUUUUUGUACACCUUGAUUUUUUCCUUUCAUAUUAGAUCCAUUAGCAUAUCCUUGUCCUCUUACAUCAUUAAUAUCAAGUUCAAGAGUUUUAAUUACAUCCACAAGUUCAUUAAAAAGACCUUUUCCAGUGGUAUUGUCAACUUGUAAAAAUCCUAAAAAAUAUUCUUCUACCUUUACUAGAUUUGUUGAAAUAUCCACACAUCUUAAUAUAAGAGACAUUUGUUCUUGGUGGCUUGCAUCUGGAGUACAAUCAAGUAUAACUGAAAAGUACUUUGCUUCCUUAACUUUGUUAACAAUUGAUUUUUUUUAUUUCAAGUGCUAGCAUUAAUAUGAGUUCAUUUUGUAUGUUAUGUCCAAGAUAAUGAUCAUGAAUUUCACCGGUUUUAAUACGUCGAAUAUGUUCUUGCAUUGUUGGAUCAAACUCUGCAAUCAUUUCAAUUAAACUUAACAAAUUCCCAUUUCUCUCUUCAUAGAUCUUCUCAUUUUUUCCACGAAAUGCUAAAUUAUUUUUAGCAAGAUUUUUUACAACAGCAAUAAUUCGUAUUAAUACUUUUUGCCAAUGUUCUUUUUCCUUGUCAAUUCUUUCUUGAACAUCUUUAUCAAUUGUUUUUCUUUUUGAUAGUCUUGCUUCUAAAUCAACCCAUGCAUUCAUAUUAGUUAUAUGUUCAUUGGUUGUUUCAUGACUUUUAAGUUUAGAACUAAGAUUUUCCAAUCUCUUGUUCCUUCAUCACUAAGUUGAUUUUUGCUACAACUUGUAUUGAAUAAUUUGCAACAAAAACAAUAUACUUUGUUAAAAUCUUUUGAAUAUAUUAACCAUUUUCUAUCAUGUUUUUCUCCAUUUGUUAACAUUUUAACAUAAAAUGCAGUAGAGAAAUGCCUAGAAUUUUCAUCUUUUGGGAAAGUUAUGUUAUUCUCUCUAAUUGGGCCUUUUUUCUACUAAAAGAUCUCUUAACUUUGUAUCAACAUUUUCCCAUCUUCCUGGAUCAUAAAUAUUAUUUGGAACAAAUAAAUUUUCUACAUCAACUUUGUCCGCAUUUUUAUUUUUAUCAUCUUCAAUGUUGUUUAUUUCAUUCACUGUUUCAUCAUUAUUUAAUUCAUUUAAACUUGGUUGUUCAAUAGCUAAUUCUUCAUUUAAAUCUAUAUCUUUUUUAUUAGUUGUGACAAAUUUAUCAAGAGCUCCUUUUUUAGAUUGGACUAACUUUUCUAUUCUCCUCUUUUUUUUUUUCAAUUUUUCAUAUCCCGAUACAUAUUUUCUAGUUGACAUGCUUUUCAAAUAAAAAAAAACAAAUAAACAAACACAAUUUUUUUCUAGAUUAUUCAAGCCAAAAUCAAUACAAAAAAUCAAAAAUAAAUUAAAUUUAAAAAGGAUAAGAACAGUAAUAAUAAAAAAUAGAAAAAAAUAGAAUGAUAGCACCUGGAUUUGAGUCAAUUGACUAGUUGAGAUGAAGAUGAUGAUGGCAAUGAAUUUUGUAGAGAAAGAGAAGAGAGCACAAAAUUUUUUUGCUGAAAAUAGCUUUGAUUCAAUGUGUAUCGGUUUAUAGAUAAUGAGGUUUUAAAUAUAUUUUAAUAGAAUACCAAAAGUUAGUUCUAAAAAUCUAACGUUACUAAUUUUAAUAAGAGUUUUUUUUGGAAAGGGUAAGCAUUGAUUGUUUUUUGGGAAAUAGUUAAAGAAAGUAAAGAAGUAACGUUCAAAAUCAUUAUUAUAGCAUAAAAAUAUAUCUUAUAUUUAAGGUAAAGAUUAUUAAAUAAGAGAGAUAAUUAUGAAUGAGAGUAAUGAUAGGGUAAAGCCUAAAAAUUAGGCUUUUUUUACUGUAUAAAAAAUAUAUACGUAACUUAAUUUUUUUGAAUCUUAAAAAAAUUAAUUAUAUUAAUUAAUAAAUAGAUACAAAAAAUCAGGGCCUUCCUAAAUACGGGGCCUUAGGCAACUGCCUAGUUCGCCUAGCAUUAAAGCCGCCACUGAUUUUAGAAUAAACUUUAAUUUGCCCCUCACUUAAAAUGAUAAGUCUUUGAUUUACUUCUAGGAGGAUAAGGCUCAAACUCACGACUUCCGCCCUAAGAAGGUAAUGCUCUUAUCAUUCAGUGCUAAGUCUUUGCCUCUAUAAACAACCAUACAAAGAACAUGCAUCUCUUUUUUAUUCCCCCCCCCCCCCCCCCCACAAAAAAAAAAAAAGAAAAAGAAAUCCAUCACUGCAUCCACAAUUUGCUCUCACCUUAUUGAAUGAAAAUGAAGGCUAAAUUGAUAUUUUCACUCUUUUAGGUGAUAAAACCAAGAUUGUUGUUCUAUCGGGAGAAUGAAUUAAAAUUUAUCAACUUUUUAAGUUAGAUUUCUCCGGUAUGUCUCGAAAUGAUUGAGGCUAUAAUAAGUAUAGGUUUUAAUAGAAAAAAAUAUCGGUGGAUUGGCUGUCAAAUAUUCCCUUCACAAAGACAAAAUAUAGCUUUUAUUCUAAUUCUUCAUAGGCUUUAUUUGAUUAUUUCCAAUAACAAUCCAUUAUAACAGUGAAUAGCUUUUUACCAGCCGUAGUUAAGAUAUUGGAUUAGAAGCAUAGUUUGAGAAGCCAAACAAAACUGAUUCCUUGGAAGAAAUGUAUUGAAAACCUUGAAUCACUCAAUAUGUGUAACAAAUUUACAAGUUAUCUUCAAAAUUCCCAAAGCAAACUUCGCCAAAAUUUAAUUUCCCUCCCACGAAAUUUUUUUUUUUUUUUUUGCUUUGAGCAGCUAACUUUCACAGUAGGCUUUACAACUCAAAAAAAGCCAUAUCCUAGUUAAAGACAAAUCCAGGUCUUAUAAAGUAGCUUAGGAACACCGCGAUGGGAAAUUCUUGUGCAUGAACAUGCAACUCAAUCAAGCACAGAUAAUGACAUAAUGGAACCGAAUUAAGUGUCGAACAAAAUACAGAAUGAAAAGAGUUAUAUCAUUGGUAAAAAGUUGUAUUGCUAACUGCUUGACACUAUCAGUCAAUUAAUUUUAUGGACUGACCAUCAGUGACAAAAUGCAACAAAUAUUUCGAUAAAGUCAUAAGUUUCCCAAUAGAGCUAAUUGGUUUGAAAGGUUUAAAAUAUACUUUCAAGGCAAAAAAGUUGUCUACAAUUAAACUUUUAUUAAGACUCAUAAUACAGAAAGAAAUUUGCUAAAGAAACAAAUAGUAAAGAGGAUGAAUAGUAAAAAUGCCAUCGGUAAGACAUAGAUGGACCGGAAAAGGAGUAUCUUGAUGAUACUGGUGCAGCUAUCAAUUUUGGCUUGCGCCCUUCGCACGGGUGUUACCUGUUGUGGUUUGAUAAAGCACUUGUGGCAUACAAUGAGUAUAACCAAUCAGCUUGAUCAAUUUCUCUCCCCUUCUUAAGGGAUCAAAUUUACAAUGCUUUCAUAAUGAAUACAGCAGAUGGUGGCUAAUUGCCAAACACUUGACAAUGAUAGGCAAAUUCUUCUGUCAGAAAGCGGGGUGAAAAAGGUCAGAAUCUUGAGACCUGCUCAACCACAAGAAUGCAACAAAAGGGAAUCUGAUAAUAUACAAUGGGAAAUCAGAUUAUUAGCUUUCUCAUGAACAUUUCAAUAAUCUGAGCCACCAGUUUAUGACAAGGAAGCUUCUAAUGGUUACAACAUUCUAAAUCAUAAAAAAUGGUUCGAGGUCUCUAGCCAGAAGCACGUUGUUUAAAAUGUCAUUUGACACGCAGCAAUACAAUCCACCAUCCGAUCUUAUUAACUUCCGCUAAAAAUAAAGUGAGAUUUUAUUAAAGAAAGGAAAUUUAUAAAAGCUAACAUACCAUCACAAAAAACUUCUUAGUUCAAAUCUAAGUACAGAUGAAAUAAUCAGAAUAAGUUUAGGCUCAAAAGCAUUGGUGUCUCCUUUAAACAUCUAUUCAAACAAAUUCUGCAAUUCCUCCAAGGUCUCCUCACCAUUUUCCUGUCAAAUUUACAAUCCAAGCAUACAAAGAUAAAUACCAAGCAAUAACACUGCUGGAAGAUUAAGUCAGGUUUGAAUAAUUCAAUUAUUCAAUUCCUCCAAGAACAACUUUUGUGGGGCCCACAUAGAUGUCAAAAAGUAAGCAGUGGGCACUGCUAGUGCUCAACCGCAAAGGAAAAAGAAAAAAAAAGAAGAAAUAAGAAGAAGAAGAAGAAAAGAAAGUGGCGGGCCGCUCAGCAGAAAUAAUAAUAAUAAAAUACUAAUAAAUAAAUAAAAUAAUAGGCAUGAACAGAAGCCAAUUUUUGGCUAUAAAGGACGCUUCUCCUCAUUUCAACAUCCAGUUUGAGAGAAGCAUUUCCUACAUUUAGGGAGUUGAGAGUAUUAAGAAUUUAAUAAACUCUUGGCUUGAGAGAUUAGUGAAUAAGCGAUUGGGUACAUUGGGGUUCUGGAUAGUGAGCCAAAAUAUUACAAUACUUGUAAUUCUCAUAUCACUAGUAAAAUAUUUUUCUUCUGUUUUCACCCGUGAAUCUAGGUUAAAAGCCGAACCACUUAAAUCCUGGUGUCCCUGUGUGAUUCUGUUGUCUCAUUAUUUCUCAAUUUCACUUUAAUUGCGUGUCUGCUUCACCAAUCAAUUUCCCAACAAUAGAACUUAUAUGUAAUUCGCCAUUGAACAAGACCAAAACUAGGCACCAUGAAUCACUACUUUUCAGAGCAUGAACACACUGAGGAUAAAAAUAAAAACAGAUUAAAAUAUGUUGCCCUUGUGACUAAAUGACCCAUUUGCAAUCUGAUUAGGAGAAAUCAAAAUACCGUCAUUCUUUUGCCAACCAGCAAAGUAAAAGCCAUAACUAAAGCUUGGAAAAAGCUAAAUAAUGCCUAGGAAUUUCCAAACACAAUUCUCAAAUUAUUCUAUAGAAAACAUAAAUAUGCAUUGAAGAAUGCUUACAUUAGUUUGUGUUUGGCUCAUCAUCACAGCCAUUUCAUUCAAGAAAUCUCCCAUUCCCUCAAAACAAAACUAAAAAGUCUCAUGUAAUAAAAUCCUCCCCCGUUCCCCACCCCCCCCCCCCUUCUUGUAGGAGUUAAUUUUCAUGUAUCUUCAAAGAAACAAAAGCGCAUUAAAAAGUUAAAGAUGAAAUGAAAACAAUAUAUAUAUAUAUAUAUAUAUAUAUAUAGAGAGAGAGAGAGAGAGAGAGAGAGAGAGAGAGACACACACACACACACGCGCGCGCGCGCAAAAUUGGAGCUCAUAUUAUUUUUUUCAUCAUCACUAUCAUAGACUCCUACAUAGUACAAGAACCUCUUGUUGGCAUCAGAUAGAACUUGAAGAGAGAAGAAGGAAAACAACAUCUCGUGAAUCCGAUAAUUAUCCAUCAUUAUAAAAAAAGAUUACAAUUUUAUUUCUUAUUGUAUACUACAAAUUACAUGCAUAAUAAAUAAAUAAAUAAAUAAAUAAGAAUUAAAAUUUUUGGAAUUUAGUAAGGUUAACAGCAGAAUAGGCAUGUUGAAUGGCGUAAAAUCUCUUCGUGGCUUCUUUCACAAAUUUUGGAUCUCUUGAAGUUGAACAACGACUUGGAUAUAUAGAGCCACAACCACCUUGUAAAAAAAAAAUCAUACGUAUGUUGCAUGAGAAGAUUGGUUGUAUAAAACUGUUAUAGACCCACAUGAUUUAGAAAAAUAAUAGUUAUCCAUUUUUAGUUAAUGUCUUUAUGCCACAUUAGUUUGUUUACACAAGUUCUUAAUGUUUGUGGUUAUAUCAUUAUUGAUUUCGAAAAUAAUAUUUUAAUAUUUUUAUUGCAAAUGAUAGGAUAUUUUUUAACACAUUGGAUGCUUUUGGAUUUAAUGAUACCUUUGUUUAUUUCAUUUAUUGUUUCAUCUAACAUUGUUUGAUGAGUGAUGAUAGAGUUAAAAGCUCUUGUAUAAACUUAUUUUAUACAAAUUUGAAAUUUAAAUUUAUUGAUUGAAUGAAAUUACCAAAUAAUAAAAAUAAAUAAUGUGGGUCAAGAGCUAGGGGUAAGCAAACUCAAUCCAAUCCCGGUGAAUUCAAUCCAACCUGACAAAUCCAGUCCAACCCAAUCUAAUCCAAUCAAAUUUUGAUGGAUUAAGUGAAUUAUUAUAGGGUUAAUUAGGUAAUUUUUUAGAAUCUAAUUAAUAAUUGGGUUGGGUUGGGUUGGAUUGGGUUAAUUAUGAUAAACCUGUCUCACCCAACCCCAUCCAUGUAAAUAAUAGUAAUAGUAAUAAUAGUUAGGCAUCCAGUACUGCUUACCAAAUAGAAGCUAAUUCCUGCAAAUUACAUGAAAAUUGCACGAAAUAUCAUUAUCCUUAUUUUCUUGAUUUCACCUUCAUUGUGUAUUUUUCUCCAGCAAUUCCAAACUUACGAAGAGGAUUCGGGCCACGUUCUAUGCAUCAUAUGGAAUGCGGCCAUUUUUCUGUGUAAUUUGUGAGGCGUUAUAUUACAUGGAGCUUGACUUCUUUCUUUCUAUCAAGGGUCAGAUGGCAUUGGUGAGAGUUUCUUCUGUUUCUUUGUUGAUUGUUUUGCUUUUGGCUUUUUUAUUAAAGUUAUUUUGAAUCCGCUUUCAGAUUGUGUGUUUAAUGAUUUGAUUAAAUUAGUGUUUAGUUAAAUGUAUUUGGAUUUCUGGAGUAUUUCAGCAGUUAAUGAUGAAAUUCAGCAUUAAAUUAACUCAUAAUCAUUCUAAUUAUUGAAUUUUUUGUCAUGAAAAAUCAUUUAGUAUUAUUGCGGCAGUAAAAUUCAAUGAAGUAGCAUUCAAUAUAUAAAUAAAUACGGUUUAAUCAAAUCGUACAUGUAUCAUUCAGCUUACAACAAUCGAAGGAAUUGAAGUUUUCGGAGUGCUCAGUUUAAUCAAAUCAUGAGAAAUAAAUACGGUUGCAAAGUUGGAUACUUAUUAGUUGCUAUAAAUUUAACUAAGUCGUUAAACGUGUACGUGAUUGCCACUAGUAUUGAAAUCAAAACAUUCAAUUGAUUUAUGGUCUCAAGUAAUAAAGGUUCCACAAAUUUCUUUACAGAGCUUUCUUUUAUUUUCUUUCAUUUUCUAGCUUGCCAAACAAUAUAGAACUAAGUUUCUUUCAAUUAUAAACACCUGGCAAAGACACCAGGUUAAUUUUUAUCUCUUAGCACUCUGUUUUGCACCGAGAUAUCCAAUAUAUACUAGUUUAUCAGAUAAUUUUGAUUAAUGUUGAGUGAUAGUGUAUUAGUCUCCUAGUUAAUUAAAUGUGAAAACAUUAUACUAUAUACUAGUUGAUUGAUUCUAGUUUUUUUUAAUCUUCUUGUUAUUUUCCACGACAUAGCUGAUUUAAAGACUUGGCCCAACUCAUCCCUCUAUGUUCAUUUAAUGUUACUAGUUUUUCUGCCCCAAGGUUGACUUGAUGGUAGGUUAUUUUGAUUAACUUGUAUUUUUGGCUGAAUAUUGACAAAAGCAAUCAGCUCAUGUAACGUACUCUGUUUUCCACUAAAAAUAUAAUCAUUUAUUACCUCUAGUUUAUCAAAUGAUCAUGAUUAAUGCUGCUAGGAAAGCUUUAUUAGUCUUUCUUUUAAUAUAUCAUUACCAAUCUUGCCAACUUUUGCUUAUCUUUCGCGGUCUUUGUUUAUAUUUCAUGAUCCCCGAAAUACACGUCAACGCAACCAUUUCCUAUAGCAAAUGUUUUUAACUCUUUUUAAGUUAUUGGAUUGCUGCUUUCCAUGCAUAUAAAUUAUGGAAUAGCUUACUUAAUCUUUCAUUAUCAUCACCAAAUCUCGAAUUGUUUGCAUUAUUUUCUUUUUGAAAAUGCUUCACGGAAUCAAAUUACUAACAGAAGUCAUAAAUGUCCUGCUCCAGCAUUUUCUUAAUCAUCCAACUUUUCUCGGAUUCUCUGAAAAUCCCUUAUACAUUUUCUGGUUCCCUUUUCUUAAUCAUCCUUUUUCUAAACCUUCUUUGCAGAUCUUUCACUGUACUCCCUUUUUUUUUCUAGCUUUUUCACUCCUUGCCCUCCUUGUCUCUUAUUUCUUGUUGUGAUUGGUUUUGUUUUUCCCUGUUUUCUCAAAGCAAAAUAAAAAUAAAAUAAAAUAAAAAGGAUAAUGGAAAUUCUUACCUCCGUUGUUGCAAAAGUUUCAGAGUACUUGGUUGCUCCCAUUAUUCAUCCAUUUACUUACUGCUGCACGUACAAGACCAACUUCGAGAAGCUGAAGAAUGAUGUUGAUAAACUAAAGAAUGCUAGAGACAGUGUACAGUAUAAAGUAGAUGAUUCCAAAAUCAAAGGGGACGGAAUUCAACAGCACGUUGAGGAGUGGCUGAUUAGUGUGGACGAGGUCAUCAGUGAAGUUAGGAAGCUUACAGAAGUUGAAGAAAAAUCAAACAACCAGUGUUUUAAUGGGUUGUGUCCCAAUUUGAAGACCCACUACCAGCUUAUCAAGAAAGCAGAAAGGGAGGUGAAUGCUAUUGUUGGACUCCAUGAAAAAAGGAAAUUUGACAGUGUUUCUUUCCGUACAAUUCCAGAGGAGAUAUGGCUUAAGUCCACCGAAGGUUUCAUUCACUUUGAAUCAAGAAAAUCCACUUUGAAGGAAAUACUAGGCUCAUUAAGCAAUCAUAACUUCAACAUGAUUGGGGUAUACGGGAUGGGUGGCAUUGGAAAGACAAUGUUGGUGAAGGAAGUCGCUGGGCAAGCCAAGGGAAAUAAUCUCUUUGAGAAGGUCAUUUCUGCGCAAGUAUCCCAAACACCACAAAUAAAGAAGAUACAAGAAUAAAUUGCAGAGAAGAUAGGUUUGGGAUUAGUUGAAGAGAUUGAAACUGUUAGAGCAGGGAGGCUAUAUGAAAGAUUGAAAGUAGAGAAGAAGAUCCUUAUAAUCUUGGAUGAUAUUUGGGGGAGUCUUGACUUGGAGGCUGUUGGAAUUCCAUUAGCAGAUGAUAACAGCAGAUGUAAAGUUCUGCUGACAGCAAGAAGUCUAGAUGUGUUGUCUUGUAAGAUGGAUUGUCAACAUAAUUCUUUUAUCGAUAUUUUGAAUAAGAAAGAAGCUUGGAGUCUUUUUAAGAAGAUGGCAGGUGAUUGCAUAGAAAAUAGUGAACUAAAAUCUGUAGCGACAGAUAUAGUCAAGGAAUGUGCUGGUUUGCCCAUUGCCAUUGUACCCGUAGCAAAGGCGUUGAAAAAUAAGAGUCUCUAUGAAUGGAGGAAUGCUUUACGACAAUUACAAAGGCCUUUUUUGAUAAGCUUCUCUGGGACACAAGCGGUGGCCUAUUCAACUGUAGAGUUGAGUUACAAUCAUUUAGAAGGUAGGGAACUUAAAGAAACAUUAUUGCUAAUAGGGUACUCGUUCAUCUGUUGUGUUGAAGACUUGCUCUGUUAUGGCAUGGGUUUGGCUCUGUUUCAAAACAUCAACACGUUGGAAGAAGCACGAGAUAGAGCGCUUACAUUGGUUGAUAAGCUCAAAAACCCUUGCUUGUUGCUUGAUGGAGUUACAAGUGAAUGGUUUGCUAUGCAUGAUGUUGUUCGUGAUGUAGCCAUAUCAAUUGCAUCAAGAGACCAACAUGUAUUCGUAGUGGAUAAUGAUGUUGUCCCACAGAUCAAAUGGCCAGAUAAGGAUAAACUAAAGGUUUGCACUGCAAUCUCCUUAAAUAAUAGUAAUAUUAGUGAGCUUCCUCAAGAGUUGGAAUGUCCACACCGUGAAUACUUUUCUAUUGGCAGUGAUCCUUCGUUGAGAAUCCCAGAUAACAUUUUUACUGAGAUGACAGAGCUUAGAGUACUUGUUUUGUUAAUUACCAAAGUUUAGCCGUACUUUUGAUAAUCAUUUGAUAAUUAAAUGCGUGCUAGUGAGGAAAUACUCUUAAUUAAUUAAUGUGUUAGUGGAGAGUAUGUAGUGUUAUUAUUAUUUCCUAAACAAUAAUGUUUAUAGGAAAAGUAAAACUACAAAAAAAAAAAGGGGGGAAAAUAAUUGACCAUUAAGUGUCCAUUUUGUAUGAUUUCUCUACUAAUAGAUCAAGAGAGUAAUUUUGCUUUUGAAUAUUUUUUGGCAUCGUUUGGCUAUAAAUUGAAUAGAGUUUAUUAAAAAUAUUAUUUUGUCUUUAUUAGGAGAAGUUUAAAUUUUGGACUUCUAGGAGAAUAGGUUGUAGAGCUCCUUAAAAGAAUUAGAUUUUCUAAAAUACACCUAUUUAACUGCAUGCAUAAUCCUAUUUCAUUUGUUUUAUAACAUAUAGGUUUAAUAGGAUCCAGCUACUUUGCAACAGUUGCAAGGUGCCACCAUUUUUGUCUUAUGGAGUUAUGUUAUGCAUGUUAAAUUUUCUUUAACCCCUUACUAGCCUUCUUAUUUACCUUUUUUUUUUUUUAUAAGUUUAUAUACUUUAGCUGGUGACCUUUGAAAAUGUAAUUUUAUUUUAUUUUUUUACAUUUAUUUAUAAGUUUAUAUGCUUUGGCUGGUGACAUUUUAAAAUGUAAUUUUAUUUUUUUAAUAUUAUUUAUUUUUUUAAAAGAAUAAAUAUAAUAAUAAGUUUAUGACUAAAUAAUAUUUAUUUUUUACGACUCAAUAUUUUUUUUUAUUUUAUUUAAUAUUAUUUAACUUUUAAAAAAAUAAAUAUAAUAAUAAGCCUAUGAAUAAAUAAUAUAAAAUUAAUAAAAUUAAUUUUUUAAAAUAAAGUUAAUAAUAUUAUAAAUAAUAUUUAUUGUUUAAGGUUCACUAUUGAUUUUUUUAUUUAAUAUUAUUUAGUUUUUUAAAAGAAUAAAUACAAUUAUAAGCCUAUGGAUAAAUAAUAUUAAAUAAAAUAAAGUUAAUAAUAUUAAAAAUAAUAUUAAUUUUUAAGACUCAUUACUAUUAUUUUAUUUUAUUUAACAUUAUUUAGUUUUAUGAAAGAAUAAAUAUAAUGAUAAGUUUAUGACUAUAAAACGUUAAAUAAAAUAAAAUAAAUAAUAUUAAUUAAAAAUUAUAUCUAUUUUUUAUGAUUCACUAUUGAUUAUUUUAUUUUAUUUAAUAUUAUUUAGUUUUUUGAAGAAUAAAUAUAAUAAUAAGCAUACGCUAAAUAAAAUUAAAUAAAAUGAAAAUAAAUAAUAUUAAAUAAUAUUUAUUUUGAAUAAAAUAAAUAACAUUAAAAUUUUAUUCUUUUAAAUAAAAAUAUAUAAUAUUAAAAUUAAAAUAUUUUUUAAGACUUACUACUAAUUAAAUAAUAUAAAUUGGAAACAAUAAAGACUUAUAUGCUAAAAAUUUUAACUCUUUCAUUUUUUUGUGUUUUUAAUACUUAUCAAGAAUAUAAUGUUAGUAUUCAAAUGGACAAAUCUCUACCAUUGAAAUUACCUUUUUCAUUAAAUCCAAAGGUAAAGGAAUAAAAUAAAAAAAAAAAUUAGUUGUACCUUGCAGCCGUUGCAAAGUAGAUGAGUCCAGGUUUAAUAAACUUGUUACUAAAGUAAUUUUAAUUUACAACUUUUUUUAAAAGCUUUUUUUUUAUAACUAAACAACUAAAGAUUUUCAUUAAAAACUUUAAGGAUCCUCUUCCUCUAAGUUACAGUUACAGCUGCGUUUGUCUUUUUCUGAAUUCUUGCUGUAAAAUAUUGUUCAGCCCCUUUUACUUAAUAGUAUUUACAAUUUAUCAAUAAGUAUAUAAAAAUUUCUAUAUUGUAACAUUUCGUUCAGCCCCUUGCACUCUAUUUUAUUUCAUUAAAAACCUUAGCGUAUCAAAUUUAUCCCCUAUAUUUUUUAAAUUCCCAAACUACCCUCCAUUUAAAUAAAAAUAAUUAUUAUUAAAUGGAUUAUAAUUAUAAUUACUAGUUUAUUGUAAUUACUAUUAAUAAGAAUAAUAAAAAGUAUUGUAAUUAAUUAAUCUAUUAACAAUAAUUAAUAAUAAUUUUUUAGUUAAAUUGUUAAUAAUAACAAUUGUUAUUUAAACAUUUUUGAAUUUUUUAGUUAAAUCAUUUAUAGAACUAAACACAAAUUUAAUCAAAUCAUUAAACAUGUACGUGAUUGCCACUGGUAUUAAAAUCAAAACAUUCAUGCAACGAUUAAUGAUCUUAAAUUUAAGGUUAAAAAUGACCUAAUCAAUUUCAGCAACUAUGUCCAAAUGAUUUUGGUUUUGAUGUUUACAAAUAUGAAUUUUUCUUUUCGGCUCAAAUUUCACUAAUGAAUAUACCAAAACCUCAAAAGUUUUUCUUUCACUUUGAUGAUUAUAUUGUGUUCACUGAAAAAAUAUUAGAGCACCUUCGUUGCACUACACCCACUUAGUGUACAUAUGACAUAUAUGUACUAGAGAGUAAUAGUUACAUUUAAUUCACACAUACAUCGUUCAGCGUUUGGAAUUCGUCAUUGGGGUCCUCACGUGUAAGCAUCACGUGCACCACUAAUUCUGAGUUUCUGACGAAGUCUAAGUUCAGUUAAAAUUCUUUGCAGCAGGAAGGUGGUGUGGUGAGUAGCUCCCUCAACUUGUGAACCGUGAUUAGUCAAAUAAUCAAGUACACGUGGCAUCAUGAAACGCUUCGAAGAAUAACCUCGGCAGGUCUGUCCAGUAUGAUGACAUGUCAGCAACGUUUUACAACAGAAAGCUGCUAUGGGGUAAGCAUGAUAGUGGUAGCGUAGAAGCUGUGUAUGCAUAUCACCCGUCUGUUGAAAUGCUCGCAGUAAUCAAACCUCUUAUAACACUGCUUCAUCUGUCAAGUCAAAUUUUCCUCGGAGUCAAGAAAUGGAGAACUAACAGGUAUGCAUUUCUGAAACCAUUAUUAUAUUCAAACACAAGGAUUCGUAUAAAAGCUUAUAAAUGAUUAUGAAAGUAAGCAUGACGGAAUCAGCAUUUCUUGAUUUUCUUCAAUAAGCGGAAAUAGUGUGUCCCAAUAAAUUUAUAAACGAUGCGUGAAAAUAUUAUAUUAUAUACUUAGUUGUAGUUGAUUGAUUUUCCUUUUAAUCUUCCUGUAAUAUUCCACGACAGAGCUGAUUUAAAGACUUAGCCCAACUCAUUCCUCUAAGUUCAUUAAAUGUUAAUAUUUUUCUGCACCAAGGUUGACUUGAUGGUGCGUUAUUUUCAAUUUUUUUCAUUGACUUGUAUUUUUGGUUUAAUAUUCACAAAAAAUAAAGAAAGCAAUCAGCUCUUGUAACGUGCUCUGUUCUGUUUUCCACCAAAAAUAUAAUUAUUUGUUACCUCUAUUUUAUCAAAUAAUCAUGAUUAAUGCUGCUGGGAAAGCUUUAUUAGUCUUUCUUUUCUUUUAUCGUGGUCGUUGUUUGUAUUUGAUGAUCCCAAAAUACACGCUACGCAAUAUAGCAAUUGUCGAUUCCACAGUAAAGCAUAUAAAAUAAUAAGUAGGUUAUGUGAUCUUUCAUUGUCAUCACCUAGUCUCCAAUUGUUUGCAUUAUUUUCUUUUUGAAAAUGCUUCACGAAAUCAAAUUACUAAUAGAGGUCAUAAAUGUACUGCUCCUGCAUUUUCUUAAUCAUCCCACUUCUCUCAAAUUCUCUGAAAUCCCUUAUACGUCUUCUGGUCUCGUUUUCAUAAUAAUCGUUGUCCUAAACCUUCUUUGCAGAUCUUUCACUGUGCUCCCUUUUUCUUAUUUCUAGCUUUUUGCUUUUCUUUUUCACAUGGUCUUUAUUUAUAUUUGAUGUUUCCAAAUAUACACGCAACUAUUUGUGGGGAGUUAUGUUGCAACAGUGGUACGAUAUUAUUGUUGCUUUCAAUCAUUGAAUUUACCUAAUACAAUUGUACAACUAUAAAUUUAAUGGUUAGUUGCAACCACUGUUUCACCAUAGUUUUGCCCCCAUUUGUGACAGCGAAUAUUUUUACCUAGUUGUUGGAUUGUCGCUUUCUAUGUUUUGUCUUUUUGGUCGACUUUAACAUGGUUUAGAGUUUUUGAACGCGUCUUCCAAGUGCAGAUGCCGAGUAUAUCAACAGUUCGAUGAAAUGCCCAUAUGAAUAAUUUGAGGACCCAGGGGGCCCGCUACUGGUACUAUAAGUCUCAUCUUUUGUCUUUUUUUUGUAUAUCUAAUUUUUUUUUUAAAUGAUAAUAAAGUCCGCAAACUUCGGCUUUAUAGUUUGUAGGAGGGUAAUUAGAAAAGCACAUAGGUCACUUCACUUUGGGUCUCUUGGCCUUCAUCGGUUCAUUGUAAUUAUCAACAGUGAAAGAACAAGACAACUGUGAUGCAUUUUCACAAAAAAUUUGCAAAGUCUUCAGAUUUUUUUUAUCCUACCGCCAACACACUCAUUGCUAAUAGAAAUUUUUUAAGUAAUAUUGUUGUUAUUGAAUGUAACUGACAUGUAAUUAAGAUACGCCCUCCGUAAUUACAUGAUUGUUAUUUAUAUAGAGGGUUUUUCCCGUAAUGUUCUUUACAAAGCGCUUGUGUUUAUUGGCUAAAAGGAUUAGCAUUUUGAUUGUUCGUAAAGCACUCGAAAACUCGCCCUGAAUCAAAAAUCAUUCUCAAUCUAUUUAAUUCUCUCUCUCUGCUAUUAUUGCUUAUCAACUGUAAUUUUUAAAUUAUAGUAGUAAAAUAUUUGAUUAACACUUAAAAUUAAUGGAAGCUACCAUAAAAUUUGCUUGAGAAGCCUUAGAACUACAAGUUGAAAAAUGUCGGCAACUCAAUAGCUACUGGUAACAAGAAAAUUCAAUGAAACGCCAAAAUGCCCAAUUAACACCAUCUACAUGUAAUUGUAACUAGGGUUAUUAUUGCUUGACUACAUUAUAAAGUAUGAAGCAUCCAAUAACAAAAAAAAAUAUUAAUGUUUAGCAUUUUAUUACUGUAUCUUUGUAAAUCUUUCAUUUUACUAUAUUUCCGUUUAUCAUUGUUAGUUAACUAGUAAAAUACCAAGUAUGACCUUAUUUUAAAAAUUAAUUAAAUUUUUAAUAAAAAAUAAGAAAACAAAAAUAAAAAAUUAACCCCAGUUGAAGAAUACCUCUCUUCGCUGUCAAAACUCCUUAUACUUGUGAUUAAAUAUCUUCCUCUAAUGCUAAAUUGCUAAUUUUGCUCUCAUCAAAGUAUCAAAUUGAAACCACCGGUGAGGCUUGAAGAUAACAAGUUGAAACUGCCAUUAAAGCUCGGAGAUCAAUAUGUUUUCUAUCAAUCUUAAUUUCUAUUUCAUAAAUCCUUCAAACUCAUAGUAAUAAAACCAUCAUUCCAUAGCCAAAUCAAACUGAUCAAUCGAAAAGCAAUCUCAAAGAAUUUUGAUAUGAAAUCCACUUUGAAAUUGAUCACGCAUUCCUAGAGAUAAAUCAUUUUUUAAAAAAUUACACAGCCACUGCUGCUGCCAAAAUUCCUCUUUCAGAUGAGACCCUCAAUGCCAAUGCAUGGCUUAAUACCCAUUCGAAAGCGCCAAUAAUUUUUCAAAGAUGGUAGACCACUGUUUGGAAAAAGAAAAAAAAAUGAAGGAAAAAAAGAUAACGAUGACGCUAGAUAUUUGUGAUUCCAAUUUUUUUUCCCUCUUUCUUAACCAAUAAUAAAUAUGCCGCCCUUGUAAUGUUAAUUUGCAUACAAUUUUAUCAUAGUUUUGAAUGUAAAGACACUUUUAUGCCUUUGAUAUUAGUAUGACGUUAGUUUUGGACUCACAAUUUUAACAAAAAUAUUAUAAAAUAAAAGGUUUUUUUUUAAAGAUACACUUAUAAAAUGAUAACACCAAUACUUCUUAUAGUUAUUUUAUAUCUUAUAAUUUUUUAUUUUUUAAAAUGAAACCAUAAUAACCCUUAUAACUAUCUAUCUCAAUCAUUGAGAAUCUAGUUGACUUAGAAGCACAAGUCUUCUCCUCAUAUGAAUUUAGUUUGGCAUUUUUGCAUUAUUCAGAUUACCCAUUGAGUCUUGACAUCAAACCUGUGCCUCUGUAUUUUUUUUAGCCUAAUCGCUUAGCCUACCUUAUUAUUCGUGUAUAAUCAAUUUUUUUUUUAUGUUUAUUAACAUCUAAUCACUAAUCUUUGUUUGCUUCGGUCAAAACUUUGAUCAAGAUAGAGUUGCAGUUUACUGAUAAAAUGAUCACGAUUUUAAAUUUAAAGAUUUGAUUCCAAGAUCCUAACAUUCACAUUUUAAUUAUAUUUGUUGAUAAACAAGAAAAAAAUUGAUUAGAAGAAUAUGAUAAUAAGAAGAUGAAAAUACUUGCUCAAAUACUCCGCCGUCUGCUUACAUACAAAUCCACUAUCUUAGCUUUUUAAUCACAUAUAUAAAUCAUCAUCAUCACCAGAUUAUCAUAUAUUUACUCAAUAAUCAAAGCUAGUUAUUGAAAGCUUUGAAUGGUCUUCCAAGUUUGAAGAUGAAGGCAGCACUUGCAACUUCCAGACCUUCAUGUAAGUUUAGAUAGAUGCCGAGUGUAUGGACUGUUCGAUGAAAUGCCCCUAUGAAGUUGAGGAAUGGAGAGAUUGCAUGAGGACCACAUGUUUGAAACUUGAAUUCAGACUGUUAUUAUUAGAAGCACAUGUCAUGGGGUCUCUUCACUUAAACUUUUGGUCCCAUCCUCUUGCCUUCUGUCACCUGGAUCUUCGUAGCAACUUUGCUGAGUAAGGUUGAUGAUUGUAGUGCUACGUUAUUUGUCACUUUAGUCUGGAUAUAAAGCUUAAAAUCGUGUCGGAGGGUAAUAAUAUCAGUAAACUUUUGACAAAUCACUGAUCAAUUGAUCUUUUCAAGUCACUUAUAUCGUUUCCAUCGGAUUUGACGCCAUCAAACCUAAAUUUUUUCCAGUAAAAAAACUGUCUUACCCCAUCACACACGAUAGAAUCUUGGAUCAUGAAUGAGUGAUGUCAAUUACAAUUAAAAGAUUUCAGUCUCAAGACCUUAACCCAUUUAGGUUAUUGAGCGAACGACUUAUCAAAAUGAGAAAGCUACAAAAUAUGUGACAAUAGUAGGACAGGCUGACAGCAAAGAAAGCCAUCAGCUCUUGCAGUGUAUUCUGUUUUGCACUAAAAAUAUAAACCAGUGAUCACCUCUAGUUUAUCAAAUAAUCAUGAUUAAUGCUGUAAGGAAAGCUUAAAUAGUCUUUCUUCCUUGUUUGUAUUUGAUGUUAGUCAGCGCAACCAUUAUUAUUCUCACAUUGUGUGCUUUAACUAUGAUCUUCUCUAAUUAAAAAUUGAGAUCCUCUCUUAAAUAGAGUUUACACUUGAAAAAUAUGUCUACAUUACCAUUCAUGUAUUGUCAAAAUUUGAGCUUAAGAUCCAACUAUUUACAAAUUAUUAAUUAUAUUUGUUGGUGAAAGCAAAUUAAUUAGAAGAAUGUGACAAUAAGAAGAUAAAAAUACUUGCUCAAAUUCUUCGCCGUGGGCUCGCUUACAAAUCCACUAGCUUAGCUUUUAAUCACACACAUAAAUCUUCAUCAUCACUAGAUUAUCACAUAUUAUACAAUAAUCAAAGCUAAUUAUUGAAACCUUUCUUUCAAAGUGAAUAGGAAAAAUUAUUGAAACCUUCCGAGUUUGAAAAUGCCGGCAGCACUUGCAACUUCCAGGAACCUUCGUGGAAGUGUAGAUGCUUAGUACAUCCAACUGUUCCAUUAAAUUUAAAUGCCGAAAUGAUUUCGAGGACCCACACGACCACGCAACAGUUUUUUUAAUUUCAUUUUAUUUGUAUAUCUAUUUCUGAAAAAUAAAAAAUCAUAAAGUCCGCAAACUUAGGCUUUAUAGCAGAGUUAUUAGAAAAGCGCAAGAAAAUUCAAUGAAAAUUUAAAAAAAAAUAUCAUGAAGUCCGGCAACGGCAGCAUAGCACUUACUGUCCAAUUAACCUAUAACUUUGACACUAUUUACAUGCAACUAUAACCAUCUAUCUCAGUUAUUAAGAAUCUUGUUGACUUGGAAGCACGAGUCUUCUCCUUGUAUGAAUUUAGUUUGGCUUUUUUGCAUUAUUCAGAUGACCCUUGAGACUUGAGAUCACAACUGCCUGCCUCCGCAUUUUCCUAAUCAUCCCUCUUCUCUAAUCUCUAGAGUUCUCUGAAAUCUCUUCUUCAUUUUCUGUCUCCCUUUUCUGAAUCGUUCUUGUCCUCGAUCCUACACCUUCUUUGCAAAGCUUUCAUUUUCUGCCUUUACAAAGGAUCCCCUUUGUUUUAUCUCUAGAUUUUUCACUCUUUGCCUCUCCUCCUCCCUUAAAUCUAUUCAACCUCUUAUUUUAGCAAUUUAUCCAAACUUCUUAUUUCCCUCUUCCCAGCUGAUUGAUUAGUUCUGCUCAGUUUGAUUAGUUUUGCUUUCCCCUGUUUUCUGAAAGGGAAAAAUAAAAAAGAAAAGGAUAAUGGAAAUUGUUAUCUCCGUUGCUGCAAAAGUUGCCGAGUACUUCGUUGCUCCCAUAAUUCAUCCAUUUACUUACUGCUGCACUUAUAAGACCAACUUCGAAAAGCUGAAUAAUGAAGUUGAUAAGCUCAAGAAUGCUAGAGACAGUGUGCAGUAUAAGGUUGAUGAUUCCAGAAUUAAAGGGGACGGAAUCCAACUGCACGUUGAGGAGUGGCUGAUUGCUGCGAACAAGGAGAUCAAUGAAGUCGAAACACUUAUUGAAGGCAAAGAGAAUUCAAACAACCGGUGUUUGAAGGGGUUAUGUCCUAAUUUGAGGACUCGGUACCGGCUUAGCAAGAAAGCAGAAAGAGAGGCGAAUGCUAUUGUUGGACUCCAUGAAAAAGGGAGAUUCGACAGUGUUUCUUUCCGUACCAUUCCAGAGGAGACAUGGCUUAAGUCUACCCAGGAUUUCAUGCACUUUGAAUCGAGAAAGUCCACCUUGAAGGAGAUACUAGAUGCACUGAGCAACCGUAACUUCAACAUGAUUGGAGUGUACGGGAUGGGUGGGAUUGGAAAGACAACGCUGGUGAAAGAAGUUGGCAGGCAGGUCAAGGAAAAUAAUCUCUUUGAGAAGGUCAUUUCUUCACGUGUUUCACAAACACCGCAAAUAAAAAAUAUACAAGGAGAAAUCGCAGAGAAGAUAGGCUUAGAAUUGGCCGAACAGAGUCAUGAAACUGUAAGAGCAGGGAGGCUGCUUGAACGAUUGAAGAAAGAGACGAAGAUCCUUAUAAUCUUGGAUGAUAUUUGGGGGAGUAUGGAUUUGGAGGCGAUUGGAAUUCCAUUGGCAGAUGACAACGGCGGAUGUAAAGUUCUGCUGACAGCAAGAAGUCAGGAUGUGUUAUCUUGUAAGAUGGAUUGUCAACAUAAUUUUUUUGUUGAUGUUCUGAACGAAAAAGAAGCUUGGAGUCUUUUCAAAAAGAUGACAGGUGAUUGCAUAGAAAAUGGUGAACUGAAAUCUGUAGCAACAGAGAUAGUCAAGGAAUGUGCUGGUUUGCCCAUUGCCAUUGUACCCGUAGCAAGGGCAUUGAGAAAUAAGAGAUUGUCUGAAUGGAAGGAUGCUUUGCUGGAAUUUAGAAGGCCUUCCUUGAGAAACUUCACUGGAACAACGGAGGUGGCGUACAAUAGUAUAGAGCUAAGUUACAAUCAUUUAAACGGAGAGGAACUGAAGAAAACAUUUUUGCUAAUCGGGUACACGUUCUUCUCUUGUGUUGAAGACCUACUCUAUUAUGGCAUGGGUUUGGGUCUGUUUCAAAACAUCAACACGUUGGAAGAGGCACGGGAUAGAGCACAUACAUUGAUUGAUAAACUCAAGAACUCUUGUUUGUUGCUUGAUGGCGGUUCAAGUGAAUGGUUUUCAAUGCAUGAUGUUGUUCGUGAUGUAGCCAGAUCAAUUGCAUCAAGAGACCAACAUGUGUUUGUGGUGGAAAAUGAGGUUGUUCCGCUGACCAACUGGCCAGAUAAGGAUACACUGAAGGUUUGCACCGCAAUCUCCUUAAAUAAUAGUAAUAUUAGUGAGCCUCCUCAAGGGUUCGAAUGCCCGCAACUUAAAUUCCUUUGUAUUGGCCGUCAUGCUUCUUUGAGGAUCCCAGAUAAAUUUUUUACUGGGAUGACAGAGCUUAGAGUUUUAGAUUUCACUAUGAUGCAUUUAAAACCAUUGCCUUCAUCUCUUGGUCUCUUACAAAACCUUCAAACAUUGUCUCUCGAUGAUUGUGAAGUAGGAGACAUGGCCAUUAUUGGAGACCUAAAGAAAUUAGUUAUCCUUACGCUUCGAGGUUCUAAUAUGGAGGAACUGGCUGGAGAGAUAGGCCAGCUGACUCAAUUGAGGUUGUUGAAUCUGGGCAACUGUUUCAAUCUACAAGUUAUUCCACCAAAUGUCAUAUCAAGCUUAUCACGAUUAGAAGAAUUGUAUAUCGGUGAGAGUCCCAUUAUGUGGGGGAAGGUUGGAGGAGUCGACGGUGAAAGAAGAAAUGCCAGCCUUGAUGAGUUGAAUAAUUUAUCUAAAUUGACCUCUUUAGAAAUACUCAUCCAAGAUGAAAAGGCUCUACCAAGAGACUUGUCGUUCUUCAAAAUGCUGCAAAGGUACAGGAUAUUGAUAGGAAAUUGCAGGGAGUAUGGCGCAUGGGAUGGGAUUUCUAGAACGUUCAGACUGGGGCUCACAAAUGGUGACAACAUUUGCUUGAACGAGGGGCAUAUCAUGCAAUUGAAGGGUAUUGAAGGCCUAACUUUGGAUGGAUUGCCGGACAUUAAGAAUAUUCUUUGUGAACUAGGCAGAGAAGGUUUUCCACAGCUGAAUCGUCUCGAAAUCCGACGUAAUGGCAACAUUGUUCGUCUUGUUGACACAAUGGAUUGUACGCCAGCUCGGACGACUGCAUUCCCACUUUUGGAGUCAUUAUUUCUGAGAGAUUUAAGGAACCUUGAGGAAAUAUGUCGUGGUCCACUCACACCAAAGUCUUUUAGCAAAUUAAAGACCAUAAGGGUGGAAGGGUGUGAUAAAUUGAAAAAAGUAUUUCCAUUGGUCAUUGGCAGAGGCCUUCAACAACUUCAGUCCGUUAAAGUGAGUAGUUGCCAAAAUAUGGAAGUGAUUUUUGCUGCCGAGAGAGGAGAUGAAUCCAGCAAUAAUAACGGUACUGAAGUGAUUGAACUCACUCAAUUAAGGACACUUGAGCUUCGUUCUCUUCCGCAGCUUACAAGCUUCGGCACAGGAGAUCUGCAUUUUGAAAAGGUAUUUCUACUUUUGAGAGUUCAGAGUUUUAUUGUCGUCAUCGCCCUCAUCACUUCGUCUUUUAGAAACAAAAUGUUAGUUCUAUAAAUCAGUUUAUUUAAUUAUACUUUAUAAUAUCCUUAUAAACAUAAUUAUCACUCUUCAGUAAUUCUUCUCAUUAUCGAAUAUUGAAUUGGCUACAACCAUAGAUGGAUUUGGAUGUCAGUUAGACCGAAUAAAAAAAAAAAGAAAAGAUAUUUAUACAACCAUGAUAACAGAAAUAGUGGCAGAUGAGGAUGAUGAGGGAGAUAAUUAUGCAGCAAAAGAUGAAAUUGUUUUCAGCGAAUUAAAGGAAUUGUUGCUUUGGGACUUAAAAAGUCUGACUAGUUUCAGCUGCUCUGGGAAUAAUUGCGACUUCAAAUUCCCAUCUCUAGAAAGAUUAGUGGUGGAAAAUUGCCCCAAUAUGAAGAUUUUCUCAGAAGGGGAAUUAAGCACACCCAAGUUACAGAAAGUGCAGCUGAGCGUGUUUGAUAAUAAACUUUGGGCUUGGGAUCGGGACCUUAAUACAACCAUUCAAUACCUUAAUACAACCAUUAAAAGAAAAAAGGUAAGUAUUCAUUCACUAUGAGAUGUUGAUUUUUUUUUUAAAUUACUGAUUUAAUAACAGAUAUAUAUAAAAAAGUAAAAAGAAAAAAAUACAUAUUAAUUUUUUUAUAAAUUCAUUUUAAAUCUGAAUAGGAAGAGGAGGAAGAAGAGAAAGAGAAGUCUGCCAAGGCGAAUGAAAAGGAGAAAGAUGCGAAAGACAGUGGUAAGAUAAAAUCUAUACAAUUUAGGAGGUUUUGAUUUGAUUCUAUUUUGCUGACUAAAAAUGUUUUAUUUAUGUUGAAUUUUUUGUUAUACGUAUUUUACUCUUUGUCUACAGAGUCUCGAAACUUAUGAAGACGAUUCAUGCUACUUGUGCAGCAUUUUGGAUAAGGCUCGAGCUCGAGUUCUUUGUAUAUAUUGAGAGUCAGAUGGUGUUGGUGAGAGGAUUUUUUGUUUCAGUUUUCAUUCAUUUUUAUGCUUUUAGCUUUGUUUGAGUGCUCAGAAAUCCAAUUUGAAUUUAGUUUUAUUUCUUAUGGAUGGUGUCCAAGAUCUGCCAUAUUCAAUUUGUAGGCAUCUGAAAAUCUCUUUAAGCCCUAAAUUAAUUAAAGAGAUGUGUGCAUCAUAUUUGUGUUCGUACACCUAUUGGUAUUUUUUGGAGACAAUUAUGUAAGAAAUUAUGUAAUUUCAUGAAAAUAUGAAGAUUUUAUAUAGAAAAUUAUGGAAAAAUAAAAGUUUACGGGUCGAUUGCUGUUGACAAGUUCCUCCAUUUACAUUAUUAUUAAUUAUUUUUGUUGGUGAAAGCUAAGAUUAGAAGAAUGCGACAAUAAGAAGAUUAAAUACUUUGACAAGUUCCUCCAUGUUCAUUGUAGUAGAUAUUCAACAAAGAUGAUAAUACAGCAACAGAAAUUGGAGUUUUAAGCCAUCAGACACAAACAAUUGUGAAACAAGUGGGUAGAGGGAAUAAUAAAAAUCGAAAGACAUGGAUGGGAAGAAUAUGAGAUCAUUGAUAGAACCUAAAUACAAAUUCAAUCAAUUCAUUAAGCCAUCAAAAGUUAGUUACAAACCACUCUAUCUUAACAUAUGUAAUUUACCAUCAUCUAAAACCACUAUAUCCUAACAUAUGUAAUGUACCAUUAUCAAUUUUCGCUAUGUUAUGUCUGUAUAGCCUAAUAUGUUUGGCUUGGUUUUGUCUAAUAUGUUUAGCUUGGUUUUGUAUCCUUUCCAAACAUAUGAAUAUUUACUCAAGCGCAUGUUUGGGCCAUCUGAACAUUGAGUGGUUUGAUAUCUCUGCAGCGCAUGUAGGUCAGAAACUGACCAGGCAGCUCCUCCAAAAGUGCUUGUACAACAGAAAUUUGCCCACCUGUUCAGAAAACAAUGGGUUCGUUUGUUCAGGCAUGAAAAAAUUCAGAAACUUUUGUGAAUUAACUCCUAAAUUCAAUAGUUUGAACUAAUUUUGUCAAUGAAUCAUAUGCACUCACUAUGAACUUCUUGCAUUGGAACAAAUUGUACUAUAUCUCUGGUAGCUACCCGAUCGGUAGAGCUCUCUAAUCUACGGCCAUUAUCAGCAUCAAGAAUCUGCCAACAAAGUUAUCAGCGUCAAGAAUCUGCAACAAAAGUGGGAUAAUACCACACUGCAUAUAUACUCUAAAUUGAAUCUAUCAAACUAUAGAAAAAAGAAGUUCAAUGCUAGUAAGAAGAUAUUCCAGUUGGAAAACAUUGCGUACCUCCAUUUGUGUAAAAUCUGCACCUCCCACACCCACAAUUAGAAUUGACAGGGGAAGAUCAGAAGCCCUUACCAAAGCAUCUUUCGUUUCUUGGAGAUCUGUCAGAACUCCAUCCUAGAUAGACCAUGCAAAUUUACAAAUCACCCAAAAAGAAUGAUAGAAAGAGAAAACUGUGAAUAUAUAGAAUCAUUGUAAUCACCGUUAUAAUGAGUAAGACGAAAUACUUGCUUCUGUCGUAUGAGAGGGAUUGUCCAGCAAUUCGUGCAGCUGUGUUGAUCACUUGACCAAACAGAGUCGGUCCUGCCAAAGAAACAUUGUUUAGAGCGCUUGCAUAAGCAGCCAUAAUGCCUUCAACUCCAUCUACCUAUUAAAUAAAGAAACCAGCAGUUAAUAAAAAAAAUGGAAGAGGAUAAAAUAUACAUCUUUUAGGAUAAAAUUCCAAGGAAAUUUUCAGAAAAUGUAGAAACAUAUUAUAAUGUUUGUUAUUAAAAAUGAAAAGUUAUGGGAGACAAGCCAACCAAAUAAGGAUUACAGCAAAGUAGCGAACUCCAGUUACCCCUACCUCAAAGCCACCUGCUCUUCCAUUCAAGUUAAAACAAUGUGAUACAGUGCCAUCAAAUGUCUUCCCUCCAAAUCCCCAUGCAAAAGCGUCUAUCAGAAUCAUAAAAUUGUAUGACCUCCCCAAUUUCCGUUAUUGCCUGUAAAUGGUUUAAGUGGCCAAUAACUAAUCAGUGAUAUUCUCUCUCAACUUCUACGAACUAUUGAAAUAUCUAUUUCCCUAUGACGGCCAUAGAAAGACUUGAAAGUCACAUGCAUUUUCUAAGUCGAAAACACUGGACAAAAUGACCAUUUUAUGACCUUCAGAGUUCAGAGAUCACUUGUCAAAAUGUGAGUCAUAACAAAACCUUACCUGCUGGUAAGAAUUCAAUCUGCCUGAAGGAUCAAUAUAGUGCAAAGAAUUUGGAUUUCGAGGAUUUCCAUUUGAAGCUGGAUGAUUUUGCAUUUAACGAGAGGCAAGAUGAAGUUGGACCAAAUAAGAGGAAAUAAACAAAACAAACCGAUUAUAUUGCCAAUUUAUCUUCAACAAGCAAUCUCUUUCUAAUUACCUGUAAAGUCGACUGCAACCAUAAAAUUCAACUCAAAGCCACUAGAUAUGUAAUCCAGAAAACUAUAUUGCUCUUUCUCAACAAACUUUUCAACAAACAACUGACUUUUCAGAACCUAGGAAAAAGUCAGAUAAAAAAUAAAGUGAUAUUAAAUUAUCAAAAACCGUAAGCAUGAACAAACACCUUUGGUGGAGUUAAAACAAAAAAGAAUAAACACCUUGUCAUGGCCACGUUGAGUUGAUGGUAACAUAAAAGUUGCACCAGUUCUUUCUUGAUGAAGUUUCUCAAGGUCUCCAACUGAUUUCUGAAUUUUACUAAUAACAGAAAUAGAAAACCUUGACAUCAGAAAGGCAAAAGGAUAAAAGAGGGAAGCUGAUGACAUUAAGAAAUUUAACAGUUACCCCAUCAGUACGUGAUUUCCACUGGUAUUGAAAUCAAAACAUUCAAUGAUUAAUGGGUUUUCCUGUACCAAAGAGAAUCAUAAACUAAAAAACAUUUCCCCAUGACCAAACUUCACUACCUAAUAUACAUUUAAGUAACAAGCACAAGAAGAUGAUAAGGUUACCUUGCUCACAAAUUGCUGCAUGCUCAAAGUUAUUGGUCUCCAAAUGGGAUUCAAGUUAUUGUUUAUCACCUCCGUCUUGUAGAUAGGAACAGAAUUUCCACUCUCAACAAUUCUAGAUAUUCUUAAGAAUGGAUCCUAUAGAAUAUAAGAAGAAGAAGAAUGAGCAUCUAAAUUAAUAGAUUAAUUAGUGAACCUCCAAACUUAGCUACUUUGUCAGAACUUACACUUUUGGAAAACAGGUCUACAUUUUGCAAAUGUGAGCAACGGAAUGCUAUUUCAACAGCACUCUUGGAAGCAACCGUUUCCUCAGCAUGGACAGAGAGUGUCCCAAAGUUUCUUGAAACUCGAAGUCCAUAAUUGUUAUGGAGUUUUAAGGUUAAAGUUCGAUUUUGUUUGGUCACUAUCUGCCAUUUAAAAGGAAAAUAUGACACUUGUUAGUGCAAAAGAAGAAUGCUAAAGAAGAAGACGAAUGCUAGUAAAAAGCAUCUGAGAAUAUUUUGCCCUUUUUUUGAUAGGAAACAGAUUUUUACAGAAAAUUAGAUGGGCAUAUUUUGCCCAUUGAAUAAAGAGAAUACAUAAAUUCAUCAAACAAAAUAUAACCCAGAAACUUACCUCAGAGAGAACACAGCUAGCUUCUCCCAGGAAGUCUUGAUCCUCCAACUUUAGCAUCUGCAGGGCAAUGUAAAUAAGAAGUUUGAGCUUUAAACUUCACACUUCAACAAAUAUUUUGUCAUGAGAUAAUAAUGACUUGAAAGUAAUUAGGGAUCACUGCAGCAAAGAAUCAAAAGAACACUAGAUUUCCUACUUAAUGUCUUAGAAUCCAUCUGGAUUUGUUCAUUUUCUCUUUCCACUGGUAUAAAUUUACAUAUUUAUCAUUUUUCCCAGUAAUGUUAAUACCAUUUACAAUUGACAUAAAUAAUCAUCACAUUUUUAGAUUAUCUAACUGUUUUCAGCAAAUGCUUCCAAAUGAUUACAGUUUCUAGGAUUAUAACCAUCAAAAAAUUUUCAUUUUGACUCAAAUUCCACAGACGAAUACAUCAUAGGCUCUAAAGAUUUACUUAUCCAUUUCAAUACUGACAAUAUGGUCAUUUUUUACAGAAACUUCUUUAGGUCAUGGCAGCAACUAUUUAACUGUAUUGUUUUUAACAACAUAGAUCAAAAUUCCAUUUUGGAAAAAAGAAAAUUUAUCCGUAAGGACCAUCAGAAAAAUUGUUCUUUCCCAGUUAUGGUAGCAGGACAAAUAUGUCAAACCUUGCAAGAUGCAAUAGCAGAAAGUUCCAUAAUAACUACCCUGGCCUUAAGAUUUGUUUAUGGUAUAUGACAGCCAACUUUUUAAGUUUCUUUCCAUGCUAAAUGUUAGUUUAUAAUCAAUCAAGUAUUCCCAAAUUUCCCGAAAUUGAUAGAAACUAUUGCUGAUGCAAUUUAGUUUAGACGUAUGCUUAGACAACAAAUGGAUCAGUCAAAUGCCUUGGCUAACUCUAAACUUUGGAACUGAAGUAUGUGCGUAUCAUUUACAUCUGAAUUGAGAGAAAAAAAAAUAAUUAAGAAAUUUUAUACCUUCACUGGAAUAUUGUGGUACUUGGUAUCCACAUCAUACACACGAAAGCUGGAAAAAGAAGAAAAGCAUUAAGAAAUUCGAAAACAUUAAAUAUUAUCAAAUCAAGCAAGGCUUAAGCGCAUGACCUAUCAAGAAAAAAAAAACUUUAAAAAGAACACACUAAAAACUUACACCAAGGGCUGGACGAUCUCAAACUGAAAAGCAAUUGAAAUCUUUCCAAUCCAAGCAGGAUUCAAAUUGUUCAUAAUCACCUCUGUACGUCCAAUCUCGUCCAGCCUCCCAUCUCUUUUCUUUGCAUACACAACUGCCGUGGGAUCACUCUAUGACACAAAAAGACAUGUAAAUACAUUUGCUUGUGAAUAUAAAAAUAAUAAAAAAAAAAACAGAAGGCAUAUGGGUAUGUAUCCACUUAUGUCAUAUAAAUAUAGACAUAUAUUAGUUAAAUAACUUUAGUUGUCAUAUAAAUAUAGACAUUUAUUAGUUAAAUAACUUUAGUUAGUAAUCCAUCGUUAAAAUACAGCAGCAUUUUAUGUAUGCUAGUAUCAGCCAGUAAAAAGAUAUACGGCUGAUAAAUGUUCAUUAUCAAAGAAUUUUAUCUUGCACAUAUAACAUAUUUGACUAGUGCUCAAAAUUGCAAAAACAAUAAAACCACCAACCAUGACUUGUUAUACAUUAUCUGGAACUCUCAAGUUACUGCUCCUUACUGGAUUACAUUGGAGAUAGACAGUGUAUAUAACAAACUAUUCUUCUUUGUCUAAGUUUAGAAUUUUGGUGCCAGCACUAAGCGUUAUUAAGAUCAUAUAUCCCUAGACCCUUUAUGAACAGAGAAAGGAAAUUGACAGGGCCAUUAUGAACAAAUAAGCAGAUCAUAUAAGGAGGAUACAAGAUAACAUGAGAAUCAAUCACCAAGACUAUCAACAGCAUGAACAUGGCAUUAUCAGACAUAAGACAACAAUAAUAUGAAGGCGUACCUUUGAUGCGAUGUCAAGAUCACGUAACUUUGAAGCAGAUAAAGAUAACUGCAAUAUAUAUUCAAAAACAUAAGAACGAAUACAGAUACAUGAAAAAGCAGAAAAGGAGUAAUCCAUGCAUAUGCUGCACGAAAUGAAAAUUGUCAGUACGAUGUGGGUCAACUGACAGGCAAUAUAUAUCUGUCAUAAACAGAACAUGCAGAAAACCAUCAUUUCGGAUUCUGACAAUCACUUCUAAUAUUAAAUCUUAUAAGCAGGCAAUAAUAUAUGUAAUUAAGUUUUAUAUAACAACAGGAUGUGACACGUCAAUUACAAGCAUUGAACCACAUUUAAUUUGUUAUCAUAUGACUUGUUUCCUUUUCUCCAGGAAAGUUUCCAAGGAGAUCCUCAGGUAAGGUCCACAUCAAUACAGGAAUAUUACAAUUACUUGGUGGUCCAUGUUAUGGAAAGACAUUCUUAUCCUCGUAACAACAUAAUCCUUAAUCCACAAUUUUUUAUAAAGUUAAUGGUUUGUCUUAUGCAAACCAGCAUUCACAAAAUCAUGUUCCAUUCAGGAGAGCAUUAUCAUGGGGAAUCUUCACAGUGGUACAAGUCAAAUUUGAUCACGAGGGGUAUGAGUCAAAUUUGAUAAAUGAGGCAUAACAGAAUAGUCAACUUUGAGGAUACACAGGAAAACCACUGUGCAUUCAACAGGAUCAAACAUCAACUUUCUCAACGUUCACAAGGCCUUUGUGCAUUCAACACCAUUCUUUUUUUAUUUACGUUAUCCAAUCUUAAUCUAAAAUUCACUUCACAGAAUGUUGUCAUUGGGUAUAAGCAGUUAAACUUACUGUUCUCCCUAUGCAAAACAAAAGCAGUUGCUUGGUGUGAAACCGUCAAACCAACACCAGCAAAAGAUCAGCCACAAGAAAAAAAAAAAUGCUUCUCAAAGAAGCACUUGACAGGCGAAUAUUCUUUUGAGAAGGUGCUUAACUCCUUUGUCCUUUGAAGAAGCACCAAGUAAAAUAUUCGCCCUCCAAAAUUCCGAAUACUUCUCUUACAUUAUUAAAAAAAGGCAUGUUUGGAAUUGCAGUUGAUUCUUGAAUAAGAAUUUACUCCCGAUUAUGUUCGAAUUAUCAAAUAAUUUUUAUCAAAUAUAAACAAUUUAAGUUGUUCUUUUAGGGAUGUUACACUGACAAGUCAUCAAAGAAGUAAUAAUAACAAACAUAAUUUGGGUAUAGAUUUUCAAACGAGUGACCAUUUGAGAAUCCAUCACAAUUACAGAAACCAACGAAGUCAGAUUUAAAAAAGUAAAAUAAAAAAUUAUAAAUAAAUUAAAAAACAUAAACUAAUCAUAAAUUUACAAAUUUUUAAUUAAUUAAUUAAUUAAUUAACUGAAAAUAGUUUAUUAAUAGUGGCAGCGAAAGACUCAUAUAAAUUCAGGUAUACAGAUAUACCUCGAUUUGGGUGAAAAGGGCUUGAAGACCGCGAGAUUUGAAGAAGAAAUCAACGGCGUCGUUUUGUCCAGAAACAUUGUUCUGAUCAGCCGCGGUGGUGGGCCGAAGCUGGGCCCCACCUACGGCUUGUUUCCCUCCCCUCACAUCACUCCCAGACAAACAUAAUCCCAUCUGUUUUUUUUUUUCUCUCUCUCUGUCUUUAUUCUCAAGAGUACGGAGUCUCACUGUUCGGUCGAUGUUCUUUAAUCGCUCAAAUCCGUAGCCUCUGACAGAGAACUGGGGCGGGGCUUUACUUUUGCCCUCUAUUUAUAGGCUUCUGCGCUUGAGUCGUAUUUGAAUUUGACUCUGUUUCUGCUGCGAAAAUGUCAAGAAAAAAAAAAAAGUUUUUUUUUUUUUGUAUUUGAAUUUGAAUACUUCUAGGGGGAUUGAUGAUGGAUUGUUUUACUGUAUUUGGAAGUUGGAACGUUUAGGCCCACCUAAUUAUCAUUAAUAAUAGAUAGUUAUAUCAAAAUUUACCAACUUCAUUUUAGCUAUGAUAUUAGCUUGCGCACUAUGAAAUGAUUAGGUUUUGUAAAUUUUUUUUUUUUUUUUUACAGUAUCUUAGAGAAUAAGUUUCCAUUGUAUGUAACCGGCUAGAGCCCCUCCCUCACAAAUGUGAGGGAAGGGGUUCGAGCCUCCGCAGUCGCAUUGUAGGGGUUUAAUUUAAAUAUCCUUCCUUGUAGCCCUUGAGCUCGAGUGAAGGCAGUCUUUCUCCCAGGAUGGGAGUUUGACAUCCCUCGAAUAUUUGAGAGGGUUAAAAAAUCUUAGCGGUGCCAUAUCAGCAUUAAUGUCAACAGAGCUCAGUAUAAAUAUAUGAUUGUACAUAUCAAUUAUACUCUCAUGUAAUAUGAGUUAAGCCCUUGAGCUCGAGUGAAGGCAGUCUUUCUCCCAGGAUGGGAGUUUGACAUCCCUCGAAUAUUUGAGAGGGUUAAAAAAUCUGAGCGGUGCCAUAUCAGCAUUAAUGUUUAAGACAAAUUCUAGAAUCUAAAGUAAAGAAUCGGUAAAUUUAUAAAGAAAUAUGAAGAAACAGCAAGGUAUUGAAGAAUUCAAUUUCUCAUUAUAUUUGGACAUUUGGACGUCAUUAAUGUUAAUUGAUUUUUUUCCGCGUAAAAAAGUUUCGGAUUUAUUUUGUUCCUCCAAACGCCAUUCAUUGGAAAUAAGUUUAUUUUUCUGACAACUUCAACUCAUAAAUUUUAAUUAUUUUGUUAUAAUAAUAGUACGAACAAUUCUAUGUAUUACGAACAAAAAAAAAAAAGAAUCUUAAUUUUAUAUCAUAUAUAAUUAUAUAUAUAUAGACUCAAUAAGAGUAUUAUUUAUCAUGUAAUUUAUUAAACUAAUCUCACCUAAAAAGUUGUUGAGAAAAGACAGUAAGUUAAUAAAUAUUUCGUCUUCCCCAAGGUUUUUGAUUAGAAGAAUGACUUGAUAUGGCUGAUAUUGAUAAAUUAAAAAGGGAAAAAUAAUAAACAAUGGAGGAAUUUUCAAAUUAGGUCAACAAUCGUAGUCUAUUUUAUUUCGUAAUAAUGGCAAUGACGAAGCCCUUAUAACAUAAGCUUGCAAACGUAAUCAAGAUAUCCGUGGAAAACAAGCAACAAUUCCAAUGGGGUGGAAUAAAAUGUCUAAUAUUUAAAUUUUUUAUUUCAAUUUCUGUUUAUAUAAUUUAUUUAAUUUAUAAUAAAGAUGAAUAAUUAAAUAAAUUUUAAAAUAUCUUAAAAUAAGAAUAAUACUAUAAAAUUAUGAUAAAUGAAAGUUAUUGAUUAUUAUGAAAACAAUAAGAAGAGAAAUGGUAUGUAUUAAUUUCUACAUGAAGGAAACUGCCAACCUCCCUUUAAUAUGUUGUGACAAUCAUUAGAAUUUCAAUAAAAUGAUAAACUCCUCUACAUAAUCGAUAGUCAUUGAUCACGUACGUGUACAUUUAAGUUGGAAAAAAGAAGAAGAAGAUAAUUCAAGUAUAAUAAAAUCAGAAUGCGUAUGUCAUAACUAAUUUCACUAAAUGGUUAUAAUACGUUUUAUGCACUUGAGAUUUUCUCAAAAUGAGAAAAGAAAAAGGCUCAUUAGUCACUCCUAUAUAUAUGUGUGUGUGUGCGCGCGCGCUUAAACUUAACUCAGGAUAAUCUAUAUUAUAUAGAACGUAAAAUUGAGUUACGUAUAAAAACGUAACUCAAGUGUCACAUUAUACGGCGCGCUUAAACUUUGAUAAUCUAUAUUAUAUGCCCAUAAAAUCAAGAAUUUUACAAUACAUUAAAACCAAUACAAUCAUCUAAUGUAUAUAUAAUAUAUAUAGUUAAAUUUGAUAUAAUCAUCAAUUGCAUGAUAAUUUUACAAAAUAUAAAUAUUAUCUAUUUGUUGAAUGACUAACUUUGUAGUAUGAUGUUUAUAGAAUUUUUCCGUAAAAUCAUUAUUGUAAUGAGGAUUGUUGAGGGACGUGUUAUUAAUGAAAAGGACUGCACAUGUUAUCCAAUAAUUGAGACACUUGUCUUGUUAGAGGACAUUUUCAAAGAUUAAAGGUAUAGAAGCCAUUUGCAAAAUUUCCAAGCGUGGAGAACAUGCAUGCAUGCACGUGGAAUUCCAUGCAUAAAAUGAUAAAAUACUCGUCAAGUCUCACCUUAAAUUGUAGUUUCUAUCGUUUGCAAAGAAGUUUCAUUAUUUAGGUUGUGUUUGGGAUUGAAGUUGGGCAGCUGUAGCUUAAAAACUACAGUACUAAAGUGUUUGGUAAACACUAGCUGCUGUAACUUUUAAGCUAUAUUGAUAUGAUUUUUCACUUGUAUAAUACAAAAUCUAUUAUAUCUUUAAUAAUUUUAUCAAAAUUAUUAUUUAAAAUUUAUAUUUACUAUAUAUUAUUAACUUUUAUUUCAUAAUUACAGCUUGUUUUUCACAACAGCUGUAGCUUAAAAGCUACAGCACCUCAAUCCCAAACGCACCCUUAAUUUCCAAAUCUUGGGUCGUGCCGCCUCGUACAUGAAUAAGAUUACUUGCCACGAUUACCAAUUUUUUAUCACUUUAUUAAUUCCUUUUCUUCCUAUACAUGAAUCUUGUUAAAUUUUACUUGCUAUUUUACUUUUUUUUUUUAAUUUUAAAUUCUUUUCUAUAUCAUACUUUGAAUCUUGUUUAAGGAAUCUUUGUAUUCUUUUGUCCGCAUGUCAUGUGCAACACAAAUAAUAUUUUACGUUACACUUGAUAUUCAUUCAUAUAAAUUAAUCAAGGAUAAGAUAUAUAUUGCCAAAUUGAUUAAAAUAAUUAUUAAUUUAAAAUUAAUAAUUUUUUUAUCCAUAACACUGAUAAUAAAGUCCGAUUAUAUAUAGGCAUGCACACUUUUUCCAUGGGGGAUUGAUAAUAAAAUUUUAUAGUGGGUAAUUAGGUGCAACCGUGUUGGUAGAUCUACCUACCUAAUAUUAAUUAAUGAUUGAAAAGAAGAACAUUUAGUUCAUAAUUAAACCAAGAUUGAAUCUUUUUUUUUCUGUUUUUCUUUUUUAAAUGACAAAUGAGAGAUGAAUUCAAAUUAAUCAGGAAUUUUUAUCCGUUAUUUAUUAGAGUUGUGCUAGUAUUUUUUUUUUUUUAAAAAACUACUAAUUACAACAACCUUAAGUAAAACCAACAUAUAUUAUAUAGGUCAUCAUGUGAGCACAGAAUCCGACAUUCCUUUGAGACUUAUAUCUCUCUCAAAUUAAAAUACCGCAAACAAGAAUAUUAAACAAAGUAAUAAUCAAAAGGGAUAUUAUCAUUUUACUACUAAAGUUUUUCUGACAUAUCAAGUCAGUAUUAUGCUUUGGUAAAAACUACAUUUUACUACCAAACAUUUAAUUUAUUAUCACUUUACUACUUUUCCGUUAAAAAUAAGUUAAUAUUUAACGGAAUAUGAGUUAAAAGACUAUUUUAGCCAUGAAAAGAAAAGAAAUAACAAAAAAGAAAACUACAAAUUACUGUAGCACGCAUCCAUUGUAAUGUGUAACACCGUAUCACGUUUUUUGUCCUUAUUGUAAAGUGUCGUUAGAUGUAAAACGAUUGAAUCCAACGAUCAAAAUCGCUUAAUAGAUUAUUGAGGCAUGAACUGUCAACCGUUGAAGCCAGUUAUCAUCAGAACCUUUCUCCAACUCUUGAUCCUCAUUCUCCUCUCCCUGACCAUUAACUUUUUCUCCAGACCUCUCCUCUGACCUGGUCUCACCCUCAUUGCUAUCAGAUUUCUUCUUACCAUCAUCCGAAUCAGAUUUGUUGCAAGCAAUUAAUUUAUUCCCACAACUGGCUUUUGAGUGCGAAGUAGAAGAAAGCUAAGUACAAUCACACUCACAAGGCAAGCAUUUCUUCAAACCGAAUUAUUUCCCACAUCACACAUCCAAUGACAGAGUCCCCUGGUUUCUCUAUACGGCUUUCCCCUUAAUCAUUUUAACAAACAGCUUCAAUACACAAAGAUUAGAGCAAAAAAAGGAAAAAUAAUGGCUAUGUCAACGCUAGGUGAUGACGAAUUAAUGAAAACUAGUUGCCGAGGCAACUCUUGAGAGUCAAGAGUCGCCACGCAAACACAAUCGUGGUCCCUUUUUGCUGUAUAUGUAGAAAAAAAAAAAGAAGAAGCAAGCAGCACGUGGUGGGAGAAAAGAAAAGGUGGGAGAAAUCUUUUAUAAAAAAAAAAGAGAGAAAAGAAAAGUUAGAGAUUUGGCUUUGCAAAGAUGUAGGGUCCUGUGUGUGUUUGUGUUUUGUUUGUUGCUUCUUGUGCUUGGUUGACCGUGAGAGAGAGAGGGGCCGUGAGAGAGAGAGAGCGAUCGGAGAUGGAGGGUUACAAUUUGGGAAUAAAUUUUCAAACGAGCGACUAUUUAAGAAUACAUCACAAUUACAAACAUGAACGAAGUCACAUUUAAAAAAGUAAAAUAAAAAAUUAUAAAUAAAUUAAAAAACAUAAACUAAUCAUAAAUUUUUAAUUAAUUAAUUAACUGAAAAUAGUUUAUUAAUAGUGGCAGUGAAAGACUCAUAUAAUUCAGGUACACACAUAUACCUCGAUUUGGGUGAAAAGGGCAUGAAGGCCGCGAGAUUUGAAGAAGAAAUCAACGGCGUCAUUUUGACCAGAGACAUUGUGGUGAUAAGCCGCGCUGGUGGGCCGGAGGUGGGCCCCACCUACGGCUUGUUUCCCUCCCCUCACAUCACUCCCAGACAAACAUAAUCCCAUCUGUUUUUCUUUUUCUCUCUCUCUCUCUUUAUUCUCGAAAAUUAAAAAAUUAAUCGAAAAAAUUUACCUAAAAGUUUUUGCAAGUUUGUGUCAAGAGUACGGAGUCUCACUGUUCGGUUGAUGUUCUUUAAUCUCUCAAAUCCGUAGCCUCUGACAGGGAACUGGAGCGGGGCUUUAUUUAUAGGCUUUUUGCGCUUGAGUCGUCGUAUUUGAAUUUGACUCUGUUUCUCCGGCGAAAAUGUAAAGAAAUUUCUACUUUUUAAUUCAAUUGUUUUUUCAUGAGGAAAAAAAAAAGUUUUUUUUCUUAUCUAAAAGAUUUUGUCUUUUCCUUUUCCUCUCCAAAAUAUAGAAUAAUGUAGAUGAUGGAUUUUUUUACUGUAUUUGGAACGUUUAGGUCCACCUAAUUAUCAUUAAUAAUAGAUAAUUAUAUCAAAAUUUACCAACUGAUUAGGUUUUGUUAAUUUUUUUUUUACAGUAUCUUAGAGAAUAAGUUUCCAUUGUAUGAAGACAAAUUCUAGAAUUUAAAGUAAAGAAUUGGUAGAUUUGUAAAGAGAUAAAACAAAUUCUCCGGCGAAAAUGUAAAGAAAUUUCUACUUUUUAAUUCAAUUCCUUUUUAAUGAGGAAAAGAUUUUGUCUUUUCCUUUUUCUCUCCAAAAUAUAGAAUAAUGUAGAUGAUGGAUUGUUUUACUGUAUUUGGAACGUUUAGGCCCACCUAAUCAUUAAUAAUAGAUAAUAAUUAUAUCAGAAUUUACCAACUUCAUUUUAGCUAUGAUAUUAGUUUGCGCACUACCAAAUGAUUAGAUUUUAUUAAUUUUUUUUAACCAUAUCUUAGGGAAUAAGUUUAUAAAGAAAUAUGAAGAAACAGCAAGGUAUUGAAGAAUUCAAUUUCUCAUUAUAUUUGGACAUUUGGACGUCAUUAAUGUUAAUUGAUUUUUUUCCGCGUAAAAAAGUUUCGGAUUUAUUUUGUUCCUCCAAAUGCCAUUCAUUGGAUAUAAGUUUAUUUUUCUGACAACUUCAACUCAUAAAUUUUAAUUAUUUUGUUAUAAUAAUAGUACGAACAAUUCUAUGUAUUAUGACAAAAAAAAAUAAUUUAAAUUUAUAUCAUAUAUAAUUAUAUAUAGAGCUAAUGCUAAGUUACAUGCAUGUAACUUACAACCUUUUCACAUAAAUAGUGAGUGAGCUCACAUCACUCACUAUUAAUGUGAGAGGGUUAUAAGUUACAUGCAUGUAACAUAGGGGAUCCUUAUAUAUCGGCUCAAGAGUAUUAUUUAUCAUGUAAUUUAUUAAACUAAUCUCACCUAAAAAGUUGUUGAGAAAAGACAGUAAGUUAAUAUUUCUUCUUCCCCAAGGUUUUUGAUUAAAAGAAUGACUUGAUAUGGCUGAUAUUGAUAAAUUAAAAAGGGAAAAAUAAUAAACAAUGGAGGAAUUUUCAAAUUAGGUCAACAAGUAAUCUUAGUCUAUUUAAUUUCGUAAUAAUGGCAAUGACGAAGCCCUUAUAACAUAAGCUUGCAAACGUAAUCAAGAUAUCCGUGGAAAACAAGCAACAAUUGCAAUGGGGUGGAAUAAAAUGGCAUUCACAGUCAACUACUAAGAUACUGAAGGUUCAAUCGUUUAAGGGUAUUGAUAGUUUCUCCCCCGUCGAAAUUUUAUGUAAAAUAUGUACACCUCUAUUGUUUUCAUAAUAGCUAAUAAUCUUUUGGUAUGAAAAGUUUAAAGGAGAGUAAAGGUAAAUGGGUCAUUUGCUUAAUAUUUUAUUUUGAAAAUAUAAAAUAUAUAUUUACCAUAAAAAAAUAUGUUUAAAGAUAAAAAAAAAUAAGAAAACUAUAUUCAUACUAAUUUUUUAUCAACACUGAAAAUUAUAUUUCUUAUUUCUAAUCUUUAAAUUUUUUUAUUUCAAUUUCUGUUUAUAUAAUUUAUUUAAUUUAUAAUAAAGAUGAAUAAUUAAAUAAAUUUUAAAUAUCUUAAAAUAAGAAUAAUACUAUAAAAUUAUGAUGAAUGAAAGUUAUUGAUUAUUAAUUUCUACAUGAAGGAAACUGCCAACCUCCCUUUAAUAUGUUGUGACAAUCAUUAGAAUUUCAAUAAAAUGAUAAACUCCUCUACAUAAUCCAUAGUCAUUGAUCACGUACGUGUACAUUUAAGUUGGAAUAAAAAGAAGAAGAUAAUUAUAGUAUAAUAAAAUCAAAAUGCGUAAGUCAUAACUAAUUUCACUAAAUGGUUAUAAUACGUUUUAUGUACUCAAAAUGAGAAAAGAAAAAGGUUCAUUAGUCACUCCUAUAUUUAUGUGUGCGCGCGUGCGCUUAAACUUUGAUAAUUUAUAUUAUAUGCCCAUAAAAUCAAGAAUUUUAUAAUAUAUCAGAGACAAUACAAUCAUCUAAUGUAUAUAUAAUAUAUAUAGUUAAAUUUGAUAUAAUCAUCAAUUGCAUAAUAAUUUUACAAAAUAUAAAUAUUAUCUAUUUGUUGAAUGACUAUCUUUGUAGUUUGAUGUUUAUAGAAUUUUUCCGUAAAAUCUUUAUUGUAAUGAGGAUUGUUGGGGGACGUGUUAUUAAUGAAAAGGACUGCACAUGUUAUCCAAUAAUUGAGACACUUGUUAGAGGGAGAAGCCAUUUGCAAAAUUUCCAAGCGUGGGGAACAUGCAUGCAUGCACGUGGAAUUCCAUGCAUAAAAUGAUAAAAUACUCGUCAAGACUCUCCAUAAAUUGUAGUUUCUAUAGUUUGCAAAGAAGUUUCACUAUUUAAUUUCCAAGUCUUGGGUCGUGCCGCCGCGUACAUGAAUAAGAUUACUUGCCACGAUUACCAAUUUUUUAUCACUUUAUUAAUUCCUUUUCUUCCUGUACAUGAAUCUUGUUAAAUUCAACUUGCUAUUUUACUUUUUUUUUUUUUUAAAUUUUAAAUUCUUUUCUAUAUCAUACUUUGAAUCUUGUUUAAGGAAUCUUUGCAAGGAUAAGAUAUAUAUUGCCAAAUUGAUUAAAAUAAUUAUUAAUUUAAAAUUAAUAAUUCCUUUAUCCAUAACAGUACUGAUAAUAAAAUCCGAUUAUAUAUAGGCAUGCACACUUUUCCAUGGAGGAUUGAGAGUAAAAUUUUAUAGUGGGUAAUUAGGUGCAACCGUGUUGGUAGAUCUACCUACCUAAUAUUAAUUAAUGAUUGAAAAGAAGAACAUUUAGUUCAUAGUUAAACCAAGAUUGUUACAGAAAAGGGAAAAGACUAAGACAGUGCUCAUGAAGUGGAUAGAAAUAACAGAGAAAGAAAUAGCUAUAUACAAUAAAAUAUUUCUCCUAUAUAGCCAUAUAUACUUUAUAUACAAAUAAAAUAUUUCUCCUAUGUAGUCAUACUUUAUAUAGAAAUAAUUUUUAUUUAAUUAUAAAAAAGAUUUAAUCUCAAUUUAAGUUAGUUAUUAAUUUCAUACUCAAUUAAUGACACAUCAUUUGGAAUAACUUUUUGGGAUAAAAAAUUUGGGAUGUGUAGCACUACUGUCUAUGCUCUAUAUUAUAAUAAGUUAUAAUUUUUUAAGUCUUGUCUAAAAAGAAUUUGUCCCCGCAUAGUAAUUGUAUUUGUAUAUUGCAAAAAAGUAUAGACUCUUUUUUUUUAAUUAAGCCUACCUUUGCUAUCAAUUUCUGACAUAAUCCAGUAAUUAAUUAUUAAUAUAGUAAAUAUUUUACCUCUAAUUUAAUUACACGAAGGAUAACUAAGUGAAAACGAUAAUUUCUGUAACUAUAUCUUUACUAAGUUAAUUAUAAUAUUCUCGUAUUAAUAAAAUUAACUUACCCCAAUAUUAUGAUUAUAGAGAAAUUGGACUAUAUUUGCGAAUUUUGAAAAUGAUGGUCAUGACUUAUGUGCUCAAUCUGUGAUUUUACGUUGAGGUUGAUAGAGCUGAACCAUCAAAAACGUUUAAAGCAUAUUGUCGUUAGUCUUUGUUUCCGAAUAGACAAAAGUGUCAAAUACUAUGUUUAUCAAUAAGAACAUUAUUGAAUCUUUUUUUUUUUCUUUUUUAAAUGACAAAUGAGAGAUGAAUUCAAAUUAAUUAGGAAUUUUUAUCCGUUAUUUAUUAGAGUUGUGCUAGUUAUUUUUUUAAAAAAACUACUAAUUACAACAACCUUAAGUAAAACCAACAUAUAUUAUAUAGCUCAUCAUGUGAGCACAGAAUCCGACAUUCCUUUGAGACUUAUAUCUCUCUCAAAUUAAAAUGCCGCAAUCAAGAAUAUUAAACAAAGUAAUAAUCAAAAUAACAUUUUCCUUGCAACGACUCAUUAUGAUUCCUAGUGAAAUGGUUCGUUCGACCAAAAAAUGCUGGAAAAAAUGUAAUUCAAGUUGGCUUCCUCUUUCAUUCAGUUCAGAACUUUAGAUUAUUUGGUGUAAAUGAAGGGAAAAUGCCUACGAAUAUGUUUUCAGCUUGCCCGUCGUCUUUGGCCAGCUUCGAGUUGUUUUCGUAAUUACGUCGUCACAAAGACUGAUGCGGAGUAUGUAGAAAAUAGAAAAAGUCAUUCAAAGCCGUACAAAAGUGGAUAACCAAUCCAAUCCACUUUUGGCUCGUCAUUGAGUUCGAGGAUUUGACAAAUCACUUUUUGGUCUCCGGCGUGUGGUAUACACACUCCCUUUUAAUUACUAUUAACACCAUGUAUACAUAAAAGAUUUCAACCCUCCACAUGUAAGACCAUCGCUAAACCAAUAAGUUGUUCUCAGCACAAAAUGAAUAUUACUUAGUUAUGUCAUAAUUUUAUUAAUAAAGAAAGAAAUUAAUCUACAUCUUUUUUAAAAAUAAUUUUAAAAUUUGUUAAAUAGGCAAAUAUGGUUUUAAUCCCCAUAGUUUGAGUCAAUUAUUCAGUUUGGUCAAAUAUUAUAUUUUAAAAGAUUAUCUAAAUUAAGCAUCUCUUUACUUACUUUCUUAAUUAGUUGUUGGACAUAAAUUUUCAAAGCUAAAUUCUAUAUGAUAAAUUUUAAAACUCAAACUAAUUUAAUAUAUAGCAGAUAAAAGAUAAAAAAAUAAUUAAGUAAAUUUUAACCAAAAAAUAUAUAUAUCACGUAGAUUUUUUUGAGUAAAUUUCUAAAAAUAUAUUGACUCCUCCAUGGGUACGUAAACUACAGGGACAUUAUUGACUAUUCGUUGUGCGUGCACGUACAAUGACAUGUCAUGAGUUAUCCAUGGAGACUUUUCCAAGACAACAUUUUGUGAUGUACUAUAUGCAUACUUAAUUACAAGUGCAUUUGUUGGGUACAUGCAUGCAUGGACGUGGAAUUCCAUGCAUAAAAUGAUAAAAAUACUUUUUCAAUUUUUCUCAGUUUAAUUUGCAAAGAUGUUUCACCAUUAAUUUGAAGUCUUUAGGUCCGGAAAUCUCUAUUGAUCGUAUAUUUGUUCGUCUCUUGGCACACGCGCACACGCACACGCACAUCAAUAGAGUAAAACUAGUGCAAGAUAAAUCCACAUUAAUUUUAUUUUAUUUCUAAACAUUCUAUUAAAUUUCUCUAUUUUAGAGUCAAGUCAAAGUUGUACAAAAUGAAAAAGAGGGGGUUAAAAUGGAUGGAAAUGAGAAUAAAGAAAAUAGCUAGCUUUUUGAAGGAUCUUUUGAAGACGAUAGGCUUGUGCUCUUAUCACGAAGCUUUUACGUCUAAAACUGGUAGAAUUGACCCAGCAAAAAGGUUUAAUGAAUCCCCGUGAGAGUCUUUAAUGUGUUUCUGAGAAGAUAAUCAAUUAAUUAACAGCACCAAUUAAGUAGUUGAAUGAUCUACUAAGCAAGUUCAUAAAAUCUUAAUGUAUUCUAAUUGUUCGGAGAAAGUAUUUAAGAUCGAAUGAAAGAUGAAUUUCAAGAACUCUUCCAAUUGCAACCAGUCAUCAUGGAUAUUCCAAUCAGUGAAGGAUUCUUUCGACACAAGGAAAAAUAAAAGAUAAAAAAGGGUCAAUAAAGACGAUGGAGAAUAUUCGUAUAAAGUCUUUAACGUAUGUAAAUGUAAUGUAACUUUAAUUUGACAGCUGCCGCUGUGACGAAUCCCUUGCAACGUAAGCACAAUGACACAAAAGAGAGAGUGGAACACAAGCUAUCCAAAUUAAGUCAGUCAAGGUAGGUCAAACUAUCUUGCCAUUGUCGUUUUCGGGGAAAAAAUGUUAGAAUAAAAUGUUAAAAGAAAAUUUAGAAUGUCUGCUAACUACUAAUAUGAGAAGAGUAAUAAAGACUUUAGAAAAAAAAAAAAAACAGUUAGUGGCAGACAAUUAAUAGUUGUAAAAGGCUUAAAGUUGUUUCAUAUAACAUUUUAGAAUAAACUUCAAUUUGCACCUCACUUAAAAUGAUAGUCUUCGAUUUACUUCCAGGAGGAUAAGGCUCAAACUCACGUCUUUGGCCCUAAGAAGGCAAUGCUCGAGAUAAGUCUUUGGCUCUAUUAUCGACCAUACAAAGAACAUGCAUCUCUUUUUUAUUUUUCCCCCCCAAAAAAAAAGAAAUCCAUCACCGCAUCCUCAAUUUACUCUCACCUUAUUGAAUGAAAAUGAAGGCUAAAUUGAUAUUUUCACUCUUUUAGGUGAUAAAAUCAAGAUUGUUGUUCUAUCGGGAGAAUGAAUUAAAAUUUACCAACUUUUAAAAUUAGAUUUCUCCGGUAUGUCUCGAAAUGAUUGAGGCUAUAAUAAGUAUAGGUUUUAAUAAAAAGAAAUAUCGGUGGAUUGGUUGUCAAAUAUUCCCUUCACAAAGACAAAAUAUAGAUUUUAUUCUAAUUCUUCAUAGGCUUUAUUUGAUUAUUUCCAAUAACAAUCCAUUAUAACAGUGAAUAGCUUUCUGUCAAGAUUAAAAAAAAAAAUGGCAGCCGAAGUUAGUUAAGAUAUUGGAUUAGAAACACAGUUUGAGAAGCCAAACAAAAACGAUUCCUUGCAAGAAAUGUAUUAAAAACCUUGAAUCACUCAAUAUGUGUAACAAAUUUUCAAGUUACCUUCAAAAUUCCCAAAGCAAACUUGGCCAAAAUUUAAUUUUCCUCCCACAGAAACAAUUUUUUUUGCUUUGAGCAGGUAACUUUCACAGUAGGCUUUUCAACUCAAAAAAAGUCAUAUGCUAGUUAAAGACAAAUCCAGGUCUUCUAAAAGUAGCUUAGGAACCCUCGCUGCGAUAGGAAAUUCUUGUGCAUGAACAUGCAACUCAAGCAAGCACACAUUAUGACAUAAUGGAACCAAAUUAAGUGUCGAACAAAAUACAGAAUGAAAAGAGUUAUAUCAUUGGUAGAAAGUUGUAUUGCUAACUGCUUGACACCAUCAUUCAACUAAUUUUAUGGCCUGACCAUCAGUGACAAAAUGCAACAAAUAUUUUCUAUGAAGUCAUAAAGUUUCCCAAGAGAGCUAAUUGGUUUGACAGGUUUAAAAUAUACUUUCAACGCAAAAAAGCUGUCUACAAUUAAACUUUUAUUAAGACUCAUAUACAGAAAGAAAUUUGCUAACGAAGAAACAAACAGUACAAAGGAUGAAUAGUAAAAAUGUCAUCGGUAACACAUAGAUGGACCGGAAAAGGAGUACCUUGAUGAUACUGGUGCAGCUACCAAAUCUGGCUUGCGCCCUUCGUAUGGGUGUUGCCUGUUGUAGUUUGAUAAAGCACUUGUGGCAUACAAUGAGUAUAGCCUAUCAGCUUGAUCAGUUUCUCCCCUUCUUAAGGGAUCAGUUCCGACCAAAUAAUGUUCUCUCUGUCUAGCAGCGGAGUAGGAACCUGAGGUGAUGUCUUCUCUCCUCAAGAAGGGGAUCUGGCUUGGUCUUCUCGCUGCACAUAAACAUCAAACCAUCAAGCUUAUCUUUUCUCAUUUCCUUCUCUUGGCUCUUUCCUGCGUCUCCUUGUUUCUCUUUGUCCUUGUGAUGCUUCGAACUCGUCUGACACAGGAAUCUUCUCUACACAUCUUUGCUUCCAGUGAUUUUUAUCUGCCCCACCAAUCUCCUCUUCACAUCUUUGUUUCCGGUGAUUCUUAUCGGACCGACCAAUCUCCUCUUGCUUCUUUUUUAUUCUGCUGGCUUGUCUUGGGUCCUUUUCUUUAGAAAGGUUCUCAUUUAGGUUUUCUUCCCUUGCAUUUAGCUUCUUAGAACUCUCUCCUUCAAUGUUGUUAUUAUCUCAUUUAGGUUUCCCUCUCUUGAAUUUAGCUUCUUAGAACUCUCUCCUUCAAUGCUGUUAUUAUCAUUCUUCUCAUCUAAUAAAUUUUUGUUCUUCUUCCUUCUGAAUCUACUCCAAGCUCGUGCAGCAACUUUGGCGUUUUCGGUCUUCAAGUCAUUAACUGGUGACUUUGUUAAGCAAAUAAAAGCACCAGGUCGGCCAUGCUACUAUUUCCACCCCGGCACGAAUCACCUCAGCCAAAUGGUACGAGCAGAACAGGGGGCAACAUGAGCUGAUCAGAGACGAAUACUGACCAGAGGUAUAUACCGAGCCGAUACACGUCCCCCAAAAAGCGGAAACACGAUCUCACAGAAUCACGGUAGUUGCGCUUUCCCCAGAACCGUUGCGGGAGACGCGAGAUCCCACGUUUGCCCAUAAUGCAGCAGUUAGAGUCCCAUGAGGGGCUGCCACUACCCGAAAAAGGUGGGAUGAAGGGCAAACGAGAACGUGGGGACAGCGGCUAUAAAAGAAGAAGAAAUCGAUGAAGAAAGGGAUAGAAAAAUUGAGAGAAGGGAAAACUCUGCCAAAUUGCAACCAGGCCAUUUUCUUACAGAUUUCGAACAAACCUCUUGAAUCCAAAUUGUAUUGUUUUCCCGUAAACACCUUGUACUAACUUAGGCAUCGGAGGGUUUACGCCGGCAAAACCACCGGCGUCUCUGAUCCGUUUUUGGUGAACGCAGGUCUAGUAAGAGAAUGGAGGGUGAUUCCAACCUUAGUGGUUCGAGCAACAGUCGAUAACAUAAACGUUGGUGAAAGGAUUUGGUCGGUCAAAAGGGCGAGCAGAUUUCGGCAUCAACAUUUUGGCGCCGUCUGUGGGGAGCUGGAUAAAAAGCUACCACCGAAUUAGUAGUUACCGGAGAAACAACGAACGAUUAGACAUGGAUUUGCCAAGGAAGGACGCUUUGAGGGAGGAUAACGAAGCUGGGGAGACAAUCACUCUUCGGGAAAUUGCAAAUGAGGCCUGGGAGAGGAUGAUGCAAGAUCGAUUUGAGCGGAUGGAGAAACAAAUGGAAACUCUCGCAACCAUACUGCACGAGCUGAGAGAUGAGCGGAGAAGGGAUUGUGAAACCUCCGGGGGGAGAGAUGAUGUUGGAGCAGAACCCAGCCUCCAGAGUCGUAGAGUCGAGGAAAUUCCUCCGCCUGCAGACCAACCUAACGGGGUGCAUCCCCACAGAAGCGUUGGUCCGGUUUCAGGAGAACGAGUAGAUGAAGGAAGGGACCAGCCUCUCCCCGGACGGGUACUGGAAGUCAAUAGCCGAGGGGCCAUUGUUGAUGAAAGAGAGCUCAGACAUUGGUUGCACAAUGCCGAGCUAGAACGAGACCGGAUGGCUGUACGUGAUCCUGACCGUGCCGUAGAAUUAGAAGGGGAGGUGCGCAGAUUGGCGCAGGUGAUGGAGGAGAUACAAGGCAAGAGAAAGCCCCCGAGCUGGAGGAUAAUGCUGGAUGAAGAAUCCCUGUUAUCAACCGAGAUCAUGGGUACGGUAAUCCCAAGAGAUUUCCGCUUCCCCGACCUCAAAUACUCCGGUCGAAGUGACCCUCUGGUGCAUAUUGAGCGUUUCAACGAUAUGACGGGGGUGCAGGGGUUGACACCAGCUCAGAAGUGUAGGGUGUUCCCGUUGACUCUCGAGGGGCGAGCCCGAGAAUGGUACCGCAAGCUGCCCCGAUGAGGUAUAAAAGGGUACGAGCAGAUGUGCCAAGAGUUAGCCGAAUAGUUCCGAGGGGCGGUAACCUCAGAGGAUGACAUGAUGGAACUGAUGGGGAUGAAACAGGAGGAGCAUGAGUCCCUUCGGGAUUUUGUAAAGCGAUAUCACCGGGCCGUGCUAGAUUUGGGAGCCAUUAAUCACCCAUAGGCGCUGAUGGGAUUAAAAGAAGGUGUAAGAAUUGGCCGAUUGUGGUAUAACUUGAGAAGCCCCCUGGUGCAGAAUUAUUCGGCGGGGUAUGAACAGGAGAGGCGAGACAUAGAAUUCGAAGAGGAGAAAUCGGCAAGGAUAAAGAGUGAACAACUAGAAGAGUUGAGGCGAAAAGAACGGAGAGUCCCGAUCGGGAGCAGAUCGGGAAAGCGAGCUGGGGAAUCAUCAGUUAUGGGCGGAAUAUCAGCUCGGUCCCGCCCUUACCCCAUAGCUCAGAGGCCACAACAGUUCCAACACAGCCGAGCCCAACCUCCGCGCACCCCGUUCCCGGAGCGGCAACGAGAAUUCAGGCAGAUGACUGCCCACCCUUAUCACAACACUCCCAGAGGGUUACAUGCAACUGGUUCCAGGGCUGGACGACCAGAUCAACUAGCGACUGUACCAGCCCGAGAUGACAUUCAUGAUAGCCGAGUAGUUCAGCUAGUAGACCAGCGCUUGGCAUAUAGACAGUACACUCCAUUAAAGAUCUCCAUGGAGGAAUUGUAUGAGAGGAUCGAGGGAUGAAGCCUGCUGUACCCUCCAGUCCCUAUAACAAAACCGGCUCACCGACGGGAUAAGAGCAGAUUCUACAAAUUUCACAACACUCACGGUCACACUGUCAGCCAAUGUCGUGACCUGAAGACUCAGGUGGAGGAUUUAGUGAGGAACCGAUACUUGGAUGAGUAUGUAGAUGGAAUGUCCCCCGUCAUUGAAUCACAGUACACGCGGGAUGAAGAAAAUGAGAGGGGCCUGGAACGUGAACAGCCAACUAUCCACGUGAUAGCAGGAGGGCCAACCUUGGCUGGGGAUUCGAACAGGGCACGGAAGAACCAUGGGAGAUACGCCCUGACUAGCAAAGAAGUGCUUUUCAAUCUGCCAGCAACCAAGAAGGCAAAAGUGCGGCAAGUUCCUAUUAUGUGGACAGAUGACGAUGAAGAGGGUAUCUUAUAUCCUCAUGAAGAUGCAUUGGUGAUUAAGGCAAUGGUGGCCGGUACAGAAUUGCGACGAAUACUAGUAGACACAGGCAGCUCGGUUGACAUCCUGUUUAAGUCGGCUCUAGAUGAUAUGGGGAUUGCAGACUUGAAAUUGGAGCGGACAAAUACAUCCUUAAAGGGAUUUGGAGGGGGACGGCUAACUCCCAUGGGGAUCAUCGAACUCCCAGUUACUAUGGAGACAAAGCCAUUUGAAAGAACGAUGAUGCUGGACUUUGUCGUGGUAGAGGAAAGAAGCCCUUACCAGAUGAUACUGGGGAGACCAUUCAUGAGGAUAAGCCAAUGCGUUGUAUCCACGCAUUACUUGGCACUGAAGUACAGAGUAAAUGGGGUGGUUGGUGUAGUAAAAGGUGACCAGAGAAUGGCAAGGAGCUGUUAUGCUACAGCAGCCAAGGAGACACUACAGGUUACUUCUCUAGAUAAUCGAGGAGAUUCUAAAAAGGGUCGCCAAGAGCCUGUCGAGAAACUAGAAGAGAUUUUGAUAAGCAAAAACAAUCCGAGCAGAGUGGUUAGGAUCGGAUCAGGUUUGGUCGGGGCAGUGAAAGGCGAGUUGGUGAAGUGCUUACAGUCUCACGCAGACAUAUUCGCCUGGUCUCACGAGGACAUACCAGGAAUUGAUCGUGAGGUAGCUUGCCAUAAAUUGGCAAUCAAGAAGGGGGCGAGGCCGGUGAGGCAGAAAAGAAGAUGCUUUAACCAAGAAAGGUACGAAGCCAUAAAUGCCGAGGUGGAGAAGCUGUUAAAAGCAGGAUUUAUAAGGGAGGCCAAAUACCCGGAGUGGAUUUCCAACGUAGUACUGGUAAAGAAGGCCAACGGGAAAUAGAGAAUGUGUGUGGAUUUCACAAACCUUAAUAAGGCAUGCCCGAAGGACAAUUUUCCCUUACCAAAGAUAGAUCAAUUGGUAGACUCCAUAGCGGGUCACAGUCUGCUCAGCUUCAUGGAUGCCUUUUCAGGAUACAACCAGAUACCCAUGGACGAGCAGGAUAAGGAGAACACCACCUUUAUAACUAACAUGGGUUUGUUUUGCUACAUGGUGAUGCCUUUCGGCCUGAAAAAUACAGGAGCUACCUAUCAAAGGUUGGUGAACCAGAUCUUCAAGCCCUUGAUCGAUCAUACAAUGGAGGUAUAUGUGGACGAUAUGAUCACAAAGUCUAAAGAACCGAGGGAUCACGUGAAGCACCUUGAAGAAACCUUUGAGUUACUGAGGAAGUAUGAAAUGAAGCUAAACCCGGAGAAAUGUGCAUUUGGGGUCAGCUCGGGCAAAUUUUUGGGAUUCCUGGUGAGUCACCAAGGGAUUGAGGCCAACCCAGAAAAAAUACGGGCGGUUACGGAGAUGAGGUCUCCACGGACAGUUAAGGAGGUGCAGAGCCUUACAGGGAAGUUGGCAACACUGAACCGAUUCAUCUCGAGGGCCACAGAUAAAUGCCACCCUUUCUUCCAAACCAUAAAGAAAUGGAGAAAGAUGGAGUGGACAUCAGAGUGCGAAGAAGCAUUUGGGCAGCUGAAGGAAUAUCUGACCCGCGCCCCGUUGCUAUCAACUCCAAGAGCGGGUGACCAGCUGUUUCUGUACUUAGCAAUCUCUAAAUGGGCUACCAGCUCGGUUUUGGUCAGGGAAGAAGAAGGAAAGCAACACCCGGUAUACUACACAAGCAAGGCCCUGGUAGACGCAGAAACCAGAUAUCCAUUGCUGGAGAGAUGGGCGUUGGCUCUAAUAAUGGCAGCACGAAAACUCCGACCAUAUUUUCAGGCCCACCAGAUUGUUGUGAUGACUGACCAGUCCCUUCGUCAAACGCUUCAAAAAACAGAUGCAUCCGGUCGGUUAGUAAAAUGGUCCGUGGAGCUAAGCGAAUUUGACCUAUCCUACAGGCCCCGAGGAGCAAUCAAAGCUCAAGCUUUGGCAGAAUUUAUGGUAGACCGAGCUGAGCCAGGGGAAGAAAUUCGGGAGGAGCAACCGAUAGAGCAGGAGAAACCAGAGGGGGUGUGGCUAGUAAUGGUUGACGGAUCAUGUAGUGAGCAAGGGUCAGGAGCAGGAGUUGUAAUACGAAGCCCAGAAGGAACCGAAAUAAUGUAUGCAGUGAAGUUCGAAUUUCAGUUCACGAACAACCAAGCUGAAUAUGAAGCCUUUAUCACCGGGCUCGGACUGGCACACGCUUUAAGAGCAGAGAUGGUAGAAAUUCGAGCGGACUCCCAAUUAGUAUGUAAUCAGCUCAAUGACCAGUUCCAAGCAAGGGGAGAGAAGAUGGGUCUUUAUCUGAAGAAAGCAAAGCAGAUGGUUGGGCUUUUCCAAGAGGUGGAGGUAAACCAGAUAUAUCGGAAUGAGAAUUACCGAGCAGAUAUGUUGGCUAGGAUGGCUGCAAUUGCAGAUCCGAAAUUACCUAAGUCGGUUCCACUAGAGGUAAAGACCUCACCAAGUAUAGGAGAGGAGGUAGAGGUGAUGAGAGUAAGCAUUGGAGAGUCAUGGAUGGACCCGAUUCGCGCAUAUGUCCGGGAUGGAAUCUUACCAGAGGACAAAAGGCAAGCAAGGAUAUUAAAAUGCCGAGCAGCGAGGUACACGCUACUAGAUGGAGUGCUGUAUCGCCGAGGAUUCACCUUGCCCCUUUUGAGAUGUGUGGAUGAUGAGGAGGCAGAUUAUGUACUGAGGGAGAUUCAUGAAGGAAUAUGCGGCAAUCACUCGGGAGCAAGAACUUUAGCCUUCAAGGCACUCCGACAAGGAUACUUCUGGCCAACCAUGCACCAGGAUGCGAAAAGGAUGGCAAAGAACUGUAAAACCUGCCAAAGCUUCUCUGAGGUUCCUGCACAACCCCCAGAAAAGCUGACCACUAUGACAUCCCCGUGGCCUUUCGCUCAAUGGGGAAUCAACUUGAUUGGUCCGUUGCCUAAAGGCCGAGGAGCGGCGACACAUGCAAUUGUGGUAAUAGACUACUUCACCAAGUGGGUAGAAGUGGGAGUCCUCAGCCAAAUCACGGAGAGGAAGACAACAGAUUUUAUUUGGAGGAAUAUCAUCUGCAGAUACGGGAUCUCCUAUGCUAUCAUUACAGACAAUGGGAGACAAUUUGACAACAGCAACUUCAGGAAAUUUUGCCGAAAUUUGGGGGUGGACCUGAAGUUCUGCACCCCCGCACACCCCCAGGCAAACGGACAAGUGGAAGCAGCCAACAAAGUAAUAAAGAAGCUCUUGAAAACUAGAUUGGGAGAGAAGAAGGGAGCCUGGGUUGACGAACUACCAGGAGUAUUAUGGGCUUACCGGACAACUCACAAAACCGCCACAGGGGAAACCCCGUUCGCUUUAGCUUUUGGUCAUGAGGCGGUAGUCCCAGCAGAAAUCGGAGUGGGGACACAUCGAACGAAAUAUUUCGCUGAGGAGCAAAACGACGAGCAGAUCUGCUUAAGCCUGGACCUGCUUGAGGAGAAAAGGGAAGGGGCCUCGCAGAAAGUGGCCCAGUGUCAGCAACGGGUCAUGCGCUAUUACAACAAGAACGUACGCAUGAGGCAGUUCCGAGCAGGAGAUUGGGCACUUAGGAAGGUGGACCAAAACACCAGGGAUCCUAACCAUGGCGCUCUUGGCCCAAAAUGGGAAGGCCUGUACAGAGUGAUACGAGCCACUGGACCAGGAGCUUAUAAGUUAGCGUACCAAGAUGGACGAGACGUGAAGAGGUCAUGGAACGCCGAGCACUUGAAGAAGUAUUUCCAGUAAGCAAAGUGCUCUCCUAAAUCCUCAUUUUGACAAAUUGUUUGUGUUAACUGCAUGAUGACUUGAUGCAUAUGUAUGUAUUCAGUAUUUUUGUAAUACAUUCAAGUUUCAAAUAAAGAUGAAUUCAGCAUGAAAUCCCCCUGCUAGCAAGCCAAAUAAAAAUUUUACUAAGGCAAAUAAGUGCCUAUUUCUGCUCGGUCAACGAAAGAUCAGCAGCUAAUUUUACGAGAAUUUUUACUAAGGCAAGCAAGUGCAUGUUUCUGCUCGGUCAACGAAAGAUCAGCAGCUAAUUCUACAAAAAUUCUACUAAGGCAAGCAAGUGCCUGUUUCUGCUCGGUCAACGAAAGACCAGCAGCUAAUUCUACAAAAAUUCUACUAAGGCAAAUAAGUGCCUGUUUAUGCUCGGUCAGCGAAAGAUCAGCAGCUAAUUUUACGAGAAUUUUUACUAAGGCAAGCAAGUGCCUGUUUCUGCUCGGUCAACGAAAGACCAGCAACUAAUUCUACAAAAAUUCUACUAAGGCAAAUAAGUGCCUGCUUCUGUUCGGUCAGCGAAAGAUCAGCAGCUAAUUUUACGGAAUUUUUACUAAGGCAAGCAAGUGCCUGUUUCUGCUCAGUCAGCGAAAGAUCAGCAGUUAAUUUUACAAGAAUUUUAACUAAGGCAAGCAAGUGCCUGUUUCUGCUCGGUCAAAGAAAGACCAGCAACUAAUUCCACAAAAUUCUACUAAGGCAAAUAAGUGCCUAUUUCUACUCGGUCAACGAAAGACCAGCAGCUAUUUUAACGAAAGUUUUACUAAGGCAAGUAAAUGCCUAUUCCUGCUCGGUCCACUAAAGAACCAACAGGAAAAAUCAAAUAAAUUAUCAAAUUAGUUUGCAGAAACAAUCCAGAAGCAAAAAUGAGAAAAGAAGGCCAGUAAAGAACAUCCAAAAAUUUAUAAACAUUUAAAUGUUUACAAAACUAAUGAAAAUCUAAAGUCUAUACAAAAAUAGACCUAAGGAUUAGGAGGGUCAACGGCUUCAGCCGGUGAAGGAUCAGCUAUCUCUAGAGGUGGAAGAUCAGCAAUACCGGGAGGAGGCGGCAUGGACCCUUGUCCCACUUCCAAGGCACGUCCCCCAGCUUCCCCCUCCUACACCCCAUCUAAAGGAGCCUCCACCUAAUCCUGCUCACCCUGCUCCUUAUCUGCUUGGCCGAUCUCCGCCAUAUAUCGCUGCACUCCGGCCUCCAGCUUGCUAAUGUCCAGCUCGGGAUAUUCUUCCUUAAGCACAGACAUGAUGCACUUAUAGGAGAAGGCAACCCCAGAAUCAUACUCGGCAUCCAGCCGAUCGUUCACAUCAGCGGAUUUGCCUUUCUCCUCAGCCAGCUGCUCACCCAAGGAUUUGAUUUCCCCCUCAAGGGCGGCCCUCAGAGUAUCCCUUUCACUUUGAGUAGCCUGAAGAUCAGAUCUCAGGUCACCCAACUCACCCUCGAGUUUGGAGGAAGUGGAUUCAGCAACCGCAACUUUCUCCUCUAGCUCCGUAAUCUGCUUGUUCAGCUCAGCCAGCUUCUCCUUGGAGCGAUCAACAGAUUCAGCUUUCUUCUUCAAUUCCUGAUUGUCAGCUUGAAGCUUCCUCUCAUGGCGCGCGGACCCAGUCUUGUAGCACGAAACCAUGGUGGCCAGCCUGAAGGACACUCUCUGAACAUAAGCAGCUAACUCGGAGAGGUUCAUACUCUCGAUGUCCUUCACCAUCUUGGGCCCCACCGAUUUUUUGUAAUCCUUCUGAUACGGGCUCAGGUAGUCACCUUGAUCCCGAGAUGGUAGAGGAGAAGAUCGGUCCCCAGACUGGAAGCUGACCUCAGGACUCUUGUCAGAAGUUUUCUCCCCACCACUCUUACGGGGUGGGGGAGGGGGCAGAGCAGGGACAUGAGCCUUGGAAGGGCCGACGCUGGUUUUCUUUGGAGGAGGAGGAGGGUUGCUGGAGCUGCUUGGAGCCCGACCACGCUUCCUGCUCAUCGCGCUGAGGAUCUUGUUAUCCAUUCCAGCGGCUAUGUCCACUAGGCCCGAACCGACCAGGUUUGUUGGUGACAGGAGGUCUUGGCAGGUAGACGCGUUCACCAGAGUAGUUUCCACCUGAAGCAAAGGUCGAUCUUCAAGCCCCCCGAUCAAACCCCACAACUCUGAAAUAGCAAAAGAGGUUAAAGAACUCGAUAAGUGACAAUUUGACUAAGAACAUAGGCAAAAAUAAACGACAUGGGGUGACAAAAUGUAUGGGAAGAUAAAUGUCCCCACCAAGCGACCGAACUGCUGGACACCAGUUCCCUCCAGCAAAGAAGAAUUUGUUCUUAUAAUUUUUACAUGAAGAGGGAAACCCAGUGAUCGGUUUCCUCUUUGCAAAACUGGACAUAAAGUAGUACCAGCCCGCUUCCCUCGGGCUACUCCGCAGCUGGUACAGAUGUUUCACUUCAACAAGGGAAGGCUCCUCCGACCCGCACCUCUCCCACAACACAAACAUUGCCGAGAGAACCCUCCACCCAUUUGGGUGUAGCUGACCUGGGGCUAGGUGCAUACCGCCCAGUAUCUUGGCAAAAUAACGUUGAAGGGGCAGCCGAGCUCCUAGUCUGAAACUCUCCAAGUGCAUCGUCACAUACCCUUUCGGAGGCCGACUAGGGACAUCAUCUUUUCCAGGAACUACAAGAAGAACCUCGUUGGGGAUAUUGUAGAGGUUCCUAAGCUUAAAUAGAUCAGUGGGGGUGGUGGCGCAAGCUAUGAAAUCAAUAGGGUAGGAAUCAGCCUCCACAGUAUGGCCAAGAUUCCUUUUCUUAGCAGGUCCGCUCGGUCUGGAACUGCUCCCCUCACCAUCACCAACUCCUUCAGGGAUCCCAACCCCACCGAAGCUGUGGUUCUCACCAGAGCCCGACGUAGGUCCACCUCUAUUCCCUACAAGCUCUAGUUCGGGGGAGGGAGAGACAACCAAGGGGCGUGGGUACUCAAGGGUAUCCAUGCCAUGGGAAUGACCUACACUACUGGAGGGACCUAAGAAAUCGGUCGGUAUUGACACGUUGAGGCCUGAAUCCCCUGAUUCUUUAUCACCCUCAUCAACAAUUAACUUUCUUUUCCUAUUUGACAUAUCGGAAUCCCAAAAGAAAACAAAGAAAACUCGAAUAUACGGAUACAAAAGGGGGCAACACGGAACCCAAUCAACAACAACCAGAGAAGAGAUUAAAAGUAGUACCUGAAAUGAACUGGCCCUGAUAGCGCUGCCGUGACAGAGAAAAAACCAGCAAGUAGAAACUCUGGACGCAGGAAGUGUGAGUAAAGUUCAGAAAGGGGGUAGGUUAACGACGGAGAGACGAGUAACAAAACGAUGACGAUGUAAAUCUAGGUAUUUGAAACGAAAAGGGGGAAAUGAAAGCAUUUAAGUGAUGGAGAUGCCAGCUCACUCAUCGUACAUCGAGGACAGAUAGCCCGUCGUUUCAAAUUUCAAAUACGAAGAGUCUGGAGAUGUCACGUCACUAACCGCUACAAGGGGCCAGGCUAGAUGUGAGCCCAAAUACGCAAUGGACAUGCUCAGGUCAAAAUCUCCCCUGAAGAAAAAUGAUACCUCAGGUCCGUCCCGGUAGACAGAAGACCAGAGGAGAAGCCCCCGGAUUGGUAAGAUUUGACUAUCAGUUUCUACUCUUGACUCAUUUCACUCACAAGACCAGAAACUGGGGGACUGGUGUUAAGCAAAUAAAAGCACCAGGUCGGCCAUGCUACUAUUUCCACCCCGGCACGAAUCACCUCAGCCAAAUGGUACGAGCAGAACAGGGGGCAACAUGAGCUGAUCAGAGACGAAUACUGACCAGAGGUAUAUACCGAGCCGAUACCCGUCCCCCAAAAAGCGGAAACACGAUCUCACAGAAUCACGAUAGUUGCGCUUUCCCCAGAACCGUUGCGGGAGACGCGAGAUCCCACGUUUGCCCAUAAUGCAGCAGUUAGAGUCCUAUGAGGGGCUGCCACUACCCGAAAAAGGUGGGAUGAAGGGCAAACGGGAACGUGGGGACAACGGCUAUAAAAGAAGAAGAAAUCGAUGAAGAAAGGGAUAGAAAAAUUGAGAGAAGGGAAAACUCUGCCAAAUUGCAACCAGGCCAUUUUCUUACAGAUUUCGAACAAACCUCUUGAAUCCAAAUUGUAUUGUUUUCCCGUAAACACCUUGUAAUAACUUAGGCAUCGGAGGGUUUACGCCGGCAAAACCACCGGCGUCUAUGAUCCGUUUUUGGUGAACGCAGGUCUAGUAAGAGAAUGGAGGGUGAUUCCAACCUUAGUGGUUCGAGCAACAGUCGAUAACAUAAACGUUGGUGAAAGGAUUUGGUCAGUCAAAAGGGCGAGCAGAUUUCGGCAUCAACAGACUUCUUUGCAAUUUUAGAUCUGGCCUUCAAUGAUUUAUGGAUUUUAUUUUCAGAUGAUUUUGCUUCGGUUGAGGCUUCCCCAGCAUUCCCAUCUUCCUUCUUCUCUUCAUUUUCUUGUGCCAUAGUCUACCCAAAUAACCAGGCUCCCAACAGACCAUAAUUUAGGGAUUAUUCUGUUGUUCACUAUUUAAAAUAUGAAAUACAAAACUCAAAAGCCCGGCAAAGGAAUGAAAGAAGCUGAAGAAGUGAAAAUGCAUCAAAAUUUGCAAGAAAAUAAUAAAUAUACAAUGCCUUCAUAAUGCAUAUAGCAGAUGGUGGCUAAUUGCCAAUUACUUGACAAUGAUAGGCAAAUUCUUCUGUCAGAAAGCGGGGUGAAAAAGGUCAGAAUCUUGAGACCUGCUCAAUCACAAGAUUGCAACAAAAAGGAGUCUGAUAAUAUACAAUGGGCAAUAAGAGAGAUUGGGUGUAUUGAAAUUAUGGUAGUGAGCUAAAAUAUUAUAAUAUUUGUAAUUCGCAUAUCACUAGAAAAAUAUUUUUCUUAUGUUUUCGCCCAUGAAUCUAGAUUAAAAGUUGAACCACCUAAAUUUUGAUGUCCCUAUGUGAUUUUGUUGUCUCAUGAUUUUUUAAUUUCACUUUAAUUGCAUAUCUGCUUCACCAAUCAAUAUGCAUUGAAGAAUGCUUACAUUAGUUUGUGUUUGGCUCAUCAUCACAACCAUUUCAUUCAAGAAAUCUCCUAUUCCCUCAAAACAAAACUAAAAAGUCUCAUGUAAUAAAAUCCUCCCCCGUUCCCCCCUCCCCUCUUCUUGUGGGAGUUAAUUUUGCUGUAUCUUCAAAGCAACAAAAGCGCAUUAAAAAGUUAAAGAUGAAAUGAAAUCAAUAUAUAUAUAUAUAUAGAGGGAGAGAGAGAGAGACACACACACACACACAAAAUUGGAGCUCAUAUUAUUUUAUUCAUCAUCACUAUCAUGGACUCCUACAUAGUACAAGAACCUCUUGUUGGCAACAAAUAGAACUUGAAGAGAGAAGAAGGAAAACAACAUCUCGUGAAUCCGAUAAUUAUCCGUCAUUAUAAAAAGGAUUACAAUUUUAUUUCUUAUUGUAUACUACAAAUUACAUGCAUAAUAAAUAAAUAAAUAAGAAUUAAAAAUUUUGGAAUUUAGUAAGGUUAACAGCAGAAUAGGCAUGUUGAAUGGCGUAAAAUCUCUUCGUGGCUUCUUUCACAAAAUUUGAAUCUCUUGAAGUUGAACAACGGCUUGGAUAUAUAGAGCCACAAUCACCUUGUAAAAAAAAAUUCAUACAGAUGUUGCAUGAGAAGAUUGGUUGUAUAAAACUAUUAUAGACCCACAUAAUUUACAAAAAUAAUAGUUAUCGCUUUUUAACUAAUGUCUUUAUGCCACAUUAGUUUGUUUACACAAGUUCAUAUAAAAAUGUUUGUGGUUACAUCAUUAUUGAUUUUGAAAAUAAUAUUUUAAUAUUUUUAUCUCAAAUGAUAGGAUAUUUUUUGACACAUUGGAUGCUUUUGGAUUUAAUGAUACCUUUGUAUAUUUUAUUUAUUAUUUCAUCUAACAUUGUUUGAUGAGUGAUGAUAGAGUUAAAAGCUCUUGUAUAAACUUAUUUUAUAUAUAUUGAUGAAAUUUAAAUUUAUUGGUUGAAUAAAAUUACCAAAUAAUAAAAAUAAAUAAUAUGAGCCAAGAGUUAGGGUUAGCCAAACUCAAUCCAACCCGAUGAACACAAUCCAACUCAAUCUAAUCUAAUCAAAUUUUGAUGGGUUGAGUGAAUUAUUAUAAGGUUAAUUAGGUAAAUUUUUUCGAAUCCAAUUAAUAAUUGAGUUGAGUUAGGUUUGGUUAAUUAUGAUGAACCUGUCUUACCCAACCCCAUCCAUGUAAAUAAUAGUAAUAGUAAUAAUAGUUAGGCAUCCAGUACUGCUUACCAAAUAGAAGCUAAUUCCUGCAAUUUACAUGAAAAUUGCACGAAAUAUCACUAUCCUUAUUUUCUUGAUUUCACCUUCAUUGUGUAUUUUUCUCCAGAAAUUCCAAACUUACGAAGAGGAUUCGGGCCACGUUCUAUGCAUCAUAUGGAAUGCGGCCAUUUUUCUGUGUAAUUUGUGAGGCGUUAUAUUACAUGGAGCUUGACUUCUUUCUUUCUAUGAAUGGUCAGAUGGCAUUGGUGAGAGGUUCUUCUGCUUCUUUGUUGAUUGUUCUGCUUUUGGCUUUUUUAUUAAAGUUAUUUUGAAUCCGCUUUCAGAUUGUGUGUUUAAUGAUUUGAUUAAAUUUGUGUUUAGUUAAAUGUAUUUGGAUUUCUGGAGUAUUUCAGCAGUUAAUGAUGAAAUUCAGCAUUAAAUUAACUUAUAAUCAUUCUAAUUAUCGAUUUUUUUUGUCAUGAAACAUCAUUAAGCACCUGCCAAAGACUGAAAGACACCAGUUUAAGGGUGCAUUUGUGAUUGAAGUUGGGCAGCUAUAGUUUAAAAGUUACAGCACUAAAGUGUUUGAUAAACACUAACUGAUGUAGCUUUGAAGAUAUGUUGAUAUGAUUUUUCACUUAUAUAAUAAAAAAUAUAUUAUAUCUUUAAUAAUUUUAUCAAAAUUAUUAUUUAAAAUUUAUAUUUAUUAUAUAUUACUAACUUUUAUUUCAUAAUUAUAAUUUUUUUUCACAGCAGCUGUAGCCCAGUCCCAAACGCACUCUAAUUUUUAUCUCUCAACACUCUGUUUUGCACCAAGGUAUCCAAUAUAUACUAGUUUAUUAAAUAAUUUUGAUUAGUGCUGAUUGCUAGUGUAUCAGUCUCCUAAUUAAUUAAAUGUGAAAACAUUCUAUUAUAUACUAGUCGAUUGAUUUUUCUUUUAAUCUUCCUGUUAUAUUCCACGACAGAGCUGAUUUAAAGACUUGGCCCAACUCUUCCCUCUAUGUUCAUUAAAUGUUAAUAUUUUUCUGCACCAAGGUUGACUUGAUGGUGCGUUAUUUUCAAUUUUUUUCAUUGACUUGUAUUUUUGUUUAAAUAUUGACAAAAAAUUAAGAAAGCAAUCAGCUCUUGUAACGUGCUCUGUUCUGUUUUCCACCAAAAAUAUAAUCAUUUAUUACCUCUAUCUUAUCAAAUAAUCAUGAUUAAUGCUGCUGGGAAAGUUCUAUUAGUCUUUCUUUUGAUAUAUCUUUACCAAUCUCAUCAGCUUUUGCCUCUUUUAUGAUGUGUUUUUUUAUUUUUUAACUCUUCUCAACCUUGGACGUGAGCCUGAUUCAAGCAGUAUUAUCACUCGUGUAAUUUAUUAAUGAGCUCUUUUCCCGUCAUAUAAUGCCGAUGCUUAUAUAUUCUACUCUUACCAUUCGAUUUUUGUACGCCUAGUACUUGUAGAUCAUUUUAAUUAUAUAUAUACUUCAUACUUGAUGGAGUGAAUAUAAUGCAUAAGAUAUUCAUUCAGUUAUAUGUAGAUAUAUUAAACUUUAGUUUAUGUACUAGACUAACUAAUGGACUUCUAACCUAAAUCAUCGAUAGAUUCUUAAGAUAAUUAGGCUUAAAUACGCAAUCGUCACUAAUUAUUAAUAAUUCAUGAAACCUCUAUUGCAACAGUGAUGAGAAUUGAAGUAUUAGUUGCUCUGGUUAUUCACAUCAUGACAAAUAAAUAGAGAGAUUUUGGCGGUUUCCUCCAUAAAUUUAUCACCUCAUCAUCCUCAAUUAUAUCCGAAACUCUUUACAAUCCCUAAUAUAUUUUAAAAGGUUUACUUUUGACAUUUUAAUAACUUCAAUUAGAUUCUCAAAAAAAAAAUUAAUAAUAAUAACUUCAAUUAGACCAAGCAUAUUUAGUUUCUUGAAGAUUUAUUCCUGAAAAAUCCAACCUGAUUUUUUUUAACUUUUUUUUUUAUAUUUUAUUAACAACUACUUUCUAAUAUUUGUUUAUUAAUCAAGAUAGAAUUGGAGUUUAAUGAUAAAAUGAUCACGAUUUUAAUUUAAAGAUUUGAGCCCAAAAUCACUUGGCUAUCAUAUAUACUCAAUAAUCACUUGAUUAUCAUACUCAUAUAUUACUCAAUAAUCAAAGCUAAUUAUUACUGAAUAAUCACUUGAUUAUUUGAAAAAUGCUGGCAGCACUUGCAACUCCCUGGAACCCUCGUGUAAGUGUAGAUUCCGAGUACAUCAACUGUUCGAAAAAAUGCCCAUUUGAAGAAGUUGAGGACCCGGGGACCCGCCACUGGUACUAUAAGUCUCAUCUUUUGUCUUUUUAUUUGUAUAUCUAUUUUUUUUAUUAAAAAAAAUUGAUAAUAAAGUCCGCAAAAAGUUUGUAGGAGGGUAAUUAGAAAAGCACAUGGGUCACUUCACUUUGGGUCUCUUGGCCUUCAUCAGUUCAUUGUAAUUAUCAACAGUAAAAGACAAUACAACUGUGAUGCAUUUUCACAAAAAGUUUGCAAAGUCUUCAUUUUCACAAAAAGUUUGCUAAUAGAAAAUUUUUAAGUAAUAUUGUUGUUAUUGAAUGUAACUGCCAUGUAAUCAUUCUAAGUAAUAUUGUUAUUUAUGUAGAAGGUUUUUCCCGUAACGUUCUUGACAAAGCGCUUGUGUUUGUUGGUUAAUCGGAUUAGCAUUUUGAUUGUUCGUAAAGCACUGGAAAACUCGCCCUGAAUCAAAAAUCAUUCUCAAUCUAUUUAAUUCCCUCUGGUAUUAUUGCUUAUGAACUGUACCUUUUAAAUUACAGUAGUUAAAUAUUUAAUAAACACUUAAAAUUAAUAAAAGUUACCAUAAAAAUUACUUGAGAAGCCUUACAACUACAAGUUGAAAAAUAUCGGCAACACAGCAGUAACUGGUAACAAGAAAAUUCAAUGAGACGCCAAAAUGCCACCUAGCGCUAUCCAAUUAACCUGUGGGUGAGGGUAUUUCCACCCUACUAUUUGUGUAAAUCCACCCCACUUCUAAAAAUAUUUAUAAUAAAUACACUUUUUUUUAAUAAAUACAAAUCAACAGAAAAAAUUAUAUAAUUAAUCAAUUAAAUCAUUCUUAUAUUUUUUUUUCUUAAGUUAUUUACUUGCGCUGUAAGAAUCGGAAUUGGAAUGAACAACAUUCUCAUUGAUGUGUUUACUUUAUUUUAUAAUUGGAAUAACUAUUUCAAGUUAUUAAAAUGCCCUAAUAUUAUUUGUAUAUAUUAUAACUAAAACAACAAUAAUAAUAAAACUAAAAAUAAUACUUCUGACAAUAAUGUUAAUUAAAACAAAAAAUUAAUAAAAUUUAACAAUAAUAAUAAUAACAAAAACAAAAAAAUUAACUGAAAUAAUAAUAUUAAUAAUGAUAAUAAUUAAAAUAAUAAAAAUCAUUAAUAGUUUUAAUACUAUUAUUAAUAAAAAUAAUAACAACAAUAACUAAUAAUAAUUAAAAUAACAAAGUUAAUAUAAUAAUAACAUUAAUUUUAAUCAUAACAAGAUAAAUAUUAAUAAUAAUGAAUUAAUUACGGUAUAAUAACAAUUAAAAUAAUAAAAGUAAUAAAUUUUAAUAAUAAUAAUGACAAUAAUAAUCAUAAAUAAUAAUAAUAAUUAAAAUAAAUAAAAAUAAUAAAAUUUAAUAGAAAUAAUCUUAUAUAAUAAUAAUAAUGAUAAUAAUAAUAAAAAUAAAUUAAAAUUAUUUUCAAAUGUCAUUUUAUCAUAAAAAUGGACUUAUAUGUAAAAAUUUGUAACAUUUAGUGUCUAUUGAAUUUUACAAAAAAUAUAAGGUGGUGUGGUGUAAUCAACUACAAAAGAAUAAAAGUUGUUGUAUAUUACAACUGUUGCAACAUAGGCGGACCCUAUAUAUAUGUAUUUUAAAAAAUAAUGAAACCGUAAUAACCCUUAUAACUAUGUAUCUCAAUCAUUGAGAAUCUAGUUGACUUGGAAGCACGAGUCUUCACCUCAUAUGAAUUUAGUUCGACAUUUUUGCAUUAUUUGGAUUACCCAUUGAGUCUUGAGAUCAAACUUGUGCCCCUGCAUUUUCUUUUAGUCUAAUCGCUUAGCAUACCUUAUUAUUCGUGUAUUAUCGUUUUUUUUUAUGUUUAUUAACAUCUAAUCACUAAUCUUUGUUUGCUUCGGUGAAAACUUUGAUCAAGAUAGAGUUGUAGUUUACUGAUAAAAUGAUCACGAUUUUUAAUUUAAAGAUUUGAUUCCAAGAUCCUAACAUUCACAUUUUUAAUUAUAUUUGUUGAUAAACAAGAAAAAAAUUGAUUAGAAGAAUACGACAAUAAGAAGAUAAAAAUACUUGCUCAAAUACUCUGCCGUGUGCUUACAUACAAAUCCACUCUCUUAGCUUUUUAAUCACAUAUAUAAAUCAUCAUCAUCACUAGAUGAUCAUAUAUUUACUCAAUAAUCAAAGCUAGUUAGUGAAAGCUUUGAAUGGUCUUCCAAGAUUGAAGAUGAGGGCAGCACUAGGAACUUCCAGGAACCUUCUCGUAAAUUUAGAUAGAUGCCGAGUGUAUGGACUGUUCGAUGAAAUGCCUCUAUGAAGUUGAGGAAUGGAGAGAUUGCAUAACGACCACAUGUUUGGAACUUGAAUUCAGACUGUUAUUAUUAGAAGCACAUGUCAUGGGGUCUCUUCACUUUAACCUUUGGUCCCAUCCUCUGGCCUUCUGCCACCUGGAUCUUCGCAGCAACUUUGCUGAGUAAGAUUGACGAUUGCAGUGCUACGCUAUUUGUCACUUUAGUCUAGAUAUAAAGCUUAAAAUCUUAUCACAGGGUAAUAAUAUCAGUAAACAUUUGACAAAUCACUGAUCAAUUGAUCUUUUCAAGUCACUUGUAUCGUUUCCAUCGGAUUUGACGCCAUCAAACUACAAAAAUUUAUGUAAAAUUUUUGAAGUAACAAAAUUGUCUUACCCAUUAUACACGAUAGAAUCUCGGAUCAUGAAUGAAGUGAUGUCAAUUUCAAUUAAAAAGAUUUCAGUCUCAAGACCCUAACCCGUUUAGGUUAUUGAGCGAACGACUUAUCAAAAUGAGAAAGCUACAAAAUAUGUGACAAUACGAGGACAGCAAAGAAAUUAAGCCAUCAGCUCUUGGAGUGUAUUCUGUUUUGCACAAAAAAUAUAAAUCAGUGAUCACCUCUAGUUUAUCAAAGUAAUCAUGAUUAAUGCUGUAAGGAAAGCUUUAGUAGUCUUUCUUUAUGAAUCUCGCCCGCUUUUGCUUUUCUUUUAGCAUAGUCUUUCUUUGUAUCCCCAGUCAACCCAAAGCCUUUAACUAUGAUCUUCUCUUGAAUAGAUCUUGUCUAAUAAAAAAUUGAGAUCCUCUCUUGAAUAGAGUUUACCCUUGAAAAAUAAGUAUACAUUAUCAUUCAUGUACUGUCAAAAUUUGAGCUUAAGUUCCAACUAUUUAAAAAUUAUUGUUUAUUUUUGUUGGUGAAAGCAAAUCGAUUAGAAGAAUGUGGUACUGGUAAUAAGAAGAUAAAAAUGCUUGCUCAAUACUUUGCCGUGUGUGCUUUCUUACAAAUCCACUAGCUUAGCUUUUAAUCACAUAGAUAAGUCGUCAUAUUCACAUAUAUAAGUCGUCAUAUUAUCAUAUAUUACACAAUAAUCAAAGCUAAUUAUUGAAACCUUUCGAGUUUGAAAAUGCCGGCAGCACUUGCAACUUCCAGGAACCUUCGUGGAAGUGCAGAUGCUGAGUGCAUCCAUCUGUUCGAUUAAAUGCCGAAAUGAUUUCGAGGACCCACACGACCACGCAACAUUUUUUUUUUGUUCAUUUUAUUUGUAUAUCUAUUUGUGGGAAAAAAAAAAGAAUCAUAAGGUCCGCAAACUUUGGCUUUAUAGCAGAGUAAUUAAUUUUUUAUUUAUUACUCAUCAACUUAGAUUUUUAAAUUACAACAGUAAUAAAAUAUUUAAUAAACAAUUACAAAUAAUUAAAGCUGCCAUUAAAAAUGUUUGAAAAGUCUUACGAUUACAUGCUGAAAAAUGUCCGCAUCGGCAUCAUAGCACUUACUAGUAACAAGAAAAUUCAAUGAAAUGCCAAAAUGAUACCUUGCGCUGUCCAAUUAACCUAUAACUUUAACACUAUUUACAUGCAAUUAUAACCAUCUAUCUCAGUUAUUAAGAAUCUAUAGUUGACUUGGAAGCACGAGUCUUCUCCUUGUAUGAAUUUAGUUUGGCAUUUUCCUAAUCAUCCCUCUUCUCUAAUCUCUAGAGUUCUCUGAAAUCUCUUCUUCAUUUUCUGUCUCCCUUUUCUUAAUAAUCCUUGUCCUCGAUCCUAUACAUUCUUUAAAAACCUUCCAUUGCACUCGCUUUUCAAUUUGUCUUGGCAGAAAAAGGAUCCCCCUUUGUUUCAUCUCUAGAUCCGUCACUCUUUUUCUCUCCUCCUCCCUUAAAUCUAUUCAACCUCUUAUUUUAGCAAUUUAUCCAAACUUCUUAUUUCCCUUUCCCAGCUGAUUGAUUAGUUCUGCUUAGUUUGAUUAGUUUUGCUUUCCCCUGUUUUCUGAAAGCGAAAAAUAAAAAAGAAAGGGAUAAUGGAAAUUGUUAUCUCCGUUGCUGCAAAAGUUGCAGAGUACUUGGUUGCUCCCAUUGUUCAUCCAUUUACUUACUGCUGCAGCUACAACACCAACUUGGAGAAGCUGAAGAAUGAAUUUGAGAAGCUAAAGAUUGCUAGAGCCAGUCUGCAGUACAAGGUUGAAGAUUCCAGAAAUAAAGGGAACGGAAUUCAGCAGCACGUUGAGGAGUGGCUGAUUAGUGCGGACAAGGUGAUCAAUGAAGUCGAAACACUUAUUGAAGACAAAGAGAAUUCAAACAACCGGUGUUUGAAGGGGUUGUGUCCUAAUUUGAGGACUCGGUACCAGCUUAGCAAGAAAGCAGAAAGAGAGGCGAAUGCUAUUAUUGGACUCCAUGAAAAAGGGGGAUUCGACAGUGUUUCUUUCCGUAUCAUUCCAGAGGAGCCAUGGCUUAACUCUACCCAGGGUUUCAUGCACUUUGAAUCGAGAAAGUUCACUUUGAAUGAGAUACUAGACGCACUGAGCAACCGUAACUUCAACAUGAUCGGGGUGUACGGGAUGGGCGGCAUUGGAAAGACCACUCUGGUGAAAGAAGUUGGCAGGCAGGUCAAGGAAAAUAAUCUCUGCGAGAAGGUCAUUUCUGCACAUGUAUCCCGAACACCGCAAAUAAAAGAAAUACAAAGAGAAAUUGCAGAGAAGCUGGGCCUGAAAAUAGAUGAAGAGAGUGAAACUGCAAGAGCAGGGAGGCUGCUUGAAAGAUUGAAGAAAGAGAAGAAGAUCCUCAUAAUCUUGGAUGAUAUUUGGGGGAGUCUUGAUUUGGAGGCGAUUGGAAUUCCAUUGGCGGAUGAUAACAGCGGACGUAAAGUUCUGCUGACAUCAAGAAGUGUAGAUGUGUUGUCUUGUAAGAUGGAUUGUCAACAGAAUUUUCGUGUUGAUGUUUUGAAUGGAGGAGAAGCUUGGAGUCUUUUUACGAAGACGACAGGUGAUUGCAUAGAAAAUGAUGAAUUGAGAUCGGUAGCAAAAGAUAUAGUCAAGGAAUGUGCUGGUUUGCCCAUUGCCAUUGUACCCGUAGCAAGGGCAUUGAGAAACAAGAGAUUGUGUGAAUGGAAGGAUGCUUUGCUAGAAUUAAGAAGGCCCUCCUUGAGGAACUUCAGUGGAACACUGGAGGUGGCAUAUAAAAGUAUAGAGCUAAGUUACAGUCAUUUAAACGAGGAGCUCAAGAGUACAUUUUUGCUAAUAAGUUGCGCGUUCAUCUCUUGCGUUGAAGACGUGCGCUUUUAUGGAAUGGGUUUGGGUCUGUUUCAAAACAUCAACACGUUGGAAGAGGCGCGGGAUAGAGCACAUACAUUGGUUGACAAACUCAAAAAAUCUUGUUUGUUGCUUGAUGGCAAUACAAGUGAACGAUUCUAUGCACGAUGUUGUUCGUGAUGUAGCCAUAUCAAUUGCAUCUAGAGACCAACAUGUGUUUGCGGUGGAAAAUGAGGUUAUUCCGCUGACCAGCUGGCCACAUAAGGAGAGACUGAAGGUUUGCAGGGGGAGGUGCGCAGGUUGGCGCAGGUGAUAGAGGAGAUACAGGGCAAGAGAAAGCCCCCGAGCUGGAGGAUAAUGUUAGAUGAAGAAUCUCCGUUAUCAAUCGAGAUCAUGGGUACCAUAAUCCCAAGAGAUUUCCGCUUCCCCGACCUCAAAUACUCCGGGCGAAGUGACCCACUGGUGCACAUUGAGCGUUUCAACGAUAUGACGGGUGUGCAGGGGCUGACAUCAGCUCAGAGGUGCAGGGCGUUCCUGUUGACACUAGAGGGACGAGCUCGAGAAUGGUACCGCAAGCUGCCCCGAGGAAGUAUAAAAGGGUAUGAGCAGAUGUGCCAGGAGUUGGCCGAGCAGUUCCGAGGGGUAGUAGCCCCAGAGGACGACAUGAUGGAACUGAUGGGGAUGAAACAGGAGGAGCACGAGUCCCUACGGGAUUUUGUAAAGCGAUACCACCGAGCCGUACUUGAUUUGGGAGCUUUCAAUCACCCGCAGGCGUUGAGGGGUUUAAAGGAGGGUGUGAGGAUAGGCCGGCUAUGGUAUAACCUGAGAAGCCCCCUAGUGCAGAAUUAUUCAGCAGGAUAUGAGCAGGCAAAGAGAGAUAUCGAAAUCGAAGAAGAAAAAUCGGCAAAGAUAAAGAGUGAACAGCUGGAAGAGCUGAGACGAAAGGAAAGGAGAACUCCAAAUGGGAGCGGGUCGGGAAAGCGAGCUGGGGAACCCUCAGUAAGGGGCGGAACAUCAGCUCGAUCCCGCCCUUACCCCAUAGCUCCGAGAUCACAACAGUUCCAGCACAACCGGGCUCAACCUCCACGUCCCCCAUUCCCGGAUCGGCAGCGAGAAUUCCGGCAGAUGGCUGCCGACCCCUAUCAUAACACUCCCAGAGCAUUACAUGCAACCAAUUCCAGGGCUAGACGACCAGAUCAGUCAGCGACUAUGCCAGCCCGAGGUGACGUUCAUGAUAGCCGAGCAGUUCAGCUGGUAGACCAGAGCUUGGCAUAUAGACAAUACACUCCACUAAAGAUCUCCAUGGAGGAAUUGUAUGAGAGGAUCGAGGGACGAGGCCUGCUGUACCCUCCAGCCCCAAUAACAAAACCGACUCACCGACGGGAUAAGAGCCGAUUCUGCAAGUUCCACAACACUCACGGUCACACUAUCAGCCAAUGUCGUGACCUGAAGAUUCAGGUGGAGGAUUUAGUGAGGAACCGAUACUUGGACGAGUAUGUAGAUGGAAUAUCCCCUGUCAUGGAAUCAUAGUACACACGGGAUGAAGGAGUUGAGAGGGAUUUGGAACGUGAACAGCCGACCAUCCGUGUGAUAGCAGGAGGGCCAACAUUGGCCGGAGAUUCGAACAGGGCACGGAAGAACUAUGGGAGAUACGCCCUGACUAGCAAAGAAGUGCUUUUCAAUUUGCCAGCAACCAAGAAGGCAAAAGUGCGACAAGUUCCCAUUAUGUGGACAGAUGAGGAUGAAGAGGGUAUUUUAUAUCCUCACGAGGAUGCACUAGUGUUUAAAGCAUCGGUGGCUAGCACAGAAUUGCGGCGAAUACUGGUGGACACGGGCAGUUCAGUUGACAUUCUAUUUAAGUCAGCCCUAGAUGAUAUGGGGAUUUCAGAUUUAAAGCUGGAGCGGACAAAUACUUCCUUAAAAGGAUUUGGAGGGGGACGGUUAACUCCCUUGGGGAUCAUUGAACUCCCGAUUACUGUGGGGACAAAGCCGUUUGAACGAACGAUGAUGCUGGACUUCGUCGUGGUAGAGGAAAGAAGCCCUUACCAGAUGAUACUGGGGAGACCAUUCAUGAAGAUAAGUCAAUGCGUUGUAUCCACGCAUUACUUGGCGCUGAAAUACAGAAUAAAUGGGGUGGUUGGCGUAGUAAAAGGCGACCAGAGGAUGGCAAGGAGUUGUUAUGCUACGGCGGCCAAGGAGACACUACAGGUUACUUCUCUAGAUAAUCGAGGAGAGUCUAAAAAGGGCCGCCAAGAGCAUGUUGAGAAACUGGAGGAAGUUGCAGUAAGCAAAAGCAACCCGAGCAGAGUAAUGAAGAUCGGGUCAGGAUUGAUUGGGGCAGUAAAAGGCGAGCUGGUAAAUUGCCUACAGUCUCAUGCGGAUAUAUUCGCCUGGUCUCAUGAAGAUAUGCCCGGAAUUGAUCGCGGGGUAGCUUACCACAAGUUGGCAAUCAAGAAGGGGGCAAGGCCGGUGAGACAGAAGAGGAGAUGCUGCAACCAGGAAAGGUACGAGGCCAUAAACGCCGAGGUGGAGAAGUUGUUGAAAGCAGGAUUUAUAAGGGAAGCCAAGUACCCAGAAUGGAUUUCAAAUGUAGUCCUGGUAAAAAAGGCCAACGGGAAGUGGAGAAUGUGUGUGGACUUCACGGACCUCAAUAAGGCAUGCCCAAAGGACAAUUUUCCCCUACCCAAAAUAGAUCAGCUGGUGGACUCAACAGCAGGUCACAGUCUGCUCAGUUUCAUGGAUGCCUUUUCUGGAUACAACCAGAUACCCAUGGACGAGCAGGAUGAGGAAAGCACUGCCUUUAGAACUAACAUGGGUUUGUUUUGUUACAGGGUAAUGCCUUUCGGCCUAAAAAAUGCAGGAGCCACCUAUCAAAGGUUGGUAAACAAGAUCUUCAAACCGUUGAUUGGAUACACUAUGGAGGUAUAUGUGGAUGAUAUGAUUACAAAGUCCAAAGAGCCGACGGAUCAUGUGAAGCAUCUAGAAGAGACCUUUGAAUUACUGAGGAAGUAUGAGAUGAAACUAAACCCGGAGAAAUGUGCAUUUGGGGUCAGCUCGGACAAAUUUUUAGGAUUCCUGGUAAGCCACCGAGGGAUCGAGGCCAACCCGGAGAAAAUACGGGCGGUGACUGAAAUGAGGUCACCACGAACAGUUAAGGAGGUGCAAAGCCUUACAGGGAAGUUGGCAGCAUUAAACCGAUUCAUCUCGCGGGCCACAGAUAAAUGCCACCCUUUCUUCCAAACCAUAAAGAAAGGGAAAAAGAUGGAGUGGACAUCGGAAUGUGAGGAAGCAUUUGGGCAGCUGAAGGAAUACCUAACCCGGGUCCCAUUGUUAUUGACUCCGAGAGAGGGUGACCAGCUGUUGCUGUACUUAGCAAUCUCUAAAUGGGCUACCAGCUCGGUAUUGGUCAGGGAAGAGGAAGGAAAGCAACACCCGGUAUACUACACAAGCAAGGCCUUGGUAGAGGCGGAAACCAGAUACCCAUUGAUGGAGAAGUGGGCGCUAGCUCUAAUAACAGCAGCACGAAAACUCCGACCAUAUUUUCAGGCCCAUCAGGUUAUAGUUAUGACCGACCAGCCCCUUCGGCAAACACUUCAAAAACCAGAUGCAUCGGGUCGACUAGUAAAAUGGUCCGUAGAGCUAAGUGAAUUCGACCUCUCUUACAGGCCCCGAGGAGCAAUCAAGGCCCAAGCUCUGGCUGAAUUUAUGGUUGACCGAGCCGAUACAGGGAAAGAAAUUCGGGAGGAGCAAGUAGCAGAGCAGGAGAAACCAGAAGGGUUGUGGUUGGUAAUGGUUGACGGAUCAUGUAGUGAGCAAGGAUCCAGAGCAGGAGUUGUAAUACAGAGCCCAGAAGGAACCGAAAUAACGUAUGCAGUGAAGUUUGACUUUCAGCUCACAAACAACCAAGCUGAAUAUGAGGCCUUUAUCACCGGGCUCGGACUUACACACGCUCUAAGAGCAGAGAGGGUAGAAAUUCGAGCAGAUUCCCAACUGGUGUGUAAUCAGCUCAAUGAUCAGUUCCAAGCAAGGGGAGAGAAGAUGGGUCUUUAUUUAAAGAAGGCAAAGCAGAUGGUUGGGCUUUUCCAAGCAGUGGAGGUAAAGCAGAUAUCCCGGAAUGAGAAUUUCCGAGCAGAUAUGCUGGCUAGGAUGACAGCCAUUGCAGAUCCGAAAUUACCGAAGUCAGUUCCACUAGAGGUAAGGACCUCACCGAGUAUUGAGGAAGAAGCAGAGGUGAUGAGAGUAAGUAUUGGAGAAUCCUGGAUGGACCUGAUUCGCGCAUAUGUCCGCGAUGGAGUUUUACCAGAAGACAAAAGGCAAGUAAGAAAAUUAAAAUGCCGAGCAGCAAGGUAUACGCUACUGGAUGGAGUGCUGUACCGUCGAGGGUUCACCUUGUCCCUUUUGAGAUGUUUGGAUGAUGAGGAGGCGGAUUAUGUGCUGAGAGAGAUUCAUGAGGGAAUAUGCAGCAAUCACUCGGGAGCAAGAACUUUAGCCUUCAAGGCACUCCGGCAAGGAUACUUCUGGCCAACCAUGCACCAGGAUGCCAAAAGGAUGGCAAAGAAUUGUAAAACAUGCCAAAGCUUCUCCGAGGUUCCUGCACAACCCCCGGAAAAGCUGACGGCUAUGACAUCCCCAUGGCCUUUCGCUCAAUGGGGAGUCGACUUGAUUGGUCCAUUGCCUAAGGGACGAGGAGCGGCGACACAUGCAAUUGUGGCAAUAGACUACUUUACCAAGUGGGUGGAAGUAGGAGUCCUCAGCCAGAUUACGGAGAGGAAGACAACAGAUUUUAUUUGGAAGAAUAUCAUCUGCAGAUAUGGGAUCCCCUACGCCAUCAUCACAGACAAUGGGAGGCAAUUUGACAACGGCAACUUCAGGGAAUUUUGCCGAAACCUGGGGGUGGACCUGAAGUUCUGCACCCCCGCACACCCCCAGGCAAACGGACAAGUGGAAGCAUCCAACAAGGUGAUAAAGAAGCUCCUAAAGACUAGAUUGGGAGAGAAGAAGGGAGCUUGGGUUGACGAGCUACCAGGAGUACUGUGGGCCUACAGGACAACUCACAAAACCGCCACAGGGGAAACACCGUUCGCUUUAGCCUUUGGUCAUGAGGCAGUAAUCCCAGCAGAGGUUGGAGUGGGAACACAUCGGACGGAAUAUUUCACUGAGGAGCAAAAUGACGAGCAGAUUUGCUUAAGUCUGGACCUGCUGGAGGAGAAAAGAGAAGGGGCAGUGCAGAAAGUGGCCCAGUGCCAACAAAGGGUCAUGCGUUAUUACAACAAGAACGUACGCGUGAGGCAGUUCCGAGCAGGAGAUUGGGUACUUAGGAAGGUGAACCAGAACACCAGGGAUCCUAACCAUGGCGCUCUUGGCCCAAAGUGGGAAGGCCCGUACCGGGUGAUACGAGCCACUGGACCAGGAGCCUAUAAAUUAGCGCACCAAGAUGGACGAGAAGUGAAGAGGUCAUGGAACGCCGAACACCUGAAGAAGUAUUUCCAGUAAGCAAAGUGCUCUACUAAAUCCCCAUUUUGACAAGAUAUCUAUGUUAACUGCAUCAUGGCUUUGCUGCACAUAUAUGUAUCCAGUAUUCUUGUAAUGCUUUCAAAUUUCAAAUAAAGAUGAGUUCAGCAUGAAAUCCCCCUGCUAGUCUAAUCAAUAAAAGUUUCUACUAAGGCAAGUAAGUGCCUACUUCUGCUCGGUCAACAAAAGACCAGCAGCUAAAUUUACGAAGUUUCUACUAAGGCAAGUAAGUGCAUACUUCUGCUCGGUCAACGAAAGACCAGCAGCUAAAUUUACGAAGUCUCUACUAAGGCAAGUAAGUGCCUACUUCUGCUCGGUCAACGAAAGACCAGCAGCUAAAUUUACGAAGUUUUUACUAAGGCAAGUAAGUGCCUACUUCUGCUCGGUCAACGAAAGACCAGCAGCUAAAUCUACGAAGAUUCUACUAAGGCAAGUAAGUGCCUACUUUUGCUCGGUCCACGAAAGACCAGCAGCUAAUUCUGCAAAAAAUCCUACUAAGGCAAUAAAGUGCCUGUUUCUGCUCGGUCAACGAAAGACCAACAGCUAAAGCUUCGACAAUUCUACUAAGGCAACAAAGUGCCUGUUUCUGCUCGGUCAACGAAAGACCAGCAGCUAAAGCUUCGAAAAUUUUACUAAGGCAAACGGAUGCCUAUUCCUGUUCGAUGCACCAAAGAACCAACAGGCAAAACCAGACAAGAAAGCCAAUAGAGAGCAUUCAAGAAUUUUUAUAAACGUUCAAAUGUUUACAAAGCAAAUGAAAAUCUAGAGUCUUUUACAAAAAUAGACCUAAGGAUUAGGAAGGUCAACGGCCUCAGCAGGAGAAGGGUCGGCUGUCUUGGGAGGUGGAAGAUCAGCAAUAACGGGAGGAGGAGGCGCGGACCCUUGUCCCACUUCAAAAACACACUGACCAGCACCUCCCUCCCGCACCUCAUCAAAAGGAACCUCCACCUGCUCCUUAUCUCCCUGGCCGGCCCCAGCCAUAUACCUCUCCACCCCAGAUUCCAGCUUGCUCAUGUCGAGCUCAUGGUAUUCUUCCUUAAGCACAGACAUGAUGCACUUAUAGCUGAAAGCAACCCCGGAGUCAUACUCGGCAUCCAGCCGAUCAUCCACGUCAGCGGAUUUGCUUUUCUCCUCAGCCAGCUGGUCCUUCAGGGAUUUGAUCUCUCCUUCAAGGGCGACCCUCAGAGUAUCCCUUUCACUUUGGGUAGCCUGAAGAUCGGACUUCAGAUCACCCAACUCAUCCUCAAGCUUGGAGGAAGUGGACUCAGCAACAGCAACUUUCUCCUAAAGCUCCGUAAGCUGCUUGUUCAGCUCGGCCAGUUUCUCCUUGGAACGGUCAGCAGAUUCGACUUUCUUUUUCAACUCCUGGUUAUCAGCUUGGAGCUUCCUCUCAUGACGCACGGACCCGGUCUUGUAGCACGAGACCAUUGUGGCCAGCCUGAAGGAAACUCUUUGAACAGAAGCAGCUAACUCGGAGAGGCUCAUGCUCUCGAUGUCCUUCACCAUCUUGGGCCCAACCGAUUUUCUGUAAUCCUUCUGAUAUGGGCUCAGGUAGUCACCUUGAUCCCGAGAUGGAAGAGGAGAAGAGCGGUCCCCAGACUGCAAGCUGACCUCAGGACUUUUGUCGGAGGUUUUAUCCCCACCACUCUUACGAGGUGGAGGAGGGGGCAGAGCAGGAACUGGCGCCUUGGAAGGACCGACGCUGGGUUUCUUUGGAGGAGGAGGAGGGUUGUUGGAGCUACUCGGAGCCCGACCACGCUUUCUGCUCAACGCGCUGAGGAUCUUGUUAUCCAUUCCAGUGGCAAUAUCUACUAAGCGGGAACCGACCAAGUUUGUUGGCGACAGGAGGUCUUGGCAAGUAGACGCGUUCAACAGAGCAGUUUCCACCUGAAGCAAAGGUCGGUCUUCAAGAUCCUUCACCAAACCCCACGAUUCUGAAAAAAUAAACAAGGUUAAAGAACCCAAUGAGUGGCAAUUUAAGAAAGAAUAUAGGCAAAAAAUGAACGACCUGGGGUGACAAAAUGGGUGGGAAGAUAAAUGUCCCCACCAAGCGACUGAACCGCUGGACACCAGUUCCCUCCAGCAAAGAAGAAUUUGUUCUUCCAAUUUUUACAUGAAGAUGGAAACCCAGUGAUCGGUUUCCUCUUUGCGGAACUGGACAUGAAAUAGUACCAGCCUGCCUCCUUCGGGCUACUCCGCAGCUGGUACAGAUGUUUCACUUCAACAAGAGAAGGCUCCUCCGACCCGCACCUCUCCCACAACAUAAACAUUGCCGAGAGAACCCUCCACCCAUUUGGGUGUAGCUGACCUGGGGCCAGGUGCAUACCGCCCAGUAUCUUGGCAAAGUAAGGUUGAAGGGGCAGCCGAGCUCCUAGUCUGAAACUCUCCAAGUGCAUCAUCACAUACCCUUUCGGAGGCCGACUAGGGACAUCACCUUUUCCAGGAACUACAAGAAGAACCUCGUUGGGGAUGUUGUAGAGAUUCCUAAGUUUAAAUAGAUCGGUGGGGGUGGUGGCACAAGCCAUGAAAUCAAUAGGGUAGGAAUCAGCCUCCACCCUAUGGCCUAGGUUCCUUUUCUGAGCAGGUCUGCUCGGUCCGGAACUGCUCCCCUCACCAUCACCAACUCCUUCAGGGAUCCCAACCCCACCAAAGCUGUGGUUCUCGCCAGAGCCCGACGCAGGUCCACCCCUAUUUCCUACAAGCUCUAAUUCGGGAGAGGGAGAGACAACCAGGGGGCGUGGGUACUCAAGGGUACCCCUACCAUGAGGAGGACCUACACUACUGGAGGGACCUAAAAAAUCGGUGGGUAUUGGCACGUUGAGGCCUGAAUCCCCUGAUUCGUCAUCACCCUCAUCAACAAUUAACUUCCUCUUCCGAUUUGACAUACCGGAAUCCCAAAAGAAGACAGAGAAAACUCGAGUAUAUGGACACAAAGGGGCAACACAGAACCCAAUCAACAACAACCGAAGAAAAGGUUAAAGGCUAUACCUGGAAUAGACUGACACUGAUAGCGCCGCCAUGACAGAGAAAACACCCAGCAAAUGGAUACUCCGGACGCUGGAAGUGUGAGCAAAGUGCAGAGAAAAUUUGGUUAACGGCGGAGAAACGAGUAACAAGAUGGUGAAGACUCCAGUCUAGGGAUUUAAAACGAAAAGGGGGAAAUGGAAGCAUUUAAGUGAUGGGGACGCCAGCUCACUCACCGUACAUCGAGGACAGAUAGCCCGUCGUUUCAAAUUUCAAAUACGAAGAAUCGGGAGAUGCCACGUCACCAACCGUUACAAGAGGCCGGGCUAGAUGCAAGCCCAGGUGCGCAGUGGACAUGCUCAUUUAGGCCCACGCCCAGAUCAAAAUCUCACCUGAAGAAAAAUGAAUUGCUCAGGUCCGUCCCGGUAGACAGAAGACCAGAGGAGAAACCCCGGAUUGGUAAGAGUCGACUAUCAGUUUCUACUCUUGACUCAUUUCACUCACAAGACCAGAAACUGGGGGACUGGUGUUAAGCAAAUAAAAGCACCAGGUCGUCCAGGAUACUACUUCCACCCCGGCAUGAAUCACCUCAGCCAAAUGGUACGAGCAGAACAGGGGUAACAUGAGUCGAUCAGAGACGAAUACUGACCAGAGCCACAUACCGAGCCGGUACUCGUCCCCCGAAAAGCGGAAACACGAUCUCACAGAAUCACGGUAGUUGUGCUUUCCCAGAACCGUUGCGGGAGACGCGAGAUCCCACGUUUGCCCAUAAUGCAGCAGUUAGAGCCCCAUGAGAGGCUACCACUACCCGAAAAAGGUGGGAUGAAGGGCAAGCGGGAACGUGGGGACAGCGGCUAUAAAAGAAGGAGAAAUCGAUGAAGAAGGAGAUAGAAAAAAUUGAGAGAGGGAAAACGCUGCCAAAUUGAAACCAGGCUAUUUUCUUAUAAAACUCCGAAUAAUUUAGAAACCAUUUUGAGAUCUAAAUUGCACUGUUUUCCCGUAAACACCUUGAGCUAACUUAGGCAUCGGAGGGUUUACGCCGGCAAAACCACCGGCGUCUCUGAUCCGUUUUUGGUGAGCGCAGGUCUAUUGUGAGAAAGGAGGACGAUUCCAAUCCCAGUGAACGAGCAACAGUAGAUAACACAAACGUUGGUGAAAGAAUCUGGUCGGUCCAAAGGUGAGCAGAUUUAAGCAUCAACAAUAAUGAUUUGAAGCAAGUCAGCUAAGGCCAAGUGUUUUUAUUAUUUAGGCAAUUAGAUCAUGAAUGGUAAUCUUUCAUUUGAUCAAUUACCUCAAAAUACUCUCAUUUUACGAAGAACGUCAAAUAAUCAAAACUAAUCGUCAUUAAUUAAAAGCUACUGUAGAAAGCCAGAACGGUCUUCCAAAUUGCAAGUUGGAAGAUGUGGGCGGCAUUAGCAACUGUCAGGAAUCUUCAUCCAAGUUGCGAGCCACCCGACCCGAGUCUCAUCAUUUACUUUUGUUUACUUUUAUUUCAUUUUCGUUUACUUUUGAGAAAAGGAAAAUGUAAAGAUUGAAUAAGAAUCACUUGUUUGAAAAUUGAAAAAUGAUCGGAGGACUAAAAUAAGACACAAAAUUGAUUUUUUUUUUAAAUAUAUAUAUUCAAAAUGAUAUCGUUCUUGUUUUAUUUAAAGAAAAAAAUUCGCCUAAAAUGACAUUAUUUUAAAUAUAUUUUUUUGGCAAUUUUUAAUCAAAUUUUAUUUCAAAUAUCAAUCUUGAAAAUUAGUUUAAGAUUUUAUAAUUAGAAGCACACGGGGAUGGGGAUCUCUUCGUUUUAACUUUUGGCCUUAAUCAGUUUUCUGUGAUAUUUUGUUGACUGAAACGCCAAAGAGUUUCGGAGUGGACCAACUAUUCAAAUGUGAGAGAAACUUGCGUGGGAGCUGAGGUGGUGGCUGGUGGGAUAAUCUAUUGGUGCUCGGCUCCGUGAUGGAAUAAACGAAUCCCAUCAUGAAAUCUAUGGCUGGUGGGAUAAUCUAUUGGUCUACUUAUGAUCCGAUUUUGGGAGAAUCUCACUCUUAUCAUCACCUCACAUUUCGCACAAUUUUUUUCAAUUCUUCGUCCACUCUUCGUUCAUUUCAAUGAAAAAGAAAAAGAAAUUAAUAUAAUCGAAUACACUACCUCAGUUAAUUUAGUUCUGCUGACUUAAUUUUUUUAAAAUAUAAAGUCAGUGAAUGCCGCUGUAAAAAUCAAAUAAUUGGUUACCAUUGGGCCGACGCACAUCUCCCAACUCUGCAAGUCUUUCUCCUUCUCAAUCAACAUACUCAAUCGUCUUUGUUUGGGUGAUUAUACUACCAGCCACACAUGCUUUCAUCUGGUCGAGUUAAGAAUCUCCUCAGGUCGGUGUAUUAUGAGCAGACACAAUAGUACCAGGGUCCUAUUCGGCGUAUGGCUAAAAGUCGACAAGAGAACUGUUCCUUAAAGAUCAGACACGACACCACAUCUAGGCGAUGGUUUCGCCAUUUCCCAACCGUACGGGGAAAGGUACAAUAACUUAUGCACGAUUUUUACAAAUCCUCAAAACCCACGAAGGCCCGAAUAUGUAGGACCUGGGGAUGUUCUAGAUACAUGGGGAGGCUGCCUAUAAAAACCCCGAAAAAAACAACAAAAGGAAAAAAAGAAAAAAGAGGACGUAGGGAUGUUAUGAUGGAAUGUAUCUCCUCACCCACUAUGCAGCUCUUGUGGAAUGGGGAACUUACGGAAUCGUUCAUCCCUUCGAGAGGAAUUCGGCAAGGCGACCCAAUUUCACCCUAGAUAUUUGUGAUUUGCAUUGGGAGGCUGAGCCAUGGUAUUAAUCAAGUUGUUCGGGAAGGUAGAUGGAAACCAAUUAAGCUUGCUUGUCAAGGUAUCCCUAUCACUCAUGUUUUCUUUGCUGAUGACCUUCUGUUGUUGACAAAAGCCUCUGUUUCUCAGGCGCAUGUAAUCAAGGAUGUUCUCAACGUUUUUUGCACGAGUUCUAGGGAAAAAGUUAGCAAUGGCAAAACGUGGACUUUUUUCUCCCAUAAUGUGAAGGCUUCUGAUGCUAAAAAUAUUGGAGAAAAGCUCAGUUUCACCACAACAAAGGACCUUGGUAAUUACCUAGGUAUGCCUUUGUUGCACAAGAGGAUUAGAAAGCAAACUUAUCAAAGCCUGAUUGACCGAGUUCAACAAAGACUCUCGGGUUGGACGGCCAAGCAUCUUUCUCUUUCCGGUCGGAUAACUUUAACACAAUUGGUCAUUCAAGCCCUACCCAUCUAUUCCAUGUAGACUGUCAUGCUACCUGCAAGUAUUCGAAAUAAAAUCGAUCAGAUUUGCACACUUUUUAUCUGGAGCGGGAUUGAAGAGGCCAAGCGCAUGCAUCUUAUUAAGUGGGAUAAGGUACAGCUUCCUAAAUGUUGUGGGGGUCUUGGAAUUAAAAAUCUUAAUCUCAUGAAUAAGGCUUUGCUGAUGAAAAUUGGUUGGAAUCUAUUUGGCUCUCCUCACAGUUUUCUGGAUCCAGGUGUUAAGUAAUAAAAAGUACUAGCUCGGCCAUGCCCUCAUCUCUUACCCUGAGGCGAAUCUCCUCAGUUGAAAGACACGAGAAGAGUUCGGGUAAAACAUCUUAUACGGGUAUGUGCCAACUAGAGACGAGCACCAACUAGAGAAAUAUACUGACCAGAGAGGAGCACUGACCAGAUGCUCGUCACCCAAAGAAAGGGCAUACGAUCUCACGAAAUCGCGACAGUUUCGCUAUGCCCCGAACCGUUGGGAAAGACGUGGCAUCCUACGUUUACCCACAAUCUAGUGGUUGGAGACCCAUGAGGGUUUGCCAUCACCCGAAAAAGGGGGACAUGAAGAGUAUGCAGAAACGUGGGACAACGACUAUAAGAAUCCAGGAAACCGAUGAAAAAAGGGGGAGAAAAAUCGAGAAAAAAAGGAAAACUCUGCCAAAUUAAAACCCGAUGGUAUUCCAUACAAGUUUUUGAGAGCAUUACAAGAAAUCACACAAUCUAAUUUACAUAGUUUUCUUGUAAACACCUUGUGCUAACUUAAGCAUCAGAGAGUUUAUGCCGGUAAAACUACUGGUGACUCUUAUCCAUUUUUGUGAACGCCGGCUUAGGAAGAGGAAAAAUGGUGAUUCCAACCCCAGGGACUCAAGCAAUCGUUGAAACAGAAAGAAGGUGACAUCUUCUCUAUCGACCAUAUAAACGUUGGUGAAAAGAUCUGGUCGGGCAAAGGGCGAGCAAAUUUCAACAUCAACAUUUUGGCGCCGUCUGUGGGGAGCUGGAUAAAAAUCUACCACCAAGUUAGUAGUCAUUAAAGGAGCAGCGAACGAUCGGUUAUGGAUGUGUCAAGGAAGGAUGCCCUAGGGGGCGACAAUGAAACUGGUGAAACAAUCACUCUCCGAGAGAUCGCAAAUGAAGCUAGAGAGAGGGUGAUGCAAGACCGAAUGGAACAGAUGGAGAAGCAAAUGGAGACUCUCACGGCUAUAUUACAUGAGCUGAGGGAUGAGCAGAGAAGGGAUUGUGAAACCACCGUGGCGAGGGAUGAAGCCGUGGCAAAACCCAGCCUGCGAAGGCAUAGAAUUGAGGAGAUCCCUCCGCUGGUACACCAACCCUAUGGGGUGCAUUCCCAUAGAAGUGCAAGUCGGAUCCCAAGAGAGCGCGUAGGUGAAGGGAGAGACCAAUCUCGCUUCGGACGAGUUCUGGAAAUUGAUGGCUGAGGAGCGAAUAUUGAUGAAGGAGAGCUCAGACAGUGGCUGCAUAAUGCCGAGCAGGAGCGAGAUCAAAUAGCUGCGCGCGAUCCUAACUGCGCUUUAGAAUUGGAGGGUGAGGUACGCAGGUUGGCUCAGGUGAUGGAUGAGAUUUAAAGCAAGAGAAAGCCCCCGAGCUGGAGGAUAAUGUUGGAUGAAGAAUCUCCGCUAUCAGCCGAGAUCAUGGGUACUGUAAUCCCAAGAGAUUUCCGCUUUCCCGACCUCAAAUACUCCGAGAGAAGUGACCCGCUGGUGCAUAUUGAGCAUUUCAACGACAUGACGAGUGUACAGGGGCUGACACUAGCUCAAAAGUGCAGGGUGUUUCCAUUGACACUAGAGGGGCGAGCCCGAGAAUGGUACCGUAAGCUGCCACGAGGAAGUAUAGGGGGAUAUGAGCAGAUAUGCCAAGAGUUGGCCGAGCAGUUCCGAGGAACGGUAGCUCCAGAGGACGAUAUGAUGGAAUUGAUGGGGAUGAAGCAGGAGGAACACGAAUCCCUUCGGGAUUUUGUGAAAAGAUAUCAUUGGGUCGUGCUUGAUCUGGGAGCUUUCAAUCACCCGCAGGCAUUGAGGGGAUUAAAAGAGGGAGUGAGGAUAGGCUGAUUGUGGUACAACUUGAGAAGUCCCAUCGUUCAGAACUAUUCGACGGGGUAUGAGCAGGCGAAGAGAGACAUAAAAAUUGAAGAAGAAAAAACGGCAAGGAUAAAGAGUGAGCAGCUAGAGGAGCUGAGGCGAAAGGAAAAGAGAACCCUGAGUGGGAGCGGGUCGGGAAAGCGAGCUGGGGAAUCAUCAGUGAUGGGUGGAAUAUCAGCUCGGUCUCGCCCUUAUCCCAUGACUCAGAGACCGCAACAAUUUCAACACAGCCGAGCUCAGCCUCAACGCCCCUCAUUCGCAGAGCGGCAACAAGAAUUCCGGCAGGUGGCUGCCCAUCCUUAUCAUAAUGCUCCCAGGGCAUUACAUGCAGUUAAUUCCAGGAUUGGUCGACCAAACCAGCUACCUACAGUGCCAGCCCGGGAUGAUAUCUACGAUAGCCGAGCGGUCCAACUGAUUGAUCAGAGCUCAGCGUAUAAACAGUACACCCCAUUGAAAGUCUCUAUGUAGGAGUUGUAUGAGAGGAUCGAGGGACGAGGCCUGCUAUACCCUCCUGCCCCUAUAACCAAACCCGCUCACAAAUGGGAUAAAAGCAGAUUCUGUAAAUUCUACGAUACUCAUGGCCACACUAUCAGCCAGUGUCGUGACCUGAAGACUCAGGUGGAGGAUUUGGUGAGAAACCGAUACUUGGAUGAGUAUGUAGAUGGGGCAUUCUCUAUCCUUGAGUCACAAUAUACUCAGAGGGAUGGAGACGAGAGGAGUCUGGAGCAUGAGCAGCCAACCAUUCGGGUGAUCGCAGGAGGGCCAACAUUGGCUGGGGAUUCAAACAUGGCACGGAAGAAUUACGGGAGAUAUGCCAUGACCAGCAAAGAGGUGCUUUUCAAAUUGCCAACAGCCAAGAGGGCGAAAGUGAGGCAAGUUCUCAUUAUGUAGACAGAUGAUGACAAAGAGGGUGUUUUAUAUCCUCAUGAGGAUGCACUGGUGAUUAAGGCAAUGAUGGCUGGUAAAGAAUUACGGCGAAUAAUGGUGGACACAGGCAGCUCGGUUGAUAUACUGUUUAAGUUGGCCUUAGAUGAUAUGAGAAUUGCGGACUUAAAAUUGGAGCGGACGAAUACAUCCUUGAAGGGAUUUGAAGGAGGACAGUUAAACCCCAUGGGGAUCAUCGAGCUCCCGAUUACUGUAGGGUCGAAGCCGUUUGAAAGAACAAUGAUGUUGGACUUUGUCGUGGUAGAAGAGAAAAGCUCUUACCAGAUGAUACUAGGACGACCUUUCAUGAGGGUAAGCCAAUGUGUCAUAUCCACGCAUUAUCUGGCAUUGAAAUACAGAGUGAAUGGAGUCGUGGGCGUAGUAAAAGGUGAUCAGAGAAUGACGAUGAGUUGUUACGCUACAACGGCCAAGGAAACACUACAAGUUACCACUCUGGAUAACCGAGGAGAUUCUAAAAAGGGUCGCCAGGAACUAGCUGAGAAAUUGGAAGAGGUUUUGGUGAGCAAGAGUAACUCGAGCAGAGUGGUAAGGAUCGGGUCAGGAUUGGGCGAGGCAAUAAAAGGCGAGCUGGUAAAGUGCCUACAGUCCCACGCAGAUAUAUUUGUCUGGUCGCAUGAAGACAUGCCAGGAAUUGAUCCCGGGGUAGCUUGCCACAAGUUGGCAAUUAGGAAAGGGGCAAGACCGGUGAGGCAGAAAAGGAGGUUUUUUAACCAGGAAAGGUACGAGGCCAUGCUGAGGUGGAGAAGUUGUUGAGAGCAGGAUUUAUAAAGGAGGCUAAAUACCCAUAGUGGAUUUCCAAUGUAGUGUUGGUAAAGAAGGCCAACAGGAAAUGAAGAAUGUGUAUGGAUUUCACGGACCUGAACAAGGCAUGCCCAAAGGAUAGUUUUUCCCUACCUAAAAUAGAUCAAUUGGUUGACUCAACAGCGGGUCACAGUCUGCUUAGCUUCAUGGAUGCCUUCUCGGGAUACAACCAGAUACCCAUGGACAAGCAGGAUGAGGAGUGUACCACCUUUAUAACUAACAUGGGUUUGUUUUGCUACAGGGUGAUGCCCUUUGGCCUAAAAAAUGCAGGGGCUACCUAUCAAAGGUUGGUGAAUAAGAUUUUCAAACCAUUGAUCGGUCACACUAUAGAGGUAUACGUGGACGAUAUGAUCAUGAAGUCUAAAAGACCAAUGGAUUAUGUGAAGCACUUGGAAGAGACCUUUGAACUACUGAGGAAAUACCAAAUGAAGUUGAAUCCGGAGAAAUGUGCGUUUGGAGUUAGCUCGGGCAAGUUUUUGGGAUUCCUGGUGAGCCACCGAGGGAUCGAGGCCAACCCGGAAAAAAUACGAGCAGUAAUAGAAAUGAAGUCCCUCCAAACAGUUAAGAAGGUGCAAAGUCUUACGGGGAAAUUGGCAGCAUUGAACCGGUUCAUCUCGCGGGCCACGAAUAAAUGUCACCCUUUCUUCCAAACCAUAAAGAAAGGGAGGAAAAUUGAGUGGACAUCAGAAUGUGAGGAGGCAUUCGGGCAGUUGAAGGAAUAUCUUGCCCGUGCCCCGUUACUAUCGACUCCGAGAGAAGGUGACAAGCUGUAUUUGUACUUGGUUGUCUCUAAAUGGGCUACCAGCUCGGUAUUAGUUAGAGAAGAAGAAGGAAAGCAACACCCCAUGUAAUACAAUAGCAAGGCCCUUGUGGACGCAGAAACUAGAUAUCCACUGAUGGAGAAAUGGGUGUUAGCUUUAAUAACGGUAGCGUACAAGCUCAGACCGUACAUUCAGGCCCACUCGAUAGUAGUGAUGACUGACCAACCUCUUUGGCAAAUGCUCCAAAAACCAGAUGCUUUUGGUCGGCUAGUAAAAUGGUCUGUAGAGCUGAGCGAAUUUGAUCUAUCUUAUAAACCACGAGGAGCAAUCAAAGCCCAAGCCCUGGCCGAUUUUAUGGUUGAUCAUGUUGAACCAGGGGAAGAAGUUCAGGAGGAGCAACCAGCUGAACAGGAGAAACCAAAGAGGGUGUGGCUGGUAAUAGUUGAUGGGUUGCGUAGUGAACAGAGAUCCGAAGCAGGAGUGGUAAUACGAAGCCUAGAAGGGGCCGAGGUAUCCUAUGCAGUAAAAUUUGAAUUCCAGCUCACGAAUAACUAAGCCGAAUAUAAAGCCUUCAUCACUGGGCUCGGGCUUGCACACACAUUACGAGCAGAGAGGGUAGAAAUCCGAGCAGACUCCCAAUUAGUCUGUAAUCAGCUCAGUGACUAAUUCCAAGCGAGGGAAGAGAAGAUGGGACUUUAUUUGAAGAAGGCAAAGCAGAUGGUUGGGCUUUUCCAAAAAGUAGAAAUAAAGCAGAUAUCCCGAAAUGAAAAUUACCGAGCAGAUAUAUUGGCCAAAAUGGCCAUAAUUACGGAUCCAAAGUUACCCAAGUCAGUUCCAUUGGAAGUGAGGACCUCGCCAAGUAUAGGGGAGGAGGUAGAAGUAAUGCGGGUGAACACUAAAAAAUCCUGGAUGGACCCGAUUCUCUCAUACAUCCGCGAUGACAUUUUACCAUAAGACAGGAAGCAAGUAAGAAAGUUAAAAUGUCGGGCAGCAAGGUAUAUGCUACUCGAUGGGGUACUCUACCGUCGAGAAUUCACUUUGCCCCUUUUGAGAUGUUUGGAUGACGAGGAAGAAAAUUAUGUGCUGAGGGAGGUUCAUGAAGGAAUAUGCGGCAACCACUCGGGGGUAUGGACUUUGGUCUUCAAGGCACUCCGGUAAGGGUACUUCUGGCCGACUAUGCACCAGGAUGCGAAGGGGAUGGCAAAAAACUAUAAAGUCUGCCAAAGCUUCUCGGAGGUUCCUACUCAACCCCUAGAAAAGCUAACCGCUAUGUCAUCCCCAUGGCCUUUUGCCCAGUGGGGAAUUGACCUGAUUGGCCCAUUACCCAAAGGCCGAUGAGGCGCAACACAUGCAAUUGUGGCUAUAGAUUACUUUACUAAAUGGGUAGAAGUGGGAGUCCUCAAUCAAAUUACGGAGAGAAAGACAACAGAUUUUAUCUGGAAGAAUAUCAUCUGCAGAUACGGAAUCCCUAUGCAAUCAUAACAGACAAUGAGAGGCAGUUUGACAACCACAACUUUUGAGAAUUUUGCCAAAACUUGGGUGUCGAUCUGAAGUUUUGUACCCCGGCACACCCCUAGGCAAACGGGCAAGUAGAAGCAGCCAACAAAGUAAUAAAGAAACUUCUGAAAACCAAGCUAGGAGAGAAGAAGGGAGCUUAGUUCGACGAGCUACCAAGAGUGUUAUGGGCCUACCGAACAACCCAUAAAACUGCCACAGGAGAAACCCCGUUUGCCUUAGCUUUCGGUCAUGAGGCAGUAAUCCCAGUAGAAAUGGGGGUGGGAACACAUCGGACAGAGUAUUUCAACGAGGAACAAAAUGACAAGCAGAUUUGCAUGAGCCUGGACCUGCUGGAAGAAAAAAGAGAAGGGGCAUCGCAGAGAGUGGCCAAAUGCCAGCAAAGAAUCAUGCGCUAUUACAACAAGAAUGUACGCAUGAGACAAUUUCGAGCAGGAGAUUGGGUACUUAGAAAAGUGAACCAAAACACAAGAGAUUCUAAUCAUGGCGUUCUUGGCCCGAAAUGGGAGGGCCUGUACAGAGUAGUACAAACAACUAGCCCAGGAGCUUACAAGCUGACUUACCCAGAUGGACGAGAUGUGAAGAGGUCGUGGAACGCCGAGCACUUGAAGAAAUACUUCCAGUAAGCAAAGUGCUUUACCAAGUUUUUAUUUUGAUAAGCUAUUUCUGUUAAAUGCAUGAUGAUGAAUUGUGACACAUGCAUGUAUUUCGCCUUUUGUAAUCUAUGCAAAGUUCAAUAAAGAUGAAUUCAGCAUAAAGUUCCCUUGCUAGACAAAUUUUACUAAGACAAGCAAGUGCCUAUUCCUGCUCGGUCGCCUAAAGGGCCAGCAGGCAAAAUCCAUUAAAUUUACUAAGGCAAGCAAGUGUCUAUUCCUGCUCGGUCGCCUAAAGGGCCAGCAGGCAAAAUCCAUUAAAUUUACUAAGGCAAGUAAGUGCCUAUUCCUGUUCGGUCGCCUAAAGGACCAGCGAGCAAAAUCCAUUAAAUUUACUAAGGCAAGCAAGUGCCUAUUCUUGCUCGGUCGCCUAAAGGGCCAGCAGGCAAAAUCCAUUAAAUUUACUAAGGCAAGCAAGUGCCUAUUCCUACUCGGUCGCCUAUAGGACCAGCAGGCAAAAUUCAUUAAAUUUACUAAGGCAAGCAAGUGUCUAUUACUGCUCGAUCGCCUAAAGGACCAGCAGGCAAAAUCCAUUAAAUUUAUUAAGGCAAGCAAGUGCCUAUUCCUGCUCAGUCGCCUAAAGGACCAGCAGGCAAAAUCCAUCAAAUUUACUAAGGCAAGCAAGUGUCUAUUCCUGCUCGGUCACCUAAAGGACCAGCAGGCAAAAUCCAUUAAAUUUACUAAGGUAAGCAAGUGCCUAUUCCUUCUCGGUCAUUGAAGGACCAGUAUGCAAAAUUCUACGAAACCGUUAAAGCAAGGAAUCGUCUAUUUUUCCUCAGUCACCCAGAGACAAGCAAACAUAUUUUUUAAAGUAAUUUGCAAAAACAACUCGUAAGCAAAAUCAUGGCAAGAAAGCAACCAAAAAGUGUCAAACAUUUAUAAACAUCCAAGCGUUUGUAAACAAAUGAAAAUUCAGAAUUUACAUAAAAAGCAAGCCUAAGGAUUAUGAGGUUCAGCGGCCUCAGUAGGAGAAGGAUCAGUAGUCUCGAAAAGAGGAGGACUAGCGACUUCUGGAGGAGCAGACGUUGACCCAUGGCCUACUUCCAGGGCGUGAUCCCCUGCUUCCUCCUCCUGCACCCCACCUGGAGGUGCCUCAACCUGAUCCUGGUCCCCUUGGUCCUUAUUUUCCUGAUCUAACUCGGCCAUAUACUUCUGCACUCCUGCCUCCAGCUUGCUCAUGUUAAGUUCUAGAUAUUCCUUCUUAAGCACAAACAUGAUGCACUUGUAGCUAAAGGCGAGCCCAAAGUUAUACUCUGCAUCCAGCCAAUCGUCCACCUCAGCAGAUUUACCUUUCAGUUCGGCUACCUGCUCAUUCAAGGACUUGAUUUGCUCCUCGAGGGUCGUCCUCAAGGUAUCUCGUUCACUUUGAGUAGCCUGGAGAUUAGACUUCAGGUCACCUAACUUGCUCUUAAGCUUGGAGGAGUUGGACUCAACAAUGGCCACUUUCUCCUCCAGGUCCAUGAGCUGCUUGUGCAAAUCAACCAGCUUCUCCUUCGAGCGAUCAGCAAAAUCAGCCUUUUUCUUCAAGUCCUGGUUGUCAGCUUGAAGCCUCCUCUCAUGGCGUGUGGAUUUGUUCUUGUAGCAAGAAACCAAAGUAGCCAACUUAAAGGAGACCCUCUGAACGGAUCCAGCUAACUCGCUAAGGUUCAUGCUCUCAAUAUCUUUGACCAUUUUGGGUCCCACCGACUUGCCAUAGUCCCUCUGGUAUGGGGUCAGAUAGUCACUCUGGUCCCGAGGCGGAAGAGGAGAUGAUCGGUCUCCAGAUUGAAUAUUGACCUCAGGACUCUUGUCGCUAACCUUCUCCCCCCCUCCCCCCCCAUUGUUUCGAGGUGGAGGAGGAGGCAGAGCAGGAGCAGAAGCCUUGGAAGAACCAAUAUUGGUUUUCUUCAGGGGAGGGGGAGUUACUGGAGCCACCUGAACCCCGAGCACGUUUCCUUGACAUAGCGCUAAGGAUCUUAUUAUCCAUCCCGACAGCUACGUCCACUAAGCGUGACCCAACGAGAUUUAUUGACGACAGGAGAUCUUGAUAGGUAGACAUAUUCACCAGAGCAGUUUCCACCUUGAGCAAUGGUUUGUCGUCAAGUUUCUUGAUCAGGCCCCACGACUCUGAAAGAAUAAACAAGGUUAAGGAACCCAAUAAGUAACGAUCAGAGAAGUGAAAUAUGCAGAAAAAAUAAACGACCUGGGGUGACAAAAUACGUUGGAAGGUGAAUAUCACCACCAAGCGAAUGGAUUGCUGGACACCAAUUUCCCCCAGCAAAGAAGAAUUUAUUUUUCCAAUUUUUACAUGAGGAAGGAAAGCCGAUGAUAGGCUUCUUUUUUACAGAGCUUGACAUGAAGUAGUACCAGCCUGCUUCCUUUGGGCUGCUCCUCAGCUGAUACAAAUGCUUUACUUCCACAAGGGAAGGCUCUCCGAGCCCACACCUUUCCCAUAGCACAUACAAGGCUGAAAGAACCCCCUAUCUGUUCGGGUGAAGCUGACUUGGAGCCAGGUGCAUACCACCCAAUAUCCUGGCAAAGUAAGGUUGAAGGGGCAACCAAGCUCCUAACUUGAAACUCUCCAGAUGCAUCGUUACAUACCCCCUUGGAGGCCGACUGAGGACGUCACUUUUCUCAGGGAUUACAAGGAGAACCUCUUCAAGGAUAUUGUAAAGAUUUCUAAGCUUGAAUAGGUCAGUGUGGGUAGUAGCACAGGUAAUAUAGUCAAUGGGGUAAGCUUCUGCCUCCAUCCUAUGACCAAGGUUUCUCUUCUUAGAGGGUCUGCUCGGCUCGAAACUGUUAUCCUCACCGUCACCCACUUCCUCAGAGACCCCAGCCCCCCCAGAACUGUGAUUUUCACCAGAGCCCAAAGCUGGUCCACCGCGGUUUCCCACGGGUUCUAAAUCAAGGGAAGGCAAAGUGGUCAUGGGGCGAGGGUAUUCAAGGGUAUCCCUAUGAUAGGAGGGACCUACACAACAAGAAGAGCAUAGGGGAUCAUUGGGUCCAAAUAGGUUGGGGUAUGAAUCCUCUACCUCUUCGUCACUCUCAUCUACAAUUAUUUUUCCCUUUCGGUUUGACAUAUCGAAAUCUUAAAAGGGAAAACACAGCAAAUCCAAGUAUAUGGGUACAAAAAAAGGACAAUACAGAACCCAAGCAACAACAACCUGAGAAGAAGUUAAAUGCGAUACCUGGAAUAGAUUGGCACUGGUAGCGUUGCCGUGACGGAGAAAGGGCCCAGCAAACAGAGGUUUCUAACGCGGAAAGUGCGAUUAAAGUCCAAAGAGGGAGUUGGCUUACGGUAGAAUGGCAGAUAGCGAAACGCGAUGGUAGUUUCAAUUUAGGGAUUUGAAAUGAAAAUGGGGAAUGAAGGCGUUUAAGUUACGCGGAGGCCAGUUCAAUUGCCGUAUAUCGAAGACAGAUAAGCCAUCAUUUCAAAUUUCAAAUGCAAAAGGACAAGAAGCGACACGUCACUGGCCGUUAGAAAAGGCCUGAUGAGAUGUUAGCCCAGUUAUAUAUUGGACACGCUCACGAAGGUCCAUACUCAGGCCGAAGUCUCCUUAAACAAAAGAAGGAACCUCAGAUCCAUCACAAUAACACGAAGACCAUAGAGAUAUUUCCCGAGGUCGGUAAGAUAUAAUUCUCAGUUUCUAAUCUCAACUCAUUUCACUCGCAAGACUAGAAACUGGGGGACUGGUGUUAAGUAAUAAAAAGUACCAGCUCGGCCAUGCCCUCAUUUUUUACCUCGAGGCAAAUCUCCUCAGCUGAAUGACACGAGAAGAGUUUGGGUAAAACAUCUUAUACGAGUAUGUGCCAACUAGAGACGAGCAUCAACUAGAGAAAUAUACCAACCAGAGAGGAACACCGACCAUAUGCUCGUCACCCAAAGAAAAUGCACACAAUCUCACGAAAUCGCGACAGUUUCGGUAUGCCCCGAACCGUUGGGAAGGACGUGGCAUCCCACGUUUACCCACAAUCCAGUGGUUGGAGACCCAUGAGGGUCUGCCAUCACCCGAAAAAGAGGGACAUAAAGAGUACGCAGAAACGUAAGACAACAGCUAUAAAAAGCCAGGAAACCGAUGAAAAAAUGGGGAGAAAAAUAAAAAAAAAAAAAGAAAAACUCUGCUAAAUUAAAACCCGAUGGUAUUCCAUACAAGUUUUUGAGAGCAUUACAAGAAAUCACACAAUCUAAAUUAUAUAGUUUUUCCGUAAAUACCUUGUGCUAACUUAAGCAUCGGAGGGUUUACGCCAGUAAAACUACCGGCGUCUCUGAUCCAUUUUUGUGAACGCAGGCUUAGGAAGAGGAAAAAGGGUGAUUCAAACCCCAGGGACUCAAGCAAUCGUUGAAACAGAAAGAAGGUGACAUCUUCUCUAUCGACCAUAUAAACGUUGGUGAAAAGAUCUGGUCGGGCAAAGGGCGAGCAGAUUUCAGCAUCAACACCAGGUAUUGAUGUCUAAAUAUAUGGUUGAUAAGGACAAUCUCCCUCUUGCACUUCCACCCCGAUAUGGAUCUCCAUUAUGGAAGGCUGUGGGAAAUGUCUUGAAUGAGGUUGUCCAAGGGACUCGUUGGGUUAUUGCGAAUCGGAGGCUAGCUAAAUUUUGGAAGGAAUCUUGGCUGGAGGUCAGAAUUUGUUUGCAAUAUUACGCUCUCGGAUCGAUCCAUGGGAACAUCCUAAAUGAGUGUAUGGCUAAUUUCGUUGAUGUUAUUGGUACUUGGAAAUGGGACCAUUUUUCUUCUUUGUUGCCACACUAUAUUCUCCUCAAAAUAGCUGGCACUAUGCCCCCUUCUACCAAUGGGGAAGAUGAUUGCCGUUAUUGGGGACCAGCGAGGUCGGGUUCGUUUAGUGUGAAAUCUACUUACUUAUCCCUCCUCAAGCCAUUGCCAAGUACGAAUAACUCCUUUUGGAGUUUGAUAUGGAAAUGGCAAGGCCCCCAAAGUAUCCAUUGUUUUCUGUGGCUACUGAUGCAUAAUCGUUUGAAAACCAAUGAGGAAUUAUCACGAAGACAUAUGCUUAAUAAUAGUAUUUGUAUGCGGUGUGGGCAUAUCAGGGAGGAUGCCCUUCAUACAGUCAGGGAUUGUGUGGACUCCAAAUGUAUUUAGUUAGCACUUCUUCCAGAACACACAAGGCAUACCUUUUUUGUGUUGGAUCUACGUGCAUGGAUUGUUUGUAAUCUGAAAAACCUAUUGAAGAUCACUAAGGAGACGGAUUGGCCAGUGUUGUUUGGUGUCACUGUGUGCAGAAUGUGAUAUUGGCAUAAUCAAUUUGUUCAUGCACAUAGGACGAGCAGCCUUUUCAACGUAAUCAUGGACCUGAAGAAUCGUUCGGAAGAGUCAUUGUUGUUUCUAAGUCUUUAUGUAAUCAAAGAAGGCCAAAAACCGUGCAUUGGAUCUCAUGGCAGCCCCCAACAUGGCCAUUUCUAAAACUCAAUAUGGAUGGAGCUUUGAAGAGAUCGGGUUUGGCAAGUGAUGGUGGCUUGGUAAGGAAUUAUUGUGGGGAAUGGAUUUGUGGUUUCAACAUGAAUUUGGGUAGUUGUUCCAUUAUGGAAGCUGAGUUGUGGAGGUUGUACCAAGGCUUAAAAAUUGCUUGGGACUAUGGUUUUCACUUACUGCAGGUUGAGGUGGAUAAUUUGGGAAUCACGCAACUCCUGACUACCUCUAGUGGUAACCAUAAUAGCAUAUCCUCGUUGUUAUAGGGCACCAAGAUUUACUUAACAGAGAUUGGCAUGUAUCAGUGAAGCAUGUGUAUAGAGAGGCGAAUUUUGCUGCCGAUUUCCUUGCAGGGAUGGCUCUCACCCUCCCCUUGGGUGCCAUACUCUUCAUUCACCUCCUAUAGGCGUGCAUUAUUGUUUGUUCAAUGAUGGACUAGGGACUGCUUUUUCUCGUUUUGUUUAGCGUAGCGGCAAUCUAGGCUCCUCUUGUACCCAAAAAAAAAAAAGGGGAAAACUCUGCCAUUUUGGAUCUAGAACUUAUUUCCAAAAAGCUUUCUAAAAAACUUCCUUCAUUUAAGAAUUGUUGGUUUUGAUAAUUCAAUGUUUUUUUCAAAAACCCUGCAUACUGACUUAAGUAUCGGAGGGUUCUCGUAGGAGAAACCACUGGCAUCCCUGAUCCAUUUGUGUGAGUGCAGGUCAGAAGAGAAGGAGCAAGGUUAGUUGAGGUCAUUAAACCUAGGGAUGGGCAAAAUACCCGAUCCGACCCGAUCCGAAAAUUUUCGGGUUCGGAUCGGGUUGUGAAUAAAACUCGAUCGGGUGCAAUUGUGUCAACCCGAUCGGGUCGUGUUUGGAUCGGUUAAAACCCGAUCCAAUCCGAAAACCCGAUCAAGUUGACAUAAAAUCAAAAAUCAUAACCCAAAGGCCCAAACCUUAUCCUAAUUCCUAAACACUCACUAUCACACACACCACUCAACACACGACACACACAACCCUUACAAACAAAAGCCUAACCACUGUAUAUGGCACAACUGCACAAGCACUAAGCAGCAGUGAGCAACCCACUGCCAACUAGUGCGUCAUCCACCCACAGGCGACGGCCUCCCUCGCUUGCAACUUGGAACCCACCACCGACAGCCACAUAGCCCGUCGCCUACAACAUCCUCCCUCAAACAAACAAAACACACACAUACACCCCCACACACGCACACACACAAAGUUAAUGCCUUAACAGAGCAAGCUGUAGCAGACCACCAUGCAGCAACCACCGAGCCUCCACGAGGAUCGUGAUCUGAUUCCGAUCGACCGAUCUACUGCUACAAAGUAUCGGAUCUACUGUGCCACCUCAAAGCCUCCAUUCCUCCACCAUCACCCGAUCCGAUUCAAGCUCCAUUAACCCAGCAAGCAGCAACCCGAAUUUUGGUUGUUGAGUCGAGUUUUGGAAGCUUUGAGUUUGAGCUUUGAAACUUGAUGGUGAUGAUAUUUGUGAAAGUAAAGUGUUAAAUGUUAAUAAGCAUUUUCCUAAUCCGACCUGUCUCGAACCAGAAUCCGAACCGAUCCAAACUCAACCCGAACUUAUAACCCGAUCUAAUCCGAUCCAAAGUUACUUUGGAUCGGAUCGGAUCGGGUUAUAAAUUCGGGUUGAAUUCGGAUGAAUUUUUAUUCAAUCCGACCAACCCGAAAUCCGAUUGGAUUGAUACGAACCCGACCCUAACCUGAUUUUGCCCAGCCUUAGUUAAACCAACUUGAUUAGAGAGAGAACGAGCAGCUUUGCGCCUCACCCAGAGAAAACUUAAGCGUUGACGAGAAAACCUUGUCGGUCCUCCACGUACGACCAUAUUUAUGCAUCAAUAUUUUGGCGCCGUCUGUGGGGAGCUGAACAAAAAGCUACCACUAGCAAAGCAACUCAUAGGGAGAAUUAGGCAUGUGGACAUGAAUAUGGGAAAGAGUGAUGCAUGAGCAAAUGAAGCUGAUGGAAAAGUAGAUGGAGACCCUCACCGCCAUCUUACAUGAGCUGAAGAACAAGCAAAGAAAGGCUUAUGAUGCAAAUGCAACAAGGGAUGAUGUUGCCAUAGAGCCCAGUCACCGAAGGAAUAGAAAUAAAGAGAUCCCUUCAAUAGGGGGAUAACUCAACGGGGUGCCUAACAAUGGAGUAGGAACUCAGACUUUGAGAGAAUGUGAGCACGAAGGGAGAGAUCAAUUCCACAAAUGGACAAAUCUUGAGAAGUUGUAGUAGAGGAGCGAAUGCCGAAGAAAGCAAGCUAAGGCAGCACCUACACAACAUCGAACAAGAAUGUGACUAGGUUGCAACACGUGAUCCUGGUUAAGCCUUGGAACUGGAGGGAGAAGUACGACGAUUGACACAAAUAAUAGACGAAAUGCAGGGCAGGAGAAAGCCCUUCAGUUGGAGAAUAAUGUUGGAUGACGAAUCUUGGCUUUCAGUUGAGAUUAUGGGCACUAUGAUAUUAAGAGAUUUUCGUUUUCCCAACCUCAAAUACUAAGGAAAAGUGACCCGCUGGUGCACGUCGAGCACUUCAAUGACAUGAUUGGAGUGCAGGGGCUAACACCAGCGCAGAGCUGCAGAGUAUUCUCUUUGACAUUGGAAGGACGAGCACGAGAUUGGUACCUUCCCUUUGACACCGGUAGGGACUUGCAACUUCCAAAAACCUUUGAUUAACCCAAAAAAAAAAAAAAUACAUAUAGUUUGAAAUUAUAUGAUGAUCGAUAGGUAUGUAAUUUUGUAGUAAUAUUUUAUUUGAUCAUUUAUUUUUUGGUAUUCCGUGAAAGGUGUGCAAAAUUAGAUAAUAUUUCUCUGAAACUUGUAUUCCUUCUGCGAAACAUCACAUGCUGAGAGCUUCGACUAAACUAGUUUCAAUUGUACGUCGACUAAACUAUCUGCUUAUUCUACGAUUAAUGCCAACUUUGAUGAUAUCAAGGCAGAAACAGAGAAGUGAAAGAGUGAAAGUACAGCCAUUCAGCGCAGAGUUUCUGAGACGAAAGCAAAGUGUAAGAGAUUGAAGAGAAGGCUGAGACCAGUGCGAAACUAGAUCAUUACUCAAGUCUCAUCACUAACCUCUUAGAUGUUUUGUUUCUGUAGGCUACACUGGUUGGUUCUAAUCACAAAACUUAGGAUUCUACUGGAAACAUGUUGUUCAAAAAAUUGCACAAUUCAAUCUUUAUUGUGGCUACCCAGACCGAAAUAAAUGCUCUAUUUGGUUUCACUUUGAAUUCUGCAAAUUUGUGAACAACAAUUUCCAGCAAGAUCCUCAAUUUGUGAUUAUAACUGAUGACGGUAAUCUAUAGAAGGAGAAAUCAUUUAGGACAUCAGUGAAAGAUUUGAGUAAUGAUUAUUCUUACCAACAAAUUCAUCAAUUUGUCAUGCAGACAGUAGACUCAAUUUACAAAAUUAUUUGUGGAUUGCUACAUCAAUUAUGUUGACAGAAAAGUUGAAGUUUGUUGGAAAACAAAGAGCAUUGUUAUUUGAACAGCUGCAAGAUAUUCGGAAGACAUGCAGAAAUAUGGGUAUUGCUUAUGCUAUAGUGCCAUUGCAGCAUAAAAUUGACAGCAAUGUUUAUGCAACAGUACUGUCUUUUUUUGUCUUCUUAGUGUUUUGCUGAUACACAAAUAUCAUUUUCCACAAACAAAACAUGUAAUAGCAUGCUCCAGGAGCAGUUUCUUACACUCUUGAAGUAGCCUACAAUAAGAUCAAAUCGAACAUUCUCCCUCAAUUUAGUGUUCUAAAACUGAUUUAUAUCUUAACAUAGAAAUGCAAUCUAAAAGCACUAUUAACGAAAGCUCUUCUUGUUUGCAUUAAAAACCAAGAAGAGCUUAUUGUGGUGGGGGGUGGGGGGGUGUGGGGGGGAAAGAGAACCUCAGUCAAAUAAGAUAAAAUUACUUUGGAUGGGUUAUUUACUGUCUAAAAAAAAUUCUAAACACUAUUAUAUUUUAUUGGCUCAUCUAGUAAAUUUAAAAUUUUUAUUUUGCAUACUCUAUUAAAUGUAAAAAACAAAUAUCAUCACACAAAACGACAUGAAACCAUCUAUGUAGCAUCUGAAAUGAGGCCAUUUUUCUGUAUAAUUUUUGAGGCAUUGUAUUAUAUGGAGCUUGAUUUCUUUCUCUUUAUCAAGGGUAAGAUGGCGUUGGCGAUCAAUAGGGUCCCCCUGUUUCUUUGUUUUCAUUAAUAUUACUUCGAAUCCGCUUUCAGGUUGAGUGUCUAAAGAUUUUAUUAAACUUGUGUUUAGUUAAAUGUAUUGAAUUUCUGGAGUAUUUGGUAGUUAAUGAUGAAACUCGGCAUUAGAUGAACUUACAAUCAUUCUAAUGAUAAAUGUUUUUGUCAUCGAAAGUCAUUGAGUAUUAUUGCGGCAGUAAGCUACGUUGAACUAGCAUUCAAGAUAUAACUAUCAAAACAUGUACGUGAUUGCCACUGGUAUUAAAAUCAAAACAUUCAUGCAAUGAUUAAUGAUCUUAAAUUUAAGGUUAAAAAUGACCUAAUCAAUUUCAGCAACUACAUCCAAAUGAUUUUGGUUUUGAUGUUUACAAAUACAUGUAACAUAUAUGUAUUUCUUUUAAAAAUUAUCAUAUGAUUAAUACUUAUAUUUAAUUCACACACACAUCAUUCAGCUUUUGGAAUUCGUCAUUUGGGUCCUCACGUGUAAGCAUCACGUGCACCACUCAUUCUGAGUUUCUAACCAAGUCAAAGUUCAGUUAAAAUUCUUUGCAGCAGGAAGGUGGUGUGGUUUGGUGACUGGUGAAUAGCUCACUCAACUUGUGAACCGUGAUUAGUCAAAUAAUCAAGUACACGUUUCGAAGAAUAACCUCGGAAGGUCUGUCCAGUGUCCACUGUCCAGUAUGAUGACAUGUCAGCAACGUUUUACAACAGGAUCAAGAAGCAGCUAUGGUGUAAGCAUGGUAGUGACAGCGUAGAAGCUGUGUAUGCAUAUCACCCGUCUGUUGAAAUGCUCGCAGUAAUCAAACCUCUUAUAACACUGCUUCAUCUGUCAAGUCAAAUUUUCCUCGGAGUCAAGAAAUGGAGAACUAACAGGUAUGCAUUUCUUAAACCAUUAUUAUAUUCAAACACAAGGAUUCGUAUAAAAGCAUAUCGUUAUUAUAUUCAAACACAGGGAUUCGUGUAAAAGCAUAUUAAUGAAUAUGAAUCUGAUCGCUUUAAACUUUAAUUAACAUGAAACUAAGCAUGACGGAAUCAGCAUUUCUUGAUUUUCUUCAAUUAGCAGAUGCGUGAAUAUGCUCGUGUUUGUGCCUUGUAUUCAUAUAAACGAAAACCUGGUCUAUAAUUCAAUAGUUUAUUAUAUUAUUGGAAUUAAAUAAGUAUAAAAGUGUCCCGGAUGCAUGAUCAGUGAUCACAUCACAAGCCUUGUUGUGCUUCAUCUCACGACGGCUGCUUUAUGUUUGCUUGAGUUGCUUCAUAUAUAGCAGUUAGCAGAUGGCCAAAGUUGGCAAUGGCAUGUGGCAAGCUUAGCAAUUAUAUUAAGCACCUGCCAAGGACACCAGGUUAAUUUUUAUCUCUCAACACUCUGUUUUGCACCGAGAUAUCCAAUAUAUACUGGUUUAUCAAAUAAUUGAUUAAUGCUGAUUGUAUCAGUCUCCUAAUUAGUUAAAUGUUGUUGAAGAUAUAGUUGCUGCUGAGCUGGACAGAGCUGCUGAGCUGGACAAGAUUGAAUGUAACUGAAUGACAUGUUUCAAGAGCUCAAUGGCUAAACUAAAUCUGAAGUUGUUAUUAGUUGUUUUGCAGUUGUUUAAUUAGUUAGAAUAAUUGUAUAUAAGCUUAGCUAAGUAAGCUUAAUAAGCAUUGAAUAUUCUGGUUAAUAAAAUCGUGAAGUUUCCUUUUUCAUUUUCUCUGUUUUUCUUUGUUUCCAAACAUCUUAUUAUGAAUUCUAAUAUGGUAUCAGAGCCACGAAACAUGACGAAUCAAAGCAAUUCAGGAUCGUCUUCACUUUCUUUUUCUUUUAUUCAACCAACAAAACUUGAUCGAACAAAUUAUCUGGUGUGGAGAGCUCAAAUUCAAGCUUCGAUUAUUGCCAAUGGACUUGAAGGUUUUAUCAAUGGAGAAUCUCCUUGUCCAGAUCGUUUUCUUUCCUCAUAUGAGAAUGCUGCCAGUAGAUCAGAAGCUCCUAGCUCAAGCAGACGUGAGAAUUCUGACUAUAUUGACUGGAAGAAAGCUGACAAGCUUCUACAGAGCUGGAUGCUGUCAUCUAUGGUAGACAAUGUACUUAUCAUGGUUGUGGAUUGUGAUACUUCACUUGAGAUCUGGGAGAAACUUGCCGAGAUGUUCAUGUCACAGUCAAAGGCUAGAUACAUGCCUCUGAAAAUACAGAUUCAAACCACAAAGAAAGGAGCUAUGUUAGUAAGUGAUUACUUCAAUAAGAUGAAAAAAAAAUUGCAGACAGCUUAGCUAUUGGUGGUAAUCCUCUUGCUUCAACAGAUUUUAUAAUGCAUUUGCUCACUGGUUUAGAUGACAACUAUGAGUCAUUAGUGACAACUAUACUUGCUAGGCUGGAAAAAGAUAAUCUCACUAUUGAAGAAGUGUAUUCCUUAAUGCUUAGUCAUGAAACUAGGGUUGAGAUGAGUAAGGGAAAGGUGCAAAAUGAAUUGUUGCAUGAUAUGUCAGCUAAUUUUGCUCAGAAAGGACAGAAUUACAAUAAGUUCAAUAAUGCUAAUCAGAGAGGUUUUAAUGGUGGAAAUUUUGAUAAUGGCAAAGGAGGAUAUAAUGUUGAUAAGGAAGUAAUUUGUCAAAUAUGCUUCAUACCUGGUCAUGGAGCAUACAAAUGCAGGAACAGAUUUAAUCAGAACUUUAUUCCUAGACAAGGAAGAGGUGGCUUUAGGCCUAGAGGUGGAUUCAAUUUUAGAGGCUUUCCUGGUCAGCCUCAGAACAUGUUUGGAAGAGGUUAUGGAAAUUUUUAUGGAACUGCAACUGGUGCUCCUAGAUAUAAUGCACCCAUGUUUCAAGGGAAUGUUGCAUAUCAGAAUGCAAAUGUUAUGUAUCCUCAAGGGUUUCCUGUGUUUCAAGGAUUACAAGGUCAAUACAAUGGUGCAAUUGCUACUCCAUUUGCUAACUAUGGAGUUGCUCCUUCUGCUAUUCCCACUGCACAAUUUGCUCCCACUGGUCCAGUUGCUGAUUAUGGAGUUGUAGCUGAUCCUGCUUGGUAUAUUGACUCCGGGGCAACCAAUCAUGUGACUAAGGAAGCAGGUAUCUUUUCUUCUUACUCAGUUUAUCAUGGUUUUGAUAAGCUACAUGUACGAAAUGGCAUGGGAUUACAUAUUAAACAUGUUGGGUGCACACGAUUGAAUACACUUGCUGCAACAUCUAUCUAUCUUAAUAAUAUUUUGCAUGUCCCAACUAUAACCAAAAACCUUUUAAGUGUAUCUAAAUUACUUGCUGACAAUGAUGUUGUUGUUGAAUUCCAUAAAACCUCAUGUUUUGUCAAGGACAAGAAAUCAGGGAUCAUCUUGCUCAAGGGGAUUGCUAGAGGAGGAUUAUAUCAAGUUGAAGGUCCUGUUGUAGUGUCUCAUGCUGCAGUUUCAAAUAGAGUUCCGUCUAAUGUUUUCUGUGUCAUCUCAAAUUCCAGUUCUGUGUCAAAUGUCUGUUCCUCUCCAGUGUCAAUGAUUAGUCAUUCCAAUGUUUCAAACUCUGUACAUUCUGGAGAAAUUUUGACAGAUGUAAAUAUUUCUCAAUUCAAUAAUGAUGCCUCAAUGGCCUUGUCUGUUACUCAUUCAAAAUCAGUUGAUUACAAUGUUUUACAUAAAAGAAUGGGUCAUCCAACUGUGCAUGCUCUUAAACAAAUUGUGAAGCAUUUGCAUCCUUCUCUCGAUAUCAAUAGAGCCCUGAAACCAAUUUUUUGUAAUGCUUGCCAAUUUGGAAAGUGUCACAUGCAGCAUUUUCCUUCUAUAGACACCACUACCAUUCAACCACUGGAGCUGUUGCAUGCUGAUCUAUGGGGUCCAGCUCCUUUGCUGUCCUCUCAAGGCUAUCACUACUAUCUUUCUAUCUUAGAUGAUUUCACUAGGUUCACCUGGAUAUUCCCUCUUGUUACCAAAUCUCAAGCCUUACAAACCUUUAUUGAAUUCCAGCAUAUGAUAGAAAAAUGCCUAAAUAGGAAAAUCAAGUGUCUUCAAACAGAUUGGGGAGGUGAAUUUAGGCCAUUUCUUCCUUAUCUUGCUGAGCAGGGAAUCCAAUUUAGACAUCCUUGUCCUUAUAUUCACCAUCAAAAUGGAAAGAUUGAACGCAAACAUAGACAUAUAGUGGAAACAGGCCUUACCCUUCUUGCUCAAGCACAUUUACCACUGAAAUUUUGGUGGAAUGCUUUCCAUACUGCCACAUUUCUCAUAAAUAGGCUCCCUACACCCAUUCUAGAUAACAAAUCACCUUUUGAAAAAUUAUUCAACAAAAGACCAGAUUAUUCUGUUAUGAGCGUUUUUGGAUGUGCUUGUUUCCCAUAUCUGAGGCCUUAUAAUCAUCAUAAGUUAGAGUUUCGAACUGCUAGAUGUAUUUUUCUUGGUUACAGCUCCCUUCACAAAGGCUACUUGUGUCUUCAUUCCUCUGGUAGAAUCUAUGUCAGUAACCAUGUUACAUUUGAUGAGUCAUGUUUUCCUUUUCAGUCAGGAGUUGAUUUUUCCUCUGUCAGUCACUCUUGCUCUUCUUCAGAUCAUUCAUCUCAGUCUUCUUCACAUUGUUCAUCUUCUGUUUGUCCUUUGAUUCAACUUGAUAUAACCAAGUCUUCAUCCUCUACAGCAGCUGAUCUCAGGUUCUCUCAAUCCUCUCCAGACUCUCCUUCUCAAUCUUCUAUACAAUCACACUCAGAACCAUCUACCUCACCUGUUCAUCAUUUAACUCCACCAUUGCAGUCAUCUACUGGUCAUCCAAUGCUCACUCGAUCAAAGGCUGGUAUCUUCAAACCUAAAGCCUAUAUUACAGCCAAUCCUACCAAACCUACAGAACCUGCUACUACCUCAAAAGCCCUUCAAGAUUCAGCUUGGCAUAAAGCAAUGACAGAUGAAUAUCAAGCCUUAGUCAAUAAUCAUACCUGGACUCUUGUCAAACCUACACAUCCCAUUAAAGUAAUUGGGAAUAAGUGGGUAUUUCGGAUUAAAUAUAAUCCUGAUGGCAGUGUCUCUAGAUACAAAGCUAGACUUGUUGCUAAGGGAUUUCACCAAACUCAAGGGCUGGAUUUUCAUGAAACAUUCAGUCCUGUCAUUAAGUCUUCAACCAUCAGAAUUAUCUUGAGUAUGGCUGUCAUGAAUCAUUGGGUACUGAGGCAAAUAGACAUUAAUAAUGCCUUCCUUAAUGGCUACCUCACUGAAGAAGUUUAUAUGCAACAGCCUGAGGGGUUUAUAGAUAGUUCCAGGCCUGAUUAUGUCUGUAAGCUGCACAAAGCCCUUUAUGGCCUUAAACAGGCUCCAAGGGCAUGGUUUGACAGACUCAAACUAGUUCUUACAACUCAGUGGGGCUUUACAAAUUCUAUUUCAGACACUUCACUCUUCUUUAAGAGCACACAAGGUCAUCUGCUACUUGUCUUGGUGUAUGUAGAUGAUAUUAUUAUUACAGGCUCCAAUCCUCAGCUUGUUCAGCAGACCAUCACCAACUUCCAGUCUGUUUUUGCACUUAAAGAUCUUGGUGCAUUGAAUUAUUUUCUGGGAGUUCAGGUCAUUUACAAUAAAUCUGGUAUUCAUCUUUCUCAAUCCAAGUAUAUCACUGAUUUGCUUGCCAAGGUGCACAUGCAGGAUAGUACUCCUUGUUCUACUCCUAUGCUUUCUGGAGUGGCUUUUACUAAAGCUGAUAGUGAACCCUUUUCUGAUGUUACUCUAUACAGAAGCACCAUAGGUGCUCUUCAGUAUGCAACAUUGACCAGACCAGAGAUUGCUUUCUCUGUCAACAAGCUCAGUCAGUUUCUAUCUUCUCCAACUGUCAAUCAUUGGCAGGCUUGUAAAAGGGUUUUACGUUAUCUGAAGGGUACUGUUAAUCUUGGUUUACAGUUCUACAAUCAUGGCAGCAUACAGAUUGAUUGUUUCAGUGAUGCUGAUUGGGCUGGAGACAGAGAUGAUAGGAGGUCAGUGGCUGGUUAUUGUGUCUAUAUGGGUCCAAAUCUAGUGUCUUGGUGCUCUAAGAAACAGGCAGUGGUCUCUCGAUCUAGUGCUGAGUCUGAAUAUCGAGCACUAGCAAUGGCAGCAGCUGAAGUCUUGUGGAUUCGUUCUCUUCUUGCUGAGAUUGGUCUUACUCUUCCCUCCAUUCCAAUCAUAUGGUGUGAUAAUCAAAGUGCAGCUGCUUUAGCCUCUAAUCCUAAGUUUCAUUCCAGAACAAAACACAUUGAAUUAGAUGUUCAUUUUGUUCGAGAGAAAGUUGCUGCUCAAUGUCUUAAGGUUCAAUAUAUUUCUAGCUCAGAACAAACUGCUGAUAUUCUCACCAAAGCUCUUUCUUAUCACCCUUUUCUCUACUUACGUGACAAGCUCAACCUUACUUCCUCGGUUGAGCUUGAGGGGGGAUGUUGAAGAUAUAGUUGCUGCUGAGCUGGACAGAGCUGCUGAGCUGGACAAGAUUGAAUGUAACUGAAUGACAUGUGGCAAGAGCUCAAUGGCUAAACUAAAUCUGAAGUUGUUAUUAGUUGUUUUGCAGUUGUUUAAUUAGUUAGAAUAAUUGUAUAUAAGCUUAGCUAAGUAAGCUUAAUAAGCAUUGAAUAUUCUGGUUAAUAAAAUCGUGAAGUUUCCUUUUUCAUUUUCUCUGUUUUUCUUUGUUUCCAAACAUCUUAUUACGAAUUCUAAUAAAUGUGAAAACAUUAUAUUAUAUACUAGUUGUAGUUGGUUGAUUUUUCUUUUAAUCUUCAUGUGAUACCAGAAUUAUACCAGUAGUCCGCAAGCUCGGGUUUCCAGCCGAUAUACCUCUGUAAUCAAAAACCUUUAAAACAUUUUUCUCAGGUUAUACAACCCAAAACAGACUUUCCUUUAGUCUAAAACAGGGUACCAAACCAGAUAAGAAAUGGUCAAAAGUUUUCUGAUGCACAGGAUCCUUACUAGAAGGCAAGUGCAGAGCAUACUUCCUUAGGUUUUCAAAAUGAACAAAUUUAAUCCUUUAUUCUUUUUCUUUCUUAGAACUUCAUUUGCAGAGAGAGAGAGGAGAGUUUAGAAAUUCAUGGAAGAAAGCACACGAGUUGUUAUUUCUGGAAAACUUCUAUAUUUUUCUAUCUCUUACAAGCAAGGGGAGAAUCCUUUAUAUAGAGGAGGAUUCUUGAGAAGAUAGGACAUGACCCCUAUCUUUUACAAAAGUAAAAGCAAAAGAUAAGAUAAGAUAGGAUAGGACCCCUAUCUUUUACAUAAUGGCACAACUUUAAUUAUUACAAAAGACAAAAGUGCUUUAAUAAUUAAAGCAUGACUUUGACAAAAGCAAAAGCAAAAGCUUAAAGUAAAAGCAAACUUUAAUAAUUAUGCAAGCAUAAAGCGAAACAUCAUUAUGACAAUAAGACAAACUACUUUAUGGAAAGCAAUAAGACAAACAACUUUAUGGAGAGCGGAGGUUCAUGUACUCGUCUUCGGAUGAGCUUUCGGUCUCAUCUGGGUUGUCAGGGUUGCCUUUUGGGAAAAAGAUCUUGGAGAGCUUUGGAUGCUUGCAGGAGGGACCACGGCAUGGUGGAUAAGGGCAAUUAUAGUCUCUGGGAGUACACUUUGGAGUAUACUUAGGGGAAGUUUGGGUGGCUUUGUCAACUUUGGAUGGUUGAGCGGGUCGUUUGGAGGAUUGAGUUGAGGGUCCUGGUUCAGAGGGGCCAGGUUCAUCCAUUGUCGGUUGGGGAAACUGGUGAAGGUGUUGGCUCAGAGGGAGAAAUGCAUCCCAUGGGUCUUGGGAAUCCUGGAACAGGAAAUCAGUGUAGUCUGGUUUUUCUUCUUUGAUGAUGAUACCUGUGGACUUUGGUUUGGAUAUGGCAGAUGGAGUGGGGAUCAUGAGGAGGUCAUGCUGUGGACCUAAGGAGGUGUGGGAGAUAUCUUUAAGUGGCGGAGGUUGGUGGUUCAAUUGGCAAAGGUAGUUGUGCAGGACAUCUUGUAUGUCAUUUUCAAUUACAGCUAUAUGUGGUGCAGUGAACCAUUCAUAUACCUGGUCUUGAGUCCAAAAGAGUUUGGUGUCUGGAUGUUGAAAGUAUGGCCUGUGAAUAAUAAAGACUGAUGUGAACAGUGGUGCUUCAAGGGCAGGCAUACGAUCAAGGUUGUAAAUUUCUGACAGUUGUUGGAGCUUCCUUCUCCACCAUGGUAUGGGGGAGAACCAUUCAAGUAAUGUCCAGGUAAGAGAGGUGGCUUUGUCUGGGUCAAGGAGAUGCUCCAAAGUGGGAGUAAUUGGUAGGACUAACUUAGUGGCAUAAAGGACUGUUAGGCACCAGAUGUACCAUAACACAUCUUCAGUGGUUUCUCUGGUUGGAUCAAGGGUUAAACCUGUAAGGAACAGAUUUUCUGGGUGGAAAGUGGAAAAAGGAAAAGGGUCUGUGACAAGGUAGGCUUUCAUGAAGAAGCGAAAAAGAGCUUUUCUUGCAAACUCUUGGAUGGCGAAGACAGAAGAAAAGGUUUUAUUAAAGGGAAAAGUUUUCUUGGUGAGAGCUUGUGGGGGUAGUGAAGUAGCCAUGGAGAUAAUUGGAAAAUGGUAGGUGGUGGAAAACAGGAUGAGAGGGUUUUCUGGUUUGGAGAGUCUGGAGAGCAUAUCAGGGAUGAGGUUCUGGGAUCCCUUUAUAUGCUUGACUGAAAAGUCAUAUUUAGAAAACCAAUCUUUUAAUCUGAGUAACAUUUUUUCGGGAACAGUUUUACCUUUGAAAUGAAAGAUAUUGGGGAAGGCUGAGCUGUCCAUUCGGAUGAGAAAAUGGUGUCCAAUCAAAUGAUACUCAAACUUUUUGAUGCCAUUCUUGACCGCUAAGAUUUCUUUGAACACGCUAUGGUAGUGCUUCUGUGUAUCAGAAAAAUGUCCACUAGCGUAAGCGAUAAAGUGUUCUUUUCCGUUGAUUUCUUCAAGGAGUAUGGCACCCCAUGAUUCAUCACUUGCGUCUGUUUGUAAGAUGCGCUUGCCAUCUGUAAUCAACUUUAAAGGAGGCGGAUUUUGCGCAAUCUGCUUUAGGGUAGUGACAGCAAAUGUGUGGUCAGCAUUCCAUUCUGGGGGCUUCUUUUUCAAUAAAGCCGAGAGAUGGUGAGUGUAAUGAUCCACGUGGGGGAUGAAAUCACGGAUGUAGUUGAUGAUGCCGAGAAACUGUUGAAUUUGCCUUUUGGAAAGUUGCUGAUCUGGAAAGUGAAGCAAUUCUUGGGCAAUGUGCUUUCCUGGCUGGUAGUGUCCAUCUUUUAUGAUCAUACCAAGGAAUUCAACAUUAUCUGUAGCAAUGAUGCUUUUCUUGGCCGAUAACAUGAUUCCAUGACUUUGGAGAAUAUCAUAGAAUUGAGUUAACAGCUGGCGAUGUUCAUCAUGUGAGCCUGAAAAAAGCAAGAUAUCAUCAAUAUAAAUCAAUGCAUGAUGCAAAAUGGGUUGGAAGAUUUGGACCAUGGAUUUUUGGAAAAUGGAUGGGGCAGUUUUGAGACCAAAGGGUAAGACGGUCCAUUGAAAGUGGGCAUUGGGAAUACAAAAAGCGGUUUUGUAGCGUUCGGAGGGUUCAAUGCCUAGUUGCCAAAAACCUGAUUUUAAAUCAAAUUUUGAAAAGAUCUGGGCAUUUUUGAGAAAAGUGAACAUGCUUUGUCGGCGAGGUAAAGGGAAUUUGUCAUCUUGUAAAAACAUGUUUAAUGGCUGGUAGUCAAUGACUAGGCGUUUCUUUCCUCGGACAAUUUCAGAAUGCUUUUCAACAUAAAAGGCUUGGCAAGCCCAUUGAGAACUUGUGGGCUCAAUUAAACCUUGGGCUAACAAUUGUGAACAUUCUUGUUGGGCUAGGAGUAAGUCAGAAGGACUCAUUCCUGGAUGGGUAGCUUUAGUUGGGUUAAUGUCUUCAUUGAGUUUGAAGGGUAACUUAAUGAAGAAAGACUUAUUUUUCCACAAAGGAUUUGGAUGGGUGAACUCGGAAUGGGACUCUGGACAGAAACUCAAAAGUUUGGUUGAGAUAUCCUGGUAAGACUGGGGAGUUUCAGACAAAUUGUAGAGUUUCAGAAUGUCUGUGAAUGGUUUGAACAUGGACUUGACACGGAUUCCAGUGGGAAUGAUUUGGAGGUGUUUGAUUUGGUGAAGGACUUCAAAUCCUAACAAGAUAUCCUUAUUAGGAAGAGUUGAACCAAUAACCUUGGUCCAAAUGACACAAUUGGGGAAGAUUUGAAUACCAACGGGUUUCUUGGUAAUCAAAGAGGUGGUAAAGAGUUUGCCAUUGAUAGCUUUGAAAUGUUCUUCAGAUUGGGUCCAAUAUUCGGAUGGAAGAAUAUGGGGGUUUAACAUGCUGCGUUGGGCGCCAGUAUCUAUAAGACCAAUUGCUGGAAUGGGCCUUUGGAAUUUUGAGGGUAAGAUCUGGAGUUUGAUGGAUGGGAUAGGAACUGUAGUAUCAAGGGAGAGUGACUGUUGAUGGAAAAUCACUUGAGACUGGUCACUGUCUGAAUCAGAGGAAUUCUGUAGUGCGAACACUGUUUCAUCAUUGGGUUCAUCUUGUUCAGAGAAAUAGAAUUCCAGCUCAUCUUUGGCAGGAGAGUAGUCGGUAGUUGCUUGAAGAUGCUCAACUAACCGGAUGGAUUUUUCUCUGUUGUUGGGGCAAUCUUUGGCAUAGUGGCCUUUUCUCUUGCAGAUGAAACAUCUGCUUGAUUGCUUUCGUUUGAAUUCUCUAGAGGAGGAAGAUUUCUUUCUGAAGAACCGGUAGGGCUUUCGGGAUCUGCGAGGCUUGGAGGAAAAUUCUGGAGGUUUGAAUUUCCGAAAAUGCCGUUUUUUCUUUGAACUGCAAUCGCAAUCUUUUUUCUUGUGGCAUUUGAUCUGCAAAUAAGGCUUUUUGCAAGCACUUCGGAAAGGUUCUUUGUCUUUCAACAGUUCUUUGAAAAACUGUUUUUGCUCGCAAAGUUUGUCAAGACAAGUUUUGGCAAGCUGAAAGAUUUUGCCAAGAGAGAUGUUGUCUAGGGAAAGAUUGGAUGCUGUGAGUUGUCUCUGGAUGUUGGGUUGGAGUUCUUCGGGGAGGGAAGCCAGAAAGACAUGCUUUAAUGUCGGCUCGUUGAAUCCAUUAAGCUUAUAGAACAGCAGGGACAUCCGCUUAUAAUGGAAGUCAAGAUCCUUAGCAUUGAGGGAGCAGCAUUUCAUGUUGAGAUAAUCUCGUCUGGCAGCUUCAAAGACUGCAGAAGGGUCUCCAAGGAAUUGAUCAUGAAGUACAGCAAGAGCACUUGAGACUUCUGGGAGAUCAACAAACUGUAGUUGGCGGUAUUGUCCUAACGAAUCAAACCAAUCUCUUAGAGCACCCGUGAAACGAGUAGCAAAUUCUCUAAGGACUGAUUGAGUUGUUGCUCCUGGUCUUAGCAUCUGGAGGUCAAUCCAGGCAGACAUUUCAUUGAGUCGGUCACGCCAUUUAUGAGAUGGAAGAUCAUCAAAUGUGAACCAUGGACCAUUUGACGAUUUGUGGCUCGAUGGAUUGGUCUGGGUUGGAGGAGGUUGGUUUGUGGCAGAAGAUUCAGGCAUUUCUUCUUCAAGUUCGGAGGGAAUAUCAACAUAUGGUUCUGUAUGAGAGGUUUGGCCUUGGGUAGGUUGAUCAGGUUGAGCCAUCAGGAUUUUGGUGAUAUCAGCAUAGGACUUUUCAGAGUCACUGGUGGAUACUGAAGAUUCUGUAUCAGUUUCGGUAGGGCUAUCUGAAACAGCUGGAUUUGAAUCAGAAGUGUGAUCGACUGUAGUAGAUGAAUGGGUGACUGUGUGAGCAGUAAACUGGUGCAUGGGUUCUUUAUCUUUUGAUUGGGUAGGGACGAAUAAAGGAGCUGGUGGUAAUGUUGGUGCAGAAGUAGGAGAUGGUUGGCCAGGGAUGGUCAGUGAGGAGGGAUGAAGAGGUGCAGGGCGAGGCUGCGGUCUAGGUUUGGGUUUAGGUUUAGGUGGUGGCGGCAAAGGAUUGUCUCUGAAAAGAGUAUGAGUCAUACCAAAUAACUUGGAAGGGUCAUACUGUUUAAUAGGAGAAAGCAUAGAGGCAAAAGGAUGAUAAGUUGGACCGAUGAAAGGGAUAGGAGGUGAAGUGGUGAAAAGGGUAGGUCUCUGUUUUUCAGAUUCAAUCUGAGCAAGUUCAGCUUUUAAGCGUCUGAUUUCCCUUUCUUUUUGGUCAAAUUCGGGGCCUGAGUAACGAUGGGCAAGCAUGGCUUGUAACUCAGAGUCAAGUUGAGAAAUUCUGGACUGGAGGUUUUGGUAUAUCUGCUGCAUCUGUGCAGUGAUGGAGUCAACUUUUGUCUCAAUCUCCACGACAGAGCUGAUUUAAAGACUUGGCCCAACUCAUCCCUCUAUGUUCAUUAAAUGUUAAUAUUUUUCUGCACCAAGGUUGACUUGAUGGUGCUUUAUUUUCAAUUUUUUCAUUGAAUUGUAUUUUUGGUUAAAUAUUGACAAAAAAAAUUAAGAAAGCAAUCAGCUCUUGUAACGUACUCUGUUCUGUCUUCCACCAAAAAUAUAAUCAUUUAUUACCUCUAUUUUAUCAAAUAAUCAUGAUUAAUGCUGCUGGGAAAGCUCUAUUAGUCUUUCUUUUGAUAUAUCUUUACCAAUCUCGUCAGCUGUUGCUUUUCUUUUAACGUGGUGGUUGUUUGUAUUUGAUGAUCCCAAAAUAUACGCAACGCAAUAUAGCAAUUGCCGCUUUCCAUGAUUUGUCUUUUUGGUUGACUUUAACAUGAUUUAGAAUUGUCGAUUCCGCAUUAAUGCGUAUAAAUUAUUAAGUAGGUUAUGUGAUCUUUCAUUAUCAUCGCCUAGUCUCCAAUUGUGUGCGUUAUUUUCUUUUUGAAAAUGAUUCACGAAAUCAAAUUACUGAUAGAGGUCAUGAAUGUCCUGCUCCUGCAUUUUCUUAAUCAUCCCACUUCUCUCAAAUUCUCCGAAAUCCCUUAUACGUCUUCUGGUCCCGUUUUCAUAAUAAUCGUUGUCCUAAACCUUCUUUGCAGAUCUUUCACUGUGCUCCCUUUUUCUUAUUUCUAGCUUUUUGCUUUUCUUUUUCACAUGGUCUUUGUUUAUAUUUGAUGUCCCAAAUAUACACGUUAACGCAACCAUUUGUGACAGCGAAUAUUUUUACCUAGUUGUUGGAUUGUGGCUUUCUAUGUUUUGUCUUUUUGGUCGACUUUAACAUGAUUUAGAGCUUUUGAACGCGUCUUCCAAGUGCACAUGCCGAGUAUAUCCACUGUUCGAUGAAAUGCCCAUUUGAAUAAUUUGAGGACCCACGAGGCCACGCCACUGGUAUUAGACUAAUUGGAAAAGAAAAAAAGAAAAAAGAUAAUAAGUACAACUGUGAUGCAUUUUCACAUUAACUUUACAAAGUCUGGUUAUAAAUUUAUAAUUUUACGCACAUGAAAUCACCAAAGUAUUAUUUAAUUUAACUCUUCUCAACUGGGGACGUGAGUUUGAUUCAAGUAGUAUUAUCACUCAUAUAAUUUAUUAAUGAGCUCUUUUCCUGUCAUCUAAUGCUGAUGCUUGUAUAUUCUAUUCUACCAUUCGAUUUUUUUAUGUCUAGUGCUUGUAGAUCAAUUGAUUAUAUGCUUCAUACUUGAUGGAGUGAAUAUAAUACAUAAGAUUUUCAUUCAGUUAUAUGCAGAUAUGUUAAACUUUGGUUUAUAGGCUAGAUCGUCACUAAUUAUUCAUAGUACGUGAAGCCUCUAAUACAACAGUGAUAAGAUUUGAAGUAUUAGUUGCUCUGCUUAAUCAAAUCAUGACAAAUAAAUACGGUUGCAGGGCUGGGUACUUGUUGGUUGUUCCGUUGAGUCAACACAAAACAAAAAAAAAAAAAUCAUAAAAAUGAAUGGCAAGAAUAGGAAUGAAAUCAUCCACAGAAAUAAACACAAAUGUAAUCAAAUCAUUGAACACUCUUGCUCUAAGUUUUCUUCUUUACUGAUUCUUUGUUUUGUUCAUUGUUUGAUCAUUGAUUCUUGUUAAGCUUUCUGUCACUUCUUGUUUGGGAUCUGCUCUUGGGUCCUUCAAGAUUGUGUUCUUGGUUCAAUUGAGCUUUGGGAAUAGCCAUUACAUCCACGACAUGGAAGUAAUAGUAAAUAUAUAACAUCAUUUUUAUCUUCCAAUCACAAGUUACAAGAUAUAAAAUUCCCAAGGAAAAUUAAAAAGGUAAAAUUAUCUUACAUCACCUGUUGAAAAAUGAAAUAUUUUAUCCAUGUACGUAAGCGAAAUUUUGAAGGAAAACGAGAAAGAAGAAAUGGUCAAUUUCGCAGAACAACAGAGAGAUUUUGGUAGUUUCCUCCAUAAAUUUAUCACCCCAUUAUCCUCAAUUGAUAUCAGUAACACUCAAAUCUAUCCGAAAUUCUUUACAAUCCCUAAUAUAUUUAAAAGGGUUUAAUUUUGACUUUUUAAUAACUUCCAUUAGGCCAAGCAUAUUUAGUUUCUUGAAGAUUUAUUCCUGAAAAAUCCUCAAUUGUUUAUUAAUCAAGAUAGAGUUCGAGUUUAAUGAUAAAAUGAUCAUGAUUUUAAUUUAAAGAUAUGAGCCCAAAAUCCUACCGUUUACAUAUUAAAAUCACUUGAUUAUCAUAUAUUACUCAAUAAUCAAAGUUAUUUAUUACACAUCAAAGUUAAUCACUUGAUUACUUGAAAAAUGCCGGCGGCACUUGCAACUCCCUGGAACCUUCGUGUAAGUUUUCGAGUUCAUCAACUGUUGGAUAAAAUGCCCAUUUGAAGAAACUAAUAGAAAAUUGAGAUCCUCUCUUGAAUAGAGUUUACCCUUGAAAAAUAAGUAUACAUUAUCAUUCAUGUAUUGUCAAAAUUUGAGCUUAAGAUCCAACUAUUUACAAAUUAUUAAUUAUUUUUGUUGGUGAAAGCAAAUUGAUUAGAAGAAUGUGGCAAUAAGAAGAUAAAAAUGCUUGCUCAAAUACUUUGCCGUGUGUUCUUACUUACAAAUCCACCAGCUUAGCUUUUAAUCACAUAAAUAAGUCAUCAUCAUCACUAGAUUAUCGUAUAUUACACAAUUAUCAAAGCUAAUUAUUGAAACCUUUCUUUCAAAGAAAAAGAAUUAUUGAAACCUUCCGAGUUUGAAAAUGCCGGCAGCACUCGCAACUUCCAGGAACCUUCGUGCAAGUGUAGAUGCUGAGUACAUCCAACCGUUCGAUUAAAUGCCGAAGUGAUUUCGAGGAACCCACACGACCACACAACAGGUUUUUUUUUUUUUUUUUUUUUCAUUUUAUUUGUACAUCUAUUUCUUGAAAAAAUAAAAAAUCAUAAAGUUCAGAUUACCCUUGAGACUUGAGAUGACAACUGUCUGCCUCUGCAUUUUCCUAAUCAUCCCUCUUCUCUAAUCUCUAGAGUCCUCUGAAAUCUCUUCUUCAUUUUCUGUCUCCCUUUUUUGAAUCGUUCUUGUCCUCGAUCCUACACCUUCUUUGCAAAUCUUUCAUUUAUUGUACUCGCUUUUCAAUUUGUCUUAGCAGAAAAAGGAUUCCCCUUUGUUUCAUCUCUAGAUUUUUCACUCUUUUCCUCUCCUCCUCCCUUAAAUCUAUUCAACCUCUUAUUUUAGCAAUUUAUCCAAACUUCUUUUUUCCCUCUUCCCAGCUGAUUGAUUAGUUCUGCUUAGUUUGAUUAGUUUUGCUUUCCCCUGUAUUCUGAAAGCGAAAAAUAAAAAAAAGAAAGGGAUAAUGGAUAUUGCUACCUCCGCAGUUGCGAAAGUUGCAGAGUACUUGGUUGAUCCCAUAAUUCAUCCAUUUACUUACUGCUGCACUUACAAGACCAACUUCGAGAAGCUGAAUAAUGAAGUCGAUAAGCUAAAGAAUUCUAGAGACAGUAUGCAGCAUAAGGUUGAUGAUUCCAGAAUUAAAGGGGACGGAAUUCAACAGCACGUUGAGGAGUGGCUGAUUGCUGCGAACAAGGAGAUCAAUGAAGUCGAAACACUUAUUGAAGACAAAGAGAAUUCAAACAACCGGUGUUUGAAGGGGUUAUGUCCUAAUUUGAGGACUCGGUACCAGCUUAGCAAGAAAGCAGAAAGAGAGACGAAUGCUAUUGUUGGACUCCAUGAAAAAGGGAGAUUCGACAGUGUUUCUUUCCGUACCAUUCCAGAGGAGACAUGGCUUAAGUUUACCCAGGAUUUCAUGCACUUUGAAUCGAGAAAGUCCACUUUUAAGGAGAUACUAGACGCACUCAGCAACCGUGACUUCAACAUGAUUGGGGUGUACGGGAUGGGCGGCAUUGGAAAGACAACGCUGGUGAAAGAAGUUGGCAGACAGGCAAAGGAAAAUAAUCUCUUUGAGAAGGUUAUUUCUUCACGUGUUUCGCCAACACCGCAAAUAAAAAAUAUACAAGGAGAAAUCUCAGAGAAGAUAGGCUUAGAAUUGGCUGAACAGAGUCAUGAAACUGUAAGAGCAGAGAGGCUGCUUGAAAGAUUGAAGAAAGAGAAAAAGAUCCUUAUAAUCUUGGAUGAUAUUUGGGGGGUCUUGAUUUGGAGGCGAUUGGAAUUCCAUUGGCAGAUGAUAAUAGCGGAUGCAAAGUUCUUCUGACAGCAAGAAGUCAAGAUGUGUUGUCCUGUAAGAUGGAUUGUCAACAAAAUUUUUUUGUUGAUGUUCUGAAUGAAAAAGAAGCUUGGAGUCUUUUCCGGAAGAUGACAGGUGAUUGUAUAGAAAAUGGUGAACUGAAAUCUGUAGCAACAGAGAUAGUCAAGGAAUGUGCUGGUUUGCCCAUUGCCAUUGUACCCGUAGCCAGGGCACUAAGAAAUAAGAGAUUGUUUGAAUGGAAGGAUUCCUUGCUGGAAUUAAGAAGGCCUUCCUUCAGAAACAUCAGUGGAACACUGGAGGUGGCAUAUAAAAGUAUAGAGCUGAGUUACAAUCAUUUAAACAGGGAGGAGCUCAAGAGAACGUUGUUGCUUAUAGGGUACGCGUUCAUCUCUUGCGUUAAAGACGUGCUUUAUCAUGGCAUGGGUUUGGGUCUGUUUCAAAACAUCAACACGUCGGAAGAGGCGUGGGAUAGAGCACAUACAUUGGUUGAUAAACUCAAAAAAUCUUGUUUGUUGCUUGACGGUAAUACAAGUGAACGGUUUUCUAUGCAUGAUGUUGUUCGUGAUGCAGCCAUAUCAAUUGCAUCUGGAGACCAACAAGUGUUUGUGGUGGAAAGUGAGGUUGCUCCGCAGAUCAGCUGGCCAGAUAAGGAAAAACUAAAGGUUUGCAUCGCAAUCUCCUUAAUUUAUAGUAAUAUUAGUGAGCUUCCUCAAGGUUUCGAAUGCCCGCAACUUAAAUAUUUUCGUAUUGGCAAUGAUCCAUCUUUGAGAAUCCCAGAUAAUUUUUUUACUGGGAUGACUGGGCUUAAAGUUUUAGAUUUCACUGAGAUGCAUUUAUUGCCAUUGCCUUCAUCGCUUGGUCUCUUACAAAACCUUCAAACACUGUGUCUGGAUUACUGCAACCUAGGAGACAUCGCUAUUAUCGGAGACCUAAAGAAAUUAGAAAUCCUUUCACUUCGAGGUUCUGAUGUAGAGAAACUGGUUGGAGAAAUGGGCCAGCUGACUCAAUUGAGGUUGUUGGAUAUGAGCAAGUGUUUCGAACUAAAAGUUAUUCCACCAAAUGUUAUAUCAAGCUUAUCUCGAUUAGAAGAACUGUAUAUUGGUGAGAGUCCCAUUCAGUGGGGGAAGGUUGAAGGGCUCGACAGUGAAAGAAGAAAUGCUAGCCUUCAUGAGUUGAAUCAUUUAUCUAAAUUGACCUCUUUAGAAAUACUCAUCCAAGAUGAAAAGACUCUACCAAGCGACUUGUUGUUCUUCAAAAUCCUGAAAAGGUACAGGAUAUUCAUAGGAUAUCUGUGGUCGGAUGACCCAAUAUUGGAUGGGUUUUCUAGAAAAUUCAAACUGAAAAUCACCAAUGGUGCCAACAUUUGCCUGAACGAGGGGCAUAUCAUGCAAUUGAAGGGUAUUGAACACCUAUCUUUACAUGGAUUGCUGGACAUGAAGAAUGUUCUUUGUGAACCUGGCAGAGAAGGUUUUCCACAGCUGAAGCAUCUCGAAGUCCGAGAUAAUCGCAGCCUUUUUUGUGUUGUUGACAGAGUGGAUUGUGCAACAGCGCUGACAGCGUUCCCCCUCUUGGAGUCAUUAUUUCUGGAAGAUUUGGGUAACCUAGAGAAAAUAUGUCGUGGUUCACUCACAGCAGAGUCCUUUUGCAAAUUAAAGAACAUAAGGGUGCAAAGGUGUGAUAAAUUGAAAAAUGUGUUUCCAUUGCCCAUUGGCAGAGGCCUUCAACAACUUCAGUCCAUUGAAGUGACAAAAUGCCAGAAUAUGGAAGUGAUUUUUGCUGCCGAUAGAGGAGAUGAAUCCAGCAAUAAUAACACUCAAGUGAUUGAACUCACUCAAUUAAGGACACUUGAACUUGGUUCUCUUCCGCAGCUUACAAGCUUCUGCACAGGAGAUCUGCAUUUUGAAUUUCCAUCCUUGAAACAAUUAACAAUAAGGGGAUGUCCCCAUGUGAAAUUUAAAAGCACUAUUCAUGAGUCCACCAAAAAGGUACGUGCAAGACUGUUGUAAUUAUUGUUCAAUUCUUACGUACUUAAAAGUAUUUCUACUUGAGAGUUUAGAGCUUUAUUGUCGUCAUAUAUUGCCCUCAUCAAUUUGUCUUUUAGUAACAAAAUGUUAGUUCUAUAAAUCAGCUUAUUUAUACUAAUAUAAUAUCCUUAUAAACAUAAUUAUCAAUAUUCGAUAUAAACAUAAUUAUCAUUCUUCAAUAAUUCUUCUCAUUAUCGAAUAUUGAAUCGGCUACAACCAUAGAUGGAUUUGGAUGUCAGUUAGAAAGAAUGAAUACAAAAUUAUUUAGUAUUUUUUUUCCUUCUCGUUCAAUUUUUUUCUCUUAAUUAUCAGAUUUUUUCUUCUUCGUCUACUUUUUAGUUUAUGUCUAUAUGUUUAGUUAAAUACACGAAAGAGACUCUGCAUUUGAUUAGCCAAACGAAGAAAAUACUCAAAAUAUCUACGGUUUUUCAAGCCACAGUUAAUUCCCUGAUAAUCUUUUAAGAGCUAUUUAAAAUUAGUAGUCCUUACUACAGUAUUGUUACAUACAAAAUGAUUGUCAAUUUUGAUGUUGAAGAAGAAAUUGGUCAUUUUGUGUUAACAAAAAUUAUAUUUUUAAAAAUAUAAAGAGAGAGAUGGACAAAACUCAAAUGAAGAAACCUUAUCUUAUUAAACUUUAUGUACAAGAAAAUCCAUUCUUGUACAAUAGUAAAUAUAUCCAAUUCCAUUGAGUUGGAUGAAUAUUAAUGAAAUACCAGCUUCUUACUAUAUUAUUAAACUUUUUAAAAUCAAGUUAUUUAUUCAUUUUUGCUCUUGAAAAGAAAAAAGUUAAAAAAACCAAUUAAAAAAAAAAAAGAAAUUUGUAAGAUUUUCAACUAAAACCAAAUAAGCGGAUCGAUUAAAAGAAUCUAGAAGUUCAAAUGCAAUUUGAGAAUAAUUGAAGUCUUUUUUGUAGACAUUAUGCACAAAUCUAAUAAAUUUUGAAAGUUAAGAAGAGAGGAUGAAAAAAAAAAAAUACACAUCACUUACUAUAUUUGAAAAAAAAUAAUAAUAAUUACCGCUGAAAAUCAUACUCUCUCUACAUAUCCAUAAAUUUGUCCGGCCAUCAAUAUUCAUCAUUGAAAUGCUUUGUAUUUACUUCAAUUUUUGAAAUCGUUAGAAAGAAGAUUUAACUCCCUCUUGCUUUUUUUUUUUUGUUAUUGUUGAUCACCCAGAUGUUCCCCAAUUUGGAAGAUUUGAGUAUUGAUGAAAAGUACAUAGGUCUAUUUCCAGAAGACUUGCUUUGCAAACUUAAACUUCUUGAUGUCUGGAUUGAUGAGUCAACAGCUAUUUUAUCACUCGACGAUUUCCUCCAGAAAUUUCACACAACCAAAAUUCUCAUUAUAGGAGGAGACGAGUAUAUUUUUAGACUAGUUAGAAAGGUUGAAAACGGGAUGAAGGCAAUGAUAAGAGGAAUAAACCGGCAUCGUGGUCUGAAGCAAAUUUUGAAACAAGAGUCCUCCAAUGCCAACAAUUUGGAAAACCUGGACAUAUGUGACUGUCACAAUUUGAUUAAUCUAGUGCCAUCCUCGACAUCGUUUCAAAAUCUAACUACUUUGAUGGUAUAUAAUUGCAUAGGAUUGAUAAAUGCACUAACAUCCUCAAUUGCAAAGAGUCUGGUGCGACUGAGGGAAAUGGGCAUAGGUAGAUGCAAGAUGAUAAUAGAAAUAGUGGCAGAUGACGGUGCUGAGGGAGAUAAUUAUGCAGCAAAAAAUGAAAUUGUUUUCAGCGAAUUGAAGGAAUUGCUGCUCUGGAACUUAGAAAGUCUGACAGGAUUCUGCUCUGGCAAUAAUUGCGCCUUCAAAUUCCCAUCUCUGGAAAGAUUAGUGGUGGAUAAUUGCCCCAAUAUGAACAUUUUCUCAGGAGGAGAAUUAAGCACACCCAAGUUACACCAAGUGCAGCUUAAACGGUGGGAUGAUGAAGAAUGUUGGACUUUGGAUCGCGACCUUAAUACAACCAUUCAAUACCUAUAUCUUAAAAAAAAGGUAUGUAUUCAUUCAAUACGAGAUGUUGAUUUUUUGUAAAAGUUUGAUUCAAUAACGGAUAUAUAUAAAAAAGGAAAAAGAAAAAGUACCCAUCAAAUUUUUGACAAAUUCAUUUUAAAUCUGAUUAGGAAGAGAAGGAAAAAAAAGAAUGAGACGUCCAACAAGGCUAAUGAAAAGAAGGAAGAUGCAAAAGACAGUGGCAAGGUAAAAUCCAUACAAAUUGGGAGGUUUUGAUUUUAUUUUUGUGCUAAUUAAAUACGUUUUAUUUAUGUUAAAUCACAUUGGUACAUCUUUUUAAAACAUAACUACUCUGUUGUAUUGUUAUGUUGAAGAUUAGUUGUUAGAUAUGAUAUAGCGAACAAGAAAUUGAAAAAAAAUGAAAGUAAUUGCUUAUAGAGAGAAUUGAAGGAUUUCUGUGUUCUUAAGCAUUAACUGGUUAUGAUGGAGGCUAAUUUGUGCAAUUUAAUUAUGUGAAAACUACACCUUCAAUGUGUUUUUGCUCUUUGUUUAUAGAGAGUCCAAACUUAUGAAGACGAUUCGGGCCAACCUUCUGUGCAGCAUCUAGAAUAAGGCCUCGAGUUCUUUCUAUAUACUAAGAGUCAGAUGGCGUUGGUGAGGGGACCUUUUGUUUCUUUCUUCAUUUCGUUAUUAUGCUUCUUGCUUUGUUUGAGUAAUUAGAAAUCUAAUUUAUUAUGCUUCUAGCUUUGUUUGAGUUCUUCGAAAUCUAAUUUGAAGCUAGUUUUAUUUCUCAUGGAUGGUGUCCAAGAGCUACCAUGUUCAAUUUGGAUUCAACCGAAAGAGUAUUUAAGCCUUGAAUUAAUUAAAGAGAUGAGUGUAUCAUAUUUGUGUUUGUGCACUUGUUAUUGAUGUAUUGAAUAAUGUAGGAAGUUAAUUUACAUUAUUUGAGGUAAUAUAGAAUUUUAGAAUAUUUAUUGUUUUAGGAUUUUCUAUUUUAGUUUGAGUCAAUUUUGGUAUAUAUCUUAGUCUUUUAUUUCUAUUAUAAUUGUGAUUUAGUUUCUUUUUUAGGUUAACUUAGGGAAUUGGGUUUCCUCUAUUAUAAAUAGAGAGAUCUUAUCAUUAUUUUGAGCAUUUCAAAUUCAAUUAUUCAAUAAAACUCACCUUUUAUAAUUCCUUCUGGGAUUAUCUAUCAAAAUCUCUCUUGUAAAGUUAUUUGGAUUAAAAAGUCAUCUAAUCUCGCAUUAUGCGUUAUUAAAAAGCUCAUUGAGUUGUCUGGAUUAGAACGAUAUCUGAUCAUGUUUCAAUUAGAGCAUAACUUAAUCGUGUUGGCUUAGUCCUGUACUAGAAUGAUAUCUAGUAUUUCAUGUCCUAUCAAUUUCCGCUUCCGCUACGCCUCGCUCCAUUAGUUGGUAUUAGAGCAGUUUUGUGUCAAUUGCACAACUUUCCUGACUACCCAUAUCCAUCCACAUCAGAUCCAUCACAAAAAAUAAAUAAAUAAAAUAAAAUAAAUCAAAACUUUACAAAUUUGAAAACCCUAGCCACCACAUCAACUUCCACCACCGAUCAGCCAGCCAACACCACCACAAACCUCGCUAGCCACUGCCGACCAAGUCUCAGCCAUUGCCGCCUCAACCGCUGCCUAAACAGCUGCAAAUCACCAACCCAAACCCGUGGCUCCACCAAGCAAUCCACCACCAUUCAACCACUUUCACAGCCAGCAACCUCUACCAACAAGCUUGCAGGCCUCCACUAACCAAAACACCGACCAACUUCAGCCCAUGAUCGCCGCCCGCAGCAACCACACGAAACGACAACCCAUGAGUGCUUCCCACAUGCGCCGCCACCAAACCACCUCCUUUUUCUGUCAAUUUGCACUACCACCACCCUAAUCCCUAGCAAUCGGCGACCAUAAAUCCAGCCGUCCGCCACCAUAAGGCCGCCAUAAACCAAAAGCCACAUCACUAAAAUCAACCGCCACUUUAAGUCAGAUUUCCGACCAAAACGCAGCGAAUCUGGCCGAUCCACAACCAUCAUCGAGUUCCUUAUCACCAAAUCUCCCAGAUCCGAUACCCUCUGGUCCCAAUCACGGCCACCAGCUGCCAACCAUACCAAACCCGAGAGUUGAGCCUUAAUUACAAUUUUGCCAUUGUGUGGAAACUUAAAUGGCAAGCUACCAUCAUUGCCCUCCUAUUUAUCAUGUGCCGAUAUUAUUUACAAAAUAUACGUCCAAACAAAUUUCUUGAAUAGCUGGACAAGGUUAAGCACUAGUUUCUAUUUUGGCACACUCCUAAAGAAAAGCAAGUCUUGUUUACUGCCAGUAGAUUAAGCAUAAGUGCUUCAGAAUGGCGCGAUGAGUUGCAAAUUUCUCGACUUGACCAAGGCAAAUGCCAAGUUCAAUCAUCGAACCGUAUGAAGCAUAUUUUACGAUAUGAGUUUAUUCCUCUUGAUUAUUGUUUGGUACAGUAAGGUAUGAGAUCUGUUUCUGCUUGUGCUUAUGAGUUUGAACGAUUUUAUGGAUGCCAUUAUUAUUAUGAGCCUGAAGAGAAUACAGUUACAAGAUUUAUUAAAGGGCUUGAUUUGCAUAUUCAAGAAAGGAUGCCUAUAUACACUAUCUACAAUUUACAGCAUGCAAUUCAUUUAGGCAAGAAAAUUGAAUUGCAAAUUAAGUUGUAACGUCAAAGAAACUUUGAUGAUGUGAUUAAAAAACUUGACGAAAUCCAGAAUUUAAGCAAGAAAUGGUGUGUCACCAUGAAAGUGCCCAAAGAUGUACCAAUGAGUUCUCCUAUUGUUAAGGAAGAAGACUCCCAUGAGUUGCUAGAAGAAAAUGUACAAUUUAUUAUUGAUUUAAGGUUUCAAUCUGACAAGUUGUUCGAGAAUGUGAGUGAUGUUUCCUUAGAAGAGAAGAUAAGUGUUGAAGAUGAUGAUAUUAUUGAUCUAUUUGAUAUGUUUAAAGAAGAUAUAUAAUCUGCUCUUAAUUUAAGCAGUGAGCUUAACAAUAUAAUCGAGGUUGUACAACAAAAUCAAGGUGAAGAAGUUGAAAUGAUUGAAAUGGUUCUGCCUAUUCACAUUGAAGAAAAAAAGAUUGUGCUUGAAGAAGAUUUGGUUGAAAAGGUGAAACUUAUUGGCGAGCGCAUUGAGCGACAAUUGGGGAAGUGCAAGAGUUAUUUGAUCAUUGUUCGUUCUUGAAAGUCGUCAUCGACUCGAAGAAUGUACAAGCGAAGGAAGUUGAUGAAGUUAGGAUACUUCAAAGUUUCGAGGAAGAUUGAUGAGCAAGGCUACAGGUUCAAAUUACAAGAUGAUUUGCUCCGACACUAUAAGUUUCCUCCUCCAGACUGUAUUCAAACUCAAGGACGAGUUUCUUUUAAGAGGGAAAGAAUGAUGUAGGAAGUUAAUUUACGUUAUUUUAGGUAAUUUAGGAUUCUAGAAUAUUUAUUGUUUUAGGAUUUCCUAUUUUAGUUUGAGUCAAUUAUGGUAUGUAUCUUAGUCUUUUAUUUCCAUUCCAAUUGUGAUUCAGUUUCCCUUUUAGGUUAAUUUAGGAAAGUGGGUUUCCUCUAUUAUAACUAGAGAGAUCUUGUCAUUGUUUUGAGCACUUCAGAUUCAAUUAUUCAAUAAAACUCCCAUUUUAUAAUUCCCUCUGAGAUUAUCUAUCAAAAUCUCUCUUGUAGAGUCGUUUGGAUUAGAGCGUCAUCUAAUCUCACAUUACAUGUUAUUAAAAAUCUCAUUGAGUCGUUUGGAUUAAAACGAUAUCUAAUCACGAUUCGAUUAGAGUAUAACCUAAUCGCAUUGGCUUAAUUCUGUACUAAAAUGAUAACUAGUGUUUCCUAUCCUAUCAAUUUUCGCUUCCGCUACGCCUCGCUCCGUCAGGAUUUCUGGUGUAUAUUUUUUUAGUGUAUGAUGAAACUAAAACUAUCUCAAUUUCUGCUAUGUUAGUGCCUCCUGAACACAUGUUUGGACCAUCUGAACAUUGAGUGGCUUGAUAUCUCUAACAAUAAUGCUUGUACAACUGAAAUCUACCCACCUUGCUCUAGCACAAUGAAGAGAAAUUGUGUCAUUUCGACAAAAAGGUGUCAUAUGUGCAGUCACUAUGAAUCAUUCGCAUUGGAACAAAUUGUACAAUGUCUCAAGUCGCUACUCAAUCAGUAGAACUCUCUAAUCUACGACUUUUGUCAUUUAUCAGCAUCAAGAAUCUGCCAAUUAAGAUAUGAUCACCUGUAAUUUUAAGUUCUUUCAAUCUCCAAAAACUAGAUGAAAAAAAUGCUCCAAUAAUUAGUAAGUCUUAAUCAAAUUCCAUAUUUUAGGCUUCUAAAUUUAUUAGCAAUUUUACCUAUCAUAACUUGUAUAUGUUAACCGGAUUGCAUAAACACUUGAGAAGCUUCAAGUUCAUGUCCUAAUGUGUUACAAUAUAUAUAUAUAUAUAUAGGCUUCUUUUUUGGGGGGAACUAAAAUAAGUUAGAUCAGUACCGAAGAUCAUAGUUAAAGCUCGCAAUGUUUUAUGGAGACCUUUUUCUUAUGGUAGGAGCUUCAUACUAGGAGAAGUCAUCACUUUUGAGAACAAUAAAUGUAACAACCUAUUUAAAGGGCGGAUCUAAAAAUUUGGCUUAAAAGGGACAACACAAUAAUUAAAAAAAAUUUAAUGAAAUUGAUAGACUUUGUAUUCAUUAGGGGCAAUUAUGCAAGUAUUUAUGUAAUUUCAUGAAAAUAUAAAAAAUAAAUAGAAAAUUAUGGAAAAAAAAUUUACGGGAGUCAAUUAAUUGCCCACUAUAGGCUCCGUGUGGAUCCACCUCCGAACGUAAAUGAAGAUUGAGGAUUCUCUUAAUCCAAAAAUUUUUAAGAAGUGAAAAAUAAAAAAAAUAAAAUUUUUUUUCAUCAACUUUGUAAUUCCUUAAGCGAUUAAAAUAAGAUAUAUUCAAUAAAUAAGUAUAAAUUAUUAUUCGUAUACUGUCAAAUCUUUUUUUGUUUGGGCUCUUUUAUAUUUUGUUAACAAAUAAGCUCUAAUCUAUAUUUGUUGAGUUGAAAAUUUUGAUCAAAAUAGGGUUGUAGUUUACCGAUAUUAAUUUAUAGAUUUGAACCCAAGUUCCUCCAUUUACAUUAUUAAUUAUUUUUGUUGGUCAAAGCUAAUUGAUUAGAAGAAUGCGACAAUAAGAAGACAAAAAUAUUUGCUCAAAUGCUUUGCCGUGUGCUUGCUUACUUACAAAUAUCAACUGUUCGAUGAAAUGCCCGUUUAGCUGUUCCCAACUUGGGGCAUGAGUUUGAUUAAAGUUCUUAUAUCACUGAUAUAAUAUAUUAAUGUAUAAAUGAGCUCUUUUCCUAUCAUCUAGUGCCCAUGGUAAUAUUUCAGUAAUUGAUCAUAAUAUUAUUAAGCUUUAAUUUAUAUCCUACACUCUUUUCCUAUCACCUAGUUUUUCUAAAGCGUGUAAGGUAGAAAUAUUCUCAUGUUCGAAAAAAGGUCAUACAAGCUCUAAGCUUGUACAUAUUUGAAGAACAAUACUAGACUUUUCCUUCAAACUAAUAUCGAAAUAUUUUUAUUCCUAAUGUAGUUAUUCGUCUUUGACAUUCAGCUCAGUAUCCAUUAGCAUUUAGCAAGAACAAACUUAUUUAAUAAUUAAAAGAAUUAUUGAAUGAUUUGGAACAAGUCAGCUGAGGCUAAGUAUUUUUAUUAUAUCGGCAAUUAGAUGAUGAAUGGGAAUUAUUGAACAAUUAUUUUUAUUAUUUAGGCAAUUAAUUAAGGCUACGUAUUUUUAACGUUGUUGCAAGUUGGAAGAUGUCGGCAGCAUUAGCCACUGUCAGCAUUAGCCACCCGAGCCGAGACUCAUUCUCUUUUUCAUUUCAUUUUCGUUUACUUUUGAGAACAGAAAAUGUAAAAUUUGAAUAAGUACCAAAUAACUUUUGAUAUUAAAACUUAAAUAAGCUUAGUUUUUUUCAUUUCGUUUUCGUUCACUUUUGAACAAGACAAUGUUUACUUUUGAUAUGCUUUAUUUAAGAGUCAUAAGUGCUUAUUUAAUCUUAUAAACUCUUAUCAUAAUUUUUGUUGUUGUUUGGUUGUUUUUAUAAUCAAGCUUUUAAAACUUAAAUAAGUUAUUUUAUCUCUAUUAGAAAAAAUUCAAAUUUUAGGUUUUGGGAGUAGAGGUUAAUUUUUUUUAAAUGUUAAAAUAUCUAAAAUAUCAUCUCCUUAUUGACAAUUUUAUUUUAUUCUUUUCAUAACAUAACUUUAAAAAAUUUACCUCUUAAAGUAAUUUUAUAAAUUUUUAAUAAAAACUCUUAUUGACAACCAAAUAACUAAUUUUUUUUUUGUAAAAUCUCUAUUUAUAAAAGCUCUACUUAAAUAAACUCUACUUGAAAAAAUGUACCAAACAGAGCCUAAGAAUCACUUAUUUGAAAGUUAGAAAAUGAUUGGAGACAAAAAAAAAUUGAUAAAGAAAUAUAUUUAAAAUGAUGUGGUUUUGGUUUUAUUUUAAAAAAAUUAACCUAAAUGAUAUAAUUUUAAGUAUAUUAUUUUUCAUUUCCCUAAUAUUCUUCAUAACUGAUCUUUGUACAACUCCGACCAAUUUUCACUGACAUUACAGUGUAGUUGACAUUUUCUUUUCACCGCCUUCAAUGUUUUUCCCAAAACAAUGGAAUAACCCAAACUUGUUUUUUUCCUACCUUCACCAACCUCAUUGACAAAAAUAAAAAAGACUGUCAAUUUCUCCAACCAUGUGACAAUGCCCUCACCACGUGACCUUUUGCUCACAUCCGGUUGCACAUUAACCAUCAAAGCCGGUUUCCCAUGAAUGUCCAUUUUUUUUAACUUCUUUUUCCUACCGUUAAAUUUCUCAUGAAUGUCAGUGAGUGGGAUCCAGCUACGGUACCACCGUGGUACCGUACAACUGAUUUUAUCUUUUGUGUCAGUAGUGUUGUAAAAUUUCAUUGAACCCCUUUCAUUCAUUUUUAUUUAACCUUUACCUCAUAAAUAUUAAAUUAAUUUCUAUUCCAUCCAUAUAACAUUAUAAUAGCACCUUAUACUAUUUGUUAUUUAUACAUUUUUCUUCUAUAUUGCACAUUUAUCACAAUACCCCUCUCUUUACCACAAAUACCGGUGAACCCGACCUGAAUUUCGUUUCUGUUUUCGUCCAUGCCACCGCCCAAGGUUGGUACCGAUCAGAAGAUCGUGUGAUGCCGGUCAUCUCCACGCCAUCCUUGUCGAAAAAAUAACUAGGUCAACCUGACCCGCAAACCCGACCCGGAUUUUGUUUUCGUUUCCAGCUACUCCACCGGCCAAGGUUGGUACCGAUCAGAAGCUCGUGCUACGCCAGUCAUCUCCAUGCCAUCCUUGUCGCCGUAAAGCAUUCGGAAAGCUGCCGAUCGAAGCCGUGAAAGUUACAGAAUCCCUGCUUCAAUUCGCGGCGGUUUCUCCGGUUUCCAGUGACGCCACCACUUGGGGUUUGUUCUCCACAGUUUCCUCUGUCUUUUCUGACCAACCACAGCCACCAGAGGAGCCGAUUUGCCGUUGAUCGGCCAUUGAAGGAUUCACGGGUUUGGGAGAAAUGAACUUAAUAUUUGUGAAGCAAAGUUCAAAUAAGAAUAAGUGAAAGGACUUUAUGAAAUUUUACCAAGAAAAGACAAAAGCGGUGGCAUGGUGCUACUGUUGCACGGUAGGCGAGUCCUUAUUUGUAUAUCUAUUUCUUAAAAAAAUAAAAAAUCAUAAAGUCCGGCAACGGCAGCAUAGCACUUACUGGUAACAGGAGAAUUCAAUGAAAUGCCAAAAUGCCACCUUGCGCUGUCCAAUUAACCAACAACUUUGACAUUAUUUACAUGCAAUUAUAACCAUCUAUCUCAGUUAUUAAGAAUCUAGUUGACUUGGAAGCAUGAGUCUUCUCCAGUAUGAAUUUAGUUUGGCAUUUUUGCAGUAUUCAGAUUACCCUUGAGACUUGAGAUCACAACUGCCUGCCUCUGCAUUUUCCUAAUCAUCCCUCUUGUCUAAUCUCUAGAGUUCUCUGAAAUCUCUUCUUCAUUUUCUGUCUCCCGUUUCUGUAUCGUUCUUGUCCUCGAUCCUACACCUUCUUUGCAAAUCUUUCAUUGCACUCGCUUUUCAAUUUGUCUUAGCAGAAAAUGGACCCCCUUUGUUUCAUCUCCAGAUUUUUCACUCCUUUCCCCUCCUCCUCCCUUAAAUCUAUUCAACCUUUUAUUUUAACAAUUUAUCCAAACUUCUUAUUUCCCUCUUCACAACUGAUUGAUUAGUUCUGCUCAGUUUGAUUAGUUUUGCUUUCCCCUGUUUUCUAAGAGCAAAAAAUAAAAAAGAAAGGGAUAAUGGAUAUUGUUAUUUCCGUUGCUGCAAAAGUUACAGAGUACUUGGUUGCUCCCAUAAUUCAUCCAUUUACUUA